CAAGGAAGAAGGACUAGAAAGGGAGAAGAAACACAUGGCUCGGUCUAAUGAAUCUAAGAAAAAUGAUGAAGCCGUCUCCCUCACCACCAGCACAACAAUUGUGACACCAUUAGAGCCUACUGAGAAGGUUGAAGAUGAAGAUGUAGUGGCCAAAGAAUCAAAUGAAGAAACAGUGGACGGUGUUAUUGAGAAUGCUGAAGAUGAAGAGGUGGUGGUCUAUAGAGGAAGACAAAGUGGGCCUGACGCAGCAGACUCCUUGUUAUGCUGAAGGUAAAUCUGUAACUUUAUUUUGCCCUUUCACUUCAUUUUGAAUGUCUUAAACCAGCUGCACCUCACUUUAUCAUUUGAAAACUCGGAAAUCACAAUAAUAAAUUAAGUUAAUUCUUCCAUCUCUUUGUAUAUGGAUUUGAAGGAACCAAUUGAUGAAGCCUAUAAAUUCAAGCAACAAUAGUGUAAUGGGGAUCAUUCGCUGUUCUCUACUAUCCAGUCUUGGUAAACAGCUCAAAAAAUGAAGUGGAGAUACUAUUAGAUCUACUCUCUAUGAAAGUGCUUCAGACAUGCAUGUUUGUCACUACGAUGCUGUCAUAGUCUCAUAGAGCUGAUUCUUCACAAUUCAGAUAUUCACUCAUGAAUUCUUUGAAAUUUAGAGCUUUUCUCCAUAGCUACCUCAUUAGAAAACAAGUCAUGACAUAAGACUUAUCGACUCAAAGCAGAAUUUUCUAGAUCAGGACCUAACAUCAGUUUAUCUUGUGCUGGCAGGUAGUUGAUUGGAUAUCACUAUCCCCAACUUGUGCAGAAGCUUCCUGACCUUUGUAUGUCAUCAGCAGUGGGUGCUGGAUGUUUGAUCAGAUCGGCUAAAUUAUGAACUUAUUGUGUAUAUUUGUGUCAAUAUGUACAAAGGAAGGGGGUAAAAAACUAAUAUAUUAAAUAACACGGCAUAAAAAACCUCCUCCUAAACAAAAUAUGUAUCUAUUUUGUAAAAUGAGUUAAUAAUUAGUAUGAGAAUUUACUCUUUCAACUCGUAGAGAUACAACCUUAAUAUGCUGGUUAAUUCAGCUCAUUGAGAGCGAGACAAUUAGACAAACAUUAUUUUUGUCAGAGAGAACUGCAAAAGUACUAGCUUUACCAGAGAGAUUAAUGUUGCCGUUUGCACUUUGCAGGAACAUUUGUUUAGUUGCAACUCAAUAUUGGUUGCGAACGCAAGCAUGAAAAUGCUACCGUUGAAACAAGAUAGAUAUCCUGCCUAAUCAUUUGAUCUACCAGAGGUGAGAGGCGUGUGUCCAGCAAAUCAAUCAGCUUUAUAUUUGUAUCCAAUGAUGAAGAUGACAAUGAGAGGAGCUCUCCUGCAUGCUUUCCCACUAGUGCUUCUAGUGCCACUACCUUAAAGUUACAAACAUCACAUUUCUCUGUCACAACCAUAGUGUAGGCAAGUUCUUUAUUAGGGUUGGUAAUAAACUCCGAAUUCACCUCGAAUCCGCAAAGAUCCAGAAGAUCCAGAUCUGGAAAAAUCUAAAUCCACAUGUUAAAAAAUACGGAUCCAUAUCUUAAAAAUCAAGAUCCGUGCGGAUUGCAUCCAGAAAAUCAGAUAUCUGGAUCCGCAUUAUUUUAUAAUUAAAUUAUUUAUUUAAUUAAAUUUCAAUUGAAAAAUAUAUAAAUUAAAUUAUUUAUUUAAAUGUAUAAGCAUAAUUAACUCUCUAAUCUUCAUUAACUAUGAAAAAUAUGUUUAAAAACUAAUAAUAACAAUAAUAAUUAGAGAAUAUUAUAAUAAAUCGAUUUACCUUAAUUUUUUUUUAAUUUUUUAUGUUUGAUUCAUGUUGUGAAGUUAUUGUUUGUGAAUUUAUGGUGUUGUUAUAUGUUAUUUAUGUUGAAUUGAUGUUAAAUUGUUGAUUGUUAAAUCGUAAUUGAAUUUUAUUUAAUAUUAUUAUGUAAAUUAUUAAAUUUAAAAUUAUAUUUAAAUUUAUUAUGCGGAUCCGGAUAUCCGGAAUAUCUGUUUGUAAUCCAUGCGGAUAUUAUCCGUAUUCAGAUCCGCAAAUUUUUUUGCGGAUCCGAAUGUCAAAAUUUUAAUCUGGAUCUGAAUUUUACCAUCCCCAUUCUAUAUGAAAACAAAAGCAUUUAUUAGUAAUGUUUUUUUAAGUAAUAACAAGAUCAAUUUGUUUAUAUUUUUGAGCUUCCGCAACAACUUAUGACAGAGAAACUUAUCUUAUUAGUUAGAGGGAAAAUGAUAUAUACAAUUCUUAAAUUCAGGAAAAUGGUCAAAAACACCUCUAAGUUUUCAAAAAGGGGUAUUAGAAUUUCUUUUUUAUUAUAAUACCUUUUACCUAUAUUAUCCUAAAAAAAUUAACUCUAAUAUUUCAUAAUAAACAUAAAUAUAACAUUAAAAUAAACAUAAUAAUAUAUACAUUUUAAUAUUUGAAAAAUAUUUUAAUAUUUUACAAUCUAUAAGACAUAUUUUAUUAUAUUAAAGUAAAUUUGAUAAUAAAUUGGAAUCAUAAUAUUAAAAUAAAUAUAUUAAAAUUUAAAUUAUCUUCAAUAUUAUGUAAAAUAAUAAUUUUAACAUUAUUAGCAUGUCAAAUUUUUUUUAAAUUGUAAAAUGUAUUUAAUGCAAAUAUUUAUUUAAAAUCUCUACAAUAAAAUAUACUAUUAAAAUAAAUAUAAUAAUUUACAUAUUUAAAUUUAUUAAAAUAUUUUAAUAUUUUAAUAUUGCCAGUCCACUGAAUAGAUUAUAUUCUUUAUAUAAUAUUUUAUAUUUGUAUUAAUUAAAAAUUUUAAAGUCUAUUUCAUUGAGAUAAUAGAGAUAAAGGGUAUAAUGGUUAUAAAAGGGGGUCCUAGUAUCUCUUUUUGAAAACUUGAGGUGUUGAUGACUAUUUUAUCAAAUUUUUGGGGUUUAGAUGUUCUUUUUCGUUAGUUAUAACGGAUAUCGAGAGUAGGGGCGGAGGGUGCUUAUGACUAGAGUGAGCCAUGUCGCCUAUAGAUUUUAAAUUUUAUUUUUUGAAAUUUCAAGGAAAUAUUAGAAAUUAGGUAUAAAAAUAUGAUUUGGCCCUAACACAAUUAAUUUGUAAACUUUAUAUAUUGGAUGAAACUGUAAUUUUAUGUUUUUCCAAAUAAAGUCAAAGUGACCCAAUUGUUGAUCUUUAUUUUGCUAAUGAUUUUUUUAUUCCAACAAAAUAGGAAACAACUUUUUAAAAGUUUGAUAUGAGCUUUGCUUUGUUUAUUGCAUUUUCAUUUUAUUUUUUUUUACUUGUAACAAUAGCUGCAAUUAUCAAUCAAAAUUCCAAAAUCAAAUUACUAUGGUUACAAGCAAAAAUCUUAAGUUCCCUACAACUACACCACAGUUAUAAAUUUUUAAAAAAAUCAAAAAUCAAUCAUCUAUUUAUUUAAAGUUUUAACUUGGCCCCCCAAGAUUUAGUCCAAGGUCCACCCCUGAUUUAAAGUAUUUAAAAAUGCUAUGAGAAUUUCGUUUACCUGGCCCUGCUGUCCAUCUUUAUGAUAAAAAAAUUCUACAAAAACUUGGACAGUUGGUGGGGACGAUGAUCAAAAUUGAUGCGAAUACAACAUCCUCUAUGCGAGAAUGUUUUGCUCGAAUUGCAGUGACCAUCUCUUUGGCCAAGCCUUUAGUGUCUCAGUUUGAGUUGGAUGGGAAGGUGCAGAAGGUGGAAUAUGAGGGGCUGCCAGUGAUCUGUUUUAUGUGUGGAAGGUAUGGACACAGUAGCAAUAUUUGCAAGGCAGCCGAUAUAGCAAAUGAUGCUGAAAAGGCUUCCCAGCCUGCUAUGCAGCGUCAGACAGCCCCCGCUCAUCAGGAUGGUGGCUGUCACGAUGCUAGUACUAUUGAACCUUUUGGCCCCUGGAUGAUUGCUACGAGAAAAGGAAGAAAAACUAAUAAUGGCAAGGAGAAUAGCAGUGAGCCAAAUCGAAAUCGUGAGCCUUUUGGGGCUAACACUACAAGGUUCCACAUUCUAGCUCAGGUCCCAGAGGAGCGUGAGGAGCCUGCCCCUGCAAUGUUUCCAGACAUCCCUUCCACUUCACGACAACCAACCUUGCCUAUUCUAAAUCCUACUUUUGCCGCCUAUAAAGAGACCAUAAUAAGGACCUCAACAAGAAGCAAGCUUCAUAAUAAGGCUGCUGGUACAAAAACUCAGAAUCGGAGACCACCAACCCCAAUGAAUCCAAUCCAAAACCCUUUCCCGUCGAGCGCUCUAAAUAUGAGAGAGAAGGAGGUGAACUUCCUAUCCCAUGCAAACCCUAAUUCUAACCCUUUUGUUACUUCACCGACAGCACCUAGUAACCACCAAGUCUCCCAUCUUGCUACCACUUUAGACCUAACGAGGCAUACUGUGGUCUUUUGCUCGCCACAAACCUCGCCCCCGGGGAUUGUAAGAGAUGAGGGCAUGGAGUAUAGAACUCGGCAAGAACCGGACCCUUAGCAUAUGGAUGACCCGCCAGAUGUUCAUACCACACCAUGUGUAAAUGAAGUUGCGACUGCCCAAACACAACCAGUACAGCCCUUGAGUAGUGUUGAAGCGGCUGGAAUGUCUAAUGAUGAAGACUCGAUGGUCCAAGAAACGCUUAUGGCGUCGAUGGAUGAUAUUAAUGGUCAGCAAUACUAAGGUUUCUGUCAUCUUUUAAUGUUAUUUGUUAAGAUGUCAAUAAGCAUAAUGUACUGGAACGUUCAAGGGGCGGCCUCGUCUAAUUUUCGCCGUGCUUUUAGGAAUAUUGUUAACAAUUAUAAGCCUUCGUUGGUAGUUUUGAUUAGGGAUGGCAGUUUUUUCCGGACCCGGACGAACCCGGACAAUCCGGUCCGGGUUUAACCCGUAUCGGAGUACGAUAAAAUCCAGAUCCGAAAUUAUUUUUCUGAACCCGGAUAUAUCCGGGUCCGGAUGCGGGUUUGAGUUAACCCGUAUAUCUGGAACCCGGACCCGGAUAUAUUAUUUUUAUUAUUUUUUAUUAUAUUUAAUAUAAAUAGUAACAUUAGAAAAACACACACACAACACACAACACACAACACACAAGUGCCCUAAUUUCACUCGUAUAUCGCAGCCACCGUAGCCCAAAAUCAGAGCCAACCAUUUUCUUUCUCUUCAAAUCGUCUCCUCAUCAACUCAAAUCAUUGUUCUUCGCUACCGUCACAGCUCUUUUCAUCAUCAUCAUCAUCGUUAGUUGCCGUAUUUCAAGGGAAGACGAACCUUCAUCAGCUUGUGGAGAAAACAGCACUGAUACGGAAAUUGAACUGAUUUGCAAAAUUGCCAGCAAAACUACUCAGACUGGGAAAGAAAUGAAAGAGUUAUACUUUCUUCCUCACGUGUUGUUUUAUGUGUUUCUCCUGCUGGAAAACUUUUCCUACUUCAAAAGCUUUUGCAAUUACUCAUUUUUCUGACUUUUUUUUUCUUUUUGGAUGGCUUUUUUCUGACUUCGAAUAAGUAUGUGAUUGACCAACAUGAUGGAUUUUUAAUUUUAUGAGUCUUUAUAUCACGUUAAUCCUUAAAUUUUCUGGUUCAUGUGAUGGGAUAAAACUUUUUUUUUUCUUUUUCAGACUGCUCUUAUUGAUCCAGGUUCAAAACCCAGAAUUCAGAAACCCGGAUUUUUCGGGUUUAACCCGGACCGGACCCGGAUGCAAGAAAACCGGGUUAACAUCCGCGUCCGGUGUAAUGAAAACGGUAUCCGGGUCCAGAAUCGGGAAGGCCAAACCCGGACCCGGACCCGGCUUUUGCCAUCCCUAGUUUUGAUAGAACCUCGCAUCAAUGGGAGUAAAGUCGAUGAGUUCAUUAAAAAAAGUGGGUUUGACAAUUCACAUCGUGUGGAGCCAGUGGGGUUCUCUAGAGGAAUUUGGCUGCUUUAGCAGAAUGUUAUAGAGGUGGAGGUGUUGAUAAACCAUCGGCAAUUUAUUCACUUUCGGAUUAGCAUGAAUAAGGGUUUUGUGUCUUGGACAACGGCUGUUUACGAUAGCCCAAAUCCAAUGCUACGAAGACAGCUGUGGAAGCAUCUAGAUAACCUUGCUCUUUCAAUUCAAGGACCUUGGCUGAUUGGUGGGGAUUUGAAUUCGAUAUUGUACGCUUCUGAAAAACAGGGGGGAGCUACAGGGCAGUCAGGAGUUUGUGGCUUGUUCCGGCAGUGGUUUGAUGGUAAUCAACUUUUCAACUUAAAGUUCAAAGGCCCACGGUUUACUUGGUCUCGUGGAUUUCUUUUCAAAAGAUUAGAUAGAGCUCUUUGCAAUAAUGAGUGGCUAUUAAAGUUUGCGGAUAACUCAGUUCUCCAUCUUCCGAAGGUUGCUUCAGAUCAUCGACCGGUGCUAGUUCGGUUUGAGAGAGCUGAAUGUCGACAGCAAGGUAAUAGGCCCUUUCGGUUCUUGGCUUCUUGGCUAACUCAUGAUCAUUUUAAUAAUUUUGUUAAGCAGACGUGGGACCCUAAAUCUUACUAUAGCGACGCUGCAUCUCUUUUUGUCAAGAAGGUUCAAGUUUGGAAUCGAGAGGUUUUUGGGAAUAUUUUUCAGCGGAAACGUCGAUUAAUGGCUCGGGUUAUCGGGAUUCAAGCAGCCUUGGAGAAUUAUAGUUCGAGAGGGUUAAUGCGCCUAGAGGCCAAUUUGCGGAAAGAAUUGGAGAUGGUGAUGGGGCAUGAGGAUAUUUUUUUGUGGCAAAAAUCAAGAAACGACUGGAUUAUGCAUGGGGACAGAAAUACCAGGUUCUUUCACCAAAAAACUAUUGUUCGCAGGAGGCGAAAUAGAAUUAAAGCCAUCCAGGAUAAUUCGGGUAAUUGGUUGUACAAUGAGGAAGAAAUCCGAAAUUGCAGUGGGGUAUUUCUCUUCAUUAUUCACAAGUGAGGCUGAAAGUUCUCAAGUUUACCAUGUUCUGAAUUAUUUCUCGGUUUGGAUGCUCAUGAUACCGACUGUGUCACCAACCCUGUUUUGGAAAUAGAAAUCAAGAAUGUUGUCUUUAGUAUGAAACCGCUAAAGGCCCCAGGUAUGGAUGGUUUGCAUGUUAUUUUUUAUCAAUCUCAAUGGCCAGUUGUUGGGCCUUCUUUAUGUAAGUUUAUCGGUGACAUUUUUAAUUCUGGCAAGCUUCCUCAAGAGGUUAAUACUACCCUGUUGGUAUUGACCCCUAAAGUGGAGCAUCCUACUAAUUUAAAAAUGUUCAGACCUAUCAGCCUAUGUACAGUCGCUUAUAAAACAGUGACUAAAAUAAUAGCUAACCGCCUGCAAGCUGUGCUGCCUAAAAUUAUAGGACCCUAUUAGACAAGUGUUGUUCCUGGCCGUCAUAUUAUAGACAAUAUUGUUGUUGCUCAGGAAGUGGUACAUACUAUGCAACGAAAAACUGGUAAGAGAGGGCUUAUGGUUAUCAAGGUGGAUCUUGAGAAGGCGUAUGAUCGACUUAAUUGGUCUUUUAUCUUUGAUACUCUCAAGCUAACUGGAAUUUCGAUUCAUUUAUCUAGGAUCAUCAUGGAAUGUAUAACUACAGCUAAAAUGAGUGUUCUGUGGAACAGAGAGAUUACUGAGGAAUUUUCUCCGGGGCGAGGAAUCCGACAGGGCGAUCCCCUGUCUCCCUAUAUUUUUGUUCUCUGCAUUGAGCGUUUGAGCCAUGGUAUUUCCCAAGCAAUAAUGGAGGGCAGUUGGAAACCAAUCUGUUUGACCAAACAGGGAACUCCACUAACCCAUCUUUUUUGCUGACGAUUUACUUUUAUUUGCAGAAGCCUCGAUUGAUCAAGCCUAUAUCAUUGACACAGUUUUGGAGAAUUAUUGUCUGAAAUCCGAAGCUAAGGUGAAUAAGUCAAAAACCAAAGUUUUUUUCUCUAAAAAUGUGCUAGCUAGAGAUGCCCAGCUUAUUGGUGAUGCCUUGGGGUUUUCGGCUACGAAGGAUUUGGGUUGUUAUCUUGGAAUGCCUUUAAUUCAUUCUCGGGUGAACAAAGCCACUUACCAAUCAAUUCUAGAUAAGGUGGACAUGCGGCUUACUGGUUGGAAUGCGGCUUAUUUAACCUUUGCUGGAAGAGUUACUUCGGCUCGUUUAUCCUUCAUGCUUUGAGAGACUGCCAUUGUAUUAAACGAGAUUGGUUUAGUCUUGUUCCAGAGGGUGAGCAUUCCUCCUUUUUUCACGAUAAUUUACAUAAAUUGAUAAUGGUUAACCUCCAGAAUAAGAGAAGGUUCAUGAACCAGAUCCCUUGGGAGUGUGUUUUCGGUGUGGCUGUUUGGAGAUUAUGGUUCUGGAGAAACCAUUUCAUGGUAGAAGGGAAGUUGGUGGAUAACUCAACAAUUAAUAUGGAUAUUAUGGCUAGAGCAAAUGAAAUUCAUAGAGUGAAUAAGUCUCACAUGAGUCAGCAACCGAGGAGAAAAGAGAUGUUUAUCGACUGGCAACCUCCCCCAUGGCCUUGGUGCAAAUUAAAUAUGGAUGGAUCUUGUAGAAAUUUUGGGGAAGCAGGGGCUGUUGGGUGUUAUUCGUGAUUCUGUUGGGCACUGGAUUUCUGGAUUUUGUAUGAAUAUUGGGGAGUGCUCGGUGCUUAUGGCUGAGCUAUGGGGUCUUUACCAAGGCUUAGUCCUAGUGUGGGAUGCUGGUAUAAAAUGCCUUUUGGUGGAAGUGGACAGUCUUUGUGUUUCACAGAUGAUCUCUAAGCAGGUGGUCGUGCCUAAUGCUUUCUAUGCUAUAGUGGUUGCUGUCCGGGAUCUUUUAACCAGAAAUUGGCAAAUUUCUAUCACACACAUCUUUCGUGAAGCGAACUCAGCUGCGGAUUUCAUGGCUAACCAGGUUCAUUCAGUUCCUCAUGGAUUGCAUCUAUUUACAAGCCCGCCUGUGGGUAUUUAUUCAAUUAUGCUGCAAGACAUGUUUGGGGUUACUCAACCCCGUUUUGUUCGAAUUUAGCUCGUUCUUUUGCACCCCUUUUAAUAAAAAAAAAUGCUAUGAGAAUGAAAACGAUUUCGCCUGCCUGAAGCUGAAGGAUUUAAUUCAUUGCAUCACUAUUUACAGUGCAGAUUGUGUUGCUGAUACAUCAAGAAAACCUAGGAUCAAGGGUCCUGAUUUAUUCUCUCACUUCAUUACAAUUUUUUUUCGUAUGUAACAAAAUCAUAGCCGUUAUCUACAAUUAUUCUAUAUCUUUCUAGGUUUCUCUCAUGUGUUAACUUUUCACCGUAGCCCUCUGAUUAAAACCUUAACUUGAUAAUCAAAUCUGGAGCUGCUGCCGAUGUAUUGUACAAUAUUAAAAAAUUAACAAGUUCUUUGUCAGGCAUUUUAUCAAACACAUGAAUGUAUCCUCAAACACCUUUUAACUUAACUAACAAUAUAGCAAAGACAAAUGAUGAGACCGAACAAUUGACAAAUCAACCAUGGUGCAAACAAGUUCUGUAGGAAAAAAAAUUGAGUAAUGUUAAAUAAUAAUGAAUAAUAAUAUUUUUAAUCAAUUAUAAGUAUUGACAUGAUUAUUUAUUUAACAUCAAACAUAUAUAAAAACGUAUUUACGGUCAGCUAAGCUACGCUAAAAAAGGGCGGGUUUAGUUUCAUCUAAGGUAUCACUUAUAUUAAAUCAUUAGAGAGAAAUUAGCUUAAUUAAUUACCUGCCAACCCCAGCCAUUUAAUGUUUCAUCAGAAAAAAAUUCACCAAGAAUAUGGCAAGAUUUUUUUCCCUCUUGAAGCUACGAUUCCUGAGAAUAUCCAGGCGAGGGUAUCUGUGCCUUGUGAAGCUCCAUCUAUACCAUUACAAACUUGAUUUACUGGAUAUUUCAGAGGCAUAUCAUAUUGAGCUGCUACAGUUUACAUGUUUUCUAAAUAAUUCUUCAAUUUCGAAACAUUCUUCGAAGGCCAGUCGAAAUUUUAAGUUCAUUCAAUAGAUAAAACUCCACAGGAAAGUUCUUCUCCAGUAUAGAUAUCUGCAUGUUACAAAAUCCUGAAUCUAAAUACUGUUGUCCGAAUUUUACAAGACAUAAAUUAGAAUCAGAAAUAACGUUUGCACUAAAACCCGUACACGAAUGAGUAAAUCUCAACUGAACGAGAAUUCAUUAGUUGGAAUAUAAAAUAAUUUGUAUUAUAAUUGAUGUGACAAAUGACAUCACGCUCACGCAAGCGCAAUUUUAUUAAUUAAUAUAAAGUAACGUACUUCCUCUCUAGGAUCAUAUAACAACGAUAAUUGGAGACGUUUUAGCAGAUAAUAUGCAAGAGAAUCUCUCCAUAAUCUGCCAAAGCUUUAGUGCAUCUUCACUUGAUACGAAUGGCACCGAUUUUCCGUAAAAACGAUGCUGAACAAAAAAAUUAAUGAUCAAAUUAGAACAAAUAUUUCACCAAUAAAGUCACAUUUACCCUUCAACAUUGUGUUUUUUUCUGCUACUAUUUUAACAAUAUAUAUAAAAUUUGGUAUCAAACCUUUUGUCAAGGAUCCCAAUAAUAGAAAUAAAUUUUAAAAAGAUGGAAGCGUCAAUUCUUCGUAAUUAAUAUGCAAAGCAAAACAUAAAUCACAAAGGUAUUUCUACUCACCUCUAUAUAAACUUGUAAAGCGUCAAAUCGAUGAGCAUUAUCAGAAAGCCAUCCAAUGCCGUCAAGGUCAUCAUCAAGACUACUCUCUUCACCAAGAUAAGCCAAAAUUGGCGCCGCCGCCACUACCCCAGUGCUUGAAGUUCAACACAUAUCUCGGCGGAAAUGUUAAAUAACUUUCUGGAUUAUAAUUAAAGUGAUCGAGUGUUUGAUCAUAACAGAAAGUUUUAAGAUCGCUCUUUGGUUCUGAAGAAGCUAAAUGUUCGCUAGGGUUUUGAAAAAUAUUGAUUCCACGAAGAACACCAAACUUCGGGAUGUACUUCAAUGGUGUAGGGGAAGCAAAUUUUGUGUGAAGAAGAAUAUGUUGGGAAAAUAUGCUCUUUAAAAGCAUAUGUGUUUAUUUAAUUGUAAUAAACAAUUUUUCUGAUUAAUAAAAUAAAUGAAGUAUUUUAUUCAAAUAUCUUAAUUGUAUUAAUAUUUUGAUUAAAGUCCAUUUAAUCAUAUUAUAUAUAUUUAUGUGAUCACCAUGUGGAUUCACAGAAGAUAUAAAUACAAGUUAUCUUAUGAUUAAAUAAAUUUAGCUCGCAGUUGAUAAAUAAAGUUGAGCACUUUAUUUAGGUACAGACUGUAAUGAAUUCAUUGAAUGAUUUGUCUUAAUCAUGUAUGAAUUUAUUGAUGCAGUACGACUACAUUGAACAGGAUCACAUAUGAGAUUUAAUUAACUUUGUAAUAACUGUCAGACUUAUUAAAUCUCAUAGGCAUUGAUUUUACUGUAAUUUUAAUCUUGAGUUAAUUAUGAUUUCAUGAUUGUAAUUGUUAUUCCAUUUGAGUUACCAAUAGGCACGACACAUACUUUUAGUUAAGAUUAUUCGGUAUCUUGGUGUGAGCAAUUAUGAGUAUUGAAGUUAUAAAUUAACAAUAUAGAAUUUGUACAACAUAUCUCUUGAUGGGUUUUCGGCACUUGAUCAUAUAAUUAUCUAGCCAGAGUGUGUCAACAUAUUUAGUAUGUUGAAAAUGAUCAUUAAAGAAAACUAUUUAGUAUUAAAGAACAAGAUGUAAUUAAAUUGAGUGGACAAUUGAGAUAUUGAUUUAAUUAACAAUGUGAUACAAAAGAUUGUGUAAUAAAGAAAUCAAUGUGGCAUGGGUCGAAUUAUUAUUUGAGUACACUAUUCUAGAUAGCAUAUAAUUAUGGAGGUCAAUUCCAAUCUUUUAGUGGAGUAUAUUUGAAAUUAAAUAAUUGGACUAGUUUAAUUACAUGCCUAAUUAUUGUAGCUACUAUUGUUUGUUCCCAAAUGAUCUCCGAGUUAGCUUAUUUAAUUGACUGCACUACUUCUGGAUUAAUAAGCAAGAUAACUAACUAUUUGGGUCAGAAGCCUAAAUAUAUCAUUUAGUGGGAGACUCUAUUUAAUUUGCUUGUGUGUAAGGGGCUUUAUGUUCUUUUACAAGAUGUGCCCCCUAUAGAAAAAACAAGUAAGGUGACUUUUGAUUUUUAUUAUUUGGAGCCUAAGGUUUUCACUAAAGGGAGAUAUAUAAAAAGAACUUAUUUUGUCUAAAGAAUAUGAGAGACAUUAUACAGAUCAAGAGAAAAAGAAUUUUUAUCUCUAAUUUUGAGAGAAAAUUUUCUCAUGCUAGCUGCUUUUAGUAAUAAUAAAGGCCCCCACACGUCAAGUGCAGAUCAAAUUUCAGUCAUAACUUAGAAAAUCAUUGGUGACGGAUCGUGAUCUAAUAACCGUGGUAGUGACGGAUCGUAGUCUAACAGACGUGGUGGUGACAGAUCGUGAUCUGGGAGCCUAGAUUAACUCAACGAAAAAUCCAAAUCGAAUUUUCAAGGUACGAUUUUUAGGUUACGAAUUCUUAUAUAUUAUAUGAAAUCGAUCUUAAAAAAUUUUAUAAAAAUUUAAAAAACUGAUUUUUCUCCAAAAGAAUAAACAAAAGCCAUGCAAGGCACUGGACUUUGAUUUUAAGGGCUUUCAUGUCAUAGUUUUAUUUUGACGGUUAGUGAGAGUGAGAGAAGUGAGUAGAAUGUUUGUGUGGUAAAUAUAAAUAGAAUAUUUGAGAUUCUGUUCAAAAUUCCUUCAAAAUCGAUGUGUCUGUUAAAACAUUCUAGAUUUGUUAAUUGUUAUUAUCUUAAUAUAAUCAUGUAUUUGUACUGUGUUUUUAAGAUAUCCUAAUUUGAUCGAUUGUAACUAAUUAUUGAGCUUUGAUGUGUUAUAAGUAUGUACAUGCGUAGUGGAUGAACUUUUCUUACCUUCAGGGUGUAUUUGGCAUCCCUUAUAAUGUUGCAUGAAGAGUUUGUAUUGUAUUAUAUUAAAUCAUGCUUAGGCUUUAUUAAGUAUUUUAUUACACCAAACUAUAACAUGGCAACACCCGCAUACACUAACCUAUAGGGCGGAUUGGGUUUAUGCGGUUUCUUACCAUCUAACAAAAUAAAAACAAACAAGAAAAAUAAAAUUGAAGAAUGCUUCAUCACUGCCGAUCUCUCAACUACAAAAACUCUCAAAAUCGAUCUGUCCACCAACAAAAACGGCCGGCCAGCUUUGCUCCAUCGCCACCACGCUAGCUUACUUUGCCGCAAGACACCUCAACUCCACCACCAUCGUGUCGCAUGAAGCACAGCUCCACCACCACUGUGCCAUCCGACAUCACAGCCCGUCAACUAUUGCACUACGCGAUCUGCCUUCGUCACCACUGCACGACACCAGCUGAUUGUGACUUACUAACUGAACGGCAGGAAAUGUUGUCACCAAAGAGACGAGCCAUUCCUCUUCAGGUUCAACGUUCGAGACUUUCUAGCUUUGCAAUCAGUUUCUGUCUGUUUCCUGGGAAAUUUAAGCUUAACCCACUAUUCUAAUCUUGAAUGCCCUGUGAUUGAAGUAAUUACAGUGUUAGAUUUUUAAAUGAUUCCAACUUUGUCAUCCUCGUCAGCUUAAGCUUCAAUAGCAAUACUAAUUUGAUUAAACACUAAUUGAACUGUCAGAUUUAAUCUCUCUUCUUCUUCUUCUUCUUGUUCUUCUUUUUUUUUUUAAGUUUGGCUGUAAUCGAAUUUCGUAGCAAUUUCUUUGUGUUAACUGACAAAAGCAUUUUGGGAUGGAGGCUUUGAGUCUAUCGGGGUUAUGGAUUUGGUGUCAUCGGAAGCAUGGGAAACAGGAAGGCUGAAGAAGUGCAUUUGAUUGGAUGUUUCUGGAACCCUUUUUUGAGUAAUACUAGAACCUAGUUUAAACAAUCUAUACGCACUUUGCUGUUUCAUGUGACUUGUACCCAAAAAUUCCAAGAAUUUGAAUUAUGUUCCAAUUUUGACUACUGUUCUUGGCUUGGGAAACAAUAGUACAACAACACUCCUUGUGAUUUUUUUGCAAGUUUGUCUUGCUUUCCUGAGUCCCUCCAAACUGGUUUCCGGAGAAUUGUUCUCAAUUAACUUAAACUUUGUUAAUCCGCAAGUUAGAAUGUCAGUAAUGACUAGCCCAUUAGCUACUCGUGUAGACUAUGUAAAUAUUUGCAUAUAUAGAUUUGCGUCGUCAUGCAUGCAAAAAUGCAAUUGUGGAUUGGGUCCAUUUAUACACAUCAAAUGUUGAAAUUUAACAGUUAUUUUUGAGAAAAACAUUCUAGAAUAGCCCAAUUCUCUGACUUUACUGGAAUUAAUGUUUGGUUCUGCAACAGACCUUGUGGUACUUCCAGACCGAGGUCUUUUGUUAAAACAUCAGUGAUUUCAAUAAAUCAAACUCUGAACAAUUUUGCAAGUUCAGCUUAGGCACUACCAAAGUUUUUUCAAAUAUUUUCAUUUGCCGGCUAUACUUGAAUUAUAAAACAUAUGUGAAGUUUUAGUAUAGAGGCACAGGGCUUUGACAUUUUAAAAUUUGAUGGGAAAUCUCAAAAGAUUAAAGAAAAAAAACAAAAAAUAAAAGACUAUACAUUUGCAUUUACUGGACUGCAAUCUUAAGAACAACAUUUCCUUUGGUUGCUGGCAGAUGACCACACCACUGCGCGACACCAGUGCUUCUUCUCCUAGAUUAUGUUUUCUUUUGGAUCCAAUAAAGUUGAAGCUGUCUAGAGAGAUAGAGAGAGAGAGAAGAGCUUCUUUGAAGAGGGUAUCGAGUAAGGGAGAAGGAGGUGAAAUGAGGCAAUAUAAAAAUGGAAAGCAAAAGCACCAGACCUAGAACAAAGCCUCUCCAAACGCGCCCACUAAAAUUAUUGCUUGGAAACGGUCACUGGAGUGUGGAAAUGAGAGGCGUGCCUAUGAGAAAGUUGUGAGCUGUCUUUGAACUUUGGACUGAGAAGAAAAAGGAAGUGAAUUUCUCCUUCAGUGCAUCUGAUUUUAAUACUACUUUUGUUUUUGUUUUCUCUUUUUUUAAAAAUAAAAAAUCAAUGAAUUGUGUAUAAUUUCAUUUUACAUAGCUAGCCGGCCACUUUCUAAAAAAUGUACAAUCACCGUUCGUAAGGCAAGAACAUUCACUCUAUUCCUCAAAAAUGUACAACUACCAUUCAUAAGGCAAGAAAAUUCACUCUCUUUAUUUAAUCCACACAAUUUAUCCAACGUUAAUAGAAUAGAAUGAAGUUUUGAUGUUUCUGCUUUUGCUUUAAAGGAUUAAUUCCUCUGAUGAUCAAUUAAGGCGUUGCAGUGCCCGUACAAAAUUGACGAACUAAUGAUGAUACUACAGGGGAACAACAUUAAUUCUUAAGUUCCUUGCCUCAAUGGACAAAAAAAAAUCUUUGUUGUUUUGGGGAAUUCUUUUGAGCGUUUUAAAAAACUGAAUUUGUAGCUGAUUUCCUAUCAAUUGAGAUAAGCACAAUUAAGUUUAACUGUAUAUGUAUAAUGUUGAUCUGGUUCACGAUCUUGGACUUUAUUAAAGUCAAAGAAAGUUAUUAAACCGCAUCUGACAGCUUUCCCAAACUUUUACAAAGUCUAAGAUCCUAGAUUUGAACACACAUGUAAAAUAUUUAGUUAAUUUAUCUCAUAAGAUGUCUGCAUGAAAUAAAUUGGGGUUUUGAUAAAGCCAUAAAAUGUUGAAUCCAUACUUUAUUUUGUACUAAUUUAUGUACUUAAAAUUUUUCGUCUAAAGUUAUACCAUAUUGUUUGAACAAAAAAGGGUCCAACUAUAAUGCAGCGGUGGUUUCAUACCCAUUUUUUUUUUGUCUUUUUGUGAUCCCAUCAUUGGAUCCAAUCCAAGAGUUGCAAAGGCUAUUCCAACAGCUUGGAUGUUAUUAUUUGGUUAUUAACGAUGUGGUCUCUUAUGUUUAUUAAAAGAAUACGAAAAGAUUAAGUUUCAAAAUUUUGACACAUUGAUCCGUUAAAAUAUUUUAUUAUCAAAGGUAAUUUAGUAAAUAAACAUAUUUAUAUAUUAAAAAUAUGGAUAGAUUAUUUUAACUUGCUAAAAUACUCUCCACUUCCAUUUACUUAAAAUACCAAUUAGAUUUUUAAUAAAUUUUGACAAUAUUAAAAUGAAAAAUAAAUAAAUAAUAAAUAAAUGUCUGGAUAGUCAUUUAAAUUCAUUAUAGAGUUUAUAAAUAAUAUUUUCAAAAUAAUAAAUUUCCAUAUUUAAAUUUGAGAUUAUGUAAAAUUACUUAUACUUUAUCACACGUAUGAAGCUAAUAAUUAAUUAUAUUUUCAAAAUAAUCAAUUAUUUGUUUAAUAUGAAAACAAAUACAUUGUAUAAUAUUGAUUCUAUUACUUAAAUUUAAAAUUAUAAAGAAUGAAACUUAAAUUUAAAAUUGGUUGAGAAGGAGAAAGAGAGAAUAAAUUUUUUAGAAAUUUGAAAUAAUUAUAUUUUAAUUGGGUUUAUUACAUAAAAUUAUUAAAACUUAUAGUUUUUAUUAUUUACAGAAAACAAUAUGAAUUGUUGAAGAAAAUGCCAAAUAAAUUUUUUAGAAUUUUGAAAUUAUUAAUUUUAACUGGGGCUUAUUGUAUAAAUUUUUAAAACUUAUAGUUUUUAUUAUUUACAAAAAACUACAGAUACUGCUAAUGAAAAUACCAAAAUGGUGUUUGGUACAAUGGGGGUAAGAUAGUUUUGCCCAUCAAAAAGGAUCCCUUUAAAUAGAGCUAUUUCAACAUUCAAGCAUUAUUUAUUUUCCUUUUUUAUAAUAAAAUAAAAGAGAGAGAGAGAGAGAAAGAAGAAUUUAAUCCUUAUCCCUUUUUAGAGUGAUUUCCAUAGCAAAUAAUUUCAAGCACUAUAAAAUCACACUGGCUAUAAAUAUACAUUCAAAUUCAAUUAAUUUAUAUAUGAUUGAUAUAUUCCUAUACUUUUCUUUAGAUUUAUAAGUAGCAUUUUAGUGUUUGAAUUAAAUGAAUCAAUGUAAUUGAAUUAUUAUACGACGGUUCCGGAAUAAGAGAGAAAUUUCAAUCACGGACAUAAUAUAAGAUCGAGAAUUAUUGAUUAGGUUAAUAAUCCAUAGUAAAAUUUUUUGACAAGUUUACAUAAAAUACUACUGAGAUUUCUUGACCAUGCAACCGACUUUGAGUCGUGUCAUUAACACGUUAACAUUACCUCCUUACAUGUACAGUGAUUGAUGACCUAGUUAGAAAUAAUAAUCCUAUCUUUUGACUAAUUGAAUUCCACCUUGAGCUACAGAAUGAUCCACUGUAAGAUCUUUGGCACGUCAAGUCUAUCUAGGAAAUAGGAAUUAAACUAGUUGGUCUAAUUAUAUUGGGUUUAAUGAAGAUCUGGAAGCAUACAAGGAGUUAUUUAGGAAGUAAACUAAUGGAGACCUGCCAGCUUGGAUUGCAGAGAUCAAGUAUAAUGGACAAGGCUGAUUUGUGAAGAUUGCAUGCUAAUUAGUAUUGCAUGCAAAUCAUAAUUUGCAUGCUUGCUUGCAGUCUAAGAAUUGGUAACUUGAUCGCUAUUGUUUGAGGGAAAAAUAGAAAAGGCAAUAGAGCGCCAUGUGUCAACCAAUGGAAUAAUUCCUGCACAAUUUGAGGUACCCCGCACAAAUAGAGGUACCCCACACAAAUAGAGGUAUCCCACACAAUUAGAGGUACCCCAUGUAAAUAGAGGUAUCUCAUAUAAAUAGAGGUACCCCACACAAAUAGAGGUACCCCGUACAAUUAGAGGUAUCCCACGUAACUCGAGGUACCUCCAAAAAUAUUCGCCAUGAGAAACGUCUCCGCCUCCUAAAAAAUAUUAUUCGAUUUUGUCAGAAUUAAGAAUAAAAAAUGACGCCCUAAAAGGAGGGACAGCUGCCUGCGACCUCUGCCAAAAGUGAAGGACACUGUCCCAAGGACAGUGGUCCCCAACCGCCUACCCGACAGCUAAUGCAGAGGUACCCUGGACCACUCUCCAGCGCGCGCCACGUUUCCAAAGAAUGAGAUACGCCGCGAACAUGCAGAUAACGGCCCAAAAAAAUUAUAAAGAGGUAAAAGGACGUUAGCCAAAAAAGGGUACGCCACGUGGCAGCUGAGGUACUCCAUAUAUAAAGGCGCCUAGGUUUCAUUCUCCAUCAUGCUCUCAUUCGCCCAAAAAAACACUCACACUCGAAAAAAUAGGUUUUCUUCAACCUUAAACUCUAAUUUACAGAGGACUAGCCAGCUCUCUUUACCAUAAAAGCUUGAGUUUGCUAACUUGAGCGUCAGAGUGUGAACGCCGGGGUACCCCGACUUCACCUCUAACCUCUAUUUCACUGUUUUGCAGGCGUGAAGCUCAUUUUGAGGGACACCUCUCUUGUUUGUGACCUUCUACCAUUGUUACCACUCUCUCUCCCCUUCUCACCUCCCCCGGAUUUCAGAUACACCGCCCUACACACAAUAAACUAGUGAGGUACCCCAUCUCCCCCAAAAAUAUAAAUUCAUUGUUUAAGAUAGAUUUUGGAUUUUCCUACCCCAAAAUCAGUUGAAAACAAUUGGCGCCGUCUGUGGGGACACGCACAAAAAGCCUCAUCCACGGUUACCAAACUAGUUGUUGUGUGUACUCUAAUACAUGGCACCCGACGUACCUCCCGAAGGUUUAAUGGGGGAUCCUACAAGGAUGAGAGAUGAUAGCAGCAGUGAGGGUAGUGAUCCCGCAAGAAGGGUAGCCCGCAUCAGCAAGGGCAAGGGUAUCAAGCAAUCGACGGGUGUUCGCCAAGAAGAAGAACCUAUUUCGCACAAGCGUUUUGAGGAUCUUGCCCAUGCAAUACUUAGGGCGGUCGGAUCUCAGGCACCCGAAAGUUCACUUUCACCAGUGAUGCUAGAAGCUCCACCACCUCAAACGAACGACCAAGCUAUGGUCAGAAGAGGGGUACCCGAGGCCAGCAAGCCAAAGCCUAGGCCAUCGGGUACCUGUUCUAAGUUUCAAACCGUGGGCUCCCGCGAUGAGCGUUCCACCGCCUCUUGCAAUUCCCGUAGCAGCUAGGGUACGAGGCGUGCAAAGCGUACCCACGAGGAUCUCCGUGAUAAGUUAAACGCCAAAAGGGCUUCUCAAAUAGCCGCGACAUCAUCGGGUACACCGAGGAUACCCCUCGAACUUGUGGAAAAAAUGGAGAACCUGGAAGCCCAAGUGAAGCUCCUCUCCGAGAAACAAAACAUCACAGCUGCUCCAAUGCCAAUGACCUACCAAUCGCCAUUCACUAUGGAGAUUCGGACAGCAGCUCUCCCCGAGGCGUUCGCCAUGCCUCAGAUACCCCAAUACUCGGGUACCACUGACCCCUCGGAGCAUGCUGAGUUAUACCGCGACCAAAUGCUUAUCAAGGGUGUAGAUGAGAGCGCCAUGUGUAGAAUGUUUACACACACACUCACGGGCCCCGCAGAGUCAUGGUUUCGCUCUUUGAAAGCGGGUAGCAUAUCUUCCCUACACCAAUUGUUAUCCGAAUUUACUAAAGAGUUUUCCUACGCUUCCACUCAAGAUAGGGUAGCCUCCAAACUUGCCUUUAUCAAGCAACCUUUAUCAAGCAAGGGGAAGCCAAGCCUUUGGCGGAGUAUGUAAGUCGUUUCCACCAAGAGGUGCUGCGAACCGGAGCAUUUGGAAACCAAUACACAUUGACCCAUUUUGAGAAAACUUUACGGUUGGGCAAGUUAUGGCGUUCUUUUCAAAAGAAGCACCCACUUUCAUAUGGGGAAGCCCGUUCCCGGGCGUUGCAGCAAGUGGAGAUGGACGAAAAAUGCCAAUUGAAGCGCCAAGAAGAUAAGGCCGAUGUUACUAAGAACAAGGAGAAGCCUAAGAUGGUGGAGGCCCCAAUACCGCGGGUACCCCGAGCACGAAGCCCUCCACUGGCUGCCCUACAGGGACGAGGGUAUAAGCCUCAGGGUACCUCAAGGGUACCCCAACCUCCAAGAUUUCCACCACUGGAUCAGCGAGAGCCACCACCGAGGCCUCGGUACGAAUCUUACCACCCACUGAAUCAAUCCCCAGAGUAGAUCUUCUACCAUAUUCGGGAUAGCAGCCUCCUCCGUCCUCCUAAGCCAAUGAAGAAAUACCUCAACAUGAAGCGUAGCCUGAAGUAUUGCGAGUUUCAUGAGGACUUUGGUCACAGCACAGCCAAGUGCUUCACUUUGCGAGAGGAAAUUGAAUCUUUGAUUCUCAGCGGGUACCUCAAAGAAUUUGUUGCUGGCAUAAGAGAAACUCAGAAAUCUACGGAACAGGAUAAAGGCAAGCGGGUAGCUGAUGGCAGUCCUGAACGAGAGGUACCCCCUGGACAUAAGAAAGGCGUGUAUGUCCGAAUGAUCAUAAGCGGACCGACUUUAGCGGGCCAAUCUAGGAGGGCUAUCAAAGGCUAUGGUAGAUCGUUGUCGAUAACCACCAAUAUUGGCAGAGAAGUCAACCUUAAUGAAUAGGGUACACCGAAGGUACCCCACCAUCCCCCGCCUACCCUUUUUACAGAAAAAGAUGCGGAGGGCAUCUCGUACCCCCACGACGAUGCCUUCAUAAUUACGUUGAAGGUUGUCACUAGUAAGGUAGCAAGAACUCUCGUAGAUACCGGCAGCUCCGUUGACAUCAUUUUCAAAAGCGCCUUGGAUCAACUAUUGAUUGAGUCGCCAAAGAUCACCCCCUAUGCUACGCCUCUUAUUGGGUUCGCCGGAGAUAUAGUUAUACCAAAAUGCAUCAUUACGCUGCCCGUGACACUUGGUAAGGUACCUCACCGUGUUGUUCAUAUGAUUGAUUUUUUUAUUGUAAAUCGCCCGGGUGCCUACAAUAUUAUAUUGGGUAGGCCGUUUUUAGUAGCAACUAAAGCGGUGGUAUCCAUGCACUACCUCGCCAUGAAAGUCCCGGCCGCUCAAGAAGUGAUCACCAUUAAAGGGGACUAGCAAUCGGCUCGUGGAUGUUACUCCGUGGCCUCCAAAGUCACUUAUCAAAUAGCUUCUGAUUCGCCAAUGAAGGGGUACCCCAGUGGCAGCCAGCUCACACCUUCCCCCUCAAAGCGAGCACUUGCUAGACAACAGAGAGUAGUACUCAAAAAAUCUCCUCAGGUAGCCCACCCACGAAAACAGUUGGAGCCUUCACCAAGGGCGGUAGAAGCCGUUACGGGGAAUAGCUCGAGGGUACCCCACGAGGACCAGGAGGAGCCCAAAUGUGAAGUUAAGGCACCUUUGGAUCCCCGAAUAUUGAAAGAUAAAAAGCGAGGUACGCCAGUUGAAGACCUUAUUUCAGUCUCGAUUUGCGCCACAGACCCAACAAAGACCGUGAAAGUAGGCUCCAAUCUUUCGAAGGAACAAAUAGAGAGGCUCAUAACCUUCCUACGCGAGCACCACGACGUAUUUGCCUGGUCCCACUCGGAUAUGCCAGGUAUCCCACCUUCUCUCUUUUGUCAUAAACUCAAUGUCAGCCCGCAUUAUAAACCGAUCAAACAAAAGCAUCGUACCUUCAACCAAGAAAGGUACGAUGCAAUUGAACAAGAGCCAGACCGCCUAUUCGCAGCGAGGUUUAUCCGGGAAGCAGUGUACCCCGAUUGGAUAUCCAACGUUGUUCUUGUCAAGAAAUCAAAUGGAAAGUGGCGUAUGUGCGUAGACUUCACCGAUUUGAACAAGUCCUGCCCCAAGGAUAACUUCUCGCUUCCCCGGGUGGACUAGCUGGUUGAUGCAACAGCGGGGCAUGAGAUGUUUAGCUUUAUGGACGCCUUCUCCGAUUACAACCAAAUCCCAAUGUAUGAACCCGAUCAAGAAAAAACGGCCUUCAUCACCAACCGUGGGUUAUACUAUUAUAAGGUUAUGUUGUUUGGUUUGAAGAAUGUUGGGGCUACCUAUCAGUGGCUAGUGAACAAAAUUUUCAAAUCGGUGCAUGCGGGGGAAUACCUGGGGCACCUCAGAGAUACCUUUACCGUUUUGAGAAGACACCAGAUGCGGCUUAACCCUGAAAAAUGUGCAUUCGGGGUCACUUUGGGAAAGUUUAUCGGGUUCAUGGUACAACAACAGGGGAUUGAAGCUAACCCCGAUAAAAUUCGGGCAGUUCUUGACAUGAAAUCGCCAAGCACCAUCAAGAAGGUUCAAAGCUUGGUAGGCCGAGUAGCUACCCUGAGCCGCUUUAUCUCCAAGGCUACCGAUCGGUGUAAGCCUUUUUUCAAAGUUUUUAAGACCGGUAAAAAGUUCCGAUGGACACCUGAUUGCGAAGAGGCUUUCCAAGAACUGAAGGGGUACCUCGUGAAUGCUCUACUACUUGCCAAACUUGAGCCGGGAGAGGUGUUUCUGUUGUAUCUCGCCGUAUCCGAGCACGCCACCAGCUCUGUGUUACUCCAAGAGGAUGAUAAUGGGGUACAACGACCUAUUUACUACACUAGUAAGGUUAUGGUUGAUGCCGAAAAGAGGUACCCCACCUCUGAGAAGAUCAUUUUGGCAUUGGUCGUCUCCGCACGGAAGCUCAGACUAUAUUUUCAGGCUCACACCAUUGCAGUCGUCACCAACCUUCCCCUCCGGCAAAUCCUCCAGAAGUUAGACAUGUCUGGAAGGCUUCUCCGAUAGUCCCUCGAAUUAAGCGAUUUCGACAUUAUCUUCAAGCCUCGUUCGGCGAUUAAAGCCCAGGACAUCGCUGAUUUCAUCGCGGAAUUCGCCAAUGACUCAAGUGGUAAAGGUGAUUUGAGAUACCUGUUAGAUACCCCACCCACCGAUGAAGAGGAGCAGGUCUGGAAAAUAUAUGUGGAUGGUUCCUCUAACUCACACAGAAGUGGCGCGGGAGUUAUUAUAAUCGACCCGAACAAAGUGAAAAUAUGCUACGCCCUACAAUUCGGAUUCAAGGCCUCAAACAACGAAGCCGAGUACGAGGCAAUCAUAGCGGGGUUGAGGAUGUCGAAGGCUUUGGGAGCAAACAUGGUACACGUAAAGAGUGACUCACAGUUGGUGGUAAGCCGGAUUACCGCACAAUAUCAAGCGAAAGAGGAAAACAUGAAGGGGUACCUCGGAAAAACCAGAGAGUUGAUGUCCUAAUUUUGCGAGGUUAAGGUGGAAAGGGUACCCCAACUGGAGAACAGCGAAGCCGACACCUUGGCAAAAAUGGCAUCCCUUGGGGUAGCUCAGUCAUUUGGCCCCAUCACAACAGAAUACAUACCUGAACCUAGUGUUGGUCUCCCAGAGUCAUUGGAAGUAGGAUCACUGUCCAACAAGGUGCUUUGGAUGGAGCCUAUCAUAAGGUACCUCAAGGACGGAGACCUCCCCUCAGAUAAAAGUGAAGCAAGAAGACUAAAGUACAAAGCCGUUCAGUACUGCCUGAUCCAGGAUACCCUAUACAGAAGAGGGUUCACUCUUCUUUACCUUAAAUGCUUGGGAAGCGACGAUACCGAGUAUCUCAUGAGGGAGAUACAUGAGGGGAUUUGUGGCAAUCACUAUGGAGCACAAUCACUGGCGCAAAAAGCUCUCCGUCAGGGGUACUAUUGGCCAACCAUGUGGGAAGAUGCCAAGAAUAUGGUACGAAGUUGUGACAAAUGCCAAAGGUUCGCUAGGGUACCCCAUCUACCCCUAGAGAAGCUAACAAUUAUAUCUUCCCCUUGGCCCUUCGCUAUGUGGGGAGUGGACCUCAUUGGCCCGUUACCUACCGGGAGGGGGCAAGCAAAAUAUGCAAUCGUGGCGGUAGAUUAUUUCACAAAGUGGGCGGAAGCGGAGCCGCUAACAAGCAUCACAGAAAGGAAAACCACAGAAUUCAUUUGGAAGAACCUCAUUUGCAGAUUUGGGAUCCCCUAUGCAAUUGUCAGUGAUAACGACAAGCAAUUCGAUAAUGAAAAAUUUCUAAGCUUUUGUUCGGAGCUGGGAUAGACAACCGAUUUGCUACACCUACCCAUCCACAAUCUAAUGGGCAAGUCAAAGCGGUUAACAAGAUUAUUAAAGGUAUCCUGAAGAAGAAGCUAGAAGAAAGAAAGGGAGCAUGGGUAGACGAGCUACCUAGGGUACUGUGGGCGUACCGGACUACUCAAAACACCUCCACCAGGGAGACCCCGUUUUCCCUCGCAUUCGAUGUUGACGCAGUGAUUCCAGCAGAAAUCGGGGUACCCUCUCACAGAGUUGAAUACUUUGAUGAGGCCGAGAACACCUCAUUGGUUGCUUCAGACCUUGAUUUGGUGGCUAAAAAAAGGGCAAGAGCAGAAUUGAGGACAGCCAUAUAUCAGCAUCACAUUUUGGGUCUAUAUGAAAAAAGAGUACGCCAUCGAUCCUUCAAGAAAGGAGACUUGGUCUUGAGAAGGGUAACUCAGAACACUAAGGUACCCUGCGAAGGUGCUUUUGGGGCAAAUUGGGAAGGACCUUACCGCAUCGACAAACACGUUGGGUCAGGUGCAUACAGGCUACUCCACAUGGAUGAGACAAUCGUGAGGCACCCUUGGAAUGCUGCAAUGCACGGAAAUAUUUCUCCUUUAUUUUUCGUCACUUCGAUCUUAGAAUGCGGAUUAUGUUCAUUUAUCGCCAUUAAUAUACCCUUGCAUCUGGUUAUAUGCAAUUCUCACCAUAUGCUUGUCAAUUAUGAUUAACCUAUCACAAGACCAAUCAGGGUACCUGAUAUGCCUAGAUCGUGACGAUCUAUGUAAAACCAAGAUGGGCAACGAAGUGAACAUCCCAGGGGUAGUCUUUCUGCGGAAGCAUGGCAAAACUACCUAGACAAAGAGAGGGAGGGUCAAAAAGGACCCGAGGGUGAAGAAAAACCGGCAUACCCUAGCGACACAAGGUUCGGCUUAGGUGUGAGAACACCCACACCUCUGUCCUCGUACUUUUGCAAAGUAUGGGGUAAGCUAUUCAAAAAAUUCGAAGAGAACUUCGAAAGAAUAAGAAAGUGAUUGGUUGGACCAAUUGCGCUUUCAGCGUUUGAUCGAGAUGUCGCGAUGAUGUUUUGAUUACCUAUUUGUGGGGAAUCCGUCAUAGUUUCCAAGAAAGACAUACACCAAAUUUGUGGGGAAUUCGCUUGAUGUCGAAUAUUUGUUAAGGUACCGGGGGUACCCCAUUUCAAAAAAAAAAUGAGAGGUACCCUAAGAAUUUGCAAGAUAACAGUUUAGCCAAGCAUUCAUUUGCAGAAUAACAAGCAUGCAAAGUACAAGAUGACUCGAUGGCAUGGUAUCAUAACAAAAGAGAAGUCCCAAUAAUACAAAAUAUCCUAAGAAGCCGAAAAAGAAACUAGGUCCAAAUAACAAAAUGUGGAUAGAUAAAAAAAAAAUAAGAAUACAGUGAAAAGGUUACAUCGAGUGGGGAACACCAUCCCCGACAUCCGUCUCCAGAGGGCGAUCAGCAGAGGACUCCGAGGUACCCGGAAUAUGAGCAGCUGAAGUGGGGGCAUCCGAGGCAGGCAACAACUGAAGCGCAUAGGGUACCCUAGGCGACCCGGAAGGGGUACCCGACUGUGCCUGGGAAGACUUCUUCCUCUCUGCAAUUGUCUUCAGAAUCGUAGCCUUGUUGACAAAUUUCUGCACGCGGGAUACCUCCAGUUCUGGAUCCACACUCCACACCUCCGUCAUGAUGAGUGAGAAUGCAUCCUCUGCCAUCGUCUUUUGUCGUGAUAGCAGAUCCCCGUUGGUGGACCUCAACUCCUCACAGUCUUUCUCCACCCGAGCUUUCUCUCCCGACAGGCCAGUGUUGAGUGUUAGAAAAUGCAUAUUUAUAAAGGAGAAAACCGUCAUUUUACAUUUCAAGUCUUACUAACAACCCUUACUUUUAUGUAUUUAACAUUCUUGUGAUUUAAUUACGUGCGUUUUAUUUUAAUUAAGUAAUUUAUGUAUUUUAGGGGCAUUAUAGUCAUUUCACAAUAAAGGAGAGAUCAGACGGCAAAACGGACAUCACUUUUGAACUCAGGACGGUUGAAAACCUUAGGAGGAGCAUGAAAGGAAAAAUGACACUAUUCACAUGUACGGUACUAUUCACGUAUACGGGACUGUAUACGUUACUGUUCACGGCACUAUUCACAUAGACGGAUCGAUGACGUGGCAUUGACCGAUGAUGUGGCAUUGACUGAUGAGGUGUCACAAUCCUGUUGGACUAAAAUUCUUAUGUACUGUUGAUGGUGACGUGGCAGCAUAUUAGUAGACGAAAAAUCUCGCGUACGGUGCAUGCAUCACACAGGAUUAUUUUCAACCAAACCGCGUUACUGUUCAUCCGGGUCAAACCGCGUUACUGUUCAUCCGGGUCAAACCGUGUUACUGUUCAUCCGCGUGGUCAAACCGUGGACUGUUGACUGAUGACGUGGCGCAAUCCUGAGCGUCCAAACUGUUUUUAAUCCGAUGGCCAUGAUUUACUCCAUGUAUCUAUAAAAAGGGGGCCUCUCCCCCCUAAUUUGAUAUCUCUGAAUCCAUUUUUGGAAUCCAAUUUCUGUAAUUCUCUCUCCAUCUUGUAUUUUCUUCGUAUUUUAAUAAAUUCCCAUUUUACCCCUAGUUCAAUUAUGAGUGGCUAAUUUUCUUUCAAGCCUGGGUUGAAGGUGAAGUCUCAACAUGUGUCAUGGGCUUUAUUUGGUAAAUUUAUUUUCUCUUCCCCUCUAGUUUUUGUGGAUAUUUUGACUUCUCGUCGACAAAUAAUACUAAUCUUGUCUAGUACCGCCUUGGUUUCACCAGCCCUCUAGUACAAGGUUAUUAUUAUUUGGCACGAUAAGCCCUUAGCACCAUAUUGAUUAGAGCGUUGUUCAUGAGGUGUGGAUUCCCCCCUUAUGAUUUAAUUGGUAUUAAUACGGAUUAUUUAGCCCAUGAUACAUGUUGAUACGGAUCCAGAUACCCAAGUACGUCAUUUUAAUAGAAUUCUCUUCAAUUUAUUCUUGCCAUUUCAAUUCCAAUUUUAGAAUUUAUUCUCGCCAUUUUAAUUUAAGUUUUAGCAUAUUCCAAAUCACUUCCACCAUAAAUCCAACCACUUAUUUACAAAAUUAAUUCUACACAUAAUUAAAAUCCACCUCCUCGUGGGAUCGACACUCGUCACCAUUGAUCUAUACUACAAUAGAUUCGUGCGCUUGCGAGUACAUUAAAAUUUACACAACAGCCAGCAAUGCGUUCUUGUAAGGCUUUAACUUCUUGUGCAAGCUGAUCCUCGCGAGAUUGAUGGCUUUGAAGCUCACUCCUUAACUUAUCGACCUCUGACUGAGCGGCAACAAGGGAGUCGAGGUCGGGAAGGCAGUGGCUAAGGAGAAAGGAUGCCUGCGGGUCAUGAAAGACAUGUUAAAUAUAUGUUCAUGGCAAUAUGAUUAAAUAAGUAAAAAAAAAUGAUGAAGGGUACACCCGGGGUACCCCAAGAAAGCCUACCUCUUAGGUAGCCCUAAGUACUUGACCAUAGCGCUGACUCAAACUCAUCUUGUCAACCUCUUUAGCAACCUCGGAGGUGACAUUUUCAGCAGAGUAGUAAAAACAGCGAGCCAAGUGCGAAACCUCCUUGUUGGCAGCUUGGUUUAGGUCACCUUUACGUAACUCAUCGGGAAAGCAGAAACCAGCCCGAAUUUUCUUUUCCUCGAGCGAGGGUUACCCUUCGACCCGCUGUGGGAGCCACCCUGGGAUUUCCCCUUUAGAGCAGGAGCUCAAGGAGGUCGGGAACCUUUUGGGGGCACCGCCGAAUCCAAAGAUCCGGAAGCACCUCCCACUACCGCUUGAAAAAAGGCGUCAAAAGCGUCACCCGUCGAUUCCAUAACUACACCCAAUGCACAAAAGUUGUAUUAGCCGGACAAGUACUAAGUACUACAAAAGCAAAAAUGGAAAAUGAAAAGCGAGGAAGCAAAAUAAAGAUGCGGUGAUAACGGGGUACCCCAGUCCCGUAGAUAAUAAUAGGGUCCCCUUCGACACCCGAAUCAUACAUGAGUCACCCCCAGGAGCAGGUGGAGGACUUCGGUCAAUCAGCCCCGCUCUCCAUAAUCUACUCUCCUCCAGCACAUCACUAUCCCUCUGUGCACCUCGAAGCCUAUCCACAAACUUCUUCACCUCUCUCCCCACCUCCUAAACUGGGCAUGAUCCUUUAGCCCUUGUCACACCUGCAAAAGCUGAAAGAACCCAAAGUUAGCGAGACAUUGAGGCGAAAGACUUCGAUAAAGAACCGUAAGUAAGGGAGAUACUUACAGUCUACAUUGAAGGAAUAAGGAACCUCCAGGGGGUUGCCCUUUUUCACCCAAAGUCUCUGUCCCCCACCUACCCUCAGCAACGAACCAUCCCUUUCGAUAACCCUUCUUCAAGGCAGGGCUCCCCUCAACAAUAUGAUCAUGAUCACCCCGAGGGGAGAAGUAAGUAAUACCGGGACCCUUAGACUUUUUGAAUUGGUAAAGGCCCCUCAACUCCCGAACAGAAAUGUCGCGCUUCAAGACCUCCAACCAUAACACAUGUAAGCCCGUAAGCGUCCUCCACCCCGAAAGGGACAGCUGCCCAAGAGCUACCCCCAAGUAACUAAACAUUCUCAUAUAAAAAUGUUGGAGGGGCAGGCGGAGUCCUAGAUCAAAUAGGUCAAUAUGGAGAGCAAUCCCAUCAGACUUCGGACACUCAGGUCGCUCAUCCACGUGGGGUAUCCUAAGCUGAACAGAGGGAGGAAUAGUGUAUUUGGCUCUAAUUAAGUCCCCCAAGGUAGCGUUCCUCGUGCCUAGGAAAAAAAGGUUGCCAGAUUUUGAAGGUGUGGCAGAGGGAGAUUUAAGAGGGUGGUCUGAGGAACGAGCUGGAACCUUAGGCUUGGUUGACUUACCCUUCUUUCGAGGAUGGAGGGUAGGCCGUUUACUAGGAAAGCGUGGGCUGACACGAGGGGUACUCCUAGGGGGAGGGGGCUCAGAACGAGAAUUACAACUCCUAGAGGAACUAGGGGGGACCGAUCCCCCUCGCUAAUGGAGAUGUGGGAAGGGGAACCCGCAAGAGAGCUGUCAACCCUAUUAGCCCCAACUGCACGUCGCUUCUUCACGGGUCCCACGUGUUUCUUACCCAUCUACUUUCCCCCAACAACAUAUCUACAAGUCCCCAACAAUACACCCAACAAUACAUCCAACGAGCCACAAGUUCCCCAAACAACACAUCCACAAGCCCCCAACAACACAUCCAACAAGCCACAUGUUUCCCAAACAGCAACAUAUUCAUACCAAGCACCACCCACCACACGUCAACCACCAAAUGCAAACACCAACCAACAAAAAAAAAACAAACAAAAACAAAAAUAAAUUUUUCUCAGAGUAUGCAAAAUAGCGCCACUGUGAAUGCGCCAAAGGAGGAGAAGCAAGGAGGGAUACCUGUGAUUCACCAAUUCGACAGAUCGAGAUUGAUAAUCGCAGCGAGACGAAGCUGCAGGCAACCAAAAAUAGUGGGUAAAAAUAUGCAAGUGUAAAAAUAAAAAUAAACUUAAAUAUAUAUAGUUAUUUAUAAAUAAAUGAAUAAAUAAAAUGAAGAACGAAGAAGCUGCAGCAACCAGCGUUGGCUGUCAUGGCUGCAACCACCGAGAACCGACGCCGGAGAUCACGAGAACGACGCCGGAAAAACGCUGCCGAGAACAAAAAAAGAAAAACCGAGAAGCUGCAGCCACCAGGGAGAAUGACGCCAGAAAAAUGCAAAGGAGGACGCCGGAGGAUGCCGACCGAAACCAAAAAAAAAAACAAAAAGAAGAAGAGAAAAAUUGAGAAGCUGCAGCCACCAAAACAACGCCAGAAAUCUCCAAGAAAAAACGCCUGCCGAAACAAGAAAGAAAGAUGAAAAAGAAAGAAGAAAAAGAGAGAAGAAAAGGAGAAAGAAGAGAGAGAAAGCGAGAUAAAAUGAAGACACAAGGAGGGAGGUUUACCGUGUGUAUCACCGGACCGAGAUCUCGCCGUGAGCCGCCGGAAAAUCGCCUUUAACCGACCAGAUCUGGAGCCCAAAACCGCCACUGCAGCAGCCGAGAUCCACGCCAGAAAACGCACCAGAUCAACGUCGACCGAGAGAGAAAGAGAAAAAAGAAAGAAAGAAAAGGAAGAAAGAAAAAAGGGAAAGAAGAAAGAAGAAAAAAAAAUGGAAAAAGAAGAGAAAAUGGGAAAGAAAGAAAACGGAAGGAGAAGGAAAUAAAAGAAAAAGAGGGAAGAAAGAAUAAAGCUUAGGGGAAGAUGAACGAAAGUUUAAAAAAAAGAGUAAAGAAAAAAAAAAUUUUACCUGUGAUAAAGUUUUUGCAGUUAGAAGAUGAGACGAAAUUAUGAAAGAAAAAGGCUACUGGAAAUAAUCAAAUUUUUUGGAGAUCGUUUGGGGAUUUUCAAAAUAAAUGAGAGAAGAUUGACACAUGUCAGGAGUUUUAAUUCAACCUGACAGAACACGCUGCCCAAGAAAGGAAUUCAGGGAUGUUUGUGUGAGAUUGGUAUUUUCAAAAUUCAAACUACAUGUCAGACGGCUGCCACUUCCCAAGAAAAAGGAGAGAGACACAUGAAGAAAAUUGUUCGUUCUCAUCGCCAAAAAAUAAAAAAGCGGGAAAAGGAAAAGACAAAGAGAAAAUUUUUAGUUUGAAGUACACAAAGUUUAGUCAAAGGAAGAAGCUAAGCAAGGUACCCUCUGGUCCAGCAGCGUCGCAACGUGUCACUCAUACAAUGAGUUUCUUUUGCCUCCAAUACUUCUCGCCAAAAAGAAACUAGGGGGAUGUUGUUUGAGGGAAAAAUAGAAAAGGCAAUAGAGCCCCACGUGUCAACCAAUGGAAUGAUUCCGGCACAAUUUGAGGUACCCCGCAUGAUUAGAGGUACCCUGCACAAAUAGAGGUACCCCACACAAAUAGAGGUAUCCCACACAAUUAGAGGUACCCCAUGUAAAUAGAGGUAUUCCAUAUAAAUAGAGGUACCCCACACAAAUAGAGGUACCCCGUACAAUUAGAGGUACCCCACGUAACUCGAGGUACUUCCGAAAAUAUCCGCCAUGAGAAACGUCACCGCCUCCUAAAAGAUAUUAUUCGAUUUUGUCAGAAUUAAGAAUAAAAAACGGGGCAAAAGCUUGUUUAGUCCCUAUAUUAUGAGGUUAAUGUCCAUUUAGUCCCUGUAUUUUUACAAACACCUUAAAACGUCCCUGCUACUAAAUAUUGACACUCAUGCCAUUAUUUUUUAUUAUUUUUAACUUGUUUUUACAAUAUUACACUUUUACAAUAAUGUUUCUUUUUUGGAUAUUAAUAAAAAAUUAAAUUAUCAAAUUAAACUCAAAAAUAAAAUAAAAACAAAAAAGGUAUAUAUUAAUUUUUGUGGAAGCUCACAUAUGUCUAAAAAAUUACAUUAUCAUUUUUUUUAGAAAAAUUAAUAUUUUAACUCAAGAGUGUGUUCCACAAAAAUUAAUAUAUAUUUUUUAUUUUAUUUUAUUUUUUGGUGUUAAACUGGUAAAUUAUUUUUUUCUUUUUAAUAAUUUCUAAAAAAAUUAUUAUAAAAGGGCAAUUUAUAAAAAUAAGUUAAAAGGAACAAAAGAUAAUGGCAAAAGUGUCAAUAAUUUAAUGGUAGGGAUGAUUUGAGGUAUUUUAAAAAAUAUAAGGACUAAACGGAUACUAACUUCAAAAUAUAAGGACUAAACGAGCUUUUACCCAUAAAAAACGACACCCUAAAAGGAGGGACAGCCGCCUGCGACCUCUGCCAAAAGUGAAGGACAAUGUCCCAAGGACAGUGGUCCCCAACCGCCUACUCGACAGCUACUGCAGAGGUACCCUGGACCACUCUCCAGCUCGCGCCACAUUUCCAAAAGAUGAGAUACACCGCGAACAUGCAGAUAACGGCCCAAAAAAUUAUAAAGAGGUAAAAGGACGUUUGCCAAAAAAGGGUACGCCACGUGGCAGCUGAGGUACUCCAUAUAUAAAGGCGCCUAGGUUUCAUUCUCCAUCAUGCUUUCAUUCGCCCAAAAAAACACUCACACUCGAAAAAAUAGGUUUUCUUCAACCUUAAACCCUAAUUUACAGAGGGCUAGCCAGCUCUCUUUACCAUAAAAGCUUGAGUUUGCUAACUUGAGCGUCGGAGUAUGAACGCCGGGGUACCCCGGCUUCACCUCUAACCUCUAUUUCACUGUUUUGCAGGCGUGAAGCUCAUUUUGAGGGACACCUCUCUUGUUUCUGACCUUCCACCAUUGUUACCACUCUCUCUCCCCUUCUCACCUCCUCCGAAUUUCAAAUACACCGCGCCAUACACAAUAAACUAGUGAGGUACCUCAUCUCCCCCAAAAAUAUAAAUUCAUUGUUUAAAAUAGAUUUUGAAUUUUCCUACCCCAAAAUCAGUUGAAAACAGCUAUAUAAAGGACUUACAAUUUGUACUUCAGCGGCUUGAUGAACUAAACCGUAUGCAAGCACAAGCAGUGUGUCAUGAAUUGCGAAUUGAAGAGGAAGCAAUAGUGACAAUCAAUGUUGGGCUUUUUGUCUAAAACAACUAACCCUUUAUGUCUUUCUCAUCCUAACGGACCUAAUCUAUUCUAUAGACACGCUUUAAUAAUUAAUAUCAAAGAAGGAGAUGUCGACUUUGCUAAGCAAGUUUAAUUACCUAAGAUUUAACAGCAUGUGGUGGGACGUGGGAGUUGCAAAUAUAUAAAAAUAUAACCAAUUAUCAUAAUCUUUUUAUAUGUAGUGAAUUAUUUAAUAUGUGGGUGUGAAAAAUUGGGGUUGCAUAAAUCGAGUUUUCCUUUCGAGUUGCAAAAUUCAGCCCAAAUGAAUUUGAAAUUCAAAUUCAAACCAAAUUAAAUUCAGUUUAGUUUUGUAUUAAAUUUCGAUUUGGAUAAAAAAUUCGGGUUUGAAUUUCAGUUCAGAUUGCAAUUCGGAUUACAAAAAAAAAUCCUAAUUCAAUUUUAAAUUCCAGCCCCAGAUUAUUUAAAAAAAAAAACCUGAUGCAAAUGAAAAACAAAAGUCAAAUGAAUACCAAGCAGAUAAGUACUUAAGUCUUAAAACAAAAGUUAGCAAACAACAUAAAAUAAAUAACAUGUACCAAGCUACCGAAGUUACAUCUCCAAAUGACAGAAAACAUAAUAGAUCAAUAAUCCAUCUCCAUCAACACUCAAGACAAUAACACUUACAAUGUUAAGAAACCAAAUCAGCAACAAUUAUCCUCCACCAAUCAAGCAUAAACGGACAGAAAAUGGACAUUUUGUAAAAGGAAACGAUUGACAUAGAGUUUUCGAUACUACUGUUGCCAUUGUGUACUAUAACCGUACAUUAAUAUGUAAUUGCUUCUUAUUCUUGACCCAAAUCAAUGUACGUACCUACUGUUGCAAUCGAAAAUCUUAAUGUUUGAUCUUUCAUACACCACCAUGUUGUUGUUUUUAAAUUAAUUUACCAAAUUUUUUAUAGCAAAAAUUUAUGACGGGUACACACUUUCGAACACUGUUCUGGUUUUGUAUCUUUGAAAAAAAAAAAAGAAGGCAAACAAACCAAUGCCAAGAAUUCAGAGGUUUCGACACAUUAUAAUACAAAUAAAAAUACAAAGACAUACGAAAGGCAAGCGAAGAAUAUAUGAAAACACAAAGACAAACCUACCCGCAAUAAGAAUGAGAUAACAUAAAUGCUACCAGUCUACUCCCACAAACAAAAAGAGAACAGGAAAGGCAAGCCAAGAAUAAAUUUGGUAAUAAGAUCAAUCAAAGCCAAAUAUAUAUUAAACGGCUUAUGAGCUUCAGCAAUCAAACCUUACCUUGCGCGGGAGACAAGGAACGGACGGACGGACGACGGUGGCGGCAGCGACGACAGCAGCUGGAACGAGGCAGAAAAGCCGCUCAAGAACGGCCGGAAGCUGCAGUUGCGGCUGAUCAACCAUUGAUACAGCGCCAGCGCCCCUAAACGGAACGCCCGGACAGCGGCGUCGGAGUUUGUUAGGUUAAUCUUUUUUUUUUGACGUUUUAUAUUUUUUUCCAGGAUUCCUCUAUGAUGCUGUAAUUUUUUUUACAGCAUCAAUAAUGUUUUAAUUGUGCACCAUUGGAUUAAUCUAAUGGUAUACAAUAUUUUUACUAAAGUAAAAAAAUUAAAAACAAUGUUAAACAAUUUGUCAACCGUUCAAGAGGUGGAGAAAUGUUUGUAAAAUAAUUGUGACUACCCUUAGAGUUUAAAGCAAUUUCACUUAAAUAGCAUAUUUUAUUUAUAAUUACUUUUCAACUCUCCUUGAAAUUUGCAUUGUGACAAUUUUUUAUAAAUAAAUUUUCCAAAAUCUAUUACCAAUAAGUAUACAAUAUAAUAUGAGGUAGGUUAUUUAACACAAAUCAUAUAAAUAAAUUGCAAUUGCAAAAUUUAUAUAUGAUAUAACACUAAUAAAUAACACAACUAAGUAUAUAUACUUUAGUAAACGUCAUACUCACAUCAAUAAACUCAUUGGUGAGAUUGCUUGUAAUUUAAAAACUACUUGAUCACUCAUGUUGUAAUAAAAUUUAAAAUCGCAUAUUAAAAUUCUCAUUAUUUUAUAUAAUACUAAGGACCAUUGUAUAAUUGAUCAUGGAGUAUAUAUUAUUUUUAACACCCAUUUAAUGUACCUAUUCUUUGAACUUUUUGUUUAUCUUAUAAUUAAUAUUCUUACAUGAUAGGAAUUUUAAGUUUUACAAGUCUAUAUAUUUUCAUUUUAUUUUCAAAUAUCACUUUGUUUAUUUCAUAAAAGUUAAAUCUAAUAUAUAUUCCUAAUGAGCUUUUGUUUAUGAAUCAUGAAACAUUAUUUUAUUGACAUCUUUUGAUUGUAAUAACAAAAUUUUAUAUUACUAAGAGUUGUUACUUUUAUUAUGGUAAUUACUAGUGACAAUAAAUAAAAUAUUACCUCCAAUAAUAUUUAUGUGGAAAAAUUGGGAAAGAAAAUCUUUUUAUAUUUUUAUUUACAUGGUAGAAAAUUAUCCAAGCCUUAUAAACUUUAAUUUUCACAAGCUUGUUUUCAUUUUAUUUUCAAAUGUCACUUUGUUAAUUUCAUAAAAGUUUAAUCUAACAUAUAUUCCUAAUUAACUUUAAUUUAUGAAUCAUGAAAAAUUAUUUUAUCAUUAUUAUUUUAUUGUAAUUAUAAAAUUUUUAUGUUACUAAGAGCCAUUGCUUUUAUUAUGAUAAGUAAUAGUGACAAUAAAUAAAAUAUUACAUCCAAUAAUAUUUAAUGACAAAAUGAGAAAAAUUAAUUGUAUAUUUUUAUAUUUCCAUUAUAAAGACAUAGUUUAGAAUACUUUAACUUAAAAUUUUGACGCAAUAUUUGAGUCAUUAAUAUCUCAUAGUGUAAUGGUUAAUAUUGAAAGUCAAAGCAUAACUUCAUAAUGUCAUAUCCUCCACCAUUGAAUUGCAUGAAAUUAAUAGUUUAAUUUGUUGUUAAAAAUUUAAAUCAAAAUAUUUCUCACUAUAUAUUUAUAUAGCCAUAUAUAUAUAUAUUUCAUUAGUGAAUAAAAUAUUUCUCAUUUGUUGUGACUCAUAGUAUUACUAAUAAAACAUAUAUAAAAUAUUUUAUUACAAUGCCUUCUAUUAUCAUUAUUNNNNNNNNNNNNNNNNNNNNNNNNNNNNNNNNNNNNNNNNNNNNNNNNNNNNNNNNNNNNNNNNNNNNNNNNNNNNNNNNNNNNNNNNNNNNNNNNNNNNUAUUAUAAGACUUUAUGUAAUAUCUUUAUAUAAAGUAUUAUUGAAAUAACAUUACUUGUUAAUUACAUUUAUUUUAAUGCUACUAAAUAUAUUUCUAAUACUAAAUGUAAAAGUAAAAACAAAAUGUAAAAUUGUAAAGGUACAAACAAAAUGUAAAAUUGUAAAGUAAGAGAAUUAAUACAUAAUAAUUUUAAUUCCAAAAUUACUUUUUAAUUCCAAAAUUACUUGUAUUUCUUUCAUUUUUUGAUGAUUUAAAAUAUUCAUCAAUUGAUUAGAUAUAAAAUAAUUUAAAAUAUGAAGAAAUAUCACAACUUGCAGAUUACUUGUUACAUAAUUACUUAUCCAUUAAAAUUAAAUUAAGGGUGAAGAUUCUAAUAUUAAAUCCAAUGAUCCCAUCAUUGAUUGUGGGAUUUUUAUUUAUUAUAAUAUAAAUCUUCGUUUAUCAAUUAAUUAAAAAUAUAAAAAUCUAUAUUUACUUGCAACAUGAAGAUUACUUGUUAUGAUUUAAAUGGCUAAUUUUUUAUUCACUGUAUCAAAUGAAUGGUAAACAGAAAACCCUAACAUCCAAGAGUCCACAACAAUCCUAUUAUCAAUAUUGUAAAAACUCAUAAAGUACUAUAAAGAAAUCCUAAACAAAAAAUUCAGAGAAUAUGUAUGUUAAAUGAGUGUUAAAAAUAAUAUAUACUUCAUAAUCAAUUAUACAAUGGUCCUUAAUAUUAUAUAAAAUAAUGAGUAUUUGGAUAUAAGAUAUUAAAUUUUAUUAAAACAUGUGUGAUCAAGUAUUUUUUAGGUUAUAAGAAAUGUCACCAAUGAGUUUAUUGAUGUACAUAUGACAUUCACUUAAGUAUAUGUAUUUAGUUGUGUUAUUUAUUAGUGUUAUUUAUUAGUGUUAUUUAUUAGUGUUAUUUAUUAGUGUUAUAUUAUAUAAUUAAUUUUACAAUUGCAACUUAUUUAUUUUAUUUGUAUUAAAUAACCUACUUUAUAUUAUAUUUUAUAAUUAAUGUUAAUAGAUUUUGGAAGAUUUAUUUAAAAAAGAUUAUCACAAUACAAAUUUAAAGGAGAGUUGAAAAGUAAUUUUAAAUAAAAUAUGUUCUUUAAGUGAAAUUGCUUCAAACAUUAAGGGUGGUCACAGUUAUUUUACAAAAUUUCUCCCCCCCUUGACUGGUUAACAAACUGUUUACAAUUAUUUUUUAAUUUUUUUCCAUAAUCUUUUUCUUUUACUUUUUUUUUAAAUAAACAAAAUCGGUUCUAUUCCGGUUCGAUUAAACCGAGUCGGAUCGGAAAUGAAUUUUACGUUCCGUUCGAUCAACCGAUCCGAAAAAAAUUUGGUUAGUGCUAUCUUUUCCACUAAUUUUUAUUAAGGUAAUAAUAUAUAAAAUAAACCUCAAUUUCCUUACAAUCAAUCCCAUAAAGUCAGAUCCACAACUAAGUUUGUGUUGACUUACACAUGUCGGCAAACAAAUCUGGCGCGUAUUAAAGAAACACUGUUUUCUAUUUGCUAUUUAGGUUUCUAUCGCAUAACUCAAAACUCAAUUUCUUUUCUUCACGAAUAAGUUUAUAGUUUAAAAAAGGGUAAAAGUUUGUUUAGUCCCUAUAUUAUGAGGUUAGUAUCUAUUUAGUCCCUGUAUUUUUAAAAACACCUCAAAAUGUCCCUGCUACUAAAUAUUGACACUUACGCCAUUAUUUUUUUUUUAUUUUUAACUUGCUUUUAUAAUAUUACAUUUUUACAAUAAUGUUUCUUUUUUGGAUACUAAUAAAAAAUUAAAUUAUCAAAUUAAACUCAAAAAUAAAAUAAAAACAAAAAAGGUAUAUAUUAAUUUUUGUGGAAGCUCACGUAUGUCUAAAAAAUUAAUAUCGUAAAAAAUUACAUUAUCAAUUUUUUUAGAAAAAUUAAUAUUUUAACUCAAGAGUAUGUUCCACAAAAAUUAAUAUAUAUAUAUAUAUAUUUUUUUUUUUUUGGUGUUAAACUGGUAAUUUAUUUUUUUCUUUUUAAUAAUGUCUAAAAAAAUUAUUAUAAUAGGGUUAUUUUUUUCUUUUUAAUAAUGUCUAAAAAAUUAUUAUAAUAGGGCAGUAUUAUAAAAAUAAGUUAAAAGGAACAAAAGAUAAUGGUAAAAGUGUCAAUAAUUUAAUGGUAGGGAUGGUUUAAGGUAUUUUUAAAAAUAUAAAGACUAAACGGACACUAACUUCAAAAUAUAGGGACUAAACGAACUUUUACCCUUUAAAAAAACACGACUUUCCCAAUUGAAUUACUCGUUUCUUUCUUCACGAAUAAGUAAAAGCCUUAAAAGGGAAAUAAUUAACUUAUAGUUUAAAAAAAAAUAAAAAACACGAGUUUCCUAAUUGCAGACGCGGCGUAUAUAUAUUCUUUUAUUCGUCCUUGUUGGGCACACAGACAAAGUAAAACCACUUGACGGGGUCGACGAGGAGUUAAGUUGCGCGUAGACACACACACACACACACACACACACUCUUCUUUUCACAGUCAAUGGAGUUCAAGUUUCGAGAAAUUGACGACAGAACGACGCCGUAUCGGUCUUCUCCUUCUCCGUCUUCUCAGAGUUCGAGCUACCUAUCUGAUCAAGCAUUGCGAGGUCCGUUUACAUCUAUCUCUCAAUCGUCAUUAUCCUCUAUUUGGUUACUAAACGCCAAAAAAAAAAAAAGAAGAAUAUAUUCUUUUCAAGAAAAUAGCUUUUGAAAAAAAAAAAAAAAAAGGUUCAGCAAGUAGUUUAAACACGCUUUUGUUUACAUUGUUUGGCUGAAAUAUAUAAAGGUUCAAGAUUAUAGACUCUUGCUUUCGAUAGUGUUGUAAUUUUCAGAAUUGCUAUGUACUGUGAUCCAAAUGCUGCCUUAAUUUUUGUUCAAGAUUAUAGCUUGCCAUCUUGAUCCAAUAUAAACAAUCUCUGUCAGGUAACUACUCAAUGGACCCCAAUUUCUUGAACAAUCCAAGACACUUUUACACAAUCCAGCGCGAGAUUGAGAAGCAGAUAAUCAGGCACGAAAUAAUCACCCAUGAAAUUAUCACUGCAGAAGUUGAGCGCCGGCGAUUGCUUGAAGAAGAGGUGAGAAGGGAGCUGAUGAUUGAAAGAGAGAUGGCAAUGUAUAGAGCAAGAGAAAUGGGGCUGUCAAUUGAUGACAGGUUCUCAAUGCAACUACACACAAGUUACCCGUUAAUGCACCAGUCCAACAAUUGCUGGCUUGAGGACCGGUUCCCAUUUCCUUGGAAUCCCAGCAUGGGAUUUGGACAUAAUGGACUGCCUCCUAACUUUUUGCCUCAUUUUUCAAAUGGGCCUUGGAGUGGCUUGGAGGUUAACAAGAAGGAUAAACUGAUUAUGCUGGUCAGUGUUCAAUUUUACUUCUUCACAUAGUCUAUUUAUUUAUUUUUUUUGGUGUCAAUGAGUAUAUUUGUCUUAAAUAUUGGUUAAUGAUUGUAUUAUAUGGAAUCUGGUUCGCUACAAGUUUGGUGGAAUUGAUUCAAUCAGGUGCUAGAUUUAGAGGCAUGUGAAUGAUGUGCGUCUGAUUUUGGCAUCUUGUCUUUGAGUUUUGCUGUUAUUGACAGGGUAGGUGCAUCCAGGUUUGCUACCCAUGCAUGCACUAAUCCUUCUACUUGUGUGGGCUGUGCAUCAAAAACUCAGUCCUAAGGGGGCAUUAUUGUGAUUGAUCAAGGAGAAUUUUCUCCCUUGGUUACCAUAGCUGCAAUUUUUCAUUACAACUAUUUGUUAUAGUGGCAUUACUGUAAUCUGGGCAGAAAAUAACCCGAGAUUGAUGACUAUGCUGAUUCCUUAGAUGUUGAUUUUUGGUGCCCUAGUUUACUUGGGGAAGUCUACCCUGUACAUAAACAGCAGACUCUUGCACAUUCCUUGGGUUACAUCAAUAUACAAUGAAAGCAUGAUCCAUUUGCACCAUGUAGAAUGAAAACAAACCUUGACUGGAUCAUGCUUUCAUUGUUUAUUUUCCUUGUGCGCUUUGUCCUAUUACUCUACUUUUUCUGGUAUUUUGUGUCUAACUGAGGUUAUAGUUUAGGUGCUGAGUGGUAGAUGUAUCAUGGAUUACAGUAGAUACUAAGUUUAAAUAACACAAUAUAACAAAAAAGAUUGCAUUUCUUGUUAUUUUUCUGAUGCAUUCUAGCACUUCCCUGUGGACCAUUGCUCAUUUUUGUUUUGAUACUUGUGAAACUUGGUAAGUCUUGUUUUGAUUUGUUAGAAUUUUAGAUUUUGGAUCUAUGAAAAUUGAAAAAUAAAUAGAGAUUAAGUGAGUUUGUUUCAUGUUAGUUUCUUCAUCUGCUCCAUUUGAAAUACUCUGUGGUGACAUUGUUUCUCUUAAUCCCUUAUUCAUCAAAGUUACUCUUUACAUGUCCAUUUGAAUGGCUUCAUCCCACACUAACCUGCAUUUGUAUGUUAUUAGGAGGUUAUUGCUUAGAGAUUCCCAUCCAUUCUUAGUGCUAUUAGACUUGGUCUUGAUGCACAGGUGACAAGUUUGUUGGGGAGUACAUUUGGAUUCACUAUCUUGAUUUAGUUCCAAACAUAUAAGCAUUUGGUUAUUUAUGUUGGUCAAGUUCACAAGUUCAGUUUGCUUGGUCAACUCAAGUAGACGAGAGAGUUGUGCAACUCUUGACCAUGCGUGCAAAUGCCAUUGUAUGUGGCUUUAAAAUUUGGGCAGUGAGGACAUUUGAUCCCCCACAGCCUGGAAUCAAUGUGUGUCUGAAACCUUUUCUGAACGAAAACACGGAGCAAAUGUGAGCUUGUCGCAAGCUAAGGUUCCAAGAGAGGUUACAUAUGUUUACCAUGAAGUGUCAUAUGAACUUGUACAGAUUGAUUUCUGAUGUUUCUUUUUCCCGGUAAUUUCUUAUUUUAAAUCUUAUUGCUUGUGUUCGUGUAUGUGCGUUGGGCUGGAGGCUCCAUUGAAAUGCCGUUUCCUCAAAUUAUGAAUUAUAAUGCUCGUAAGUGUUAAUAUCAUCUCUUCUUCUUGUCCUGCUUAUUAAGAAAGUGUUUCAGAAUCCUUUUCAAACAUUUUCCUUUUUUUUCUUGUUUUUUGAAGGAAAGAUUUUCGUAGUUCAGUGCUGGAAAUGUUGUUAAUUAACAAGGAUUCUGGUUGUAUCAACUAUUUAAAUAUACUUCUACAUUCCGUCCUUUUAUGAGAAUUCACAAUUUAAAAUAAAAUUUGUGCAUUAUUAUUUUGUAAACAAAUUCUUUCAUCUGUACUGCACUGCAAUAGCAGAUGAUGGAGCUCACUGGGAAUAUUUUUCAUUUUUACCAUUGAUGUGAUAACUAAUAUAAGGCAUCAUGGUUUCUGUAUCGUUUCCAGCCUAAGCCCGAUUCCAAUACUUGUGGAUCAAAGAAGAAAGCUGCCACACCACCUGCAGGUUCUGGAGAGCUUCCUUCAACGAGUUCAAACAAAUCCAAGGAGUGGAGUUGUGUCCUCUGUCAGGUCAGUGCUACUACCGAGAGAGAUCUAGAUGUGCAUCUCCAAGGUAAAAAGCACAAGGCCAAGGAAAAACUACUUAGAGAUUUGAAGAUGUGCAUUAACUCCACUUCAAAAAAAGCUACGGAAAGCAGAGAUAGUGCUGACCAAGAAAUGAAGCCUAAUGUAGAAGAUCAAUCAGUUAAAGCUAAUAAAACUGUUGUUGGUUUAGACCAGAAAGUGGAGGGAGGUCAACCCCUGCAGGUUAAGCCCAAUUCCAAUCCUUGUGGAUCAGAUCAGAAAACUGCUACCCUACCUGCAGGUUCUGGAGAGCUUCCUUCGACGAAUUCGAACAAGCCCAAGGAGUGGAGUUGUGCCCUCUGUCAGGUCAGUGCUCCUACUGAGAGAGGUCUAGAUGAGCAUCUUCAAGGUAGGAAGCACAAGGCCAAGGUUGCAGGGCUACUUAGAGAUACGAAAAGGUGCAGUAACUCCAUUCCAUCCACGUCAAAAAAAUCUACAGAAAGCAGAGAUGGUGUUGGCCAAGAAAUGAAGACUAAAAUACAAGAGGAAUCAGUUAACCAGAAAGUGGACGGUGGUCUAGAUGAGCAUCCUCAAGGUAAGAAGCAGAAGGCUAAGGAAGAAGAACUACUUGGAGCUCAGAAGUGGAUAAAAAAAUCCACAGAAAGCAGAGAUAGUGCUGGCCAAGAAAUGAAGGCUAAAGUAGAAGAGGAAUCAGCUAAAGCUAAUAGAACUGUUGUUGGUUUAGACCAGAAAGAGGAGGGUUGUCAAGCCCAGCAGGUUAAGCCCUAUCCCAAUCUUUGUGGAUCAAAGCAGGAAGCUGCCACACUACCAGCAGGUUCUGGAGAGCUCCCGCUGACGAGUUCAAAGAAACCCACAGAUUGGAGUUGUGCCCUCUGUCAGUUCAGUACUACUAGCAAGAGAGAUCUAGAUGAGCAUCUUCAAGGCAGGAAGCACGAGGCCAAGGAAGAAGGACUACCUGGAGAUCAGAAGAUGUGCAGUAACUCCACCUCAAGAAACUCUAUUGAAAACAGAGAUAGUGCUGGCGAAGAAAUUAAGGCUACUGUAGAAGAGGAAUCAGUUAAAGCUAAUAAAACUGUUGUUGGUUUAGACCAGAAAGUGGAGGGUGGUCAAGAUGAGCAUCUUCAAGGUAAGGAGCACAAGGCAAAGGAAGCCAAGCUAAUUGGAGCUCAGACCACCUCAUCUUCAUCAACAUCAAAAGAAUCUGGAAAGACAAUUAGACCAGAAAGUGGGUUUAGACCAGAAAGUGCUGGUCAAGCAAUAAAAGCUAAAGUAGAAGAGGAAUCAGUUGAAGCGAUUAAAACUGUUGUGGGUUUAGACCAGAAAGUGGAGGGUGAAAAAGAUUCGGAGAACAAAAAUGAGGAGCUGCCAAAGAAGGACCCGAAUGAAAACACUCGGAAGACGACAAAUGGAAUACCGACUGCAGAGACGAUGAAGAGAAAACUUCCCCUUAGGGAGAAUUUCGAAUUCUGGUGUGAAGUUUGUCAAGUUGGUACUCACUCUGCUGUCGUGAUGGAAGGUCAUAAAAGGGGGAAGAAGCACAUGGCUCGGUCUAAUGAAUACAGGAAAAAUAAUGAAGCCGUCCCCCUCACCACCAGCACAACAAUUGUGACACCAUCAGAGCCUACUGAGAAUGUUGAAGGUGAAGCUGUAGUGGUCGAAGAAUCAAAUGAAGAAACAAGAGAUUGUAUUAUUGAGAAGGCUGAAGAUGAAGAGGUGGUGGUCUAUAGAGGCAGAUAAAGUGGGCCUGAUGCAGCAGACUCCUUGUUAUGCUGAAGGUAAAGCUCCUAACUUUUCUUUUGCUCUUGCACUUCAUUAUGAAUGUUUUAAAUUUCAAUGAACCAGUUGCAACUUGCUUUAUCAUUUUAAAACUCGGAAAUUACAUUAAUAAAUUUAAAUUCAUUCUUCCAUCUCAUUAUAUAUGGAUUUGAAGGUACUGAUUGAUGAAGCCUAUAAAUUCAAGCAACAAUACUGUAAUGGGGAUCAUGUGUUGUUCUCUACUCUCCAGUCAUUGGUAAAAAACUCCAAAAAUGAAAACCAGACACUGUUAGAUCUACUCUUUGAAAGUGCUUCAUAUAUGCAUGGUUAUGACAUUGGACUCUUCGGCUCAAAGCAAAUUUUUCUUGAUCAUGACCUGACAUUAGUUUAUCUUUUGCUGGCAGGUAGUUGGCGGGAUAUCACUAACCACAACUUAUGCAGAAGCUUCCUAACAUCAGCGGUGGGUCCAGGAUGUUUGAUCGGAUCAGCUAAAUUAUUGUAUAUGUUUGUGUGAAUAUUUACAAAGGAGUGAAAAAACUAAUAUAUUAAAUAUCAAGAACCUCGUUCUGAAUGAGGUUUACAUAUAUAAUUUGUAAAAUAAACUAAUAAUUAAAAUGACAAUUUAUCCUUUUAACUCGUAGAGAUACAACCUUAAAUUCCUUAAAAUCCUGUUUAAUUCAGCUCAUUCAGAGGGAGACAAUCAGACAAACCUUAUUUUAUUAGAGUGAACUGCGAAAGUACUAGCUUGACCAGAGAGAUUAAUGUCGUAGUUUGCACAUAUGUUUAAUUGCAAUUCAAUAUAUAUUGGAAGUGAACGUGAAAAUGGACUUAAUAAUACUAAGGGAGACAAUUCGUGGAACACAUAAUAUCCGCUACAUUGCUACUACCUAAUAAUUUCAGAACCAAUUAACAGUCACCUUUAUUGGAAAAAUCCACUAUGAUUACAAGCAAUCCCAUCACAUACAUGAACAGUUAAAUAUACGCAUCCGUAAUUAGAUAUCACAUUAAUCAACCACAUACAUUUCUUGGUUUCUAAGCUCCACAAUUGAAAUUUCAUGAAAAGGUUUCUGCAUCGGUGCCUUAUUGCGAGCGAUAAAUUCGUUGGACACGAGUUGCAUUGUAGGUCGAGACUUUGGUUGAGAACGCAAGCAUGAAAAUGCUACUGUUGAAACAAGAAUGAUAUCCUGCCUAAUCUUCUGAUCCACCGGAGGUGAGAGGCGUGGGUCCAACAAAUCAAUCAGCUUUAUAUUUUUAUCCAAUGAUGAAGAUGAUGAUGAGAGGAUCUCUCCUGGAUGCUUUCCCAUUAGUACUUCUAGUGCCACCAUUCUGAAGCUAUAAACAUCAGAUUUCUCCGUCACAACCAUGGUGUAGGCAAGUUUUGUAUGAAAACAAAAACCUUUAUCAGUGAUGUUUUCUAAGUAAUAACAAGAGCAAUUUGUUUAUAUUUUUGAGCUUCUGCAGCAAGGUAUGACAGAGAAACAUAUGUUUUUAACUGAUAUCUAAAGUGUAUGUAUUUUUUUUAAAAAAAAAUAAGGAGUUAAACGGGCACGCAAAGUUCAAAUUAAUUUUUCAGCUCCUUAUCUAUUCUAAAAUUCGAACUUAAGUAGCUAACUAAAUAAAACUGCUUAAAAAUUACUUAACAGAGUGUAUACAAAAAUUAAUUAAAAGAAUAAUUAAAGAAGCAGAAGAAGAAUAGCGAGAAGAUUACCUGGAGCAAUAUAUCCAGAAGUGCCAGCCAAUAGAGUUCGAUUGGAUGAGUCAAAAUUUAAUAAUCUAGCAACGCCAAAGUCAGCAACAAAUGCUUCUAAUUCUGAGUUGAGUAGAACGUUGUUGCUUGAUAUGUCGCGGUGAACAAUUGGUGGUGUGCAGUGAUGAUGCAAGUAUGACAAAGCAUGAGCCAUGCCCUUCACAAUGUUCACCCUUUUAGCCCAAUCCAAACCAACAGCUUCCUCAUCUGUGCGUAGAACACAAAACAAGCUUCCCAUUUCCAUGUACUCAUAGAUUAAGAACAUGCAUUUCCUGUGCAAACAAAACCCGUAAAGCUUUACGAUAUUUCGAUGCCAUAUUUGGGACAGUAGACGAGCCUCAUUCCGGAAACUCUCGAGGGAAGCUAACUCCUCAGUUUCUGAACGGUGAAGCUUCUUCAAAGCAACUACUUUUCCACUGGGCAGUCGUGCUCGGUAAACGCUGCCAUAGCCUCCGGUUCCAAUGCAGUAUUUGAUAUGGAAAUCCUCAGUAGCUUCAAUCAUGUCUUGAAAUGUAAUUCUACCAUCGUAAUUCCAAAUUGCAAACUCAUCAGCGCACUUGGUAAUUUCUCCUGUCUCAGUUGGUUCAACUUUCUUAUCCCUUCGUCUACGGACAAACAAGAUUCCAAAUAUUAAGGCAAGGAAUGCGGACAUAGGAAGAAUAAUUGCAACCAAUCGAGUGGCAAUCUUUUUGUCAUUGCCUUUGUGAUGUGGUGGUGGCGCUUUUGCCGAAGUACUUGGGAUUUCUACCUCGAAAUUGUUGCCUGAUACAUAUAAGAGAGGCACUUUUUUGACAGAUUCAGGGAUGCUACCGGAAAGAUUAUUCAUGGAAAGGUUCACGGUAUCUAUGCGUGGAAUUUCUCCAAGCUGGGAAGGUAUUUUACCAUUAAUCAAGUUAUGGCUUAAAUCAAGAUAAUUUAGUUCUUGAAGUUUGCCAAUCUCUGACGAAAUGCUUCCGCUUAACAAGUUGUUUCCCAAUAUUAAUAUCCGCAGCUUUGAGCAAUUCAUGAGUUCUUGAGGAAUUGGACCAUCAAGUUUGUUGUUGUACAUAUUUAAAGUAGUUAGCUGAGUCAAAUGACCCAGGGACGAAGGGAUUGGACCAACAAGUUUGUUUUCGGACAAUUUUAAACUUCUCAAUCUCUUUAAAUGGCUAGGUGUUGAAGGAAUUGAACCUUCAAUUUCAUUUCUGGACAGGUCAAGAACUUAAAGAGCCUUCAAACUCCCGAUUCCUAAUGGGAUGGAACCAUUAAUUUGGUUCCAGACAAUAGCCUGUUAGGAAAUUGGUGGGUGAAGCAGACACGCACCUAAGUUGAAAUUGGAAGAAAAAUAAAGAACAAGCACAAUAGACGACACUAGAAAUUACGUGGUUCAGCUUUUAGCCUACAUCCACGGGCGAAGACAGAAGGAAAUAUUUUACUAUUGAAAAUGAGUUACAAGUAUUGUAGUAUUUUAGCUCACUUCUCAAAACCCCAAUACACCCAAACUCUCUAAAUCACUAUAACAAGAGCUUAUAAAUUCAAGCUCUCUAAACUCUCUCUCAACUGCUAAAUUGCUCUCUGAAUGGAAUGAAUUUGCUCAUUCUCUUUGUUUCUAUUUAUAGAGAAAGCUUUGGCACUAUUCAUCAAUUAUAUAUAUAUAUUUUUUUCUUCUUUUUCUUCUUUUUCUUCUUUCUCUUGUCAAAGUCGUGUGCUUCGUUUUUUUUCAAAUUUGCUGCAAAAUUCUUCUUCUUUGAACAAAAUUGUUGCUGACCAUCUAGAUGGCUGCUUUAUACCAUCUAGAUGGCCACUUUAUUUGACAUAGCCAAAGUAGUUAGCUGGGUUAGAUGACCUAGAGUGGGGGGGAUAUUACCAACAAGGGAGUUAGAAGACAAGUUCAAAAUUUUCAAUUUGCUUAGAUGACAAAGAGUUAGAGGGAUAUUACCAACAAGGAAGUUAGAAGACAAGUUCAAAAUUUUCAAUUUGCUUAGACGACCAAGAGUUGGAGGGAUAUAUCCCCCAAUGUAAUUAUCAGAUAGAUCCAGGCGGACGAGAUUCCUCAAUCUCCCCAUCUCUGAAGGGAUAAUUCCUGUUGCGCAUGUGAUUUAUGAAAAACGAGAUCAGUAUUCACUAUCCUCAUAGCAAUAAAAUUUAUAAAGAAAUCCUCAUAAAAAAAAACUUCUUCAAUGUUGUAAAAACAGACGUCUGCUUCAAGCAUGAGCACGACUUCAUACAUACAUACAUAAAUACAUAUAUAUAGUGAAGUUUCGUAGCAUACCGGUAAGCCUGCUGGAGGGCAGUUCAAGAGUUUGGAGCAUUGAAAGGGCAGUAAUUUCAGAUGGAAUGCUCCCAGAGAGAAGAUAAUUUGAAUGAAUUUUGAAACUUUUGAGGUUGGGAAAGCAAGAGAAGUUGAAACGACCAAGCUCUCCUUUCAUGUUAUCAUUUUCAUACCAGAGUAAGCUGACCCUGAUUACGCUUCCCGCUGAAUUGCAACGGAUGCCAGUCCACUUACAAUGAUCGGACGUGUAGUUGCCCGACGUUGCCCAAUUGUCGUACCACCAGCCUGUAAUCAGUAAAGCUUCUCUUUCUAACUGUACGGGUGACGACAAUAAUCCAGCAGCUGAUGCUAUUACAAAUAUUGUUUUAUCACUUAUAGCACCAACAUUAAUUAAAAUUAAAAUGACCACCAAUCUCGAAACAGAGGAUGCUGAUGCCAUGUUUAUAAUGGUUUUCGGUUGAUUGAGCUAUAUUUGAUUCUCAGCAAAGCGUUUAUAUAAGAAUUAAUUGUUUUGCAACCUCCCAGUGUUAAUUUCCCAUACGCGUUUUCAAAUAGUGUGAGUCAAGGUCUUCUCUAGAUGGAUUCAAUCAUGGAGAUAUAACCUUAUUGGCUUGUAUUUUGUGUGGUGUAGAUCUAUUUGAACAACAUUGCAGAAACAUGAGAUAAUAUGGAAAAUAUUAGAAAUAAUUAAUAGCAUUAUUAAGAUAUUAAAUAUUAAUAUGAACAGAAUGUGUGAUUUGACAGAAUAAUCAAAAUAAUUUUUUUUUAUUUUUUUAAAAUAGUUACAAAAGUCCUUUUGUAACACACAAACUAUGGAAACUCACGGGCUAUUUCUAACAUCCAUUUUAAUCUUUAUUUAUUUUUUUAUAAAUUUUUUUUUAAUGAUUAACCUUACAUAUUUUUUUUAACUUUAAUAAUGCCAUAUUAUUUAAUAUUACAACUGCCAUUCGAACCCGUGCAAAACAUGAAGACAUAUAUAUAUAUAUAACAUUAAUAAUGCCACAUUAUUUAAUAUUUAAUUUUGAAGGCCACUUUUUAAGUUGAGGGCAGGGAACCACUACGAUUCCAUAACACGCUCAUCUAAUCACCUUGACUAUAAGACUUCUCCUAGUCGGCAAUUAUUUGGAAAUAAUGUCUUGACAUAUGCUGCGGAAAUUAAAGAAUGAAGUAGACUUUACGAAGUCAAGGUGUUUUUCUAGUCUACAUAUUUUAAUUUAUGUGUAGAAAAUUAGAAAUAUUCAAUGUAUAAUCUGAUUCUAUACAAAGAUUAAUGCCCUAGGAUUGUGAUUGAAAUACUAUAAGCAGUUUAUUUUAUAAGUUUAGAUAAAAAUGAAAUUUGAUGGCUUUGUUAAAAGUUAUUUUUUUUUUAUAAUUUUCUCUAUUUUGACUGUAACUUUUAAAAACAAAACAGAGACUAUUUUUAUAAGCAACUUAUUAAAUAAGUUGCUAUAUCUUUUUAAAUGUUCAUAUUAUAACCUUAAUAUUUUAAGAAAAGAAUAAUUAUAUCUUACUUUUCUAUAAGCUUUAAUAUAUAAAUAAAAGACAAUUUAAACUCAUGUUUAUUUUAAUCAUUAAAUAAUACAGGAUCUUAAAGUGCGGAUAUAAAGUAGUUUUUUGGUACAGGACCUUAAAGUGCGGGAAACAUUAGGAAAAAUUUUAAAACCGCGGGAUUUUAAAGGCUUAAUACUUAAAACACUUAAACUGCACGGUUUAUGCGUUUUCUCAAACGUUCCCGCACUUUAAAAUUCUGAAUUAGAAUAUUUUUAUAUGUGUGUGUGUGUGUGUGUGUGUGGAGGGCAAAUCUUUGACUACCUCCGGCUUCAAGGACCUAUACAGUAACUCUUAAAUCAAAGGGAGAAAAUAGUUAAUUCAAUCUGAUUGAAUAUGAAUUGAUAUUCACCAUAUGAUUAUUACAUAAAGAUUGAGCCUUAAGUGUUUUACAUUAAGUAAUAUUGCACACCUGUUCUACACAUUUAGACAACUCAGUAAGAAUUAUGCAAAUGACAACCAAAUCCAAACUAGCUAGGUGCACUAUUAUUAUUUAUCUUUGCUCCAUAAAUAUUAGAAAGAUAGAGGAGAGGAAGAAAAAGAAAAAACUAAUUUUGUAGUCACAAAUUAAUCUUAUGCUCUGAUUUUGAAGCAAAUCUGCUAAAUAUUUGAGGAUCCAACCAUGAAGCAUGUCCACUUCAAUCUUUCGCUGCACUGCUAACCAUUAUGGGUCGUCUUCUAUUGCUGGCUGUAUGUCUAAGCAAUGGGAACCUGCUCCAAUUUACACACUAUUAAUUAUGUUAUCCAAUAAUUUAGUUAAUAAUUGAACACUUAUUUUUUAUUUUAUAGAAAAAUUUACAUACUCUUUCUUGUUGUCACUGCUAUUAUAUUGUCUGAUAUCUUCCAAAACUCUAUAAUCUCCCCCCCCCCCCCCCCCACCAAAAAAAAAAAAGAAGAAAAAGAAUAAGGCAUAUAAUUAAACGGGUAACUUCGAUAGAAAAGAGUGUACAAAAUUUUUAAGCUUAAUUGCCCCUCGCUGCUAUAGGGAUCACGAAGGCCAUUAGGUAAAAUAAUGUUGCUACCAAAUCUCUUUAAAACCACUCUUAUAUCUUGCAAAUUAAAAAGAAAUAGAAAUCAAACAACAAUUGAGGUAAACUUUAUAAUUAAAAAAGAAAAUAUAUUUACUAUUUCUUAAUUUUACGAUUGCUGAAAGUAUUCAUUAAUUGGAAUGCAAAAUAAAUUUGUAUCAAAAUAAUAUUGGCAUAAUUAAUAUUUUGGUCAAACGAGAUCAAAAUGAAUAAAAUGAUGCAACAAAUGACACGACAUUAAUCAAAAGAUGUAAGUAAGUUAAUAAUAUUAAAAUUUACUUUCUCCAUAAGAUGCUCCAACAACGAUAAUGGGAGACAUUUCGGCCGAUAAAUUUUUCCUUGAUGUGUAAGAGAAUCUUUGCAUAAUCUGCCAAAGCUUGAGCAGAGUUGAAAUAUCCACGAAGAGUUGCAUUCUUUAGGGCAUCUUUGCUUGAUACAAAAGGUACUGAUUUUCCAUAGAACCGAUGCUGCAUAAAAAAUCGAAUUAAAAAAAAAAUCCAUCACAACUUUUCAGUUCAUAUUGUAGAAUAUUCUGAUUAAGAUUUGUCUUUAUUAUUAUUAUUUUGUAUGCGAACUCUAUUUCAAUUAUUAUCAAGCUAGCCUGAUAACAGAUUCUUUACUUACCUCUAUGUAAACUUGCAAGGCUUUAAAUCAAUGAGCAUUAUCAGUAAGCCAUCCAGUGCCACCAAGGUCAUCAUCAAGACUACUCUCUUCACCAAGAUAUGCCAAUAUUGGCGCCGCCGUGGCUCCGCCGCCGCCCCAAUGUUUGAAGUCACAUAUCUAUGAGAAAAAGUUAAAUAACUUUGUGGAUUAUAGUUAAAGUGAUCAAGUAUUUGAUCAUAAUAAUAAGUUUCGAGAUCACCCUCUGGUUCUGAAGUUAAUAUUUUUUUACUAGGGUUUAGAAAAAUAGUCCUUCCACGCACAACACCAAGCUUUGGGAUGUUCUUUAAUGGUGAAGUGGAAGCAAAAGCAAAAUUUGUGAGGAGAAGAAGAAAAUUAACAGUAGUCUCACACGAAAGGGUGGCAAUUUAUUACACGAAUUUGUGAAUUAGACACUAACACAUCAUAACGAGAUGAUUAAUUAUCAUGUCAAACCUGUGUCCUCUUCACUAAUAAAUUCGUAUUGCACUUUGACUUCCCCACGGGGGAUUCUUUAUUUUUUAUUUUUAAAACAAAACAAAUGCAUGCAACUUACCAUAAAAAGAUGAAUGAACACUAAAGACUGUGCAACGCAACCCAGAAUGCAAUCAUUAACCUCACAAAAAAUGGACCCUGAGAUUCACUGUAACAACGUCAUUAGUAUUUUUCUCUAUCAACGUCAUUAGUAUUUAAUUAUAUCUAUUUUUUUAAAUCCUAAUACAUAAAUAAAGACAAUUUAAACUUAUGUCUAUUUUAGUGAUUAGAUAAUAAAAUAAUUCUUUCAUAUUUAAAUUUACCAAACUCCGAGCAAGCUACUUUUAUAAUCAUCAAUUUAUUUUAUUCGCACACAGAAGUAGUUUAUUUCAUCAGCCAUCUGAAUUUCAAACUGAUCCCAAGUCAUGAUUGGAAUUGCAUUGGAUUGUCAAAUAAUUAAACAAAAGUAGCUAUUAUGUGGGAGAAUAAGAAUAGGUUCACCUGGAGCAAUACACUCAUAAGCUUGGCUACUAAUAAACGGAGCAUAUAAGGAUAAACACCCAAGUUUUGAGAGAUACAUGUAUAUGGAGGGCAAAUUCUUUGUCUCUCCCCGGCUUCAAGGAAAUGGUUAAAUCAAUGUGAUUGUAUAUGAAUUGAUAUUCCCCAUAUGAUUAUUACAUAAAGAUUGAACCCUUUUUAUGUGCUUUACAAUAAGUAAGCACACUUGUUCUACACAUUAAGACAACCCAGAUUAAGAAUUAUGAAAAUGACCAAAUCUAAAACUAGCUAGGCGCACUAUUAUUUAUCUUUGCUCCAUAAAUAUUAGAAAGAUAGAGGAGAGGAAGAAAAAGAAAAGACUAAUUUUGUAGUCACAAUAUAAUCUUAUGCUCUGAUUUUGAAGCAAAUCAGCAAAGUAUUUGAGGAUCCAAUCAUGAACCAUGUCCACUUCAAUCUUUCGCUGCAUUACUAACCACUCUGGAUCAUCUUCUGUUACUGGCUGUAUGUCUAAGCAAUGGGAACCUGCUCCAAUUUACACACUAUUAAUUAUGUUAUCCAAUAAUUUAGUUAAUAAUUGAACACUAAUUUUUUUAUUUUAUAGAAAAAUUUACAUAACGUUUCUUGUUGUCACUGCUAUUAUAUUGUCUGAUAUAUCUUUUAGAACCCUAUAACCUCAAAAAAGAAAAGAAAAAAAUGUAUAAUUAAAUUGGUAACUUCGAUAGAAGUUUAAUUACCCAGCGCUACUAUAGAGAUCACGAAGGCCAUUAGAGAAAAUAAUGUUGCUACCAAAUCUAUUUAAAACCACUCUUAUGUCCUGCAAAUAUAAAAGAAAUAGAAAUAAAAAAAAAUUGAGGUAAAUAUUAACCAUUAUACACUAACACAUCAUAACGAGAUGAUUAAUUAUCAUGUCAAAUCUCUGUGUCCUCUUCACUAAUCAAUUCGUGUUUGCACUUUAACUUCCCCACGGGGGAUUCUUUAUUUAUUUAUUUUUAAAAAUAAGUGCAAAAUUUAUUCCACCGAGUAUAAUCAAGGGGUGCCCGUCAAGACUUAGAUGGUGCAAAUAAUUCCACCAACGGAUAUGAAGAUCCCAAGUUGGUCAAUGAUUAGAAUGCUGAAAGCAAGCAACAGCUGCAACAUGGUUACACAGUCAUAUCAUCUACAAGCCAAACGUGUGUCCGCCCAAUUAGACACCAUAACCUCUCACGAAAAAUAUCAUCACACAAACAUGGACCCUGAGAUUCACUGUAACAACGUCGUUUUCUUUAUCAAAGGCUCCCAGUAGCCGCGCCCCACCCCCCCUACCCCACACGCACACACAAAAAGAAAACUAUAUAGAUCUUACAAGAACAACGAAGUCAUUAUGCAAACUAGAAGAAAGUGUAGAUUGAUAGGCAAUAAUUGAAAUAAGAUGCGAAAUUAUUUAUAACACAAUUAACAAUUCAACAAUCAUACGUGUUGAUUUAUUUUCAAUCUGACUUGGACACUAUGUUAUAUUUUAUUAUCUUUUAAUAAAUAUCUAUAUAUAUAUAUAUAUAAAUAAUCAAAAAAUUAUAUAAAAUUCACCAUGAAAAUAAGGAAAACGAAAAAAAAAAAAUCAAACGGUCUUAUUACACACACACACUUGUCUGCUUGACGAUUUGCUCUGAUAUUUUCCUUUCUUCUUCAAUCAAUGAACUGUCUACAGAAUCUUCCAAGGUCCUCUUUUUCUUCUUCUUUUUUUAAUUUUUAUUUUAAUUCUCCUUUAAUUCGUUUUCAUUUUUUAAUUUUUUUGGUUAAUAUUUCAGAUCAUCCGCUUUGCCUUUGCAAAGCUUCAGAUUCAAUCAACGGAAGCCUACUUCUUCUUCUUCUUUCAAUUCUCUGGUAAAACGCAAUAUUUUUUUGUCGUUUUUUCUUCCUGUUAAUACUUAAUGCUUGGGCGUUUUGUGUGUAAUGGAAAUGGAGUCUCGUGUCUGAUUUAUUAUCGCAGGGAACGAUGAAUUAUGCUGAUCUAAAUCGACGUAUCACCGUUAAGGUAACUAUAUAAUAUUUUAAUUUCAAAUUCAUUUCUUUCCUUUUUUUUUUGUUUUUUAAAAGCGUAAUAUUAGCUUCAACUGUGAUGCUGUUCAGUACAGUGCUGACAUUUUUAUUCAUAAAUAUCUUCAGAUAUUUCAUAAUAUGGAAUAUUCUUCUUUAUUCUGUUCUAUUUAUUUACUGGUUUUAAUGUACAUUUUGUCGAGGAGUUACAUACGCGAGUAUAAAAUUAACUUCAACUGAUAAUGGUAGUCUGAUUAUGCCAUUAGUUUUAUCGAGUCCAUGUUGAUUCAGUUUGUUGUUUGAUUUUUAUGUGGAACUGUUACUUGAUUAUACAUGAACAUUCACUUGUGCAAAUUUGCUGAUGAAAUUUAUUUACGGGCAAUUACUGGUUCCACCUCUAGUAAGGAGACAUCUGAUAGCUCUGAAGUUAAGGAGGAAAAAUCCGAGAUCUAUAGUACUAAUAUGACAGAGGCUAUGGGUGCUGGUAAUUUAACUCACACUAUGCUCUAAUUUUGAUAGUAAGGCAGUUGUGGAGACCCUUAAGUGGGAAAGGAUGCUUUCCAUGUUAAAGGCAUGUCUAUUAUUGUGGAUUUGCAAAAUUUAUAUGGAAUGUGAUUAAAUGAUGUUUGUAUAUUGUAUUAUGUGAUUGAAGCAUGAAUUAAACGUUUUAAUGUUUCAUUCUAGAACUUCCCUGUGGACCUUUGCUCGUUUUUGUUUUGAUACUUAUGAAACUUGGUAAGUCUUGUUUUGAUUUGUUAGAGAUUUUCUGCUGAUGGACAAUUUCAGAAGAAAGCAGUGACAAUGCAGUGCUUACUAAUUGAGGGUAGCUCAAAAUGAUAAUUUUAGAUUUUGGAUCUAUGAAAAUUGAAAAAUAAAUAGAGAUAAGUGAGUUUGUUUCAUGUUAGUUUCUUCAUCCGCUCCAAUUGAAAUACUCUGUGAUGAGAUUGUUUCUCUUAAACCCUUAUUCAUCAAAGUUACCCUUUACAUGUCCAUUUGAAUGGCUUUAUCCCACACCAACCUUGAUUUUUAUGUUAUUAGGAGGUUGUUGCUUAGAGAUUCCCAUGUCCAUUCUUAGUGCUAUAAGACUUUGUCUUGAUGCACAGGUGACAAGUUUGUUGGGGAGUACAUUUGGACUCACAAUCUUGAUUUAAUUCCAAACAUGUUAGCAUUGGGUUAUUUAUGUCGGUCAAAGUUCACAAAUUCAGUUUGCUUGGUCAACUCAAGUAGACGACAGAGUUGUGUAACUCAUUGACCAUGCGUGCAAAUACCAAUGUAUGUGGCUUUAAAAAUUUGGGCAACGAGGACAUGUGAUCCUCCACAGCCUGGAAUUAAUGUGUGUCUGAAACCUUUUUUGAACGAAAACACAGAAAAUGUGAGCUUGUCACAAGCUAAGUUUCCAAGAGAGGUUACAUAUGUUUACCAUGAAGUGUCACAUGAACUUGUACAGAUUGAUUUGUGAUGUUUCUUUUCCCGGUAAUUUCUUAUGUUAAAUCUUAUUGAUUGUGUUUGUGUAUGUGCGUUGGGCUGGAAGCUCCAUUAAAAUGGUUUUUCCGCAAAUUAUGAAUUAUAAUGCUCAUAAGAUAUCAUCUCUCCUUGUCCAGCUUAUUAAGAAAGUAUUUCAUAAUCCUAUUCAAACAUAUUCCUUUUUUUUUUCUUUUUUGGGAUGGAGAUAUUUUCCUAGUUCAAUGCUGGAAAUGUUGUUAAUAAACAAGGAUUCUGGUUGUAUUAACUAUUUGACUAUACUUCUACAUUCCUACCUUUUUUGAGAAUUCACAAUUUCAAAUAAAAUUUGCACGUUAUCAUUUUGUAAACAAAUUCUUUCAUCUGUACUACAACAGCAGAUGAUGGAGCUCACUGGGAAUAUUUUUCAUUUUUACCAUUGAUGUGAUAACUAAUAUAAGGCAUUGUGGUUUCUGUGUUUGGGUAUCAUUUCCAGCCUAAGCCUGAUACCAGUGUUUGUGGAUCAAAGCAGAAAGCUGCCACACCACCUGCAGGUUCUGGAGAGCUUCCUUCAACGAGUUCAAGCAAACCCAAGGAGUGGAGUUGUGCCCUCUUGUCAGGUCACUGCUACUACCGAGAGAGGGCUAGACGUGCAUCUCCAAGGCAAGAAGCACAAGGCCAAGGAAAAACUACUUAGAGAUUUGAAGAUGUGCAUUAGCUGCACUUCAAAAAAAUCUAUGGAAAGCAGAAAUAGUGCACCAAGAAAUGAAGCCUAAUUUAGAAGAGGAAUCAGUUGGUGCCAAAAAAACUGUUGUUGGUUUAGACCAGAAAGUGGAGGGUGGUCAAACCCUGCAGGUUAAACCCAAAUCCAAUCUUUGUGGAACAAAUCAGAAUGCUGCUGCACCACCUGCAGGUUCUGGAGAGCUCCCUUCGACAAAUUCAACCAAAACUGAGCAGUGGAGUUGUGCCCUCUGUCAGGUCAGUGCUACGACCCAGAGAGGUCUGGAUGAGCAUCUUCAAGGUAGGAAGCACAAGGCCAAGGUGGCAGAACUACUUAGAGAUAAGAAAAUGUGCAAUAACUCCACUUCAUCCACGUCAAAAAUAUCUACAGAAAGCAGAGAUGGUGUUGGCCAAGAAAUGAAGACUAAAGUACAAGAGGAAUCAGUUAAAGCUAAUAAAACUGUUGUUGGUUUGAACCAGAAAGUGGAGGGUGGUCUAGAUGAGCAUCCUCAAGGUAAGAAGCAGAAAGCCAAGGAAGAAGAACUACUUGGAGCUCAGAAGUGGAUAAAAAAAUCUACAGAAAGCAGAGAUAGUGCUGGCCAAGAAAUGAAGACUAAAGUAGAAGAGGAAUCAUUUAAAGCUAAUAGAGAGAGAUCCAGAUUAGCAUCUUCAAGGCAAGAAGCAUAAGGCCAAGGAAGAAGAAUUACUUGGAGAUCAGAAGAUGUGCAGUAACUCCACUUCAAAAAACUCUACUGAAAGCAGAGAUAGUGCUGGCCAAGAAAUUAAGGCUACUGUAGAAAAGGAAUCAGUUAAAGCUAAUAAAACUGCUGUUGUUUUAGAACAGAAAGUGGAGGGUGGUCAAGAUGAGCAUCUUCGAGGUGAGAAGCACAAGGCGAAGGAAGUGGAGCUAAUUGGAGCUCAGAAGAUGUGCACUUCCUCAUCUUCAACAACAUCAAAAGAAUCUGGAAAGACAAUUAAGCUUACCAAAAGCAGAGAUAGCGCCGGCCAAGAAAUGAAAGCCUAAACAGAAUCAGUUAAAGCUAUUAAAACUGUUGUGGGUUUUGACCAGAAUGUGGGGGGCGAAGAAGAUUCAGAGAACAAAAAUGAGGAGCUGCCAAAGAAGAAGGCGUUGAAUGCAAUCACUCAGAAGACAACAAAUGGAAUACCAACUGGAGGGAUGAUGAGGAGAAAACUUCCCCUUAGAGAGAACUUCGAAUUCUGGUGUGAAGUUUUUCAGGUUGGUACUCACUCCGCUGUUGUGAUGGAGGGUCAUAAAAGGGGGAAGAAACACAUGGCUCGGUCUAAUGGAUCUAGGAAAAAUAAUGAGGCCGUCCCCCUCACCACCCGCACUACAAUUGUGACACCAUCAGAGCCUACUGAGAAUGUUGGAGAUGAAGAUGCGGUGGCCCAAGAAUGAAAUGAAGAAACCGCAGAGAGUGUCAUUGAGAAGGCUGAAGAUGAAGAGGUGGUGGUCUAUAGAGGCAGAUAAAGUGAGCCUGAUGCAGCAGACUCCUUAUUAUGCUGAAGGUAAAGCUCUUAACUUUUAUUUUGCUCUUGCGCUCCAUUUUGAAUGUCUUAAAUUUCAAUGAACCAGCUGCGUGUUACUUUAUCAUUUUAAAACUCAGAAAUUACAAUAAUAAAUUUAAGUUCAUUCUUCCAUCUCGUCAUAUAUGGAUUUGAAGGUACUGAAUGAUGAAGCCUGUAAAUUCAAGCAACAAUACUGUAAUGGGGAUCAUGUGUUGUUCUCUACUCUCCAGUCGUUGGUAAAAAGCUCAAAAAAUGAAAACCAGACACUGUUAGAUCAACCAUUUGAAAGUGCUUCAUAUAUGCAUGAUUAUGACAUUGGACUCUUCGGCCCAAUGCAAAUUUUUCUUGAUCAUGACCUGACGUUAGUUUAUCUUGUGCUGGCAGGUAGUUGGUGGGAUAUCACUAACCACAACUUAUGCAGAAGCUUCCUAACAUCAGCCGUGGGUCCAGGAUGUUUGAUCGGAUCGGCUAAAUUAAAAUUUUUUUGUAUAUGUUUGUGUGAAUAUUUACAAAGGAGUGAAAAAACUAAUAUAUAUUAAAUAACGCGACAUUAAGAACCUCGUUCUGAAUAAAUUUUAUGUAUAUAAUUUGUAAAAUAAACUAAUAAUUAAAAUAACAAUUUACCCUUUUAACUCGUACAGAUACAACCUUAAAUUCCUUAUUUAAUUCAGCUCAUUCAGAGGGAGACAAUUAGACAAAACUUAUUUUAUCAGAGUGAACUGCGAAAGUACUAGCUUAACCAGAGAGAUUAAUGUCGUAGUUUGCACAUUUGUUUAAUUGCAAUUCAACAUAUAUAGGAAGUGAACGUGAAAAUAGAAUUAAUAAUACAUUGCAAGUACCUAAUAAUUUCAGAAGCAAUUAACAGUGACCUUUAUUGGAAAAAUCCAUUAUGAUUAGAAGCAAUCCCAUCACAUACAUGAACAGUUAAAUAUACGCAUCCAUAAUUAGAUAUCACAUUAAUCAACCAAAUACAUUUCUUGGUUUCUAAGCUCCAAAAUUGAAAUUUCAUGAAAAGGUUUUUGCAUUGGUGUCUUAUAGCGAGCGAUAAAUUCGUUGGACACGAGUUGCAUUGUAGGUCGAGACUUUGGUUGAGAACGCAAGCAUGAAAAUGCUACUGUUGAAACAAGAAUGAUAUCCUGCCUAAUCUUUUGAUCCACCGGAGGUGAGAAGCGUGGGUCCAGCAAAUCAAUCAGCUUAAUAUUUUUAUCUAAUGACGAAGAUAACGAUGAGAGGAGCUCUCCAGGAUGCUUUCCCAUUAGUACUUCUAGUGCCUCCACUCCGAAGCUAUAAACAUCAGAUUUCUCCGUCACAAUCAUGGUAUAGGCCAGUUCUAUCGGAAAACAGAAGCCUUUAUUAGUGAUAUUUCGUAUAUAAUAACAAGAGCAAUUUGUUUAUAUUUUUGAGCUUCUGCAGCAAGGUAUGACAAAGAAACAUAUGUUUUUAAUUGAUAUUUAAACUGUGUAUUUUUUUUUUUUUUAAAAAAAAGUUAAACGGGUAGGCAAAGUUCAAAUUUAUCUUUCUAGCUCCUUACCUAUUCCAAAAUUCGAACCUAAGUAGCUAACUAAAUAAAACUGCUUAAAACUUACUUAACAGAGUGCAUAUAGAAAUUAAUUAAAAGAAUAAUUAAAGAAGCAUAAGAAGAACGGCUAGAAGAUUACCUGGAGCAAUAUAUCCAUAAGUGCCAGCUAACAUGAGCCAUGCCCCUCACAGUGUUCACCCUUUUAGCCCAAUCCAAAUCAACAGCUUCCUCAUCUGUGCGUAGAACACAGAACAAGCUUCCCAUUUCCAUGUACUCAUAGAUUAAGAACAUGCAUUUCCUGUGCAAACAAAACCCGUAAAGCUUUACGAUAUUUCGAUGCCGUAUUUGGGACAGUAGACGAGCCUCAUUCCGGAAACUCUCGAGGGAAGCUAACUCCUCAGUUUCUGAACGGUGAAGCUUCUUCAAAGCAACUACUUUUCCACUGGGUAGUCGUGCUCUGUAAACGCUGCCGUAGCUUCCGGUUCCAAUGCAGUAUUUGAUAUGGAAAUCCUCGGUAGCUUCAAUCAUGUUUUGAAAUGUAAUUUUACCGUCGUAAUUCCAAAUUGCAAACUCAUCAGCGCACUUGGUGAUUUCUCCUGUCUCAGCUGGUUCAACUCUCUUAUCCCUUCGUCUACGGACAAACAAGAUUCCAAAUAUCAAGGCAAGCAAUGCGACCAUAGGGAGAAUAAUUGCAACCAAGCGAGUGGCAAUCUUUUUGUGAUGUGGCGGUGGCGAAUUUGCCGAAGUAUUUGGGAUUUUUACCUCGAAAUUGUUGCCUGACACAUAUAAGAGAGGCACUUUUUUGACAGAUUCAGGGAUACUACCGGAGAGGUUAUUCAUGGAAAGGUCCAUGGUGCGUAUGCGUGGAAUUUCUCGAAGCUGGGAAGGUAUUUUACCAUUAAUGGAGUUAUGGCUCAGAUUAAGAUAAUUUAGUUCUUGAAGUUUGUUAAUCUCUGACGGGAUGCUUCCACUUAACAAGUUGUUUCCCAAAUCUAAUUCCCACAGCUUUGAGCAAUUCAUGAGUUUUGGAGGAACUCGACCAUCAAGUUUGUUGUCGUACAGGUCAAGAACUUGAAGAACCUUCAAACUCCCGAUUCCUAAUGGGAUGGAACCAUUAAUUUGGUUUGAGGCAAUAGCCAAAGUAGUUAGCUGGGUUAGAUGACCUAGAGUUGGAGGGAUAUUACCAUGAAGGGCGUUAGAAGACAAGUCCAAAAUUUUCAAUUUGCUUAGAGACCAAGAGUUGGAGGGAUAUAUCCCAAGAGGUAAUUAUUAGAUAGAUCCAGGUGGACCAGAUUCCUCCAUCUCCCCAUCUCUGAAGGGAUAAUUCCUGUUGCGCAUGUGAUUUAUGAAAAAUGAAAUCAGUAUUCACUAUCCUCAUAUAAAUAAAAUUUAUAAAGAAAUGCUUAGGUUGUAAAAAUUAAUAGAUUUUUUAGUGCUCCAAUAGUUUUUUUAUUCUUAUUUUUUGUUGGGGCUCGUCAAUGCUGCAUAUUUUUUACUGAAAGUUAAAUCCGCAGAUGCAACAAAUAUAUCAAUAAAUUAAUACAAAACUAUGGAGAGUGGAGAGAAUCACUCUCAGUGCUCUCAAUUGACUAUCCUAUUGUGUAAAUACAAAAGUAAAUUUAGUAAAUUAAUGAGGAACUGUAUAUGUGUGAAAUUAGAAAUAGUGCUUUUGAUUUUUAAUCAUAUCUUUUAUAGGAUAACCCUGAAUUUUAAUGCAAAGGGGAAAAAAAGAGAGGAAAAGAUACAAACCAAAAAUGCUUAAACCUGCCUUCCUUAAUAAUUACGUACAACUUGUAAUCGCCCAAUGUAACAAUUGCAAUUGAUGGAUGCAAUUUGGAAAAGAAACUGACACUUGAAGCCGAUUCAUUUCAUACAAAAAUUGAAGGAAAAAAAGCCAACCAGCAUAUUCUCCAAAUUAAAACACUACCGAAGUAAUAAACAAAGAUGUAGAAAUUUAUUAUAUAGUUUCACUUUCACACAACAAAAAUGUGCUUAGACGACCAAGAGUUGGAGAGAUAUUACCAUCAAUGCCGUUAGAAGACUAUAGUUUCACUUUCACACAACAAAAAUGUGCUUAGACGACCAAGAGUUGGAGGGAUAUAUCCCCAGAUGUAAUUAUUAGAUAGAUCCAGGUGGACAAGAUUCCUCAAUCUCCCCAUCUCUGAAGGAAUAAUUCCUGUUGCGCAUGUGAUUUAUGAAAAACGAGAUCAGUAUUCACUAUCCUCAUAGCAAAUAAAAUUUAUAAAGCAAUCCUCGUAAAAAAAAACUUCUUCAGUGUUGUAAAAACAGACGCCUGCUUCAAGCAUGAGCACGACUUCAUACAUACAUACAUACAUACAUAUAUAUAGUGAAGUUUCGUAGCAUACCGGUAAGAUAGUUGGAGGACAGUUCAAGAGUUUGGAGCAUUGAAAGGGCAGUAAUUUCAGAUGGAAUGCUCCCAGAGAGAAGAUAAUUUGAAUGAAUUUUGAAACUUCUGAGGUUCGGAAAGCAAGAGAAUUUGAAACGACCAAGCUCUCCUUCGAUGUUAUCAUUUUCAUACCAGAGUAAGCUGACCCCGAGUACGCUUCCCGCUGAAUUGCAACUGAUGCCAGUCCACUUAUAAUGAUCGGACGUGGAGUUGCCCGUCGCCCAAUUGUUGAUCCACCAGCCUGUACCAAGUAUAGCUUCCCUUUCUAACUGUAUGGGUGACGACAACAAUCCUGCAGCUGAUGCUAUUACAAAUACUGUCGUAUCACUUAUAGCACCAACAUUUAUUAAAAUUAUAAUGACCACCAGUCUCGAAACAGAGGACGCUGAUGCCAUGUUUAUGGUGGUUUUCGGUUGAUUGAGCAUUUGAUUCUCAGCAAAGCGUUUAUAUAAGAAUUAAUUGUUUUGCAACUUCCCGGUGUUAAUUUCCAACACGCGUUUUCAAAUAGUGUGAGUCAAGGUCUUCUCUAGAUGGAUUUAAUCAUGGAGAUAUAACCUUAUCGGCUUGUAUUUGUGAGGUGUAGAUCUAUUUGAACAACAUUGCAGAAACAUGAGAUAAUACGGACAAUAUUAGAAAUAAUUAAUAGCAUUAUUAGUAGUAUAAGAUAUUAAGUAUUACCCAAAAUAAGAAAAGGAAAACCGUUCAAAGAAAAUAAUUGUUAUAAAUAAUGGCUCAAAUAGGAAAAUAAACAAGACUAAUCAUAUCUUUUGUAACAUACAUACCAUAGCUCAUGGGCUAACUAACAUUUUUUUUUUUAACCCUAAACAUCAUAAAUGAAAGAAGAUGAAAUUUUCAUUACCGCUCAAUUUUUCUGCACGCAACCAAAUUUUUUUUAAAAAAAAACAAAAAGAAAGUGUUAGAAAAAUAAUGCGCAAGUAGCUACUUGAGGCAUGAUUUUGAAUGAGACCUUUUUGGUAUAAGUGAAAAUUCAGAAAUUGUUUCGCAUAUUCCUCUAUGAGUACUUCGGAAUGUUAUCUAUACGAUCAAAAUGAUCCUCAAGUGAAUGAGAAAUUAUUACUCAAAGUGCACUCAUGAAUUUGAAAAAUUAAAGGAAAAUACAUUUGUCCCACAUUGGAAAGAUUUAUACAUAAUUACUAGAUGAACGGUAAGCUAUUAUAAGCAAAGGGGCGUUCCUUGUGCACGGUCACGGGAGUGCAAAUUUUAACCACCCCAAUUAGCUUAACCAGUGUUCAUAUUGGGGGUGUUUACCCGACCCUUAGUUGGGGUUAGCUAAUGUGGCAACUUAGUUUGCCUUUUUUUUUUUUUCUCUUUGUAAUAAUAAUAAUAACAAAUUAAUAUAAUUUUUUAAUUUAAUAUUAUAUUACAUAAUAUUAAAUUAUGUUUUAAUUUUUAUUAUUUUAAAUAUAUAACUAAACAUUGUAUUAUUUAAUUGUAUUAUUUUAAUUAAUAUAUAAAAUUAUAUUAAUUAAUCUUUAAUAAGUUAAUAUAAUUAGUAAUAAAUACUUAAAUAAUAUAAUAUUACAUUAUUAAUUAUAGUACAAUAAUUAAUUUAGCUAUUUUUAAAUAAUUUAAUAUAACUAACAAUAAAUAUUUAAAUUUGAAUAAUAUUAAUUGAAAAUUAAUAAUAUAAAUAAUUACUGGAUUAUUUAGCUCAAUUAUAUCACUUUAUUAUUCUAUAAUUAUCUUGUAAUAUGUAUAAACUUUUAUUCUAUCAUCCUCAAAUGAUUUUUGAAUUAAUCUUGAAGAUUUCAACUAUUUAUUUAUGUUGUUAAAUUAUUUAGUGAUUAUUUGAUUAAAUUAUUUACUUUGAUCUUUAUUUCAUAAGUUAUAUAUUUAGAAAAUACUAAAAAAUACACUUCCAAAAAUUUAAGACUAUAAGCUUCGGAAGAAUUAUGACAUUUCAAUAUAUAUUUUUAAUAAAAAUGUUAAAUUUCCAAAAUUUAAGAAUUUUAUAUUUAUUAUUUUUAAGUACUAAUAAAUAUUAUUUUCUAAAUAUAUAAUUUAAAUUAAUCACAAAAAAAUUAAUACAGUACAAUGUAACGCCAAACAUUGUACAACAUUAUUAUAAUACAGUGUUAAUGCAAUACAACAUAAUACAAUACACCUGCAAUAAAAUAAUGCAAUACAACAUAAUACAAUACAGUUUGUCAAACACACCAUUGUAUUAUUGUUUCGUUCUCAUUGUAUAAUUGCCGUCCAUACCUGUGCAAAACAUUAAGAGUUAAAAAAAUAUAUUUUUAUGAUUAAUUUUAGAUAUUUUUUAAACUUUAAUAAUGCCAUAUUAUUUAAUAUUACAAUUGCCGUUCGAACAUGUGCAAAACAUGAAGACUAAUAUAUAUAUAUAUACACCAUAUUAUUUAAUAUUUAAUUUUUAAGGCAACUUUUACUUAAAAAAAAAAAAAUUUAAGGCAACUUUUUUAGUUGAGGGCAGGGAACCCCUACGAUACCUAAUUCCAUAACACGCUCAUCUAAUCACCUUGACUAUAAGACUUCUCCUAGUCAGCAAUUAUUUGGAAAAAAACGUCUUGACAUGUGCUGUGGAAAUUAAAGAAUGAGGUGGACUUACGAAGUCAAGGGGUUUUUCUAGUCUACAUAUUUUAAUUUAUAUGUGUAGAAAAUUAGAAAUAUUCAAUGUCUAAUCUGAUUCUACAUAAACACUAAUGCCCCAAGAUUGUGAUUGAAAUGCUAUAAGCAGUUUAUUUUAUAAGUUUAGAUAAAAAUGAGGUUUGAUGGCUUUGUUAAAAGUUGCUUCUUUCACAAUUUUCUCAAUUUUGACUAAAACUUCUAAAAACAGGCAGGAGAUUAUUUUGAUAAGCAACUUAUUAAAUAAGUUGCUAGAUCUUUUUAAAUGUUCCUAUAAUAAUCUUAAUAUUUUAAGAAAAGAAUAAUUAUAUCUUUCUUUUCUAUAAGCUCUAAUAUAUAAAUAAAACACAGUUUAAACUUAUGUCUAUUUUAGUGAUUAAAUAAUACAACACAUUCAUAAUCAAAUUUACCAAACACGAGCAAGACACUUUUUUAACCAUCAACUUAUUUCAUCCUCACAACAAAAAUAACUUAUUUUAUCAGCCACCGCCAUCCUAAACUUGAUGCUAAGUCACGUUUGGGAUUGCAUUAGAUUGUCAAAUAAUUAAGAGAAAUAGCCAUUAUGGAGAAGAAUAGGGAGAGGUUCGCCUAAAGCAAUAUACUCGUAAGCUUGGCUACUAAUAAACGGAGCAUAUAAGCAUAAACACCUAACUUUUGAGGCAUAUAAGGGAUCUAAAAGUGCGGAAACGUUUGGAAAAACUUUAAAACCACAGGGUUUUAAAGGUUUAAACCGCAUGGUUUAUGUGUUUUCCUAGAUAUUCCCGCACUUUAAAAUUUCAGAUUAAAACAUUUCCAUAUGUGUGUGUGUGUGUGUGUGUGUGUGUGGAGGGCAAAUCUUUGACUCUCUCCAGCUUCAAGUACCUAUACGGUAACUCUUAAAUCAAAGGGAGAAAAUGGUUAACCCAAUCUUAUUGUAUAUGAAUUGAUAUUCACCAUAUGAUUAUUACAUAAAGAUUGAGCCUUAAGUGCUUUACAUUAAGUAAUAUUGCACACCUGUUCUACACAUUUAGACAACUCAGAGUAAAAAUAAUGAAAAUGACAACCAAAUCCAAACUACCUGUUCUACACAUUUGAACCCUAAUUUUUUAUUUUAUAGAAAAAUUUAAAUACCGUUUCUUGUUGUCACUGCUAUUAUACUGUCUGAUAUAUCUUCCAGAAUCCUAUAAUCCCCCCCCCCCCCAAAAAAGAAGAAACAAAAAAAGGUAUAUAAUUAAACAGGUAACUUCGAUAGAAAAGAGUGUACAUAAUUCUUAAGCUUAAUUACCCCUCGCUAUUAUAGGGAUCACGAAGGCCAUUAGAGAAAAUAAUGUUGCUACCAAAUCUCUUUAAAACCACUCUUAUAUCUUGCAAAUUAAAAAGAAAUAGAAAUCAAACAAAACUUGAGGUGAACUUUAUAAUUAAAACAGAAAAUGAGAAACCUUAAAAUAUUAGAAGAAUUAAUUUGGGGAUUAAUCGACACUUACAUUACCACUUUAAUAAGUUGUAAUCCAAUGUGGUCUUGGAACCACUCCAUAAGACUUAUUGCAUGAAUCCAUAUAUUCUGUCAGAUUAAAUGUGUCUGCUUGAAACAUUAUGUCGUUUUUGCCAAUUCCAAUUGGUGAGACCAUUUCACUGCAUGUCUGCAUGAGAAACCCCCCAAAAAUAAAAAAUAAUAAUAAUAAAAUAAGAUAAAGAAGAAAACUAUUUUUAAUCAUUCAUAAAUAUAAAGUCUCAUAAAUAAAAUUAAGAGAUGUACAUAAAAUAGGUAUUGUUCUCAUUGCCACAUGUUGUUUAUUUAACGGUCUCAAUAGAACUAACCAAUGAAAUCAUGUCACUUGUAAUUGCAUACCUGUCUGCCCCAGCUGGAGUCCAAUGUUGCAUCGGAGAAGAAUUCAUCAACAUCAUGGCAAGAAUCCUCCCCUCUUAAAUCAACAAUUCCUGAGAAGAUCCGGUCUAGGGUAUCUGUGCCUUCUAAAGCUCCAUCAAUACCAUUACAGGCUUUGUUCACUGGGCUUUCCUGAGGAUCAUCAUACUGAGCUGCACCCGUAUACAUAUACUCUAAAUAAUCUUUCAAUUCUGAAACAUCCUUCAGAGGCCUGUAAUCAAAUAAACAAUAACAUAGAAUUAAGUGCCACAAGGUCAUUAACUUUAUAAAAGAUCUUUCAACAUACUGUCUUAAAAAUGUUGUUAUAUUUAGUUAGAUUACAAUAAACUUUAUAAGUAUGAAGCUAUUGAUAUUCUCAAAUGCAAACGUUCAAAUUUGGCCUCAUUUGAUUAUCAGAGUUUUGCGUGGUUUUGUAGUUUAAAUUUAGAUUCUGCAAAAUAUGGACGUCUGAACCUAAGCACCAGUAUACUAUAUAUGGUAACGCAAAGGCCGUGUAUAAGCCCAAAUCCAGAUUUUUACUUUGUAUAUUACACGUUAAUCGAAAUGUAUAUACACGCUGAGGAUGACAGAUAAUUAAUUAGACAUGGUACAUUCGAUAACGAUGCUAAAAUAACAUUGCAUUAAUUGUAAUUAAGGGAAAAUCGGAUGGAUAUACAAUAUAAGCAGUUAUGUAAAGUAAUAUGAUUAAUUACUUGCAGGUUUUGAACUUUAUAGAGAGAAAAGCAAGUCCAUUUUUUCCAGCAGCGACUUUAUCGAUUUCAGCCUAGGACUGUUUGAUGGUCUUGUAGCAGCUCUCGCUGGCUUCCUGCAUCAUUAAUUUUUAAAAUUCAAUGGCUAAAUUUUAACAAGAAAACAUAAUCAUGCUUAUAUAAAAUUUUAAUUAACUAAUUUAUUUCUUACCCGAAAGUCCUUGGUGACAAGAUCAUAAUAUGCGUUUGACGGUGUGAUAUUCUCAAAGUAGAGAACUGGGGCGGAUGAGGCAACUGCUCCCAAAGCAAUGUGAAGAUACUUCAAGUGAAACCAUGCAGCAAGCAUUGUUGAUAACAAACCAACAAACAAGUAACUCUCGAAACCAUAUCACAUCCCAGAUCUGAUAAAAUAGGAUGAAUUGAGAAGAUUAUUUUUAAAUACAUAAUUAUCUUGAAUAUAUUUAUUAUUUCUUGAUUUUACGAUCGCCAAGAGUAUUCGUUAGUUGCAAUAUUAAAUAAAUUUGUAUCAUAGUAAUAUUGCCGUAGUCAAUAUCUUGAUCGAUCAAUCGUGAUCUAAAUGAGUAAAAUGAUGUGACAGAUGACACGACAUUAAUCAAAAGAUGUAAGUAAGUUAAUAAUAUUAUAAUUUACUUCCUCCAUAAGAUGCUCCAACAACCAUAAUGGGAGACAUUUCGUCCGAUAAAUUUUUCUGGAUGUGUAAGAGAAUCUCUGCGUAAUCAGCCAAAGCUUGAGCAGAGUUGAAAUAUCCACGAAGAGUUGCAUUCUUUGGGGCAUCUUUGCUUGAUACAAAAGGUAUUGAUUUUCCAUAGAACCGAUACUGCAUAAAAAAUUGAAUUAAAAAAAAAAUCCAUCACAACUUUUCGUAUGUGAACUCUAUUUCAAUUAUUAUCAAGCUAGCCUGAUAACAUAUUCUUUACUUACCUCUAUGUAAACUUGUAAGGCUUUAAAUCGAUGAGCACUAUUAGUUAGCCAUCCAAUGCCACCAAGGUCAUCAUAUCAAGACUACUCUCUUCACCAAGAUAUGCCAAUAUCGGCGCCGCCAUGGCUCUGCCACCGCCCCAAUGCUUGAAGUUCAACGCAUAUCUAUGAGGAAAAGUUAAAUAACUUUGUGGAUUAUAGUUAAAGUGAUCAAGUGUUUGAUAAUAAUAGUAAGUUUCGAGAUCAUAAUAGUAACUUUGUGGAUUUUUUUGCUAGGGUUUUGAAAAAUAGUCCUUCCACGAACAGCACCAAGCUUUGGGAUGUUCUUUAAUGGUGAAGUGGAAGCAAAAGCAAAAUUUGUGAGGAGAAGAAGAAAAAGGCAUGGAAGCCACCGACCUUUCAUGGCAAAGUUGUAAAUCCUUAAUUAGCAGGAUGAUUAUGUAAAUACAGAAGAAAUAGAGUUAAGAUUAGAUUAUAAAUUCAGCUUCAAAAUCGACGUGUUUGUUAAUAUAUCCUGGAUUUGUUGUUAUCGUAUAAUUUAAUUAAUGUUGGUUUUAGUUUUAUAUUAGUAUGGAUCUUCAUUUUUCAUAAAAUUAUAGUGUGUCGAAUAUAUAGUUAUCGGUUUCGUAAUUAAUAAAAAUUUUUAUUAUUUCUUUCCUAGUAAUUAAUUAUCUUGUGCUUACCAGAAUAUCACUAACCACAACUUCUGCAGAAGCUUCCUCACCUUCGGAUGACAUCAGCGGUGCGUCCAGGAUGUUUGAUCGGAUCAGCUAAAUUAAAAAUUUAUUGUAUAUGUUUGUGUGAAUAUUUACAAAGGAGUGAAAAAAAACUAAUAUAUUGAAUAACGCGACAUCAAGAACUUCGUUCUGAAUGAAAUUUUUAUAUAUAAUUUGCAAAAUAAGCUAAUAAAUAGAAUGACAAUUUACCCUUUUUAACUUGUAGAGACACAACCUUAAAUUCCUUAAUAUGCUGGUUAAUUCAGAUCAUUGAGAUGGAGACAAUUAGACAAACCUUAUUUUAUCAGAGUGAACUGCGAAAGUACUAGCUUUACAAAAGAGACUAAUGUCGUAGUGUGAAUGGAAUUAAAAAAUACUAAGGCAGACAAUUCGUCGAACACAUAAUAUUUGCUACAUUGCUACUACCUAAUAAUUUCACAACCAAUUAACAGUCUCCUUUAUUGGAAAAAUCACAUUAAUCAACCAAAUACAUUUCUUGGUUUCUAAGCUCCAAAAUUGAAAUUUCAUGAAAAGGUUUCUGCAUUGGUGUCUUAUUGCGAGCGAUAAAUUCGUUGGACACGAGUUGCAUUGUAGGUCGAGACUUUGGUUGAGAACGCAAGCAUGAAAAUACUACUGUUGAAACAAGAAUGAUAUCCUGCCUAAUCAUUUGAUCCCCCGGAGGCGGGAGGCGUGGGUCCAACAAAUCAAUCAGCUUUAUAUUUUUAUCCAAUGACGAAGAUGACGAUGAGAGGAGCUCUCCUGGAUGCUUUCCCAUUAGUACUUCUAGUGCCACUACUCCGAAGCUAUAAACAUCAGAUUUCUCUGUCACAACCAUGGUGUAGGCACGUUGUAUAGGAAAACGGAAGUCUUUAUUAGUAAUGUUUCCAUAAACAAUAACAAGCACAAUUUGUUCAUGUUUUUUAGCUUCUUUAGCAAGGUAUGACAGAGAAGCAUAUGUUCUAACUGAUAUUCAGUGUAUGUGUGUUUUGAAAGGUAAAGGGAUAGGUAAAGUCUAAAUUCAGUUAUAGCUCCUUAGUUUUUUCAAAAUUCGAACCCAAGUAGCGAGCUAAAUAAAGCUGGUUAAAAACUACUUAGCAGAGUAUAUAUAAAAAUUAAAUAAGAGGAUAACUAAAGAAGCAUAAGAGGAAUAGCUAGAAGAUGACCUGGAGCAAUAUAUCCAUAAGUGCCAGCUAACAGAGUUCGAUUGGAUGAGUCAAAAUUUAACAAUCUAGCAAUACCAAAGUCAGCAACAAAAGCUUCGAAUUCUGAGUUGAGUAGAAUGUUGUUGCUUGAUAUGUCGCGGUGAACAAUUGGUGGUGUGCAGUGAUGAUGCAAGUAUGACAAAGCAUGAGCCAUACCCUUCACAAUGUUCACCCUUUUAGUCCAAUCCAACCCAACAGCUUCCUCAUCUGUGCGUAGAAUACAGAACAAGCUUCCCAUUUCCAUGUACUCAUAGAUCAAGAACAUGCAGUUCUCGUGCAAACAAAAGCCGUAAAGCUUUACAAUAUUUCGAUGCCGUAUUUGGGACAGUAGACGAGCCUCAUUCCGGAAACUCUCGAGGGAAGCUAACUCCUCAGUUUCUGAACGGUGAAGCUUCUUCAAAGCAACCACUUUUCCACUGGGCAGCCGUGCUCUGUAAACGCUGCCGUAGCCUCCGGUUCCAAUGCAGUAUUUGAUAUCGAAAUCCUCAGUGGCUUCAAUCAUGUCUUGAAAUGUAAUUCUACCAUCGUAAUUCCAAAUUGCAAACUCAUCAGCGCACUUGGUAAUUUCUCCUGUCCCAGUUGGUUCAACUUCCUUAUCCCUUCGUCUACGGAUAAUCAAGAUUCCAAAUAUCAAGGCAAGGAAUGCGACCAUAGCAAGAAUAAUUGCAACCAAGCGAGUGGCAAUUGUUUUGUGAUGUGGCGGUGGCGCAUUUGCCAAAGUAGUUGAGAUUUCUCCUCCCAAUUUAUUGCCUGACACAUCUAAGUGUGGCACUUUUCUGACAAAUACAGGGAUUCCACCGGAAAGGUUAUUCAUGGAAAGGUCCACAGUGUCUAUGCGUGGAAAUUCUCCAAGUUGGGAAGGUAUUUUACCAUUAAUGAAGUUACCGCUUAGAUCAAGAUAAUAUAGUUCUUGAAGUUUGCCGAUCUGUGACGGAAUGCUUCCGCUUAACAAGUUGUUUCCCAAUUUUAAUAUCCUCAGCUUUGAGCAAUUCAUGAGUUCUGGAGGAAUUGGGCCAUCAAGUUUGUUGUUGUACAUAUUCAAAGUAGUUAAUUGAGUCAAAUGACCCAGAGACGAAGGGAUUGGGCCAACAAGUUUGUUUUGGGACAAGUCUACACUUCUCAACCACUUUAAAUGGCCAAGUGUUGUAGGAAUUGAACCUCCAAUUUCAUUUCUGGACAGGUCAAGAGCUUGAAGAACCUUCAAACUCCCGAUUCCUAAUGGGAUGGAACCAUUCAUUUGGUUUGAGGCAAUAGCCAAAGUAGUUAGCUGGGUUAGAUGACCUACAUUGGAUGGGAUAUUACCGACAAGGGAGUUAAAAGACAAGUUCAAAAUUUUCAAUUUGCUUAGACCACAAAGAGUUGGAGGGAUAUGUCCCAUGAGGUGAUUAUCAGAUAGAUCCAGGUGGACGAGAUUCCUUAAUCGCCUCAUCUCUAAAGGGAUAAUUCCUGUUGUGCAUGUGAUUUAUGAAAAACGAGAUCAGUAUUCACUAUCUUCAUUAAAAAAAAAUUACAUAGAGGGAGAGUCAAGCUCAAGUGCGGACGACUCACACUUCUUUAGUGUUGUAAAAACAGACGCCUGCUUUAAGCAGCAGCGCGAUUUUAUACAUACAUAUAUAUAUAUAUGGUGAAGUUUCACAGCUUACCGGUAAGGCCGUUGUAGGGCAGUUCAAGAGUUUGGAGCAUUGAAAGGGCAGUAAUUUCAGAUGGAAUGCGCCCAGAGAGAACAUAAUUUGUACGAAUUUUGAAAUUUCUGAGGUUCGGAAAGCAAGAGAAUUUGAAACAACCGAGCUCUCCUUUGAUGUUAUCAUUUUCAUACCAGAGUAAGCUGACCCCGAUUACGCUUCCCGCUGAAUUGCAACUGACGCCAGUCCACUUACAAUGAUCGGACGUGUAGUUGCCCGACGUCGCCCAAUUGUUGACCCACCAGCCGGUAGCAAGUAAAGCUUCCCUUUCUAACAGUAUGGGUGACGACAAUAAUCUUGCAGCUGAUGCCGUUACAGAUAUUGUCGUAUCACUUAUAGCACCAACAUUUAUUAAAAUUAAAAUGACCACCAAUCUCGAAACAGUGGAUGCUGCUGCCAUGUUUAUAAUGGUUUUCGGUUGAUUGAGCUGGCUAUUUGAUUCCUUGCAAAGCGUUUAUAUAAGAAUUAAUUGUUUUGCAAGCUCCCGGUGUUAACUUCCAAUACGCGUUUUCAAAUAGUGUGAGUCAAUGUCUUCUCUGGAUGGAUUCAAUCAUGGAGAUAUAACCUUAUCGGCUUGUAUUUGUGAGGUGUAGAUCUAUUUGAACAACUUUGCAGAAACAUGAGAUAAUAUGGACAAUAUUAGAAAUAAUCAAUAGCGCUAUUAAGAUAUUAAAUAUUACCCAAAAUAAUAAAGAAAAAAAAAAGCUCGAAGGAUUGUUGUUGUAAAAUAUGACUCAAAUAGAAAAAUAAACAAGACUAAUCAUAUCUUUGUAUAAAUUUAAGUAUAAAAAAAACUUGUAGGUGUAUUAUUAUAAUAAGCUGUAGAGAAAAGAAUUUGUAGACUUCUGUGAUUUGACAAAAUAAUAAAAUAAUCCCUUUAUUUUUUAAAAUAGUUACAAAACUCCUUUUGCAACAUGCAAACUAUAUGGAAAAUUGGAAAUUCAUGGGCUACCUAAUAUCCCUCUUAUUUUUUUAUUUUUUAUUUUACACCAAAACAUCAUAGACAAAAGAAGAUAAAAAUUUCAUUGCACUCAAUUUUUUUCAUGAAAUCAAACAAGGAAAAGAAGCAAAAAGUGUUGGAAAUAUAGCACAAGUUACUAUUUGAUGCGUGAUUUUGAGUGAGACUUAUCUGUUGUUUCAAAUAUUCCUCCGUAAAUACUUCAGAAUGAUUUUACCUAUAUAAUCAAAAUAACCCUUGGAUAAAUGAGAAAUUGUUACUCAAAGUAAAUUCAUGGAAUUGGAAAAGUAAAGGAAAUUAUAUUUGUCCCACAUGAAAAAGAUAGCAAAGGCAUGAAAGGUUUGUAUAUAAUUACUCAUGUGUGUAUAAGUAAAAUAUAAACCAAGACGCUCUCUCUUCCGUGCCCCAUCCUAAGUACACAAAUUCAAUGUGAUACGAUCCUAUAGUUUCCGUUCAAACCUAUGCACACUUUAAAAAAAGGUUUUUUUUAAUAUAUUUUUUAUGUAUUUUACAUUUUUUUUAAAAUUUAAUAAAUGCCAUAUUAUUUAAAUAUUUAAUUUUAAGGCAUCUUUUUUAAGUUGAGGGCAAGGAACCCCUCCGAUACGUAAUGCCGAAACAUGCUAAUCUAAUCACCUUGACUUUAAAGACUGCUUCCCCUAGUCAGCAAUUAUUUGGAACUUACGUCUUGACAUGUGCUGUGGAAAAUAAAGAAUGAAGUAGACUUAUUGAGUCAAGCUGUUUCUUCAAUCCAGAUAUUUAGUUUAUACGUGUGCAAAUAUUCAAUGCCUAACUUUAUUCUGCACAAAGCCUAAUGUCCUAUUUGGGAUAACGGUUGAAAUACUUAUAAGUUUUGAUAAAAAUGAUGUUUGAUAAAUUUGUUAAAAGUUUAAUUCAUAUUUUCUCCAUUUUGACAAUAACUCUUAAAAUAAGUAUGAGAUUGUCUUUUAUAAGCAACUUAUUAAAUAAAAUGCCAUUUUUUUAAAGUUUCUAUUAUAACUUUAAUAUUUUAAGAAAAGAAUAAGUGUAUCUUAUUUUUUAAAAAAUCCUAAUAUAUAAGUAAAAGACAAUUUAAACUUAUGUUUAUUUUAAUGAUUAUAUAAUAAAAUAUUAUUUUCGUAAUCAAAUUUACCAAACACUGAGUGAGCUACUUUUAUAAUCAUUAGAUAAUUCCAUUCACAUCGCAGAAGCAGCUUAUUUCAACAGCCACCAAAAUCUUAAACUGAUCCUAAGUCAUGUUCGGAAUUGCAUGGGAUUGUCAAAUAAUUAACAAAAGAAGCUAUUAUGUAGGAGAAUAGGAACAGGUUCACCUGGAGCAAUAUACUCAUAAGCUUGGCUACUAAUAAACGGAGCGUGUAAGGAUAAACACCUAAGUUUUGAGAGAUACAUGUAUCUGGAGGGCAAAUUCUUUUUCUCCCACCGGCUUCAAGGACCUAUACAGUAACUCCUAAAUCAAAGGGAGAAAAUGGUUAAUCCAAUGUGGUUGUGUAUGAAUUGAUAUUCACCGUAUGAUUAUUACAUAAAGAUUGAACCUUUGUACGUGCUUUAUAUUAAGUAAAACUGCACACUUGUUCUACACAUUUAGACAACCCAGAUUAAGAAUUAUGAAAAUGAAAUCUACAACUAGCUAGGUGCACUAUUAUUUAUCUUUGCUCCUUAAAUAUUAGAAAGAUAGAGGAGAGGGAGAAAAAGAAAAGACUAAUUUUGUAGUCCAAAUUUAAUCUUAUGCUCUGAUUUUGAAGCAAAUCAGCAGAGUAUUUGAGGAACCAAUCAUGAACCAUGUCCAUUUCAAUCUUUCGCUGCAUUACUAACCAUUCGGGGUCAUCUUCUGUUGCUGGCUGUAUGUCUAAGCAAUGGGAACCUGCUCCAAUUUACACACUAUUAAUUAUGUUAUCCAAUAAUUUAGUUAAUAAUUGAACACUAAUUUUUUAUUUUAUAGAAAAAGUUACAUACUGUUUUUUGUUGUCACUGCUAUUAUAUUGUUUGAUAUAUUUUCCAGAACCCUAUAAUCCCAAACAAAGAAAGAAAAAGAAAAAGGUAUAUAAUAAAACGGGUAACUUCAAUAGAAAAGAAUAUCCAAAAUUCUUAAGCUAAAUUACCCAGCGCUGCUACAGGGAUCGCGGUGGCCAUUAGAGAAAACAAUGUUGCUACCAAAUCUCUUUAAAACCACUCUUAUAUCCUGCAAAUUAAAAAGAAAUAAAAAUCAAACUCAAGAACGAGGUGAAGUUUUUAAUUUAAAAAAGGAAAGAAAAAGAGAAAAUUAAAAGAAUUAAUUUGGGGAUUAAUUGACACUUACAUGACCACCAUAAUAAGUUGUAAUCCAAUGUGGUCUUGGAACCACUCCAAAAGACUUAUUGCAUGAAUCCAUAUAUUCUGUCAGAUAAAAUGGGUAUGCUUGAAACAUUGUUUCCUUUUGGCCAAUUCCAAUUGGUGAGACCAUUUCACUGCAUGUCUACAUGAGAAACCCCCUAUAUUAAUAAUAAUAAUAAUAAGAUAAAGAAGAAAAAUAUUUUUAAUCAUUCAUAAAUAUAUAGUGUUAGAGUGCAAUUUAUGCACUAGUUUUGCAUUGUUUACUUCCCUUAAUAUCGAUGUUUUGCACUUAAUAAUAGUGAUUUACUUGUGUUUUACUUUUGUGGGUGCAGUUCUAUUGAUUUGUGAUAAAAUUGAGCUAUAAGAUGUUGUUUAAAGAUGAUUGUUCUCUUGGAGAAAUUUAGAGCGUCAGAAGAACUUUGUUGAUAAGGCGUGGGCGCGUGCUGUCAACUGCGGGCCUGCAGUUUUUAGUUUAACAUGUUUUGUAUUUUUGGUUAUUUUGUAAUUACGAAUUUAAUAUUUCAGUUAUUAGUAUUUUAUUUUAAAUAGAAUUCUAAAAGAGAAGAGAGAGAGAGUAUUUAAGGGAGGAAUCUAUUGUGAAAAAGGAGACUUUUGGAGAAGAGAAAGAAACCUUAGGUCUAAACUUUUCUCUUCUCUCUAUGAAGCACUAAACCUAUUUUUCUGGUUGAAGGAUAAUGAAGCUUUGAUUCAUCACUACUGUGAGAUCUAUUUUAUGCUUUAAUUGUUUUAUUGCUUUUUGGGUAUUUGUUUAUUCUCUGAAUUAUUUUCAUGAUUAUGUUUGUUAAUUAGGUAAUUGGCCACUAUUUAAUUAUCAACUUAAUCUAUUAUUAAUUAAAGGAUUCAUCGUAUGAAAAUUUUAAUGUUUGUGACAAAUAACAUACCAAUGAGUUGUGUUAUGAGAAUAAACAAUCUAAUUUAAAUGAAUCAUCGUAUGUGUUGAUUAGGAUUUGGGUCUCUCUGGUCUUUCAGGCUAUCAAUUGAUUAAAUCCUAUGAUCGUAUCUAGGAUUGUCUAUUGAUUAGGGAAAUAGCCAACGGUCGUACCUUGGUUAUCGACUAGUUAAGGAGAGAUUGGCUAUUAGAGGGUCUCAGUAGCUAUAACCGGUCUAUUCAUAAGUAAUAAUAAUCUAUAUUUGAAUCAAUGAUCAGUAAUCGAAUCUAGCUGAAUUAAUUCCUUCAACCAGAGCUUUCUCCAAUUUGAAUUACAACUUUAAUUUGCAUUCUUGUUAUUUUAAUUUGAUUUUUAUUAUUGUCAACAAAACCCCCAUUUUAUGUUUUACGUUUUAAAAGGAUUUAAAUAAUUACCGAUCUCUGUGGACACGACCCUGCUCAAUCACUAUACACAAUUUAUUUAGAGUAGGAAUUUAUUUUUGUUGGCUUCGACAACCAUCGUAUAGUCAUAUAAAUAAAAUUAAGAGAUGUACAUAAAAUAGGUAUUGUUAGGCGAAAGACUAAUUCAUUGCGACAUGUUGUUUAUUUGAUGGUCUCAAUGGAACUAUCCAAUGAAAUCACGUCAUCUGUAAUCGCACUUGAGCAGAGUUGAAAUAUCCACUAAGAGUUGCAUUCUGUAGGGCAUCUUUACAUGAUACAAAAGGCACCGAUUUUCCAUAGAACUGAUGCUGCACAAAAAAUCAAAUUAAAAAAUAUAUAUAUAUCACAACUUUUUAGUUGAUAUUAUAGAUUAAAUUUAUCUUUAUUAUUAUUGUUUCGCGUUCGAACUCUGUUUCAAUUAUUAUCAAAUUCUUUACUUACCUCUAUGUAAACUUGUAAGCCUUUAAAUCGAUGAGCAUUAUCAGUAACCUGGAUUUGUAUGUUAUUAGGAGGUCGUUGCUUAGAGAUUCCCAUGUCCACUCUUAGUGCCAAAAGACUUGGUCUUGAUGCACAGGUGACAAGUUUGUUGGGGAGUACAUUUGGACUCGCUAUCUUGAUUUAGUUCCAAACAUCAUAGCAUUUGGUUAUUUAUGUUGGUCAAAGUUCGCAAGUUCAGUUUGCGUGGUCAACUCAAGUAGACGAGAGAGUUGUGCAACUCUUGACCAUGCGUGCAAAUGCCAAUGUAUGUGGCUUUAAAAUUUGGCAGUGAGGACGUAUGAUCCCCCACAGCCUGGAAUCAAUGUGUGUCUGAAACCUUUUUUGAACGAAAACACGGAGCAAAUGUGAGCUUCUCGCAGGCUAAGGUUCCAAGAGAGGUUACAUAUGUUUACCAUGAAGUGUCAUAUGAACUUGUACAGAUUGAUUUCCGAUGUUUCUUUUUCCCGGUAAUUUCUUAUUUUAAAUCUUAUUGCUUGUCUUUGUGUAUGUGCGUUGGGCUGGAGGCUCCAUUGAAAUGGUGUUUCCUCAAAUUAUGAAUUAUAAUGCUCGUAAGUGUUAAUAUCAUCUCUUCUAGUCCAGCUUAUUAAGAAAGUCUUUCAGAAUCCUAUUCAAACAUAUUCCUUUUUUUUUUGUUUUUUGGAAGGAAAGAUUUUCUUGCUGGAAAUGUUGUUAAUUAACAAGGAUUCUGGUUGUAUUAACUAUUUUGUAAACAAAUUCUUUCAUCUGUACUACAAUAGCAGAUGACGGAGCUCACUGGGAAUAUUUUAUAUUUUUACCAUUGAUGUGAUAACUAAUAUAAGGCAUAAUGGUUUCUGUACCAUUUCCAGCCUCAGCCUGAUUCCAAUACUUGUGGAUCAAAGCAGAAAGUUGCCACACCACCUGUAGGUCCUGGAGAGCUUCCUUCAACGGGUUCAAACAAACCCAAGGAGUGGAGUUGUGCCCUCUGUCGGGUCAGUGCUACUACCGAGAGAGGUCUAGAUGAGCAUCUUCAAGGUAGGAAGCACAAGGCCAGGGUUUCAGGACUAAUUAGAGAUAAGAAAAUGUGCAGUAACUCCACUUCAUCCACGUCAAAAAAAUCUACUGAAAGCAGAGAUGGUGUUGGCCAAGAAAUGAAGACUAAAGUACAAGAGGAAUCAGUUAAAGCUAAUAAAACUGUUGUUGGUCUAGACCAGAAAGGGGAGGUUGGUCUAGAUGAGCAUCCUCAAGGUAAGAAGCAGAAGGCCAAGGAAGAAGAACUACUUGGAGCUCAGAAGUGGAUAAAAAAUCUAAUGAAAGCAGAGAUAGUGCUGGCCAAGAAAUGAAGACUAAAGUAGCAGAGGAAUCAGUUAAAGCUAAUAGAACUGUUGUUGGUUUAGACCAGAAAGAGGAGGGUUGUCAAGCCCUGCAGGUUAAGCCCUAUCCCAACCUUUGUGGAUCAAAGCAGGAAGCUGCCACACUACCUGCAGGUUCUGGUGAGCUCCCUUUGACCAGUUCAAGGAAACCCAUGGAUUAAAGCUGUGCCCUCUGUCAGGUCAGCACUACUCACAACAGAGAUCCAGAUUAGCAUCUUCAAGGCAAGAAGCACUAGGCCAAGGAAGGAGGACUACUUGGAGAUGAGAAGAUGUGCAGUAACUCCACUUCCAGAAACUCUACUGAAAACAGAGAUAGUGCUGGCCAGGAAAUUAAGGCUACUCUAGAAGAGGAAUCAGUUACACCGAAUAAAAAUAUCGUUGAUUUAGACCAGAAAGUGGAGGGUGGUCAAGAUGAGCAUCUUCAAGGUGAGAAGCACAAGGCGGAGGAAGCGGAGCUAAUUGGAGCUCAGAAGAUGUGCACUACCUCAUCUUCAUCGACAUCAAAAGAUUCUGGAAAGACAAGUAGACCAGAAAGUGGGUUAAGACCAGAAAGUGCUGGCCAAGAAAUGAAAGCUAAAGUAGAAGAGGAAUCAGUUAAAGCUAUUAAAACUGUUGUUGGUUUAGACCAGAAAGUGCAGGGUGAAGAAGAUUCAGAGAACAAAAAUAAGGAGCUGCUAAAGAAGGACUUGAAUGCAAACACUCAGAAGAUGACAAAUGGAAUACCGACUGGAGAGACGAUGAAGAGAAAACUUCCCCUUAGAGAGAAUUUCGAAUUCUGGUGUGAAGUUUGUCGAGGAGCUCAGAAGAAAUGAAGAGAAACUUCAUAUAUGCAUGGUUAUGACAUUGGACUCUUCGGCUCAAAGCAAAUUUUUCUUGAUCAUGACCUGACAUUAGUUUAUCUUUUGCUGGCAGGUAGUUGGCGGGAUAUCACUAACCACAACUUAUGCAGAAGCUUCCUAACAUCAGCGGUGGGUCCAGGAUGUUUGAUCGGAUCAGCUAAAUUAUUGUAUAUGUUUGUGUGAAUAUUUACAAAGGAGUGAAAAAACUAAUAUAUUAAAUAUCAAGAACCUCGUUCUGAAUGAAGUUUAUAUAUAUAAUUUGUAAAAUAAACUAAUAAUUAAAAUGACAAUUUACCCUUUUAACUCGUAGAGAUACAACCUUAAAUAAUAACAAGAGAGGAGCUCUCCAGGAUGCUUGUAGUGUCUAAAAAAUUAUCAUCAAUGAAAAUGGGAAUGGGAGGGCGUGGUGGGGUUGAUGAUCUAAGACUCUUUGCUCAUCACUGGUGGCCGUAAUAAUGGGGGCUUGGAGCACCUUCACUUCAACCCCCAGCAGCUCCUCGGCCUUUACCACUCAAUGAGCAAACCCUCUGGCGGCAGCAGCAUCUCCUGUGGCUAUCAUUGUUGCUGAACGAUAAAUUUGUGCUGCCCCUGAGAAGCUGAAAUUGCAAGAACAAGGCAGCAACUCAAAAACCAGCAAUCUUUUAAAUGUAAGCAAGCAUAAUAAUUAUUCAUAAAACGUUGAAACACAAAGUCCUGCUAGAUUCAAAAUUUAGAAGACUCGUGAUACAAUAAGAACUUAAAGUGUAUAUACGAUUAUGCAUUACAAGUGAAGUUGCAUGCUAUAUGAAGUUUUAAAAUAUGUCUCACUUUUCAAUGAUUUCUGGUAAAUCGCUAAUCCGAUAAUAUCAAAUAUCCUUCAUAAUCUUCAUCUUCCUCUUCUUCGUCGUCAUCGUCUUCUUUAGAUAUUUUUCCUCCUUCAACACCGUUAACCAUAUUUUUCAACUGCAAUGUCAGUUUGGAAGUAAUAUUUAUGAAGUUCAACAAGUUUCAAAUUUUGAUAUUGUUUGAAAUGUGAAUGAUAAGUACAACUUCUACCAUUAUUUAUAGAAAAAUAUGCAAUAUUGGCUUUGAGGAAAUAUAAUAAAGUUUACAAUUAAGAAAGGUGUAAUCCUAAAUCUCGAAAAAUCUGAUACUAAAUCUUAAAAUGUAAAUAUUUAAAUCCCGAAGAAUCCGAUGCAUAUUCUAACAGAUAGUGUUAUAAUUGUUGGAUUUACAUGGAGUCUAAUUAUAGUAUUAACGUUAGUACUCGAAUUCUCAUAUGAUCUAAACUUCUCUUGAGUAAAACUCACAUGGGAGAUUUGUGAUCCAUAAAUAAUUAUAUAAAAAAAAGAUAGUAAUUAAAUCAUAAUCGGGAGCGCUUAGAUCUUUUUUAUUUUUACUAUGAAGAGCUCAAUCGGGAGAAAAUUUAAAUUUUUAAGGGGAAAAAGCAACCCACACUCCCGAAGUUUGCUUAAAUAGUCACACAAACCCCCUUAAUUUCAUAAAUGAUGGAUUGCAUACCAUUAAGUCUAAAUUUCAUAAAUACUGUAAUAUUUUUAUCUAAUGAUGAAGAUAACGAUGAGAGGAGCUCUCUAGGAUGCUUUCCCAUUAGUACUUCUAGUGCCACCACUCCAAAGCUAUAAACAUCAGAUUUCUCCGUCACAACCAUGGUGUAGGCAAGUUCUGUAUGAAAACAGAAGCCUUUAUUAGUGAUGUUUCCUAAAUAAUAACAAGAGCAAUUUGUUUAUAUCUUUGAGCUUCUGCAGCAAGGUAUGACAGAGAACCAUAUGUUUUUAACUGAUAUUUAAAGUGUAUUUUUUUUUUAAAAAAAAGUGAAACUGGUAGGCAAAGUUCAAAUUCAUUUUUCCAGCUCUUUACCUAUUCAAAAAUUUGAACCUAAGUAGCUAAUUAAAUAAAACUGCUUAAAAAUUACUUAACCGAGUAUAUACAAAAAUUAAUUAAAAGAAUAAUUAAAGAAGCAGAAGAAGAAUAGCUAGAAGAUUACCAGGAGCAAUAUAUCCAUAAGUGCCAGCCAAUAGAGUUCGAUUGGAUGAGUCAAAAUUUAAUAAUCUAGCAACGCCAAAGUCAGCAACAAAUGCUUCUAAUUCUGAGUUGAGUAGAACGUUGUUGCUUGAUAUGUCGCGGUGAACAAUUGGUGGUGUGCAGUCAUGAUGCAAGUAUGACAAAGCAUGAGCCAUGCCCUUCACACCGUUCACCCUUUUAGUCCAAUCCAACCCAACAGCUUCCUCAUCUAUGCGUAGAAUACAUAACAAGCUUCCCAUUUCCAUGUACUCAUAGAUCAAGAACACGCAGUUCUCGUGCAAACAAAAGCCGUAAAGCUUUACGAUAUUUCGAUGCCGUAUUUGGGACAGUAGACGAGCCUCAUUCCGGAAACUCUCGAGGGAAGCUAACUCCUCAGUUUCUGAACGGUGAAGCUUCUUCAAAGCAACCACUUUUCCACUGGGCAGCCGUGCUCUGUAAACGCUGCCGUAGCCUCCGGUUCCAAUGCAGUAUUUGAUAUGGAAAUCCUCAGUAGCUUCAAUCAUGUCUUGAAAUGUAAUUCUACCGUCGUAAUUCCAAAUUGCAAACUCAUCAGCGCACUUGGUGAUUUCUUCUGUCUCAGCUGGUUCAACUCUCUUAUCCCUUCGUCUACGGACAAACAAGAUUCCAAAUAUCAAGGCAAGGAAUGCGACCAUAGGGAGAAUAAUUGCAACCAAGCGAGUGACAAUCUUUUUGUGAUGUGGCGGUGGCGAAUUUGCCGAAGUAUUUGGGAUUUCUACCUCGAAAUUGUUGCCUGACACAUAUAAGAGAGGCACUUUUUUGACAGAUUCAGGGAUGCUACCGGAAAGGCUAUUCAUGGAAAGGUUCACGGUAUCUAUGCGUCGAAUUUCUCCAAGCUGGGAAGGUAUUUUACCAUUAAUCAAGUUAUGGCUUAAAUCAAGAUAAUUUAGUUCUUGAAGUUUGCCAAUCUCUGACGGAAUGCUUCCGCUUAACAAGUUGUUUCCCAAUAUUAAUAUCCGCAGCUUUGAGCAAUUCAUGAGUUCUGGAGGAAUUGGACCAUCAAGUUUGUUGUUGUACAUAUUUAAAGUAGUUAGCUGAGUCAAAUGACCCAGGGACGACGGGAUUGGACCAACAAGUUUGUUUUCGGACAAUUCUAAAUCUGUCAACCUAUUUAAAUGACCAAGUGUUAAAGGAAUAGAUCCAGUUAGAUUGUUAUAUUCCAGGGACAGAGAUGUCAAGUUGACUAAACCAGCUAUGGUGGAAGGAAUUGGACCUUCAAGUUUGUUGUCGGACAGGUCAAGAACUUGAAGAAAGUUCAAAUUCCCGAUUUCUAAUGGGAUGGAACCAUUGAUUAGGUUUGAGUGCAUAUAAAAAGUAGUUAGCUGAGUCAAAUGACCUACAGACGAAGGGAUUGGGCCAACAAGUUUGUUCUGGGACAAGUCUAAACUUCUCAACCUCUUUAAAUGGCCAAGUGUUUGAAGGAAUUGAACCUCCAAUUUCAUUUCAGGACAGGUCAAGAACUUGAAGAAAGUUCAAAUUCCCGAUUUCUAAUGGGAUGGAAACAUCAAUGUGGUUUGAGGCAAUAGCCAAAGUAGUUAGAUGGGUUAGAUGACCUACAAUGGAGGGGAUAUUACCAACAAGGGAGUUAGAAGACAAGUGCAAAUUUUCCAAUUUGCUUAGACGACCAAGAGUUGGAGGGAUAUAUCCCCAGAGGAAAUUAUCAGAUAGAUCCAGGUGGACGAGAUUCCUCCAUCUCCCCAUCUCUGAAGGGAUAAUUCCUGUUGCGCAUGUGAUUUAUGAAAAACGAGAUCAGUAUUCACUAUCCUCAUAGAAAUAAAAUUUAUAAAGAAAUGCUUAGGUUGUAAAAAUUAAUAGAUUUUUUAGUGCUCUAAUAGUUUUUUUUUUCUUAUUUUUUGUUGGGGCUCGUCAAUGCUGCAAAUUUUAGACUGAAAGUUAAAUCUGCAGAUGCAACAAAUAUAUCAAUAAAUUAAUACAAAACUAUGGAGAUUAGAGAGAAUCACUCUCAGUGCUCUCAAUUGACUACCCUAUUGUUGUGCAAAUUUUAAUGAACUCGCAAGCGCACGAAUCUAUUGUAGUAUAGACUAAUGGUGACGAGUGUCGAUCCCACGAGGAGGUGGAUUUUAAUUAUAUAUAGAAUUAAUUUUGUAAAUGGGUGGUUGGAAUUGUGGUGGAAGUGAUUUAAAUUAUCCUAAAAUUGGAAUUGAAAUGGCGAUAAUAAAUUCUAAAAUUGGACUUGCAAUGGCGAGAAUAAAUUGAAGAGAAAUCUAUUAAAAUGACUUAUUUGGGUAUCUGGAUCCGUAUCAACAUGCAUCAUGGGCUAAAUAUUCCUUAUUAAUGCCAAUUAAAUCAUGAGGGGGGAAUCCACACCUCAUGAACCACGCUCUAAUCAAUAUGGUGCUAAGGGCUUAUCGUGCCAAAUAAUAAUAACCUUGUACUAGAGGGCCGGUGAAACCAAGGCGGUACUAGACAAGAUUAGUAUUAUUUGUCGACGAGAAGUCAAAACAUCCACAAAAACUAGAGGGGAAGAGAAAAUAAAUUUACCAAAUUAAGCCCAUGACACAUGUUGAGACUUCACCUUCAACCCAAGCUUGAAAGAAAAUUAGCCACUCAUAAUUGAACUAGGGGCAAAAUGAGAAUUUAUUAAAAUACGAAGAAAAUACAAGAUAAAGAAGGAAUUACAGAAAAUAAAGUCCAAAAAUGGAUUCAGCGAUAUCAAAUUAGGGGGGGGAGGCCCCCUUUUUAUAGAUACAUGGAGUAAAUUAUGGCCAUCGGAUUAAAAACAGUUUGGACGCUCAGGAUUACGCCACGUCAUCAGUCAACAGUCCACGGUUUGACCACGUGGAUGAACAGUAAUACGGUUUGACUCGGAUGAACAGUAACGCGGUUUGGUUGAAAAUAAUCCUGUGUGAUGCAUGUACCGUACGCGAGAUUUUUCGUCCACUGAUAUGCUGCCACGUCACCAUCAACAGUACAUAAGAAUUUUAGCCCAACAGGAUCGUGACACCUCAUCAGUCAAUGCCACAUCAUCAUCUGUCUAUGUGAACAGUGUCGUGAACAGUAACGUAUAUACAGUACCGUACACGUGAAUAGUACCGUACAUGUGAUCAGUGCCAUUUUUCUUUUUAUGCUUCUCCUAAGGUUUUCGACCGUCCUGAGUUCAAAAGUGAUGUCCGUUUUGCCAUCUGAUUUCUCGUUUAUUGUGAAAUGACUAUGAUGCCCCUAAAAUACAUAAAAUACUUAAUUAAAAUAAAACACAUGUAAUUAAAUCACAAGAAAGUUAAAUACAUAAAAGUAAGGGUUGUUAAUAAGACUUGAAAUGUAAAAUGACGGUUUUCUCCUUUAUAAAUAUGCAUUUUCUAACACUCAACACACCCCCCAACCAGUUUAUUGCUAGUCCCUAGCAAAUAAAGCGAAAACAAAAAAAAUAAUUUUUUUUAAUAGAAACACUCAUAUUUAUUCCAUCAGAUUAAUGAUAGCAAUUAAAUAAAAGUAUAAGCAUUAUCUCCAGUCUAAAGCAACAUCACACCCACAUCAACCAUCCACAUGAAUCAGCCCAGUAGACUUUGUCAUAGCUACUUUCAAGAAUGACAUGUCAAACCCCAAACUGGAAGUAGUGACACUCUCACAAAGAAAUUAAAACCAAUAAAAAUAGUCACUCCAAUGAAUGGUAAUUGAGAGAGAAAAUAAUAAAGAAGUGAUAUCACAUGCUCUCACCAAAAUGAAAUAAAUAUGCCCUCAGCUUAGAAAUAAUACGAUCUCAAGUCAAAUAAAAAUGCUAGUUAACCCAAUUUAUUUGUCUUAUUUAUUUAUUUAUUUAUUUUUAUUAUGCAGCACUACAUCUUUUUAGCUCAUAUAACUAGCUUCUACUUCAGACUAUAGUUCCCUAAACUCAAGAAGGACUUUUAUUAGGACGUACCGUAGGUUAGGGACAUGGUUAACAAAGAAGGGAAAUAAGGAAAAUAAAGUGUAUGUUUGAGAAAAAAAAAUUGCAGGGAUUUUUUUUUUUUUGGAAGUUGCAAGGUGGAUUUCACCUAUUGUUGUUAUUUUUUUAUUUUUUAUUUUUCUUUUGAAACAACAAUUUUUGUUUUUUUGUUUUUUGUUUUUUUUUUACUUUUAUUUGGCAUAACUUCACUGAACAAAAAUACUUAUUUACAUUUUUCUCAAACAUAAAUAGGUGAUGGAACUUAUAAGACAUUGGGUAAUACUCCAAAUCGGAGUGGGUCAAGAUAAGUUAAACAAAUAAAAGGUUUUUUUUUUUUUUAAAAAAAGGCUCAAAAUGGUUAACUAUGGAUAUUUCACAAAAGGGAUGGCUAGAAAGGCUCAAACGGAUCAAAGAUGGCCUUUCCAUCGUCUUUUAGGGCUCUAAAUAAUCAUCCAUAUCUACUAGUUAGAUGGGCCUCCCAAUGUAGCAACAUACAUUUUUUUUUCUUUUUCUUUUUUUUUUAUUUUACCAUUUUUUUUAAGGGUUAACUCAAAAGAAAUCUAGAGAUCGUGUAUAAAAUAAUAAACUGCUAAGCUGUAUAGAGAAUGGGCAAAAGGGUUACUCUCCAAGAAAAUGAUAGGCUCAACAACUCACUUGGCAUUUAUUUAUAGCAUGUUCAUUCCUUCAAGCAACUUAUAUUUGUCUCCGACAUCAACAUGUAAAGUAGCAAACAUAGCGUAACAUCACUUAAGACUAAAGAUAAUACAAAUACUAAAAUUUGAAAUUAAUCAUGUCAUCCAAUGUUAAAACAAAUCACACAAAUUAUUAUUAUUAUUUUUUAAACAACAUUCUACCCCCCAACCUAUUCUAAGCAUGAAAGGAAAAUAUGCAUGCAGAAAUGUGAAUAUGAUGCAGAAAAACUAAUUAGAAAAGUUACACUUAAAAUGAUGGAAAACCAAAAUGAUUUUUUUUUUAAAGAAGAUGCGUUUCUAGAGGAACUACACUCCAUAUUCAGCCAUCUUCGACUCACAAGUUGGAAAAUGUAUAUUUAUAGAGGAGAAAUUAAAAAGAAGAAAAAUAAACAUAAAAACAUAAUACAGAAAAAGAAAAUGUCUGAAAUUUUUUUAAUUUUUUUUUAAUUUCUUUAACGAUGAAGAUGCGUUUCUAGAGUAACUAUACUCCAUAUUCAGCCAUCUUCAACACAAAAAGUUAGCAACAGUUAGUUUCUACAACAAAAAAUUAGUAAAAACUUAACCAAAAUUCCACAUUUGUCGACUAUUCCCUCCCCCCAACCAGAACGAAACAUUAUCCUCAAUGUUUUAAAGGAAAGAAGUAGAGUUUAGAAGACAUCACCUGGGUGGUGCAACACAGAAGAAAAUAUUUAUAGGCGGAGAGUUAAAUCUAAUUUUUACUUCUUACUGCGGCUACUGUUACCAUCAUUAUUUGGAGGCUCCAACCCCAACACAAAGGUCUAGGGGUCUGGGUCCGGUUUAUAAGCUUGUAACAGAUCAAGUAGCUCAUUAGCAGUGUGAGCACAAAUAAAGAGUUUUUUCGCAUUAGGGGGAAUGAAAUAGUUUUUUAUUGCAUGGUUAAGAAAUGCGAUAAAGCCAUCAUAAAAGUUAUUGACAUUUAACAAACCGAUGGGUUUCUGGUGGAUGUACAGAUGGGCCCAAGAUGCUAGUGUGAUAAGUGCCUCUAGUGUUGCAAGAUCUCCUGGAAGGAAAAUAAAAGCAUCAGCAUGAUUAAGCAUUUCAGUUAUUCUUUCUUGCAUACCUGAGACGACUAACUCUUCUCCAGUUGAUGAGUCAAACGAACUACCCAAAGGUUUUAGGGCUCUUGGGAUGAUGCCUAACACUUGGCUGCCUCUGAUAAAAGCUGCUUCUGAGACCAUUUUUGUUAACCCUCGAUUACCUCCUCCAUACACCAAGUGUAAUUUUCUCGCUGCUAUGCUGCGACCAAGAUCUAUGGCUGCCUCAACAAACUCUUUAUGUUUGCCAUAUGAAAAUCCAGAAAGCACACAAAUGUUCUUGAAUUGUCUAUUUGGAGUAGCUGCCAUUGGGAUACUUCUCAAAAAAUAAUUUGUUAGUGCUUGACAAAAAAAAUCACAUUUAAGAGUCUUGGUGACAAUGGGUCACAGUUGUGUAUGAGGUAACAUGUCAGUGUCAAAUAACGCGUAAAGCACGUGGCUCGCGAGUCAAAAAGGAAACAGUAAAAAGGGAAAAAGAAAACAAUAAUAAGGAAAAAGCAAACAGUAAUAAAAUUAUUAAAGACAAUAAUGCACACAGUAAAACAAUAGUGAAAUAAAAUAACAGUAAAGUGAAAGGAUAUUUACAGGUAGUUGCGACUGUGGCUCACAUCUUCCUCUGGUUUUACGUCCAGAAACGGCUUGAACGCCCUCUAUGGGUCGAGGAUAGGCUUCAUAUCCAGUUUUCUUAUAAAUUGGCAAACAGGGUCGUUUAUAGUCAGAUUCCCGAGACUAUAUCGUGCAUGCUCUUUCUGGAAUAAUGGCCAUAACUGGAGAAUCGCUCCUUGCACAUAUCCACUGGGAUGCGUUUCAAGAGGCAAAAGGAUAUCAUCCAAUGACUCCUUAUUCAAGCCAUCCUUAAUGAAUUGAAUCUUAUCUUCCCUGUUAUCAGACAUCAUUCCUAAAGAACAUGGGUUUUUAUUGCAACUCAUUCUGGCACACUUAUGACAAGCAACAGAAAUUCUUCGAGCUCGUCAUUUUCUUGCAUAAUUUCCUUUACCACAACCAGGCAUGUAUGUAAUAAAUUUUGGAGGUAACUCACCUGUCGAUCGUACUUUAGCCUCGAUUAACCAACGGAUGUCAGCAGGUAUGUUAUUCCUCAAGAGUAAUCGGAUGCGUUCGGACCGAACUUUAUAGAUCGUAAGGAGGGCACUCUGACGAAGUAAAGGGAAUCGCUUGUGAAGCUUCGCUAGAAUCUCGUUUCUGUCCAUACUUUCGCCUCAGAAUAUUAGUUAUUAUGGGAAACUGAAGUAACCGACUUGAUUGUCACGGAGUACCGUUAUCCGCCACUUCACCGGGGUAACAAACUAAAGCACACAAAUAGAAAAACAAAUUAAAACACACAAAGAAAAUUAAAAUCGUCCUCUUAUUGAAUUUACCUCAAGCUCCAACUGGAUGUCAUAAACACUUCUCUCAAUGUCUCUGAGUUGGCUUUCUAAACCCUCAACAUAGGCUACUAACUCUGGUGGUUGUAGAGUCCAAAUACGAUGUGUUUUACAAAAUUGAAUCUGUCUUUUGAGAUGAGUUUUGACACGUUAAAGUGGUUUAAGAAUGUUCAGGAGGAACGGUCUAAGUAUGAGACUCAUGAUUAACAAUGAUAAGAGAAAACUUACUAGUUAAACAAACACACUUAUGCAAAAAUAAUUUCAAUUAGCAAAAGAAUAAUAUAAAGAAAGAAAGAAAAAUCAAAUCAACGAAAAGAAAAAUCAAUUCAAAUCUGGUGGGUCACUCAAAUUUAUUUCGGUGUCUUCUCCAUGUGGUUGGUAUUCUAGAUAUGGUUUUAAUCUUUGACCAUUAACUUUAAACGUGACACCGUUCUUUGGGUCCUUAAUUUCAAUUGCCCUAUGUGGAAAAAUAGUAUGAACAAUAAAUGGGCCAGACCAACGAGAGCGUAACUUACCUGGGAAUAGGUGCAAACGAGAAUUGAAUAAAAGCACUUUCUGACCUGGAGUGAAAGAUUUUCUCAUAAUUUGCUUGUCAUGGAAGGCUUUCAUUCGUUGCUUGUAAAUCUUGGCAUUUUCGUACGCGUCAUUGCGAAUUUCUUCAAGUUCUGCCAGCUGUAAUCUUCUUUCUGAGCUGGCUUGCUGCAUGUCAAAAUUGAAUUUCUUGAUGGCCCAAUAUGCACGAUGCUCGAGUUCCACAGGUAGGUGGCAAGCUUUUCCAUACACUAGCCUGUAGGGUGACAUCCCAAUCGGGGUCUUGAAAGCCGUUCUAUAUGCCCAUAAUGCACCAUCAAGUCUUAAUGACCAAUCUUUCCUGUCUGGCCUCACUGUCUUUUCUAAUAUGUGCUUUAUUUCUCGAUUGGAAAUCUCAACUUGGGCACUGGUUUGCGGAUGAUACGGGGUCGCCACUUUGUGUGUGAUUGAAUACUUUGUCAAAAGAGCCUUGAAUGGUUUGUUACAAAAGUGGGCACCACCAUCACUGAUUAUUGCUCGAGGGAAUCCAAAGCGCGAAACAAUGUUGCUUUUCAAAAAUCCUAUCACCACCUUGUGAUCAUUGGUCCUACAUGAAAUUGCUUCUACCCAUUUCGAUAUGUAGUCAACAGCAACCAAUAUGUAUUGAUGGCCAAAAGAAUGGGGAAAGGGUCCCAUGAAGUCGAUACCCCAUACAUCAAAAAUCUCAACCACUAAAAUUGGAUUUAGUGGCAUCAUGUUCCUUCGUGUAAUGCUCCCCAUUCGUUGACACCUAUCACAUGAAGAACAAAAAGUGUAAGCAUCUUGAAAUAUAGUUGGCCAAUAAAAACCACAUUGUAAAACUUUAGUUGCUGUUUUCUUAGCACUGAAAUGGCCUCCACAAGCUUGUUCAUGGCAGAAUGAAAGAAUAUUCUGAAUUUCAUUUUCUGGGACAUAUCGUCUAACAAUUUGGUCUGCACAAUACUUGAACAAAUACGGGUCAUCCCAAAAGAAAUUCUUUAUCUCUGCAAAUAAUUUAGCCUUAUCUUGCUUGGUCCAAUGCUCUGGAAGUUUACCUGUAACAAGAUAAUUAACUAUAUCACCAUACCAAGGCAAUACUUCCGCACUCAUUAAUUGUUCAUCUGGAAAUGACUCAUUCAAUAUUAAUGGCUCUGUAAUUGUGUCAAAAUGGAGACGAGAGAGGUGGUCCGCCACAACAUUUUCUGUCCCUUUCUUAUCUUUGAAUUCCAAGUCAAAUUCCUGCAAAAGUAACACCCAAUGAAUUAGUCUGGCUUUUGCAUAUUUCUUUAUGAGAAGAUAUUUAAGAGCAGCAUGAUCCGUGAAUAUAAUUAUUUUACAACCAAUGAGAUAGGAUCGAAAUUUUUCCAAUGCAAACACUACUGCUAGCAUUUCUUUUUCAGUAGUUGAAUAAUUCAACUGGGCAUCAUUUAAUGUCAUACUAGCAUAGUAAAUAACGUGGGGAAUUCGAUCAACUCUUUGUCCUAAUACUGCUCCUACUGCAUAAUCAGAUGCAUCACACAUGAGCUCAAAUGGUAAGUUCCAGUUCGGGGACUGAAUGAUGGGUGAUGAUGUCAAUAAAUGCUUUAAUUUUUCAAACGCAACAAGACAUGAAUCAUCAAAGACAAAAGGUACAUCCUUAGCAAGUAGAUUGCAUAAGGGUCUAGAAACUUUGCUAAAAUCUUUAAUGAAACGUCUAUAGAAACCAGCAUGCCCAAGGAAAGAUCUUACUUCUCUGACUAUUUUGGGUGGAGGAAGAUUAGAAAUGAGAUCCACUUUAGCUUUGUCAACCUCAAUACCAUUGCUCGAAAUAAUGUGACCAAGAACAAUACCUUGUUUUACCAUAAAAUGGCACUUCUCCCAAUUUAAGAUCAAGUUCUUCUCAAUACAUCUCUGCAGAACUAGUGUUAGAUGAUGUAAACAUUGAUCAAACGAAUCACCAAAGACAGAAAAGUCAUCCAUAAAGACUUCAAGGAAUCGUUCAACCAUAUCAGAAAAAAUGCUCAACAUGCAUCGUUGAAAUGUAGCAGGUGCAUUACAUAAUCCAAAUGGCAUUCUCCUAUAUGCAAAAGUGCCAAAAGGGCAAGUGAAAGUGGUUUUCUCCUGAUCUUUUGGUGCUAUGGGGAUCUGAUUAUAUCCUGAGUAGCCAUCUAAAAAGCAAUAAAAUUCAUGACCUGCUAAUCUAUCAAGCAUUUGAUCAAUAAAUGGUAAAGGAAAAUGGUCUUUACGUGUGACAGAAUUCAACUUUCUAUAAUCAAUGCAUACACGCCAUUCUGUAGUUACUCUAGUUGGUAUCAAUUCAUUAUCAGCAUUCAUAACUACUGUGACUCCUGACUUUUUAGGGACAACUUGUACAGGACUGACCCAUGAACUAUCAGAAAUUGGGUAAAUGAUACCUGCGUCUAAUAGCUUAAGGACUUCAGUUCUAACAACUUCUUUCAUAUUAGGAUUUAACCGACGUUGCAUUUCCCUAGUAGAUUUAGCAUUUUCAUCGAGGUGAAUGUAAUGCAUGCAGUCUACUGGGUUUAUACCUUUCAUGUCUGCUAUAGUCCAUCCUAAUGCUCCUUUGUGCUCUUUUAAAACAUCCAACAACUUACCUUUUUGUUCGUCAUUGAGGGAUGAUGAGAUGAUUACCGGCAGAGUGCUUUCUUCUCCCAAAAAUGCAUAUUCCAGAGUGUUGGGUAAUGGUUUGAGCUCGAGUUUCGGUGGUGAUUCUGAUGAUGGGAUGAGUUUCUUCUCUGAUGGUGCUAGUUGUUCAACUCUUGACUUCCAUUUAUUAGUGUCCAUGGAUGGUGCUAAGUCAAGUAGGGCAUUGACCUCAUCGACCGAUCUGUUAAUAUUAAAAUCAAAACCAAAGUGAGUUAAACAUGUUUGUAAAGGAUCAUCACUAAGGUUUGAAAGAAAAGUGUUAUCAACUAUUGUUUCAAUUAAAUCCACAUCAAUAAUUCCAUCAUCUGCAUUGUGAGGUUGUUUGGCAAUGUUGAAGAUGUUCAGUUCCAUAGUCAUAUUGCCGAAGGACAACUGCAUAUUUCCAGUUCUGCAUUGAAUGUGAGCAUCCGCAGUUGCCAAGAAAGGUCGGCCUAGGAUAAUGGGGAUGUGCUUCCUUGAAUCCUGUAUUGGUUGAGUGUCAAUUACAAUGAAAUCAACAGGAAAAUAGAACUUGUCUACCUGGAUAAGCACGUCCUCCACAAUACCACGAGGUAUUUUUGUGGACCAAUCUGCAAGUUGUAACACCAAUGGAGUUGGGUGUAAUUCUCUCAAUCCAAGUUUCACGAAUACUGAAUAAGGCAACAGAUUUACACUAGCUCCUAAAUCCAACAAAGCAUUCUCAAUUGUGUGGUUCCCUAUACUGCAUGAGAUAGUGGGGGAGCCUGGGUUUUUGCAUUUUAAAGGAAUUUUAUGUUGGAGUAUAGAACUAACGUUUUCUGUUAAAAAUGCCUUCUUUUGAACAUGUAUAUUUCUCUUUUUAGUACAAAGGUCUUUAAGAAACUUGGCAUAAGAUGGAACUUGUUUAAUAGCAUCAAGCAAAAGGAUGUUAACACUUACCUGUUUGAAGAUUUCAAGAAUCUCACCUGUGGAUUUUCCCUUUUUUCCUUUAGCUAAUCUCUGAGGAAAUGGAGCUUUGGGAACAUAUUCCCGUGGGUUGGUUUUUUCUUUCUCCUCCGGUGAUGAGUCCUCAAGACUCACAUGUACAAUUUGAUUUUCUUUUGUCACCGACAUCUCCACUUUGUUGUCGACUUCUUUUCCUUUUCUCAAGGUCAUAACUGCUUUGACUUCUCCAUGCUGUUGUAGUGAACUGGUACUUGCUUCAUGCACUCCUUUAGGAUUAGGCACUGGUUGACUUAGAAAUUUACCUUUCCCAACAGUCAUUGCCAAGGUCUGAACUGAAGAAGCCAGUUGUCCCACCAUCUUCUCGAGGCUUGAAACUGAUUGGGCUUAUGAGUUGAAGCCCGCUCUCAAUUCAUUUCGUAGUCCAUCAAUGGUGCGGUUCUGUUGCUCAAUCGUGGAGUGAAUAACAUUCUUGAAAUUCUGGAAUGCAUCCUCCCAUGGUCUGGGUUGAGAGUAGUUCUGGUUUUGAUUGUAUGGACUAAAUGGGGGCUGAGAGGCUUAAGGAUUUUGUGGAAUUUGUUGCAUUGGUGUAGCUGGAGCUGCUGGUCCAUUCUGUUGGAAUCCUUGAGACCAUGAAAAAUUAGGGUGGUCUCUCCAUCCAGGGUUAUAUGUGUUGGAGUAUGGGUUGUAAUUUGAUGGCUUUCUCAUUACACCUAUGGCAUUGGCUUGAUCUGAGUAUAAGUCAUGGUCAUGUGGCUCUGUUGAUUUAGCAGUCGAUAACGAUGCUAUUUGUCGAGCAAGACCUUCAACCAUCUCCUUGACUUCUUUGAUUCCCGAAGUUGACUCGCCAAUUUGAACCUCAUUCACUCCUUUAAUUCUUCUAGUAUUCCGGAGUGAUCGACUCCGUUGUUGGGAAUUAUCCGCUUGUCGUUGAAAGAAUUCCCAAAUCUCUGAUGCACUUUUUGACAUUAGCUCUCCUCCACUUGUUGCCAUUAGCCAUUCCUGCACAUUCGGCAAUAAUCCCUCCAAAAAGUAUUGGCAUUGGUGCCAUUUCUCGUACCUAUGAUGUGGACACUUCAAGAGUAGCCAAUUGAAUCGUUCCCACGUUUCGAAAAACUACUCGUCUUCUCUCUGUGUAAACUCUGAAAUUUCCCUGCGAAUAGCAUUGGUUUUAUGCACUGGGAAAUAUUUAUUCAAAAAUUUUGUAACCAUUUGUUCCCAUGAUGUGAUGCUAUUAGCAGGCAAAGUAUUUAACCAUGAACGAGCUCUAUCCUUUAAAGAAAAUGAGAAUAAUCUGAGUUUAACAUCAUCGUUUGAAAAAUUUUCAUAUUUAAAAGUUUGACAAAUUGCAUGAAAAUCAUUCAGAUGAUUAUAUGGGUCCUCAUUUUCUAGGCCAUAAAAUGUUGGGAGACAAUUUAGCACACUGGGUUUUAAUUCAAAACUUCUAGCAGCUACAUUUGGGUAUCUUAUGCAUGAUGUGCUCAAAUUAGCUAAGGGACUAAAAUAGUCCUUAAAUGGCCUCUCUUGUGGUGCUUGUAAAUCCAUUCCAAUUUUAUUUUUAAUGUGCUUUUGUGUGCGAAGUAUUUUUCAAGUUCAAGGUCUAUAGGUUCAAGAUUGGGUAAUAAUGACCUUCGACCAUGCAUGCAAAACAAAUAAAAUAAAAAAUAAAGAUGGGAACAAAAUAAAUAAAAAUAAAGAAAAAGAAGAAAUUACGAUACUAACCUUAUUGCGCUAUUACAACCUUUCUAUAAAAAUACACAAAAAUAAAUACGUGAAAUAAAUUAACUAAAAAUUAAAUUAAUUAAAUAAAAAAAUUACAAAGAAAAAUAAAUUGAAAAUUAAAUCACAGAAUUUUAAAGAAGAGAAAAAGAAAAGAAAUACUAACCUUUAAAUGUAGAUUCACUUUUUUUUUCUUUUUUUUUAAUAAAAAUAAAAAAAUACAAGAAAACAAAUAAAAGAAAUUAUUCACAAAAAUUAAUUCUAUGAAUUAAAAGUACUUACCUCCCCGGCAACGGCGCCAAAAACUUAUUGUGCAAAUUUUAAUGAACUCGCAAGCACACGAAUCUAUUGUAGUAUAGACUAAUGGUGACGAGUGUCGAUCCCAUGAGGAGGUGGAUUUUAAUUAUAUAUAGAAUUAAUUUUGUAAAUGGGUGGUUGGAAUUGUGGUGGAAGUGAUUUAAAUUAUCCUAAAAUUGGAAUUGAAAUGGCGAUAAUAAAUUCUAAAAUUAGACUUGCAAUGGCGAGAAUAAAUUGAAGAGAAAUCUAUUGAAAUGACGUACUUGAGUAUCUGGAUCCGUAUCAACAUGCAUCAUGGGCUAAAUAUUCCUUAUUAAUGCCAAUUAAAUCAUGAGGGGGGAAUCCACACCUCAUGAACCACGCUCUAAUCAAUAUGGUGAUAAGGGCUUAUCGUGCCAAAUAAUAAUAACCUUGUACUAGAGGGCCGGUGAAACCAAGGCGGUACUAGACAAGAUUAGUAUUAUUUGUCGACGAGAAGUCAAAACAUCCACAAAAACUAGAGGGGAAGAGAAAAUAAAUUUACCAAAUUAAGCCCAUGACACAUGUUGAGACUUCACCUUCAACCCAAGCUUGAAAGAAAAUUAGCCACUCAUAAUUGAACUAGGGGCAAAAUGAGAAUUUAUUAAAAUACGAAGAAAAUACAAGAUAAAGAAGGAAUUACAGAAAAUAAAGUCCAAAAAUGGAUUCAGCGAUAUCAAAUUAGGAGGGGGAGGCCCCCUUUUUAUAGAUACAUGGAGUAAAUUAUGGCCAUCGGAUUAAAAACAGUUUGGACGCUCAGGAUUACGCCACGUCAUCAGUCAACAGUCCACGGUUUGACCACGUGGAUGAACAGUAAUACGGUUUGACUCGGAUGAACAGUAACGCGGUUUGACUCGGAUGAACAGUAACGCGGUUUUGUUGAAAAUAAUCCUGUGUGAUGCAUGUACCGUACGCGAGAUUUUUCGUCCACUGAUAUGCUGCCACGUCACCAUCAACAGUACAUAAGAAUUUUAGCCCAACAGGAUCGUGACACCUCAUCAGUCAAUGCCACAUCAUCGGUCAAUGCCACAUCAUCAUCCGUCUAUGUGAACAGUGUCGUGAACAGUAACGUAUAUACAGUACCGUACACGUGAAUAGUACCGUACAUGUGAUCAGUGCCAUUUUUCUUUUUAUGCUUCUCCUAAGGUUUUCGACCGUCCUGAGUUCAAAAGUGAUGUCCGUUUUGCCAUCUGAUUUCUCGUUUAUUGUGAAAUGACUAUGAUGCCCCUAAAAUACAUAAAAUACUUAAUUAAAAUAAAACACAUGUAAUUAAAUCACAAGAAAGUUAAAUACAUAAAAGUAAGGGUUGUUAAUAAGACUUGAAAUGUAAAAUGACAGUUUUCUCCUUUAUAAAUAUACAUUUUCUAACACUCAACACCUAUCCUGUAAAUACAAAAGUAAAUUUAGUAAAUUAAUGAGGAACUGUGUAUGUGUGAAAUUAAAAAUAGUGCUUUUGAUUUGUAAUCAUAUCUUUUAUAGGAUAUAUUCAUUGUCUACAUAUUUUAAUUUAUGUGUAGAAAAUUAGAUAUAUUCAAUGUCUAAUCUGAUUCUACACAAAGACUAAUGCCCCAAGAUUGUGUAGGGGUGUUCAUAAUCCAAUCCGAUCCGCUCAAUCCGUCUGAUCCGUGAAAAUCCGAUCCGUGGAUCCGUGAAUUGGAUAUGGAUUGAAAAUUUAAAAAUCCGCAGUCGAUGGAUUGGAUAUGGAUUUACUUCUAUAAAUCCGUAAAAAUCCGUGAAUCCGCAAAAUAUAUAUAUAUAUAUAUAUAUAUAUACAUUUAUUUAGUUAAAAAAUUAUUAUAAAUUUAAUUAAAGAAUAUUAUAAAUGUGACAUUACAUAGUUACAUAAGCACUAUAAUAUGUCUUAGCUAUUACCCAAUAAUAAUAUUAAAUAAUUAAAUAAUCAAAUAUACAAAUAUAACUUGUAAAAAUUGUAAAACAAAAUAAAAGCAAAGUCACACGCACUAGCAAAAACAAAGUAACAUAACGCCAAGUUACCAACAAUUUGCAAAGUCACCCAAAAGCAAAGUAACAUAACACCAAGUCACCAACAAUUUGCAAAUAAAAAACCUUAAGCUUCCUUGUUGUCACAUGCAAUAGCAACACUCAAUACUGGUUCGAUACACUCUCGACACUGAUUUGAAGGACGUCGGCCGCACGAUUCCAGCAAGAGCAAGCCAUCUUCUUCCCCGAGCCCAUCGAGCCACUUCACAAUCACUGGUUCCAGCCAAACAAUUGCACUAUCACAACCUUCAAGAUCAUCACCCGUACUUCUCCUAGUUCCAAUAGUUGACGGCUCCAUAAUCACCACUUUUCGACAAGUAUAACAGCCCUGGUGAAGGAUCAUACUGUGUUUGGUUUCAGAAACUUCACCAUUUCAAUUAAUUGUGACUUUAUUUGAAUAAUUAAUUUCGGUGUUAUAUUAAUGUAUUAUUGUAACUUUAUUUGAACAAUUAAUCUCGAUGUACUAUAUUUUGAAACUUUGAAUGUAUUAUUUUAGUUUUAUUUAAAUAAUUAAUUUGUUUAAAAUUUAUUCAAUUUUAAAUUUAAUUGGUAAUAAAAUUAUUUUUAUAUUAGAUUUUUUUUUUAAUUUCAUUAGUUCAUGGAUUGGGGAGAACUAAAAAUUUUUAAUUCGGAAGCUAAUGCGUAAAAUGGUGGAUUGGAUAUGGAUUAAGUUAAAUCCGCAUCCGAUCCGCAUACGUAUGGAUUGGAUAUGGAUUGAGUCAAAUCCGCAUCCGAUCUGCAGACGUAUGAAUUGGAUUUGGAUUGAGUUUAAUCAAUCUGUGGAUUGGAUUGGAUUGAAAAAUUAUAAUCCGCAAAAUUGUGGAUCGGAUAUGGAUUGAUGUCCAAUCCGUAAAAUCUGAUCCGCGAACAUCCCUAAGAUUGUGAUUGAAAUGCUAUAAGCAACUUAUUUUAUAAGUUUAGAUAAAAAUGAAGUUUGAUGGCUUUGUUAAAAGUUGCUUCUUUUAUAAUUUUCUCUAUUUUGACUGUAACUUUUAAAAACAGAACAAACAUUAUUUUUAUAAGCAACUUAUUAAACAAGUUGCUAUAUCUUUUUAAAUAUUCAUAUUAUAACCUUAAUAUUUUAAGAAAAGAAUAAUUAUAUCUUACUUUUCUAUAAGCUCUAAUAUAUAAAUAAAAGACAAUUUAAACUCAUGUUUAUUUUAGUCAUUAAAUAAUACAGCACAUUCAUAGUCAAAUUUACUAAACAUGAGCAAGAUACUUUUUUAAUCAUCAACUUAUUUCGUUCUCACAAUAGAAAUAACUUAUUUUAUCAUCCACUGCCAUCCUAAACUUGAUGUUAAGUCACGUUUGGGAUUGCAUUAGAUUGUCAAAUAAUCUAGAGAAAUAGCUAUUAAGGACGAAGAAUAGGAAGAGGUUCGCCAUAAGCAAUAUACUCGCAAGCUUGGCUACUAAUAAACAGAGCAUACAAGCUUAAACACCUAAUAUAUAUAUAUAUAUAUAUAUAUAGUAGUUUUUUGGCACAGGAUCUUAAAGUGCGGGAAACAUUAGGAAAAACUUUAAAACCGCGGGGUUUUAAAGGCUUAAUACUUAAAGCACUUAAACUGCACGGUUUAUGCGUUUUCCCAGACGUUCCCACACUUUAAAAUUCUAAAUUAGAAUAUUUUUAUGUGUGUGUGUGUGUGUGUGUGGAGGGCAAAUCUUUAACUACCUCCGGCUUAAAGGACCUAUACAGUAACUCUUAAAUCAAAGAGAGAAAAUAGUUAAUUCAAUCUGAUUGAAUAUGAAUUGAUAUUCACCAUAUGAUAAUUACAUAAAGAUUGAGCCUUAAGUGUUUUACAUUAAGUAAUACUGCACUGCACACUUGUUCUACACAUUUAGACAACCCAGAUUAAGAAUAAUGAAAAUGAACUCUUAAACUAGCUAGGUGCUCUAUUAUUUAUCUUUGCUCCAUAAAUAUUAGAAAGAUAGAGGAGAGGAAGAAAAAGAAAAGACUAAUUUUGCAGUCCCAAUUUAAUCUUAUGCUCUGAUUUUGAAGCAAAUCUGCAGAGUAUUUAAGGAUCCAAUCAUGAACCAUGUCCACUUCAAUCUUUCGCUGCAUUACUAACCCCUCUGGAUCAUCUUCUGUUGCUGGCUGUAUGUCUAAGCAAUGGGAACCUGCUCUAAUUUACACAUUAUUAAUUAUGUUAUCCAAUAAUUUAGUUAAUAAUUGAACACUAAUUUUUUAUUUUAUAGAAAAAUUUACAUACUGUUUCUUAUUGUCACUGCUAUUAUAUUGUCUGAUAUCUUCCAAAACCCUAUAAUCUCCCCCCCACCAAAAAAAAAGAAGAAAAAGAAUAAGGCAUAUAAUUAAACGGGUAACUUCGAUAGAAAAGAGUGUACAAAAUUUUUAAGCUUAAUUAAUUACCCAGCGCUGCUAUAGGGAUCACGAAAGCCAUUAGAGAAAAUAAGGCUGCUACCAAAUCUCUUUACAACCACUCUUAUACCCUGCAAAUUAAAAAGAAAUAAAAAUCGAACAAAAAUUGAGAUAAAAUUUAUAAUUAAAAAAGAAAAUGAAAAAAAUUAAAUUAUUAAAAGAAUUAAUUUGGGGAUUAAUUGACACUUACAUGACUACCGUAAUAAGUUGUAAUCCAAUGUGGUAUUGGAGCCACUCCAUAAGACUUAUUGCAUGAAUUCAUAUAUUCUAUCGUCUGCUUGAAAAUUGUAUUAUUUUUUUCAAUUCCAAUUGAUGAGACCAUUUCACUGCAUGUCUGCAUGAGAAAUCCCCCCCUCCCAAAACAAAAAAAAAAAUCAUAAUAAAUAAAUAACUAAAUAAAGGAGAAAACUAUUUUUAAUCAUUCAUAAAUAUGUAGUCUCAUAAAUAAAAUUAAAAGAUGUACAUAAAAUAGGUAUUGUUAGCUAGGUGAGAGAUUCAUUCAUCGCAACAUGUUGUUUGUUUGACGAUCUCAAUAGAAGUAUCUAAUGAAAUCAUGUCACCCGUAAUCACAUACCUGCCAGCCUCAGCUCGAGUCUAGUGUUUCAUCGGAUAAGAAUUCAUCAACAUCAUGGCAAGAAUUCUCCCAUCUUAAAGCAACAAUUCCUGAGAAUAUCCGGCCUAGGGUAUCCGUGCCUUCUGAAGCUCCAUGGAUACCUUCACAAGCUUUGCUCACUGGAUAUUCCUGAGGAUCAUCAUACUGAGCUGCACCCGUAUACAUACACUCUAAAUAAUCCUUCAAUUCUGAAACAUCCUUCAGAGGCUUGUAAUCAAAUAAACAACAACAACAUAGAAUUAAGUGCCACAAGGUUAGUAACAUUAUAAAAGAUCUUUCAACAAGCCGUCUAAAACAUGUUGUUAUAUUUAGUUAGAUUACAAUAAACUUUAUAAGUAUGAAGCUAUUGAUAUUAUCAAAUGCAAACGUACAAAUUUGGCCUUAUUUGAUAAUCAGAGUUGUGCGUGGUUUUGUAGUUCAAAUUUAGAUUCUGUAAGAUACGAACCUUUGGAGGCCUGAAUCUAAGCACCAGUAUACUAUAUAUAUAUGGUAAUGCAAAGGCCGUGUAUAAGCCCAAAUCCAGAUUUUUACUUUGUAUAUUACACGUUAAUCGAAAUGUAUAUAUACUCUGAGGAUGACAGAUAAUUAAUUAGACAUAGUAUAUUCGAUAAUGAUGCUACAAUAACAUUGCAUUAAUUGUAAUUAAGGGAAAAUCGGAUGGAUAUAUAUAAGCAGUUAUGUAAAGUAAUAUGAUUACUUUCUUGCAGGUUUUGAACUUUUUAGAGAGAAAAGCAAGUCCAUUUUUUCUAGCAGCGGUUUUAUCCAUUUCAGCCCAGGACUGUUUGAUGGUCAUGUAGCAGCUCUCCCUGGCUUCUUGCAUCAUUAAUUUUCAAAAUUUAAUGGAUUAAUUUUCAAAAUUUAAUGGUUAAAUUUUAACAAGAAAACACAAUCAUACAUAUAUAGAAUUUUAAUUAAUUAAUUUUAUUUCUUACCUUAAAGUCAUUGGUGACAAGAUCAUAAUAUGUGUUUGAGUGUGUGAUAUUAUCAAAAUAGAUAAUUGGGGCGGACGACGCAACUACUCCCAAAGCACUGUAAGAUGGUUAUUUUUUAAAACGUAAUUAUCUUAAAUAUAUUUAUUAUUUCUUAGUUUUACGAUUGCUGAAAGUAUUCAUUAAUUGGAAUGCAAAAUAAAUUUGUAUCAAAAUAAUAUUGGCGUAAUCAAUAUUUUGGUCAAACGAGAUCAAAAUGAAUAAAAUGAUGCAAUAAAUGACACGACAUUAAUCAAAAGAUGUAAGUAACUUAAUAAUAUUAAAAUUUACUUCCUCCAUAAGAUGCUGUCAAAUAAAGUGGCCAUUUAGAUGGUCUAAAGCAGCCAUCUAGAUGAUCAACAACAAUUUUGUUCAAAGAAGACGAAGAAUUUUGCAGCAAGUUUGAAAGAAAAAGAAGCACACGGCUUUAACAUUUGAAAGAAGAAAAAGAAGGUAAAAAAUAAUAUAGAAUUGAUGAAUAGUGCCAAAGCUUUCUCUAUAAAUAGAAACGAAGAGAAUGGGCAAAUGCAUUCCAUUUAGAAAGCAAUUUAGGGAGUUGAGAGAGAGUUCAAGAGCUUGCAUUUAUAAGUUCUUGUUACAGUGAUUGAGAGAGUUUGGGUGUAUUGGGGUUUUUGGGAAGUGAGCUAAAAUACUACAAUACUUGUAACUCUUUUUCACUAGUAAAAUAUUUCCUUCUGUCUUCGCCCGUGGAUGUAGGCUAAAAGCCGAACCACGUAAUUUUUGGUGUCCUCUAUUGUACUUGUUCUUUAUUUUCCUUCUAAUUUCAUUUUAGCUGCGGUCUUACUUCACCCUCCAAUCCUAACAGUGGUAUCAGAGCUAUUGGUUGUAUUUUUUAGAGUCAGGAACUGUUCACGUAAGGGGUACUAUUCACAUAUACGGUACUGUACACAUAUACAAUACUAUUCACGUAUACGGUACUAUUCACGUGAAACGGUGGAAGUGAUCCAAGAAUUUUGUGGUGCAAAGCAGGAAAUAGUGGUGUGAGUAAAGCAACUGUGUGAUUUUGUACAUGUCUAGGAAAGUUCUGUCACAAAGGCGAUAAGAGCUUAAGGAGUCUGGGUUUUAAGUGGGACCAUUGUGACCCCUCCAGUCUUUCCUGGGAACUUUCCUGGUGUGCAUUCUCACACAUACUCACAACUAUUCAAGGUGGUACACUAACUUGUGUGCAAUAUUUAUCAACAAAAUGGUGGCAAAGUAUGAAAUUGAGAAGUUUAACGGAAAUAAUUUUUCGUUGUGGAAAAUAAAGAUGAAAGCUGUAUUGAGGAAAAAUAAUUGUUUGGCAGCAAUUGGAGAAAGGCCCAUGGAGAUAACUGAUGACAAGUGGAACGAGGUAGACGGCAACGCCAUUUCUGAUCUACACUUGGCACUUGCGGAUGGAGUAUUAUCCAGUGUGGCAGAGAAAAAUACGGCGAAGGAAAUAUGGGAUACUCUCACAAAAUUAUACGAGGCCAAGUCACUACACAACAAAAUCUUCUUGAAAAGAAAACUCUAUACUCUUCGAAUGGCGGAAUCUACAAUGGUGACCGACCACAUCAACACAUUGAAGACUCUAUUUUGGGUCAUAAUAUAGAGGAAAAUGAGCGUGUAGAGCUUCUAUUUCAAAGUCUACCAGAUUCGUAUGAUCAACUCAUCAUCAACCUGAUGAACAACAAUCCAGUGGAGAGUCUAGUUUUCGACGAUGUUGCAGCCUCCGUAUUAAAUGAGGAGAGCAGGCGGAAAAAUAAGGAAAACAGACAAGCAAGUUCGCAGCAAGCGGAGGCGCUAUCGGUGACGAGAGGGAGAUCAACAGAACGUGGCCCCAGUAGGAGUCAAAAUUAUGGUAUAUCAAAAUCCAGAAGUAAGAAGAAUGUUAAAUGCUACAACUGUGGCAGGAAAGGGCACGUCAAGAAAGAGUGUUGGAGUAACCAGAAGAGAAGAGAUGGUAAAAAACAUGAGUCAUCAAAUGCUCAGGGGUGUGUAGCAAGUACCUCGGAUGAUGGCGAAAUACUCUACAGCGAGGCAAUAACUGUUUCAGAAGGCAGAAAACGACUAUCUGAUGUCUGGCUUAUAGACUCAGGAGCUACCUGGCACAUGACCUCUCGGAGAGAAUGGUUCCACACAUAUGAACCUAUCUCAGGAGGAUCUGUAUAUAUGGGUAAUGAUCAUGCCUUGGAGAUCGUUGGUAUUGGUACUAUCAAAAUUAAAAUGUUUGAUGGUACAAUUCGCACAAUUGGAGAGGUACGACAUGUCAAUGGCCUGAAGAAAAAUCUAUUGUCUUUGGGACAAAUGGAUAGUCAUGGGUACAAGACUCAUGUGGAGAAUGGAAUUAUGAAGAUCGUUAAAGGCGCGCUUGUAUUGAUGAAGGCAGAAAAGAUCGGUGCUAAUCUAUUCAUGCUUAAAGGAGAAACACUAUAGGAGGCUGAUGCGUGUGUCGCGUCAAAUGGAGAAGAGUCAACGAUGAUGUGGCAUCUCAAACUUGGUCACAUGUCAGAACAAGGUUUGAAGAUUCUCUCUGAGCGAAAAUUACUUCUGGGGCUCAAAUCGGUAAGUUUACCAUUUUGCGAGCAUUGUGUUACAAGUAAGCAGCAUAUAUUAAAAUUCAGUAGAUCUAUUGCUAGAAGUAAAUGCAUUCUAGACUUGAUUCAUUCUGAUGUUUGGGAAUCACCGGAUAUAUCCAUGGGAGGUGCAAAGUACAUGGUGACUUUCAUUGAUGAUUAUUCCAGAAGAUGUUGGGUGUAUCCAAUUAAGAAAAAGUCAGAUGUAUUUCUAGUGUUUAAAGAAUACAAAGCGCGGGUGGUGACACAACUUAAAAGUAAAUUUUAACUCCCAAGUAUAAGAGUGUCUUGUUGUAUUAUAACUCGGUGAGUCCGAGGUCGAUCCACAGAGAAAAGAUUUAAUUAGUUUAUUUUAUUUUAUCUAAAAAUUGAAAUUAAAACUUGAAUAUAAACAACUUAAUUUAAAUGAAACUAUGGAAUUGAACUAGUUAGGGUUAUGGAUCCACUCUUAGAAAUAAAUAAAACUUAAUAAAUUCUUUUUGCCAAUUUAUUUUAGAUUUAUUACCCAAAAGAUUAAUUAUACAAAUUAUUAUUAUUUUCCCUUUAAUUUUAUGAUGGAUUAAGUAUUUAUUGUGCCAAAAUUUAAUUUGUCUACAAUAAGGCAAAAUACCAUUUCACCAUGCCUUAUAUUAAGAUCUUAAGAAUUUAUUGUGCCAAAUUCAUUUGUUUGUCUACAAUAAAUCAAAAUUUCAAAAUAUAAAACAUGUAUAAAAUUAAAUAGAAAAUAAUUUAAUUUAUAAAAUUAAACAUAGAAUUUGAUUAAAUCAUAUUUAUUUCUUAAGAGUUUCACCUUCCCCUAACUAAUAUUAUUUAGUUAAGCAUAAUUAAAAUAAAAAGUAGUAAAAUUGAAUUACUUGUAAUUAAAAGAAAUAAAAACAACUAAAAUUGGAAAUAAAACUAAUUUUAUUAAUGAAAAUAAUUAUACAAAAUAUUAAAAACACACCUGGAAAUCAAGAUUACAAGGAGAUGGAGAGAAUUUGAGAAGAAGAGAGUUGUAGAGAGAUGAUUAAAACAUAAAAAUGAGGCCUUAUUUAUAGAAAAAUAAAUUCAUAAUCCAGUGCUUUGUGGUCCAUCAUAGGCUUCAUGCAUGUGCUCCUCACAACCCUUAGAUCAAGAUCCAAUGGCUGGUCAAACUUCAAAAGUCAACAUCACACAUGGCAUCAUUUGACUCGUCCGAUUUGCCCAAAGAACGGUUGAGAUUUGGCGGGUUAAUGGGUGGAUCGGGUCGACCCGAAUACAAAGAUUCGGAUCCUCCAACUUGCUUCACCAACCAUUGCCACGUGGCACAAUCAUGGCCAUUGAAUGAUGAACGGUUGAGAUUUAGUCAAGAUUGCCAGUUAUCCCAUGCACUCAUAUCUAUUGUAAGCUCAUUUCAUCAUCCAAUCAGUGCUCGGUCAACAGGAAAAGUCAACUUUUUUUACACAAGCCCAAUUUUAAGCCGAUCUUGACUGAUCUUAAGGUUUUCGGACCUCCGGAAUCCAAAUUUGACCUCCGUUUAUUUGUUUGGAGCCUCGAAGUACGUGAAAUUAAUAAUUUUCCUAAUAAACACAUAAAAAUACACAAAAUUAAAUAUAUUUAAAACAUAAUUAAUAAUUCAUAAUAUAUUACAUAAACACAAAUAUAAAUUAUAACAUAAGCAUAAAAUAACAUAUUAUCGCUUGAUAACUAAACAAUUUUUAAUACUAAUCACACCCCCCAACCAGCUUAUUGCUAGCCCUCUAGCAAUUAAAGCGUUAUAUUAAGAUUUAUAAAAUUCACAUGCAAGUUAAUAGUUGUUCAUCUAUCCUCUAAAUUACCAAAUAAAUGAACUCUCCCAAAUUCCUUUACCACAUUGAUGUUCACUCAUUAUCCAGAAUAUCAUCAAACCUUCUUUUGUGCUCAAGUAAUUAACACAAUACUUAUGGGGCUUCAUUAAAAGAAAAACAACAUUUUCGUUCUAAAAUUCAUUAGAAAUUAUAUCUUUAGGCAAUAGAUUAUUCACACAUUUUUUUUUUAUAUUACAUUUCUAACCCGUUUAGCAAGCUUUAGGUCAGUGACUCCCAGACCAGUUGGCCUUAGGGCACUAGGUGUUGAAGCACCCCUACGGACUUAAUUACUCGGGUUUCUAAUAAACAAACAAUAUAUCUAUUACCCAUGUAGCGAGCUUUAGGCCAGUGACUCCCAGACCAGUUGACCUUAGGGCACUAGGUGUUGAAGCACCCCUACGGACUUAAUUACUCGGGUUUCUAGAUAUAACAAAAUUAAAAACAUUUUUUCUUCUUCUUUUUUUUUGAUUUUUUUUUUUUGGUUUUUUUGUUUUUUUGUUUUUGGAAAUAUACACUUUCUACUACCUUAGAUACUAUUCCUAAUAAAUCAAAAGAACUAAAUGCUGUAAAACUUUAACUUACAACCCACUAGUAUGUGUCAUAGUGUGUGUGUGAAGAAUGAUUCAAUAAUACCUGUUAAAUGAGUAAACAAUUAAAUAACUUAAUAACCAAGUGGAGAGUUCACAAAUUUGAGUAAUUCAAAGAAAAGGGAACAAAAACAACUUACUAUGAAUCUCAAAAUCAAAAUAUAAUACAACAAGACUAUUAGGAUGCGUCUCAAAAGUCGUGACUCUUUACACGGCCAUCCUAGACAAAAAACAAAUUUUUUUUUUUUUGGUUUUUUUUUUAACAAAGAAAAGAAAAGAGAAAAGAGAAAAACAACACACAUAUUUAAAAUAUACGUCAAUUAUCCCCACCCCACAACCUAAUCUAAACAUUAUCUUAACAUUUUAUAAUUUUACAGAUAUGCAAAAAAAUAAAAAUAAAAGAGAAUAAUAAAAGAAGAAGAAGAAGAGAUCUCACCUGAACUUGAUGCAGAAGCUUAAAAGCAAAUAACAAAGAUGAAGAAAGAGUCAAUUUUUUUUUUUAACAACACCCUUAAGAUUAAGAAGAUGCGUUUCUAGAGAGACUACAUUCUCUAUAUCCUGCCAUCUUCGACUCAAAUUUGUCCUAAGUUAGUCUUUACAGAAAAAAAAAUUUUUUUUUUUUUUGUUUUUUGUUUUUUUUUUUUUUUGUAAACACAUAACCAGGACUAAGACAUUCCACAAUUAUCAACUAUUCCCUCCCCCCAACCUGAAAAAGACAUUGUCCUCAAUGUUUUAAAAGGAAAGAGAAAGAGUGUAGAAGACAUCACAUGAACACUACAACAGAAAAUAUUUACAAACGGAGAGUUAAAUCUAAAUCGCACUUCUUAUUAUUGCUACUGUUACCGUUACCGUCAUUAGUCGACCAAUUCAGUGCAACAGUCUGUGGAUCUGGCUCUGGUGUAUAAGCUUGCAAAAGAUCAAGUAACUCAUUAGCAGUAGAAGCAGAGAUAAAUAGUUUUUUUACAGAAUGUGGAACAAAAUGAUUCUUUAUUGCAUGAUUAAUAAAAGUUAGCAAGCCGUCAUAAAAAUCAUUAACAUUUAACAAACCGAUGGGUUUUUGAUGAAUGUUCAAGUGGGCCCAAGAUGCAAAUGUAAUUAGUGCCUCAAAAGUUGCAAGAUCUCCUGGCAAGAAAAUAAAAGCAUCAGCAUGAUUCAUCAUUUCAGAUAUUCUCUCUUGCAUACUUGAUACCACUAAUUCUUCUCCAAUUGGUGGGCCAGACAUGCACACUAGCGGUUUCAUGGGUUUUGGGAUAAUGCCGAGUACUUGGCUUCCUCUGGUAAAAACAGCUUCUGAGACAAGUCUUGAUAACCCUCGUUCACCUCCUCCAUAUACAAGAUGCAGUUUCCUCUCUGCUAUGACACGACCAAGAUCUACAGCUGCCUGAACGAACUCUUUGUACUUUCCAUAGUGAAACCCAGAAAGCACACAAAUGUUUUUGAAUUGUUUACUCGAAGAUGAUGCCAUUGGACUAAUUUUUCAAAAACAAGUUGUGAGUGUUUGAAAAAUGAGCUCAUAUUUAAAGAUCUUGGUAACAUAAAUAAUGAGAAACAGCUGUAAAUGGGUUGGCAAUAUUUGUCAAAUGACGAGUAAAACUCGUGGCUCAAUAAUUCAAAAACAAACAGUAAAAAGAAAGUAAUGAUUAGAAAAAGCAAACAGUAAAAGAAAACCAAAUAUUUAUUAAAUACAAAAUCACAUCGCUAAAUGCAAUAAUGCAAAUGAUAAAAUAACAGUAAAGUAAAAUAACAGUGAAGUGAAAGGAUAUUUACUGGUAGUUGUGAUUGUGGCUCACAUCUUCCUCUGGUUUUACGUCCAGUAACGGCUUGAACGCCCUCUAUGGGUCGAGGAUCGGCUUCCCAUCCAGUUUUCUUAUAAACUGGCAAACAGGGUCUUUUUGAGUCAGAUUCCCAAGACUUAACUGUGCACUUUGUUUUUGGAAUAGUAUCCACAAAUUGUAAAUCUCACGUUGCACAAUUCCGCUUCGAUGCGUCUCAAGAGAUCGUAAGAUAUCAUCCAACGAUUCUUUACUCAUGCCAUCUUUAACGAAUUUAAUUUUAUCUUCACGAGUAUCAGAAACCAUUCCUAAAGAUUUACAAUCUGGUCGUUUGCAACCAAGUCUCACACAGUUAUGACAUUUUGAGCCAAGUCGUUUAGCUCUCCUUUUCUUAGCAAACGUACUUUUACCAAAACCAGGCAUGUAAGAAACAAAUUGACCAGAAAACUCACCUGCUAAUCGGACCUUUGCUUCAAUUAACCAACGAAUGUCAGAAGGAAUGCCAUUGAUCAUUAACAAACGCAGUCGUUCACAACGAGCUUUGUAAAUUUUCCUGAGGGCAUUCUGAGGGAGAGAGGGAAAAUGCUUAUGGAGUUUAUGUUGUAUUUCUUCCAUGUAUGAUUUUGGGGUUUCAGUUAUUGUGGGAAACUGAAGAUACCGACUUAAGAAGUCACGGAGUACCGUUAUCCGCCAUUUAUACGGGAAAAUAGAUCAAAACACACCAAAAUCAAAUCUGCAAAAUCAAAUCAAGCGUGAAAGCGAGUAAAAAGAAGCACACAAUAUAAAAGGAAAAUGAACUUACAUUCGUCCUCUCAUUGAGUUAACCUCAAGCUCCAUUUGAAAUUCAUAUAUGCCACUCUCUACUGUUCUGAGUUGUCCCUCUAGAUCCUCAACAUAGGACACGAAUUCUGGUGGUUGCAGAUCCCAAAGUGGAUGUGAUUUACAGCUUUGUAUCAGGCCUCUUAAGUGAAAUUUUAUACGCCGAAAUCUUUUAAGAUGUGCGAACAGGUAUUUUCUCAUUGAGGUGCUCAUGAUGUAAAAUGAAAAUUGAUGAGAGAAUGUACAACUGUCAAACAAACACGCUUACACAAGAAAAACAAUGUUAAAAAAAAAACUAUGUACAGUGCAUCAAUCUAAGGAAAAAAAAAAGUCAAACAAUGAAACGGUAAAAUAAUAGUAAAACAAAAAAAAAUCAUUAAAAACUUAAUCAAGAAUUGGUGGGUCAUCCAAAUUAAUUUCGGUGUCCUCGUCACGUGGGUGAUGUUCCAGAUAUGGUUUUAAUCUUUGACCAUUAACUUUAAAUGUGACACCAUUAUUUGGAUUCUCAAUUUCUAUGGCCCCAUAUGAAUAUACAUUUUUUACAACAAAUGGGCCACUCCAUUUUGACUUUAACUUUCCUGGAAAUAAAUGAAGACGAGAAUUAUAAAGCAACACUUUUUGACCAAUCUCAAAUGUUUUUCGAAAAAUUCUUUUAUCAUGAAAUGCUUUUGUUCUUGCCUUAAUAAUUCUUGAAUUUUCAUAUGCAUCAUUCCUUAAUUCCUCAAGUUCAUUCAAUUGCAAUUUUCGCACAUUACCAACAUCAACCAAAUUUGAAUUAAAAGCUUUAAUAGCCCAAAGUGAUUUAUGUUCAAGUUCAACAGGUAAAUGACAAGGUUUACCAUAAAUUAACCGAUAGGGUGACAUUCCUAAUGAUGUUUUAAAUGCAGUGCGGUAAGCCCAAAGUGCAUCAUUAAGUCUAAGAGACCAAUCUUUUCGGUUUGGGUUAACCGUUUUUUCCAAAAUUUGUUUUAUCUCCCUAUUUGCUAAUUCAACUUGACCAUUUGUUUGAGGAUGAUAAGGGGUAGCAAUUUUAUGUGUAAUUCCAUAUUUCUUCAUUAAAGACUCAAAUGACUUAUUACAAAAAUGCUUACCUCCAUCACUGAUAAUGGCUCGAGGGAUUCCAAAUCGACUUAAAAUGUUUUCUCUUAAAAAUUUAAUCACAGUUUUACUGUCAUUAUUUCGACAAGAAAUUACUUCAAUCCAUUUUGAGACAUAAUCAACUGCAACUAAUAUAUACACAAAUCCAAAAGAUGAUGGAAAUGGACCCAUGAAAUCAAUUCCCCAACAGUCAAAUAUUUCAAUUUCAAGUAUGGGAUUUAAGGGUAUCAUGUUUCUUUUUGUAAUUGAUCCCAAUUUUUGACAUUUUUCACAACUUUUGCAAAAUUCAUAUGUGUCUUUAAACAUGGUAGGCCAAUAAAAUCCACACUGCAAAAUUUUAGCAGUAGUUUUUCUUGAAGAAAAGUGACCACCACAUGCUUCAGAAUGACAAAAAUUAAUGACACUACUUACCUCAUUAUCAGGAAUACAUCGCCGAAAAAUUUGAUCUGGGCAAUAUUUGAACAAAUAAGGAUCAUCCCAAUAAAAUUUCUUUACUUCAACAAAAAAUUUCUUCUUCUCUUGAGCAUUCCAUUGCAAAGGCAUUUUACCUGUAACAAGAAAAUUAACAAUAUUAGCAUACCAUGGCAUUGAAGUAACAGAAAAUAAAAAUUCAUCAGGGAAAGAAUCAUUUAUGGGUGUUAUAUCAUUGCAGAAUUCGGAUGUGAGUCUUGAUAGAUGAUCAGCAACAACAUUUUCAGCACCCUUUUUAUCUUUGAUGGUAAGGUCAAAUUCUUGUAGUAACAAAAUCCAACGAAUUAAUCUCGGUUUGGCAUCCUGUUUACUCAUCAAAUAUCUCACAGCAGCAUGGUCAGUAAACACAAUAGAUUUAGAGCCAAGCAAAUAUGAACGGAAUUUGUUUAAUGCAAAUACCACAGCAAGUAAUUCUUUUUCAGUUGUAGAAUAAUUCAUUUGAGCACUAUCCAAAGUCUUGCUCGCAUAAUAAAUCACAAAAGGCUUACCAUCCCUUCUUUGUCCUAAAAUAGCACCAACAGCAAAAUCACUUGCAUCACACAUUAAUUCAAAUGGCAAAGACCAAUCAGGAGAUUGCAUAAUAGGUGCAGAUGUUAAAAGACAAAUUAUUUUUUCAAAAGAUUUUUGGCAAUCAUCAUUCCAUUCAAACGGUGCAUCUUUUAAUAAGAGGUUACAAAGUGGUUUAGAUAUGGCACUAAAGUUUUUUAUAAACCUCCUAUAAAAUCCUGCAUGUCCUAAAAAGGAUCGCACAUCUCUAACUGUUUUUGGUUGUGGCAAUUUAGAUAUGACUUCGAUUUUUGCUUUGUCAACUUCAAUUCCUUUAAUAGAAACAACAUGACCCAAAACAAUUCCAGAAGUAACCAUGUAGUGACAUUUUUCCCAAUUCAACACGAGUUCUUUUUCAACACAUCUUUUUAAAACUUUCUCCAAAUUAUCAAGGCAAUCAUCAAAAGAAUUCCCAAACACAGUCAAAUCAUCCAUAAAGACCUCUAAACAAUGUUCAACCAUAUCACAAAAAAUGCUUAACAUACAUCUUUGAAAUGUUGCAGGAGCAUUACAAAGCCCGAAUGGCAUUCUUUUAAAUGCAAAUGUUCCAAAAGGACAUGUGAAUGUGGUCUUUUCUUGGUCCUCAAGUGCUAUAGGAAUUUGAUAAUAACCUGAAUAUCCAUCUAAAAAACAGUAGUAGGGAUGUCCUGCUACUCUUUCUAAGAUUUGGUCAAGGAAUGGUAAUGGAAAAUGAUCUUUUCUAGUGGCUUCAUUUAAUUUUCUAUAAUCAAUGCACAUGCGCCAACUAGAUGUAAUUCGUGUUGGAAUUAAUUCUCCUUUUUCAUUUUUAACAACAGUGAUUCCAGAUUUUUUUGGCACUACUUGUGUAGGACUUACCCACUUACUAUCAGAAAUAGGGUAGAUAAUUCCCACAUCAAGUAAUUUAAGGACUUCUGUUUUGACUACCUCUUUCAUGUGUGGGUUUAAUCUUCUUUGAGGUUGUUGACAUAUUUUAGCAUUUUCUUCCAAAUUAAUUCUAUGUGUGCAGAUUAAGGGAUUAAUGCCUUUAAUGUCAUUUAAAGUCCAUCCUAUUGCAUUUUUAUGCUUUUUAAGAACAGUUAGUAACUUACCUUCUUGGUCGCUUGUUAAAGUAGAAGAAAUCACAACAGGAUAAGUUUGUUCUUCUCCAAGAAAAGCAUAUUUCAAUCCUUCAGGCAAAGGUUUCAAUUCCAUUUUAGGUGCUUCUUGUUGUUCUGUCUUUUCAAUACUUCCAAGCUCCUCAAAUUUUGGCUCGUCAUCAUAAUUUUGCGAAGUCUGCAUAGAAUCAAGCAACGAAUUUAUAUUAGAAAUAUCAAGUUUAAGUUGCUUAUUUGACUCAAUUGAAUUAACUAAACAAACAUUAGAAAGUUCAGAAAAAUCCCCUUUUUGAAUAUUUUCCUCGAUACAAGAUUCAAACAAUUCCUUUUGUUCAUCAAUAUCAUCUUCAUUCUCAUUUUCUUCAUUAGGUUGCCUGCACAUGUUGAAAACAUUCAAUUCCAAAGUCAUAUUCCCAAAGGAUAAAUUCAUUAAACCAUUCCUACAAUUAAUCAAAGCAUUAGCAGUUGCUAAAAAUGGUCGACCUAAAAUUACAGGAAUUGGUUUGUAAUUAUUCACAACAGGUUCAGUUUCCAAGACAAUAAAAUCCACAGGAUAAAUAAAUUUAUCAACUUGUACUAAAACAUCUUCCACUAUUCCUUUUGGUACUUUAACGGAUCUAUCGGCAAGCAAAAGUGUAGUUGAAGUUGAUUUUAACUCACCAAGAUUAAGUUGAAGAUAAACUGAAUAUGGAAGCAAAUUAACACUAGCACCAAGAUCUAGUAAAGCAUGCUCAAUUCUGUGGUUACCAAUAAUACAAGAAAUGGUAGGACAACCAGGAUCUUUAUAUUUCAACUUAUUAUUAGUAGACAGAAUUGUACUUACCUGUUCGGCCAUGAAAGCACUCUUUCUUACCUUCAAUUUCCUCUUAACAGUGCACAAGUCCUUUAAAAAUUUGGCAUAUGAAGGAACCUGCUUGAUUGCAUCUAAUAGAGGAAUGUUAACUUUCACUUGCUUAAAGAUUUCAUAAAUUUCAGAAGAGUGGUUUGAUUUCUUUGGUUUAUUCAAUGCAUGCGGAAAUGGUGGUUCAAGUGGAACACUAGUUAUUUCUUCACUAGGUGUAAGUUCAUUUAGUCAUUCCUUACCCUUUGAAUUUUCAUAAGGUUCAGGCAUAGGUCUAUCAACAACCUUACCACUACGAAGAGUUAUAACUGACUUGACUUGGUCUGUGGGUGAAUUUUGUUGAAUUUUAGGAUUUGGUUGUGGUUGGGCUGGAAAUUUUCCUUUUUCUUGAAUGGUGAGUGCAGAAGCAAUUUUAGCAAGAGUAUCUUUCAAAUAAAAAAAAGUUUGUGCAUUUUGAUUGUUAAUAACAUCUUGCUUUCUGAUGAAUGAAUGCAUUGUGUCCUCCAGAUUUUUCCAAGGUGGUGGAACAUAUGGUGCAUAAGGAUGAGGAUUUUGAAAAUUUUGUGGAGGUGGUGCUUGUGAAGAUUGUGCAUUAUUAUUAUUCCUCCAACUGAAAUUCGGAUGAUUUUUCCAACCAGGAUUAUAAGUCUGUGAAUAUGGGUUUGGUUUAUUGAAAGUGUUAAUGACAUUAGCUUGAUCAUUUAGACAUUCUUUAAGUGCAGGCAAAGUGGGACACUCUUGAGUGAAAUGAUCAUUCGAAUUACAUAUGUUACAUGCAAUUUCUUGAACAGAUUUUACUUGAUCACUCUUUUUAUGCUCCAAAGCUUCAACUUUCCUAACUAGGGAUGCAAAUUUUGCUUGUAAAUCAUGAUCUUCCCUAAGGUUAUGGAUUCCUCCACUAGAUGGAGAUGAUUGUUGCUUAUUUGUCAAUUCAAAAGUUCCAACAGUAUCCCAAUGUUGUGCAUUUUCAGCUAAUUGGUCAAGGUAAUCUAGUGCAUCUUCAGGAUUUUUAUCCCUAAAUUCACCAUUACACAUCAUUUCAACAACCUGUCUACUUUGGGGUAUUAAGCCUUCGUAGAAAUAAGUGACCAAUCGCCAAGUUUCAAAACCAUGAUGUGGGCAUAUGUUAAGCAACUCUUUAAACCUAUCCCAACAUUGGUAUAAUGUUUCUCCAUUUUUUUGAGUGAAAGAAGUGAUUUGCCUUUUAAAAGAAUUUGUUCUAUGAGGUGGAAAGAAUUUUUUCAAAAACUGUUCUUGCAUGUUAUUCCAAGUUCUUACUGAUCCAGAUCUAAGGUUUUGUAGCCAAGUUUUAGCUUUAUCUUUUAAUGAAAAAGGAAAAAGCUUUAAUCUAAUUAUGUUCAUGCUACAAUUUUGGUCCGUGUAUGUAUUACAAACUUCCUCAAAAUCUCUUAGAUGCAAGUACGGAUUCUCAGAUUCUAAACCAUGAAAUGUUGGUAAAAGUUGGAUAAUACCUGGUUUAAAAUUGAAUCGAGAUGCUUCUGGAUGCUCCGGUUCUGGUUGGAUUCAUGUAGUCUCUCAGAGUCCUUGGUUGAUUCUGAUCGUGCCCAUGUUGAGAUUGGUUGUCUCCCUGAUCAAUUUGAGGAUUAAGUUCGCCCAAAACAUUUUCGCCUUCAUUCUCAUCCAUGAUUGGUGGUGGAGAUUGAGAUCUACGAAUUAACCUGCCACUUGAAGAUCGAGACCAACGUCUCAUGCAAGGGUUAUGUUAUAAAGAUAAUAUUUACACAAAUUGAUAAUAAAAUAAAAUAAAAAAUUAAAUAUGCAAAUAAUAUAAGUGUACAAAAGAAAAUUAAAUAACAAUUUUGGUGGUUGAACCCACCAGUUAACAAUAUAAAAUAAAUGCAAAAGAAAGAAAAAGAAAAAAUGGUAGUUAAACCCACCAAUAAAGCAAAAAAAUAAAAUAAAAUAAAAUAAACGCAAAAUAAUAAAAUAAAUAAAUAAAAUGGUGGUUGAACCCACCAAUAAAAAAAAUAAAGCAAAAAAAAAUACAAAAUUAAAUAAAUACUGAAAAUAAAAAUUAGGAGUUAGUAGUUAGUUUGGUGGUUGAACCCACCAAUAAAGCAAAAAUAAAUAAAUACGAAAUUAAAUAAAUGCAGAAAAUUAAAUAACUGAAAUUAAAAAAGUUAGCAGUUAGCAGUUAGUAAGUUAAGAGUCAGUAAUUAGAGUUAGUAGUUAAAGUUAGUUUAGUCCAAAAUAUGUUAGUUUAGUCCAAAAUAUGUCCAAAUAUGUUCAAAAUAUGUCCAAAUAUGUCCAAAAUAUGUCCAAAGUAUGUCCAAGUCUUAAUUAUUUUGAGGAAUUUCGUCUAGGGAUUCUAUUGCAAAUUAUUUUUAAUUUUAUGGUCAAACUGUAAUUUUUAGAAGUUUAGAAUUAGUAAUUUGGGAUGAAAGUGAAACAGUUGAAAGAUAUCGGGGUCCGAACGUAAUUACCAGAAGAUUGGGCUGGAAACGGAAAUUGUUGGGGUGAAACUAGAAUUAUGAAAGAUAUGGGGACAAAAGAGAAUUUAAGAAAAGAAAAAGGGGGUAAACGAAAUUUUACAUAUAAGAGAAAAAUAAAAAACGGAAAAACAAACCAAAUAAAAAAAACUUUUCCCCGGCAACGGCGCCAAAAACUUGACACAUCUUAAAAGUAAUUUUUAACUCUCAAGUAUAAGAGUGUCUUGUUGUAUUAUAACUCGGUGAGUCCGAGGUCGAUCCACAGAGAAAAGAUUUAAUUAGUUUAUUUUAUUUUAUCUAAAAAUUGAAAUUAAAACUUGAAUAUAAACAACUUAAUUUAAAUGAAACUAUGGAAUUGAACUAGUUAAGGUUAUGGAUCCACUCUUAGAAAUAAAUAAAACUUAAUAAAUUCUUUUUGCCAAUUUGUUUUAGAUUUAUUACCCAAAAGAUUAAUUAUACAAAUUAUUAUUAUUUUCCCUUUAAUUUUAUGAUGGAUUAAGUAUUUAUUGUGCCAAAAUUUAAUUUGUCUACAAUAAGGCAAAAUACCAUUUCACCAUGCCUUAUAUUAAGAUCUUAAGAAUUUAUUGUGCCAAAUUCAUUUGUUUGUCUACAAUAAAUCAAAAUUUCAAAAUAUAAAACAUGUAUAAAAUUAAAUAGAAAAUAAUUUAAUUUAUAAAAUUAAACAUAGAAUUUGAUUAAAUCAUAUUUAUUUCUUAAGAGUUUCACCUUCCCCUAACUAAUAUUAUUUAGUUAAGCAUAAUUAAAAUAAAAAGUAGUAAAAUUGAAUUACUUGUAAUUAAAAGAAAUAAAAACAACUAAAAUUGGAAAUAAAACUAAUUUUAUUAAUGAAAAUAAUUAUACAAAAUAUUAAAAACACACCUGGAAAUCAAGAUUACAAGGAGAUGGAGAGAAUUUGAGAAUAAGAGAGUUGUAGAGAGAUGAUUAAAACAUAAAAAUGAGGCCUUAUUUAUAGAAAAAUAAAUUCAUAAUCCAGUGCUUUGUGGUCCAUCAUAGGCUUCAUGCAUGUGCUCCUCACAACCCUUAGAUCAAGAUCCAAUGGCUGGUCAAACUUCAAAAGUCAACAUCACACAUGGCAUCAUUUGACUCGUCCGAUUUGCCCAAAGAACGGUUGAGAUUUGGCGGGUUAAUGGGUGGAUCGGGUCGACCCGAAUACAAAGAUUCGGAUCCUCCAACUUGCUUCACCAACCAUUGCCACGUGGCACAAUCAUGGCCAUUGAAUGAUGAACGGUUGAGAUUUAGUCAAGAUUGCCAGUUAUCCCAUGCACUCAUAUCUAUUGUAAGCUCAUUUCAUCAUCCAAUCAGUGCUCGGUCAACAGGAAAAGUCAAUUUUUUUUACACAAGCCCAAUUUUAAGCCGAUCUUGACUGAUCUUAAGGUUUUCGAACCUCCGGAAUCCAAAUUUGACCUCCGUUUAUUUGUUUGGAGCCUCGAAGUACGUGAAAUUAAUAAUUUUCCUAAUAAACACAUAAAAAUACACAAAAUUAAAUAUAUUUAAAACAUAAUUAAUAAUUCAUAAUAUAUUACAUAAACACAAAUAUAAAUUAUAACAUAAGCAUAAAAUAACAUAUUAUCGCUUGAUAACUAAACAAUUUUUAAUACUAAUCAGGUGGAACUUGAAUCUGGUAAAAAGAUCAAGUGUUUGAGGACAGAUAAUGGUGGAGAGUAUACAAACGGCGAGUUUCUUGCUUUCUGUAAGCAAGAAGGUAUUCAGAGGCAGUUCACAGUGGCAUACACUCCUCAACAAAAUGGAGUGGCAGAGCGGAUGAAUAGAACUCUUACAGAACGGAUAAGAGCUAUGUUAAUGACUGCUGGUCUACCCAAUUCAUUUUGCGCAGAAGCAGCCAAAACUGGCUGUUAUAUAGUAAAUCGAUCGCCAUCUAUAGCUAUUGGGCUGAAGACAGUGAUGGAGAUGUGGACUGGAAAGCCAGCUAAUUAUUCCUACCUACAUGCAUUUGGAUGUCCUGUGUAUGUGAUGUACAAUGCCCAAGAAAGAACAAAGCUGGAUCCAAAAUCUAGAAGAUGUAUCUUCUUGGGGUAUGCUGAUGGAGUAAAAGGGUAUCGUCUGUGGGACCCCACUGCCCACAAGAUCGUCAUCAGAAGAGAUGUUAUCUUUAUAGAAGAUCAACUGCAAAUGAGAGAUGAGGAUGAUGGCACUGCAAAAGAAAAGUCAAAGAUUGUGCCGGUAUAUGUCGAAAAUAAUCUAAAAAAUUUAUAUUCUUCUGAAGCAGUACCAGAGCACGAGGAACAAGAACCAGUCGAGUCCGAGGCUCCAGAAGUUCGUUGGUCAAUGUGGCACUCGGAGUAUGUCACAGAAAUCAAUGUUGUAUACUGUCUUCUAACAGAGGAUGGAGAGCCUUCAACUUUCCAUGAAGCUUUAAACAGCUCAGAUGUUGCUUUGUGGAUGACAGCAAUGUAGGAAGAAAUUGAAGCUCUACACAAGAACAAGACAUGGGAACUUGUACCACUACCACGUUGUAGAAAAGCCAUUGGAAACAAAUGGGUCUACAAGAUCAAACGUGAUGGCAAUGACCAAAUGGAGCGGUAUCGUGCAAAAUUGGUGGUGAAAGGAUAUGCUCAGAAAGAAGGUAUUGAUUUCAACGAGAUAUUUUCGCCGGUGGUUUGACUCACAACAGUCAGAGUAGUCUUGGCGAUGUGUGCUACAUUUGACUUACAUCUUGAGCAGUUAGAUGUGAAAACUGCAUUUCUUCAUGGAAAACUUGAAGAAGAAAUAUAUAUGCUCCAACCAAAAGGUUUUGCAGAAACAGGAAAAGAGAACUUGGUCUGCAGGUUGAAUAAAUCUCUAUACGGUCUCAAACAGGCGUCGAGGUGUUGGUAUAAGAGAUUUGAUUCCUUCAUUAUGAGCCUUGGAUACAACAGACUCAAUUCAGACCAUUGUGCAUAUUACAAGAGGUUUGAAGAUAGUGAUUUCAUCAUUUUGCUGUUGUAUGUGGAUGAUAUGUUGGUAGCAGGUCCCAACAAAGAUCGAGUCCAAGAAUUGAAGGCACAGUUGGCUAGGGAGUUUGAAAUGAAGGACUUGGGACCAGCAAACAAGAUUCUAGGGAUGUAAAUUCACCGAGACAGAAAUAACAGGAAGAUUUGGCUUUCUUAGAAGAAUUACUUGAAGAAAAUCUUACGACGCUUCAACAUGCAAGAUUGUAAGUCAAUUUCUACCCUACUUCCUAUUAAUUUCAAAUUAUCCUCAAGUAUGUGUCCAAGCAAUGAAGCAGAGAGGAAGGAAAUGUCUCGAGUACCGUAUGCAUCAGCAGUGGGAAGUUUGAUGUUCGCUAUGAUAUGUACUAGACCGGACAUUGCACAAGUAGUGGGAGCAGUCAGUCGAUACAUGGCGAAUCCUGGUGGAGAGCAUUGGAUAGCUGUGAAGAGGAUUCUAAGAUACAUUAGAGGAACCUCAGAUGUUGCAUUAUGUUAUGGAGGAUCAGAGUUUACUGUCAGGGGCUAUAUGGAUUCAGAUUUUGCAAGAGACCUUGAUAAAAGGAAAUCCACUACUGGUUAUGUGUUUACACUUGCGGGAGCAGCUGUAAGUUGGGUUUCGAAACUGCAGACCGUUGUGGCUUUAUCUACAACAGAAGCAGAAUACAUGGCAGCUACACAAGCUUGCAAGGAAGCUAUUUGGAUACAAAGAUUAUUGGAGGAGCUAGGGCACAAACAACAGAAAAUUCCUGUGUUUUGUGACAGUCAGAGUGCCUUGUACAUUGCAAGGAAUCCAGCCUUUCAUUCCAGGACAAAGCACAUAGGAGUUCAGUAUCACUUCGUUCGUGAAGUAGUGGAAGAUAGAAGUGUGGAUUUGCAGAAAAUCCAUACCAAAGAGAACCUAGCAGAUGUUUUGACCAAGCCGAUAAAUACUGAUAAGUUUGUCUGGAGUAGAACCUCUUGUGGCUUAGCAGAAACGUAGGCAACAUGAUUAUGGCGAAGCAGAAAGGAUGGUGUGGAGAUUGAUUGAUUCUCAAUCUAAUCUCCAAGUGGGAGAAAUGUCAAAUAAAGUGGCCAUCUAGAUGAUCUAAAGCUGCCAUCUAGAUGGUCAGCAACAAUUUUGUUCAAAGAAGACGAAGAAUUUUGCAGCAAGUUUGAAAGAAAAAGAAGCACACGGCUUUGACAUUUGAAAGAAGAAAAAGAAGGUAAAAAAUAAUAUAGAAUUGAUUAAUAGUGCCAAAGCUUUCUCUAUAAAUAGAAACGAAGAGAAUAAGCAAAUGCAUUCCAUUCAGAAAGCAAUUUAGGGAGUUGAGAGAGAGUUCAAGAGCUUGCAUUUAUAAGCUCUUGUUACAGUGAUUGAGAGAGUUUGGGUGUAUUGGGGUUUUUGGGAAGUGAGCUAAAAUACUACAAUACUUAUAACUCCUUUUCACUAGUAAAAUAUUUCCUUCUGUCUUCGCCCGUGGAUGUAGGCUAAAAGCCGAACCACGUAAUUUCUGGUGUCCUCUAUUGUGCUUGUUCUUUAUUUUCCUUCUAAUUUCAUUUUAGCUGCGGUCUUGCUUCAUCCACCAAAUUUCCUAACAGAUGCUCCAACAACGAUAAUAGGAGACAUUUCGGCUGAUAAAUUUUCCUUAAUGUGUAAGAGAAUCUUUGCAUAAUCUGCCAAAGCUUGACCAGAGUUGAAAUAUCCACGAAGAGUUGCAUUCUUUAGGGCAUCUUUGCGUGAUAUAAAAGGUACUGAUUUUCUAUAGAACCGAUGCUGCAUAAAAAAUCGAAUUAAAGAAAAAAAAUCCAUCACAACUUUUCAGUUCAUAUUGUAGAAUAUUCUGAUUAAGAUUUGUCUUUAUUAUUAUUAUUUUGUAUGGGAACUCUAUUUCAAUUAUUAUCAAGCUAGCCUGAUAACAGAUUCUUUACUUACCUCUAUGUAAACUUGUAAGGCUUUAAAUCAACGAGCAUUAUCAGUAAGCCAUCCAGUGCCACCAAGGUCAUCAUCAAGACUACUCUCUUUACCAAGAUAUGCCAAUAUCGGCGCCGCCGUGGCUCCACCACCACCCCAAUGUUUGAAGUUCAACACAUAUCUAUGAGAAAAAGUUAAAUAACUUUGUGGAUUAUAGUUAAAGUGAUCAAGUAUUUGAUCAUCAUAAUAAGUUUCGAGAUCACCCUUUGGUUCUGAAGUUAAUAUUUUUUUACUAGGGUUUAGAAAAAUAGUCUUUCCACGCACAACACCAAGCUUUGGGAUGUUUUUUAAUGGUGAAGUGGAAGCAAAAGCAAAAUUUGUGAGGAGAAGAAGAAAAAAGGCAUGGAAGCCACCGACCUUCCAUGGCAAAGUUGUAAAUCCUUAAUUAGCAGGAUGAUUAUGUAAAUACAGAAGAAAUAGAAUUAAGAUUCGGUUAUAAAUUCAGCUUCAGAAUCGACGUGUUUUUUAAUCUAUUCUGGAUUUUUUAUUAUCCUAUCAUAUAAUCAUUGGUGGUUUUAGUUUUAUAUUAGUAAUGAUCUUUAGUUUUCAUAAAAUUAUGGUUUUUCUAAUAUAUAUUGUUAUCAGUUUCGUAACUAAAUACGUUGCGGUGAAAAUUAUUAAGUCUUUCCUUAGUAAUUAACUAACUUGACAUACGUAGUUCUAAUGGUUGGACACAUAUUUCUAAUUUAAUUAACUUGUAAUUAAUUAUUUGCUAGUAAUUAACUUGAUUUAGUAUGUGGUAAAUACAUAAUUUUGAUAAAAUCAGUAAAAAAAUAGUAAAUUUUCUAUCAUGUAAGUGUAAAAUUAAAGAUAUAAUUUUUUUUAAUUACAAUAGCUAAUAUUUACUUGAUACUUUAAUACUGUAACUUUUAAACUAAGCUACCCAAACAUGGUUGUAAUUUUCUAUAAUCAUGCUACCAAAGAUGUCAGGAUUCCAAUCAUUGUUUACGAGGCUACUAUAUAUGUUAAUCAUGCUAAUGCUAUAAGCCUUGGAUUGGAAGUAAUGUAAAUCCAACCGUUGGGUAACGUAGCUAGCCUAAUUACACUUUAUUAAGAGAACAAUACAAUUAACAAUAGUCUCACAUGAAAGGGUGGCAAUUCAUUAUCCGAAUUUGUGAAUUAGACACUAACACAUCAUAUCGAGAAGAUUUUUUAUGACUAUUAUGACAACUUGUUCACGUCCAACAAACCAUCCCAAAGCCAAAUGGAGAAUGCACUGAAGAUCUGCCUCGCAAAGUCACUGAAGAGAUGAAUGCCCAGCUAAAUCAGCCCUAUACAGAAGCAGACAUCACAGAAGCUUUGAGCCAAAUGCACCCUACAAAAGCCCCUGGUCCAGAUGGCCUUCCAGCUGCUUUCUUCCAAAAGCAUUGGAAAUCAGUAAGUCAAGGUGUUACUACCACAUGCUUGCAGGUCCUAAAUAACAAAGGUAACCCUACUCCACUAAAUCAUACUUACAUAGCUCUGAUUCCAAAGGCUGAAAAACCUAAGAAAAUGGCGGAUUUUAGACCGAUCAGCCUAUGUAAUGUAAUUUAUCGGAUAAUUACAAAAACCAUUGCCAAUAGGUUGAAGCUGGUUUUGAACGAUGUAAUCUCACCAGCUCAAAGUGCCUUUGUUCCAAAUAGGCUCAUAACCGAUAACAUAAUUAUUGGUUACGAAUACUUACAUAAAAUAAGGCUUAGUAUGGGGAAAAAACAUGGGCUAGUGGCUUUGAAAUUAGACAUAAGCAAAGCAUAUGACAGGGUGGAAUGGGACUUUUUGAAAUGUACCUUAGAAAAAUUGGGAUUCUCGCUUGGCUUUGUUGAAUUGAUAAUGCAAUGCAUAACUACCUCUUCAUUUUCUGUGCUGAUAAAUGGGGUGGCUAAAGGGCUGAUCCAACCUCAAAGAGGAUUAAAGCAAGGAUGCCCAUUGUCCCCAUAUCUUUUUAUUCUCUGUGCAGAGACUUUUACAAAUCUUUUACAGCAAGCAGAAUCUCAGCAACUGAUUCAUGGGAUAAAAUUCAGCAAUGAACUUUCCAUCACUCAUCUUUUGUUCGCUGAUGAUAGUUUGAUUUUUACAAGAGCCACAAGGGAGGAUUGUACAAAUUUAAAGAAGAUUUUUUAGUGUUAUGUUGCAGCCUCUGGGCAGAUUUUCAAUUUCGAGAAGUCGUCUAUGUUUUUCAGUGAGAGUACCAAGCCGUAGCAGAUUUCCUCAAUUACAACCAUCUUCCAAAUUCAGGUGGUAUCCAGGCAUGCAAAAUACUUAGGGCUGCCCUCCAUGGUGGGUAGAAAUAAGACGAGUUUUUUUAAGGAUAUCAAACUCAGAGUUCUUGGAAAGAUUUCGAGCUGGCAAGCAAAUUUGUUCUCUUGUGGGGAGAAGGAGGUGUUGAUAAAUGAUGUAGCUCAAGUGGUGCCUGCAUAUGCCAUGAGUGUGUUUAAGCUCCCCCUAGGACUUUGUGAUGACAUGCAAAAGGCAAUUGCUAGUUUUUGGUGGGGAAGCAGCCGAGAUCACAAGUCAAUCCAUUGGUCGAAAUGGAAUAAUUUGUAUCAAGCAAAGAGUAGAGGUGGGCUGGGAUUUCGAAACUUGUCCAGCUUNNNNNNNNNNNNNNNNNNNNNNNNNNNNNNNNNNNNNNNNNNNNNNNNNNNNNNNNNNNNNNNNNNNNNNNNNNNNNNNNNNNNUUUUAAAAAUUCAAGUCUGAUGCAGGCUCAGUUAGGCUCAUAUCCUUCCUUUAUAUGGAGGAGUAUUUUAUGGGGUCGAAAUGUAUUAGAAAAAGGGUUGCGCUGGAGAAUUGGAAAUGGUGAGCAGCUGCUAGUGUAUCAAAGUCAAUGGAUUCCUCGAUCUAUAACUUUUCAGCCAAUAUCCCCCCCAUCAUUGAGCCCAGAUACAAUUGUUGCAAAGCUGAUAAGUGAGGAGCAAAGCCGGAAAGAAGCUGUAAUUAGGCAACAUUUUCUAAAAGAAGAUGCUGAUCAAAUUUUGAAAAUCCCUUUGCCAAGACAACCAAAACCUGACCAAGUGUUGUGGCACUAUGAUAAGAAGGGUAAUUAUUCAGUUAAAAGCGGUUACCAAGUGGCUAUGAAAAUGAAUUUUCCUGAGAAGCCAAGCUGCUCGAGUGAGAAUGAUAAGUAUUGGCAUGCUAUUUGGUAUUUGCAACUUCCGGAAAAAGUUAAAAUCUUCAUGUGGAGGGCGGCAAAUAACUUGUUGGCAACGGCAGGAAAUCUUUGGAAGAGGACAGUGGUGCAAUUCCCUUGGUGCCAGAGAUGUAAGUUAUCAAAGGAGACUAUUUUUUCACACUCUCUAUGAAUGCAAAGCUUCAAGGAAAAUUUGGAGGCUAACCCCUUUUGGGGAGGAUAUUGAGUUUAGCAAUGGAAGAGAUGUUCUAAGCUUGCUGUAGGAUUUGAAUGGAAAAAGGAGAAAAUCUGAGAUGGAACUGAUUGUUGCUGUGUGCUGGAGCAUCUGGCACUCAAGGAAGCUUUUCCUCUUCAAAAACAAAAAAGAAGAUCCCCAGCUAUCAGUUGCAGCAGCAGAAGCAAUGGUGCAAUCUUAUAGCAGAAUCCAAAUGCCCCAAAUGCAAAGUAACUCCCAGCUGAGUACUGCUAAUCAGAAACAAUGGAAACACCCUCCAGAGGGCUGGUUCAAAGUUAAUGUUGAUGCAGCAGUAGGAGUGGAACAACAAAGAGCUGGCCUGGGAAUUGUUAUAAGGAAUUCAGGAGGAAAGUUUAUAGCUGCAGCAAUGAAGCCCUCAAAGUUUAUUGGCAAGAUUGAUUUUGCAGAAGCUGAAGCUAUCAGGCUCGGGCUGGAGAUAGCAGAAAAUGUUGGAUGCUUUCCACUAAUUGUGGAAUCUGACGCCCAGGAAGUGGUGGACUUAGUCAAUUUCAAGAAAAGCUCAAGAGCUGAAAUAUUCUGGGUUGCUUCUGAAAUGCAAGACCAAGUAAAGAGGCUGAACCAGGUGAAAGUAGAAUAUACCCCAAGAGGGUGCAAUACAUUAGCUCAUUCUCUUGCAAGACUAGCAUUAGAGCUAAAUGAUUUUGUUUUUUGGGUAGAAAAUAUACCCUCAAAUUUUUUGUACCUAUUCACACAGUUGGAUAAAUGAAAGUAAUACUUUCUCUCAAAAAAAAAAAAAAUUAUCAUGUCAAAUCUCUGUAUCCUCUUCACUAAUCAAUUCGUUUUUGCACUUUGACUUCCCCACAGGGAAUUCUUAAUUAAUUAAUUUAUUUUUUUAAAUAAGUGCAAAAUUUAUCCCGCCGAGUAUAAUCAAGGGGUGCACGUCAAGACAAAACAAGCAACAGCUGCGACAUGGUUUCAGAGUCAUAUCAUCUAUAAGCCAAACGUGUGUCUGCUCAAUUAGACACCAUAACCUCUAAAGACAAAACAAAUGCAUGCAACUUACCAUAAAAAGAUGAAUGACGAAGUCAUUAUGCAAACUAGAAGAAAUGUAAACUGAUAGGCAAUAAUUGAAAUAAGAUGCGAAAUUAUUUAUAACACAAUUAACAAUUCAACAAUCAGAUGUGUUGAUUUAUUUUCAAUCUGACUUAGACACUAUGUUAUAUUUUAUUAUGUUUUAAUAUAUAUAUAUAUAUAUAUAAAUAAUCAAAAAAUUAUAUAAAAUUCACCAUGAAAAUAAGGAAAACGAAAAAAAAAAUCGAACGGGCCCGCUGAUGGAUCACCAAUGAACGAAAAAGAGCAACUGAAACAAACGAAAUGCAAUGGCAUUUUGGGGAAUCUAUCAAAAGCUGAUACCCUUUUUGCCGAUUCCCAGCCAACCUCUAUAAAUUGCCCGCAAUUGGAAAAAUUCGACCAAAAAAAAAAACAAAUUCACUUCAAAAAGUUCACACACACUCACACACACGCGCGCGCGCGCGCGCGGAAGCCUACUUCUUCUUCUUCUUCUUCUUCUUUCAAUUCUCUGGUAAAACGCAAUAUUUUUUUGUCGUUUUUUCUUCCUGUUAAUACUUAAUGCUUGGGCGUUUUGUGUAUAAUGGAAAUGGAGUCUCGUGUCUGAUUUAUUAUCGCAGGGAACGAUGAAUUAUGCUGAUCUAAAUCGACGUAUCACCGUUAAGGUAACUAUAUAAUUUUUUAAUUUCAAAUUCAUUUCUUUCUUUUCUUUUGUUUUUUAAAAGAGUAAUAUUAGCUUCAACUGUGAUGCUGUUCAGUAGCAGUGCUGACCUUUUUAUUCAUAAAUGUCUUCAGAUAUUUCAUAAUAUGGAAUAUUCUUCUUUAUUCUGUUCUAUUUAUUUACUGGUUUUAAUGUACAUAUUGUCGAGGAGCUAAAUACGCGAGUAUAAAAAUUAACUUCAACUGAUAAUUGGUAGUCUGAUUAUGCCAUUAGUUUUAUCGAGUCCACGUUGAUUCAGUUUGUUGUUUGAUUUUUAUGUGGAACUGUUACUUGAUUAUACAUGAACAUUCACUUGUGCAAAUUUAAUAAUGCCACAUUAUUUAAUAUUUAAUUUUGAAGGCCACUUUUUUAGUUGAGGGCAGGGAACCACUACGAUUCCAUAACACGCUCAUCUAAUCACCUUGACAAUAAGACUUCUCCUAGUCGGCAAUUAUUUAGAAAUAACGUCUUGACAUAUGCUGCGGAAAUUAAAGAAUGAAGUAGACUUACGAAGUCAAGGUGUUUUUCUAGUCUACAUAUUUUAAUUUGUGUAGAAAAUUAGAAAUAUUCAAUGUAUAAUCUGAUUCUACACAAAGACUAAUGCCCCAAGAUUGUGAUUGAAAUGCUAUAAGCAGCUUAUUUUAUAAGUUUAGAUAAAAAUGAAGUUUGAUGGCUUCGUUAAAAGUUGUUUUUUUUAAUAAUUUUCUCUAUUUUGACUGUAACUUUUAAAAACAAAAUAGAGAUUAUUUUUAUAAGUAACUUAUUAAAUAAGUUGCUAUAUCUUUUUAAAUGUUCAUAUUAUAACCUUAAUAUUUUAAGAAAAGAAUAAUUAUAUCUUACUUUUCUAUAAGAUCUAAUAUAUAAAUAAAAGACAAUUUAAACGCAUGUUUAUUUUAGUCAUUAAAUAAUACAACACAUUCAUAAUCAAAUUUACUAAACGUGAGCAAGAUACUUUUUUAAUCAUCAACUUAUUUCGUCCUCACGAUAGAAAUAACUUAUUUUAUCAACCACCGCCAUCCUAAACUUGGUGCUAAGUCUCGUUUGGGAUUGCAUUAGAUUGUCAAAUAAUUAAGAGAAAUAGCUAUUAAGGAGAAGAAUAGGAAGAGGUUCGCCAGAAGCAAUAUACUCGCAAGCUUGGCUACUAAUAAACGAAGCAUACAAGCUUAAACACCUAAAAUAUAUAUAUAGAGAGUAGUUUUUUGGUACGGGAUCUUAAAGUGCGGGAAACAUUAGGAAAAUUUUUAAAACCUCGGGAUUUUAAAGGCUUAAUAAUUAAAACACUUAAACUGAACGGUUUAUGCGUUUUCCCGGACGUUCUCGUACUUUAAAAUUCUGAAUUAGAAUAUUUUUAUAUGUGUGUGUUGUUGUCCAAAUUUUAAUGUACUCGCAAGCGCACGAAUCUAUUGUUGUAUAGAUCAAUGGUGACGAGUGUCGAUCCCACGAGGAGGUGGAUUUUAAUUGUGUAGAAUUAAUUUUGUAAAUGGGUGAUUGGAUUUGUGGUGGAAAUGAUUUGGAAUAUCCUAAAACUUAAAUUAAAAUGGCGAGAAUAAAUUCUAAAAUUGGAAUUGAAAUUACGAGAAUAAAUUGAAGAGAAUUCUAUUAAAAUGACGUACUUGGGUAUCUGGAUCCGUAUCAACAUGCAUCAUGGGCUAAAUAAUCCUUAUUAAUGCCAAUUAAAUCAUGAGGGGGGAAUCCACACCUCAUGAACCACACUCUAAUCAAUAUGGUGCUAAGGGCUUAUCGUGCCAAAUAAUAAUAACCUUGUACUAGAGGGCCGGUGAAACCAAGGCGGUACUAGACAAGAUUAGUAUUAUUUGUCGACGAGAAGUCAAAACAUCCACAAAAACUAGAGGGGAAGAGAAAAUAAAUUUACCAAAUAAAACCCAUGACACAUGUUGAGACUUCACUUUCAACCCAAGCUUGAAAGAAAAUUAGCUACUCAUAAUUGAACUAGGGGCAAAAUGAGAAUUUAUUAAAAUACGAAGAAACUACAAGAUGGAGAAGGAAUUACAAAAAAUAGAGUCCAAAAAUGGAUUCAGAGAUAUCAAAUUAUGGGGGAGAGGCCCCCUUUUUAUAGAUACAUCAAGUAAAUCAUGGCCAUCGGAUUAAAAACAGUUUGGACGCUCAGGAUUGCGCCACGUCAUCAGUCAACAGUACGCGGUUUGACCACGCGGAUGAACAGUAACACGGUUUGACCUAGAUGAAUAGUAACGCGGUUUGACUCGGAUGAACAGUAACGCGUUUGAUUGAAAAUAAUCCUGUGUGAUGCAUGUACCGUACGCGAGAUUUUUCGUCCACUGAUAGGCUGCCACGUCACCAUCAACAGUACAUAAGAAUUUUAGCCCAACAGGAUCGUGACACCUCAUCAGUCAAUGCCACAUCAUCGGUCAAUGCCACGUCAUCAUCCGUCUAUGUGAACAAUGUAGUGAACAGUAACGUAGACAGUACCGUACACGUGAAUAGUACCGUACAUGUGAAUAGUGUCAUUUUUCCUUUUAUGCUCCUCCUAAGGUUUUCGACCGUCCUGAGUUCAAAAGUGAUGUCCGUUUUGCCGUCUGAUCUCUCCUUUAUUGUAAAAUGACUAUAAUGCCCCUAAAAUACAUAAAAUACUUAAUUAAAAUAAAACACAUGUAAUUAAAUCACAAGAAGGUUAAAUACAUAAAAGUAAGGGUUGUUAGUAAGACUUGAAAUGUAAAAUGACGGUCUUCUCUUUUAUAAAUUUACAUUUUCUAACACUCAACACACCCCCCAACCAGCUUAUUGCUAGUCCCUAGCAAAUAAAGCGAAAACAAAAUUCAAAUUCAAAAUAAAUUUUUUUUUAAUAAAAACACUCGUAUUUAUUCCAUUAGAUUAAUAAUAGCAAUCAAAUAAAAGUAUAAGCAUUAUCUCCAGUCUAAAGCAACAUCACACCCACAUCAACCAUCCACAUGAAUCAGCUCAGUAGACUUUGUUAUAGCUACUUUCAAGAAUGACAUGUCAAACCCCAAAAUCUCACUGGAAGUAGUGACACUCUCACAAAGAAAUUAAAACCAAUAAAAAUAGUCACUCCAAUGAAUGGUAAUUGAGAGAGAAAAUAAUAAAGAAGUGAUAUCACAUGCUCUCACCAAGAUGAAAUAAAUAUGCCCUCAGCUUAGAAAUAAUACAGUCUCAAGUCAAAUAAAAAUGCUAGUCAACCCAAUUUAUUUAUCUUUUUUUUAUAUUUAUUUAUUUAUUUUUAUUAUGCACCACUACAUCUCUUUAGCCCACAUAACUAGCUUCUACUUCAAAUUAUAGUUCCCUAAAAUCAGGAAGGACUUUUAUUAGGAUGUAACGUAGGCUAGGGACAUGGUUAACAAAGAAGGGAAAUAAGGAAAACAAAGUAUAUGUUUGAGAAAAAUGCAGAGGACUUUUUUUUUUUUUUUGGGAGUUGCAAGGUGGAUUUCACCUAUUAUUGUUAUUUUUAUUCUUUUGAAACAACAAUUUUUUUCUUUUGUUUUAGCAACAACAAUUUUUUAUUUGAACUAGGCAUAACUUCAUUGUACAAAAUGUUUAUUUACAUUUUUCUCAAACAUAAAUAGGUGAUGGAACUUAUAAGACAUCGGGUAAUACUCCAAAUCGGAGUGGGUCAAGAUGAUAAGUUGACAAAGAAAAGGUUUUUUUUUUUUUUAAAGGCUCAAAAGGGUUAACUAUGGAUAUUUAAUAAAAGGGAUGGCUAGAAAGGCUCAAACGGAUCAAAGAUGGCCUUUCCAUCGUCUUUUAGGGCUCUAAAUAAUCAUCCAUAUCUACUAGUUAGACAGGCCUCCAAAUGUAGCAACACACUUUUUUUUUUUAAUUUUACAAUUUUUUUUAAGGAUUAACUUAAAAGAAAUCUAAAGAUCGUGUAUAAAAUAAUAAACUGCUAAACUGUAUAGAGAAUGGGCAAAAGGGUUACUCUCCAAGAAAAUAAUAGGUUCAACAACUCACUUGGCACUUAUUUAUGACAUGUUCAUUCCUUCAAGCAACUCAUAUUUGUCUCCGACAUCAACAUGUAGAGUAGCAAACAUAAUGUAACAUCACUUAAGACCAAAGAUAAUACAAAUACUAAAAUUUGAAAUUAAUCAUGUCAUCCAAUGUUAAAACAAAUCACACAAUUUUUUUUUAACAACAUUCUACCCCCCAACCUAUUCUAAACAUGAAAGGAAAAUAUGCAUGCAGAAAUGUGAAAAUGAUGCAUAAAAACUAAUUAGAAAAGUUACACGUAAAAUAAUAGAAAACAAAGAUGGUUUUUUUUUUUUUAAAGAUGCGUUUCUAGAGGCACUACACUCCAUAUUCAGCCAUCUUCGACUCAAAAGUUGGAAAAUGUAUAUUUAUAGAGGAGAAAUUAAAAAGAAGAAGAAAAAUGAACAUCAAAACUUAAUAAAGAAAAAAAAAUUAUUUUUAAUUUUUUUGUUUUUUUAAUUAAUUAAUUUUUUUUAAAACAAUGAAGAUGCGUUUCUAGAGUCACUAUCCUCCAUAUUCAGCCAUCUUCAACAUAAAAAGUUAGCAAUAGUUAGUUUCUACAACAAACAAUUAGUAAAAACUUAACCAAAAUUCCACAAUUGUCGACUAUUCACUCCCCCCAACCAGAAUGAAACAUUGUCCUCAAUGUUUGAAAGGAAAGAAGUAGAGUUUAGAAGACAUCACCUGGGUGGUGCAACAUAGAAAAUAAUAUUUACAAGCGGAGAGUUAAAUCUAAUUUGUACUUCUUACUGCGGCUACCGUUACCAUCAUUAUUUGGAUGCUCCAACACAAAGGUCCAGGGGUCUGGCUCCGGUCUAUAAGCUUGUAACAUAUCAAGUAGCUCAUUAGCAGUGUGAGCACAAAUAAAGAGUUUUUUCGCAUUAGAGGGAAUGAAAUAGUUUUUUAUUGCAUGGUUAAGAAAUGCGAUAAAGCCAUUAUAAAAGUUAUUGACAUUUAACAAACCGAUGGGUUUUUGGUGGAUAUGCAGAUGGGCCCAAGAUGCUAGUGUGAUAAGUGCCUCUAGUGUUGCAAGAUCUCCUGGAAGGAAAAUAAAAGCAUCAGCAUGAUUAAGCAUUUCAGUUAUUCUUUCUUGCAUACCUGAGACGACUAACUCUUCUCCAGUUGAUGAGUUAGACGAACUGCCCAAUGGUUUUAGGACUCUUGGAAUGAUGCCUAACACUUGACUUCCUCUGACAAAAGCUGCUUCAGAGACCAUUUUUGAUAACCCUCGGUUACCUCCUCCAUACACCAAGUGUAAUUUUCUCUCUGCUAUACUUCGACCAAGAUCGAUGGCUGCCUCAACGAACUCUUUAUGUUUGCCAUAGGUAAAUCCAGAAAGCACACAAAUGUUCUUGAAUUGUCUAUUUGGAGUAGCUGCCAUUAUGAUACUUCUCAAAAAAUAAUUUGUGAGUGCUUGUAAAAAAAAAAUCACAUUUAAGAGCCUUGGUGACAGUGGGUCAUAGUUGUGUAUGAGGUAACAUGUCAGUGUCAAAUAACGUGUAAAGCACGUGGCUCGCGAGUCAAAAAGGAAACAGUAAAAGGGAAAAAGCAAACAGUAAUAAGGAAAAAGCAAACAGUAAUAAAAUUAUUAAAGACAAUAAUGCACACAAUAAAACAAUAGUGAAAUAAAAUAACAGUAAAGUGAAAGGAUAUUUACAGAUAGUUGCGACUGUGGCUCACAUCUUCCUCUGGUUUUAAGUCUAGAAACGGCUUGAACGCCCUCUAUGGGUCGAGGAUAGGCUUCUUAUCCAGUUUUGUUAUAAACUGGCAAACAGGGUCGUUUAUAGUUAGAUUCUCAAGACUAUAUCGUGCAUGCUCUUUCUGGAAUAAUGAUCAUAACUGGAGAAUCGCUCCUUGCACAUAUCCACUGGGAUGCGUUUCAAGAGACAAAAUGAUAUCAUCCAAUGACUCCUUAUUCAAGCCAUCCCUAAUGAAUUGAAUCUUAUCUUCCCUGUUAUCAGACAUCAUUCCUAAAGAACAUGGGUUUUUAUUGCAACUCAUUCUGGCACACUUAUGACAAACAACAGAAAUUCUUCGAGCUCGUUGUUUUCUUGCAUAAUUUUCUUUACCACAACCAGGCAUGUAUGCAAUAAAUUUUGGAGGUAACUCACCUGCCGAUCGUACUUUCGCCUCAAUUAACCAACGAAUAUCAGCAGGUAUGUUAUUCCUCAUGAGCAAUCGCAUGCGUUCGGACCGAGCUUUAUAGAUCGUAAGGAGGGCAUUCUGAGGAAGUGAAGGGAAUCGCUUGUAAAGCUUCGCUAGAAUCUCCUUUCUGUCCAUACUUUCGCCUCAGAAUAUCAGUUAUUAUGGGAAACUGAAGUAACCGACUUGAUUAUCACGGAGUACCGUUAUCCGCCACUUCACCAAGGUAACAAACUAAAGCACACAAACAGAAAAACAAAUUAAAACACAUAAAGAAAAUUAAAAUCGUCCUCUUAUUGAAUUCACCUCAAGCUCCAACUGGAUGUCGUAAACACUUCUCUCAAUAUCUCUGAGUUGGCUUUCUAGACCCUCAACAUAGGAUACUAACUCUGGUGGUUGACACGUUGAAGUGGUUUAAGAAUGUUCAGGAGGAAUGGUCUAAGUAAGGUACUCAUGAUUAAAAAUGAUAAGAGAAAACUUAAUAGUUAAACAAACACACUUAUGCAAAAAUAAUUUCAAUUAGCAAAAGAAUAAUAUAAAGAAAGAAAGAAAGAAAAAAUCAAAUCACUGAAAAGAAAAAAAUCAAUUCAAAUUUGGUGGGUCACUCAAAUUUAUUUCGAUGUCUUCUCCAUGUGGUUGGUAUUCUAGAUAUGGCUUUAAUCUUUGAGCAUUAACUUUAAACAUGACGCCAUUCUUUGGGUCCUUAAUUUCAAUUGCCCCAUGUGGAAAAACAGUAUGAACAAUAAAGGGACCAGACCAAUGAGAGCGUAACUUACCUGGGAAUAGGUGCAAGCGAGAAUUGAAUAAAAGUACUUUCUGACUUGGAGUGAAUGAUUUUCUCAUAAUUUGCUUGUCAUGAAAGACUUUCAUCCAUUGCUUGUAAAUCUUGGCAUUUUCGUAUGCAUCAUUGCGAAUUUCUUCAAGUUCUGCCAGUUGUAAUCUUCUUUCUGAGCUGGCUUGCUGCAUGUCAAAGUUGAAUUUCUUGAUGGCCCAAUAUGCACGAUGCUCGAGUUCCACAAGUAGGUGGCAAGCUUUUCCAUACACUAGCCUGUAGGGUGACAUCCCAAUCGGGGUCUUGAAAGCCGUUCUAUAUGCCCAUAAGGCAUUAUCAAGUCCUAAUGACCAAUCUUUUCUGUCCGGCCUCACCGUCUUUUCUAAUAUGUGCUUUAUUUCUCGAUUGGAGAUCUCAACUUGGCCACUGGUUUGUGGAUGAUACGGGGUCGCCACUUUGUGUGUGAUUGAAUACUUUGUCAAAAGAGCUUUGAAUGCUUUGUUACAAAAGUGGGCACCACCAUCACUGAUUAUUGCUCAAGGGAAUCCAAAGCGUGAGACAAUAUUGCUUUUCAAAAAUCCUAUCACCACCUUGUGAUCAUUGGUUCUGCAUGGAAUUGCUUCUACCCAUUUCGAUACAUAGUCAACAGCAACUAAUAUGUAUUGAUGGCCAAAAGAAGGGGGAAAGGGUCCCAUGAAGUCGAUACCCCAUAUAUCAAAAAUCUCAACCACUAAAAUUGAAUUUAGUGGCAUCAUGUUCCUUCGUGUAAUGCUCCCCAUUCGUUGACACCUAUCAUAUGAAGAACAGAAAGUGUAAGCGUCUUGAAAUAUAGUUGGCUAAUAGAAACCACAUUGCAAAACUUUAGUAGCUGUUUUCUUAGCACUGAAAUGGCCUCCACAAGCUUGUUCAUGGCAGAAUGAAAGGAUAUUCUGAAUUUCACUUUUGGGACACAUCGUCUAACAAUUUGGUCUGCACAAUACUUGAACAAAUAAAGGUCAUCCCAAAAGAAAUUCUUUAUUUCUGCAAAAAAUUUAACCUUGUCUUGCUUGGUCCAAUGCUCUAGAAGUUUACCUGUAACAAGAUAAUUAACUAUAUCAGCAUACCAAGGUAAUACUUCCACAUUCAUUAAUUGUUCAUUUGGAAAUGACUCAUUCAAUGGUAAUGAUUCUGUAAUUGUGUCAAAAUGGAGACGAGAGAGGUGGUCCGCCACAACAUUUUCUGUCCCUUUCUUAUCUUUGAAUUCCAAGUCAAAUUCCUGCAAAAGUAACACCCAACGAAUUAGUCUAGCUUUUGCAUCUUUCUUUGUAAGAAGAUAUUUAAGAGCAGCAUGAUCUGUGAACACGAUUAUUUUACAACCAAUGAGAUAAGAUCGAAAUUUCUCCAAUGCAAACACUACUGCUAGCAUUUCUUUUUCAGUAGUUGAAUAGUUCAACUAUGCAUCAUUCAAUGUCAUACUAGCAUAGUAAAUAACGUGGGAAAUUCGAUCAACUCUUUGUCCUAAUACUGCUCCUACUGCAUAAUCAGAUGCAUCACACAUGAGCUCAAAUGGUAAGCUCUAGUUCGGGGCCUGAAUGAUGGGUGAUGAUGUCAACAACUGCUUUAAUUUUUUAAAAGCCACAAGACAUGAAUCAUUAAAGAUAAAAGGUACAUCAUUAGCAAGUAAAUUGCAUAAGGGUCUAGAAACUUUGCUAAAAUCUUUAAUGAAACGUUUAUAGAAACCAGCAUGCCCAAGGAAAGAUCUUACUUCUCUGACUGUUUUGGGUGGAGGAAGAUUAGAAAUGAGAUCCACCUUGGCUUUGUCAACCUCAAUACCUUUGCUCGAAAUGAUGUGACCGAGAACAAUACCUUGUUUUACCAUAAAAUGACAUUUCUCCCAAUUUAAAACCAAGUUCUUCUCAAUACAUCUCUGCAGAACUAAUGUUAGAUGAUGUAAACAUUGAUCAAAUGAAUCACCAAAGACAGAAAAGUCAUCCAUAAAGACUUCAAGGAAUCGUUCAACCAUAUCAGAAAAAAUGCUCAACAUGCAUCGUUGAAAUGUAGCAGGUGCAUUACAUAAUCCAAAUGGCAUCCUCCUAUAUGCAAAAGUGCCAAAAGGGCAAGUGAAAGUAGUUUUCUCUUGAUCUUUUGGUGCUAUGGGAAUCUGAUUAUAUCUUGAGUAGCCAUCUAGAAAGCAAUAAAAUUCAUGGCCUGCUAAUCUAUCAAGCAUUUGAUCGAUAAAGGGUAAAGGAAAAUAAUCUUUACGUGUGACAGAAUUCAACUUUCUAUAAUCAAUGCAAACACGCCAUUCUGUAGUUACUCUAGUGGGUAUCAAUUCAUUAUCAGCAUUGGUAACUACUGUGACUCCUGACUUUUUGGGGACAACUUGUACAGGACUGACCCAUGAACUAUCAGAAAUUGGGUAAAUGAUACCUGCAUCUAAUAGCUUAAGGACUUCUGUUCUAACAACUUCUUUCAUAUUAGGAUUUAACCGACGUUGCAUUUCCCUAGUAGAUUUAGCAUUUUUAUCAAGGUGAAUGUAAUGCAUGCAAUCUACUGGAUUUAUACCUUUUAUGUCUGCUAUGGUCCAUCCUAAUGCUCCUUUGUGCUCUUUUAAAACAUCCAACAACUUACCUUUUUAUUCGUCAUUUAGGGAUGAUGAGAUGAUUACCGGUACAGUACUUUCUUCUCCCAAAAAUGCAUAUUCCAAAGUGUUGGGUAAUGGUUUGAGCUCAAGUUUCGGUGGUGAUUCUGAUGAUGGGAUGAGUUUCUUCUCUGAUGGUGCUAGUUGCUUAACUCUUGACUUCUAUUUAUCAGUGUCCAUAGAUGGUGUUGAGUCAAGUAGGGCGUUGACCUCAUCGACCGAUCUGUCAAUAUCAAAAUCCAAACCAAAGUGAGUUAAACAUGUUUGUAAAGGAUCAUCACUAAGGUUUGAAACAAAAGUAUCAUCAACUAAUGCUUCAAUUAAAUCCACAUCAACAAUUCCAUCAUCUGCACUGUGAGGUUGUUUGGCAAUGUUGAAGAUGUUCAGCUCCAUAGUCAUGUUGCCGAAGGACAACUGCAUAUUUCCGGUCCUGCAUUGAAUGUGAGCAUCCACAGUUGCCAAGAAAGGUCGGCCUAGAAUAAUGGGGAUGUGCUUCCUCGAGUCCUGUAUUGGUUGAGUGUCAAUUACAAUGAAAUCAACAGGAAAAUAAAAAUUGUCUACCUGGAUAAGCACGUCCUCCACAAUACCAUGAGGUAUUUUUGUGGACCGAUCUGCAAGUUGUAACACCACUGGAGUUGGGUGUAAUUCUCCAAGUCCAAGUUUCACAAACACUGAAUAAGGUAACAGAUUUACACUAGCUCCUAAAUCCAACAAAGCAUUCUCAAUUGUGUGGUUCCCUAUGCUACAUGAGAUAGUAGGGGAGCCCGGGUCUUUGCAUUUUAAAGGAAUUUUGUGUUGGAGUAUAGAACUAAUGUUUUCUGUUAAAAAUGCCUUAUUUUGAACAUGCAUAUUUCUUUUUUUAGUACAAAGGUCUUUAAGAAACUUGGCAUAAGAUGGAACUUGCUUAAUAGCAUCAAGCAAAGGGAUAUUAACACUUACCUGUUUGAAGAUUUCAAGAAUCUCACCUGUGGAUUUUCCCUUUUUUCCUUUAGCUAACCUUUGAGGAAAUGGAGCUUUCGGAACGUAUUCUCAUGAGUUGUUUUCUUCUUUCUCCUCCGGUGAUGAGUACUCAACAUUCACAGGUACAAUUUGAUUUUCUUUUGUCACCAGCAUCUCCACUUUGUUGUCGACUUCUUUUCCUUUUCGCAAUGUCAUGACUGCUUUGACUUCUCCAUGCUGUUGUGGUGAACUGGUACUUGCUUCAUGUACUUCUUUAGGAUUAGGCACGGGUUGACUUGGAAACUUGCCUUUCUCAACAGUCAUUGCCAAGGUCUGAACUGAAGAAGCAAGUUGUCCCACCAUCUUCUCGAGGCUUGAAACUGAUUGGGCUUGUGAGUUGAAGCCCGCUCUCAAUUCAUUUCGUAGUCCAUCAAUGGUGCGGUUCUGUUGCUCAAUCGUGGAGUGAGUAACAUUCCUGAAAUUCUGGAAUGCAUCCUCCCAUGGUCUAGGUUGAGAGUGGUUCUGGUUCUGAUUGUAUGGUCUGAAUGGUGGCUGAGAGGCUUGAGGAAUUUCAGAAAUUUGUUGCAUUGGUGGAGCUGGAGCUGCUGGUCCAUUCUGUUGGAAUCUUUGAGACCAUGAAAAAUUGGGGUGGUCUCUUCAUCCAGGGUUAUAUGUGUUGGAGUAUGGAUUGUAAUUUGAUGGCUUUCUCAUUACACCUAUGGCAUUGGCUUGAUCAGAGUAUGACUCAGGGUCAUGUGGUUCUGUUGAUUUAGCAGUCGAUAACGAUGCUAUUUGUCGAGCAAGACCUUCAACCAUCUCCUUGACUUCUUUGAAUCCCGAAGUUGACUCGCGAAUGUGAACCUCAUUUACUCCCUUAAUUCUUCUAGUAUUCCUGAAUGAUCGACUCCGUUGUUGGGAAUUAUCCGCUUGUCGCUGGAAGAAUUCCCAAAUCUCUGAUGCACUUUUUGACAUUAGCUCUCCUCCACUUGUUGCCAUUAGCCAUUCUUGCACAUUUGGUAGUGAUCCCUCCAAAAAGUAUUGGCAUUGGUGCCAUUUCUCGUACCCAUGAUGUGGACACUUCAAGAGUAGCCCAUUGAAUCGCUCCCAUGUUUCGAAAAACUGCUCGUACUCUCUCUGAGUAAACUCCGAGAUUUCCCUGCGAAUAGCAUUGGUUUUAUGCACUGGGAAAUAUUUAUUCAAAAAUUUAGUUACCAUUUGUUCCCAUGAUGAAAUGCUAUUGGCAGGCAAUGUAUUAAGCCAUGAACGAGCUCUAUCCUUUAAAGAAAAUGGGAAUAAUCUGAGUUUAACAUCAUUGUCUGAAAAAUUUUCAUAUUUAAAGUUUGACAAAUGGCAUGAAAAUCAUUCAGAUGAUUAUAUGGGUCCUCAUUUUCUAGGUCAUAAAAUGUGGGGAGACAAUUUAGCACACUAGAUUUUAAUUCAAAGCUCCUAGCAGCUACAUUUGGGUAUCUUAUACAUGAUGCGCUCAAAUUUGCUAAAGGACUGAAAUAAUCCUUAAAUGGCCUCUCCUGUGGUUGCAAAUCCAUUUUAUUUUUUACUUGUUUGUGUGUGCGAAGUGUUUUCUCAAGUUCAAGGUCUAUAGGUUCAAGAUUGGGUAAUAAUGACAUUCGACCAUGCAUGCAAAACAAAUAAAAUAAAAAAUAAAGAUGGGAACAAAAUAAAUAAAAAUAAAAAAGAGGGAGAAAUUACGAUACUAACCUUAUUGGGCUAUUACAAACUUUCUAUAAAAAUACACAAAAACAAAUACGUGAAAUAAAUUAACUAAACAUUAAAUUAAUAAAAUAAACAAAAAAAAUUACAAAGAAAAAUAAAUUAAAAAUUAAAUUACAGAAUUUUAAAGAAGAGAAAAAGGAAAGAAAUGCUAACCUUUAAAUGUAAAUUCACUUUUUUUUCUUUUUUUUAAUAAUAAAAAAAAUACAAGAAAACAAAUAAAAGAAAUUAUUCACAAAAAUUAAUUCUAAAAAUUACUUACCUCCCUGGCAACGGCGCCAAAAACUUGUUGUGCAAAUUUUAAUAUACUCGCAAGCGCACGAAUCUAUUGCAGUAUAGAUCAAUGGUGACGAGUGUCGAUCCCACGAGGAGGUGGAUUUUAAUUGUGUAGAAUUAAUUUUGUAAAUGGGUGAUUGGAUUUGUGGUGGAAAUGAUUUGGAAUAUCCUAAAACUUAAAUUAAAAUGGCGAGAAUAAAUUCUAAAAUUGGAAUUGAAAUUACGAGAAUAAAUUGAAGAGAAUUCUAUUAAAAUGACGUACUUGGGUAUCUGGAUCCGUAUCAACAUGCAUCAUGGGCUAAAUAAUCCUUAUUAAUGCCAAUUAAAUCAUGAGGGGGGAAUCCACACCUCAUGAACCACACUCUAAUCAAUAUGGUGCUAAGGGCUUAUCGUGCCAAAUAAUAAUAACCUUGUACUAGAGGGCCGGUGAAACCAAGGCGGUACUAGACAAGAUUAGUAUUAUUUGUCGACGAGAAGUCAAAACAUCCACAAAAACUAGAGGGGAAGAGAAAAUAAAUUUACCAAAUAAAACCCAUGACACAUGUUGAGACUUCACUUUCAACCCAAGCUUGAAAGAAAAUUAGCUACUCAUAAUUGAACUAGGGGCAAAAUGAGAAUUUAUUAAAAUACGAAGAAACUACAAGAUGGAGAAGGAAUUACAAAAAAUAGAGUCCAAAAAUGGAUUCAGAGAUAUCAAAUUAUGGGGGAGAGGCCCCCUUUUUAUAGAUACAUCAAGUAAAUCAUGGCCAUCGGAUUAAAAACAGUUUGGACGCUCAAGAUUGCGACACGUCAUCAGUCAACAGUAACACGGUUUGACUCGGAUGAACAGUAACACGGUUUGACUCGGAUGAACAGUAACGCGGUUUGACUCGGAUGAACAAUAACGCGUUUGGUUGAAAAUAAUUCUGUGUGAUGCAUGUACCGUAUGCGAGAUUUUUCGUUCACUAAUAUGCUGCCACGUCACCAUCAACAGUACAUAAGAAUUUUAGCCCAACAGGAUCGUGACACCUCAUCAGUCAAUGCCACAUCAUCGGUCAAUGCCACGUCAUCGAUCCGUCUAUGUGAACAAUGUAGUGAACAGUAACGUAGACAGUACCGUACACGUGAAUAGUACCGUACAUGUGAAUAGUGCCAUUUUUCCAUUUAUGUUCCUCCUAAGGUUUUCGACCGUUCUGAGUUCAAAAGUGAUGUCCGUUUUGCCGUCUGAUCUCUCCUUUAUUGUGAAAUGACUUUAAUGCCCCUAAAAUACAUAAAAUACUUAAUUAAAAUAAAACACAUGUAAUUAAAUCACAAGAAGGUUAAAUACAUAAAAGUAAGGGUUGUUAGUAAGACUUGAAAUGUAAAAUGACGGUCUUCUCCUUUAUAAGUAUGCAUUUUCUGACACUCAACAUGUGUGUGUAUGGAGGGCAAAUCUUUGACUACCUCCAGCUUCAAGGACCUAUACAAUAACUCUUAAAUCAAACGGAGAAAAUAGUUAAUUCAAUCUGAUUGAAUAUGAUUGAUAUUUACCAUAUGAUUAUUACAUAAAGAUUGAGCCUUAAGUGUUUUACAUUAAGUAAUACUGCACAUUUGUUCUACACAUUUAGACAACUCAGAGUAAGAAUUAUGAAAAUGACAACCAAAUCCAAACUAGCUAGGUGCACUAUUAUUAUUUAUCUUUGCUCCAUAAAUAUUAGAAAGAUAGAGGAGCGGAAGAAAAAGAAAAAACUAAUUUUGUAGUCACAAAUCAAUCUUAUGCUCUGAUUUUGAAGCAAAUCUGCAAAAUAUUUGAGGAUCCAACCAUGAAGCAUGUCCACUUCAAUCUUUCGCUGCACUGCUAACCAUUAUGGGUCGUCUUCUAUUGCUGGCUGUACGUCUAAGCAAUGGGAACCUACUCCAAUUUACACACUGUUAAUUAAUUAUGUUAUCAAAUAAUUUAGUUAAUAAUUGAACACUUAUUUUUUAUUUUAUAGAAAAAUUUACAUACUGCUUCUUGUUGUCACUGUUAUUAUAUUGUCUGAUAUCUUCCAAAACCCUAUAAUCUCCCCCCCACCAAAAAAAAAAGAAGAAAAAGAAUAAGGCAUAUAAUUAAACGGGUAACUUCGAUAGAAAAUAGUGUACAAAAUUUUUAAGCUUAAUUACCCCUCGCUGCUAUGGGAUCACGAAGGCCAUUAGGUAAAAUAAUGUUGCUACCAAAUCUCUUUAAAACCACUCUUAUAUCUUGCAAAUUAAAAAGAAAUAGAAAUCAAACAACAAUUGAGGUAAACUUUAUAAUUAAAAAAGAAAAUGAGAAAAAUUAAAUUAUUAAAAGAAUUAAUUUGGGGAUUAAUCAAUACUUACAUGACCUCCGUAAUAUGUUGUAAUCUAAUGUGGUCUCGGAACCACUCCAUAAGACUUAUUGCAUGAAUUCAUAUAUUCUGUCAGAUUAAAUGAGUAUGUUUGAAACAUUGUGUCGUUUUUGCCAAUUCCAAUUGGUGAGACCAUUUCAUUGUAUGUCUGGAUUGAACUCCCCCUCCCUAAAAAAAAUAAUAAAUAAAUAAGAUAAAGAAGAAAACUAUUUUUAAUCAUUCAUAAAUAUGUAUUCUCAUAAAUAAAAUUUAGAGAUGUACAUAAAAUAAGUAUUGUUAGACGAAAGACUCAUUCAUUGCGACAUGUUGUUUAUUUGACGGUCUCAAUAGUACUAUCCAAUUGGUUUAUUGGCUUAUAUUUGUGUGGUGUAGAUCUAUUUGAAUAACAUUGCAGAAAUAUGAGAUAAUAUGGAAAAUAUUAGAAAUAGUUAAUAGCAUUAUUAAGAUACUAAAUAUCAGCCAAAAUAAUAAAAUAAAUAAAAAGCUCAAAGAGUUCUUGUUGUAAAUCAUGACUCGAAUAGGAAAAUAAACAAGACUAAUCAUAUCUUUGUGUAAAUUUAAUUUGUAUAAAAAAAACGUGUAGGUGUAAUAUUAUAAAUAAACUCAUAGAGAAAAGAAUGUGUAAACUCCUGUGAUUUGACAAAAUAAUCAAAAUAAUCUGUUUAUUUUUUAAAAUAGUUACAAAGCUCCUUUUGUAACAUACAAACUAUGGAAAUUCAUGGGCUACUUAACAUCCAUUUUAAUUUUUUUUUAUUUACACAAAAACAUCAUAGACGAAAGAAGAUAAAAAAUUUCAUUGCACCCAAUUUUUUUGCAUGCGAUCAAUAAGGAAAAGAGGCAGAAAGUGUUGGAAAUAUAGCACAAGUGGCUAUUUGAGGCGUGAUUUUGAGUGAGACCUAUGUGGUGUAAGUGAAAAGUUAAAAUUGUUUCAAAUAUUUCUCUGUAAAUACUUCAAAAUGGUUUUAUCUAUAUGAUCAAAAUGAUCCUUGGAUAAAUGAGAAAUGGUAACUGAAAGUAAAUUCAUGGAAUUGGAAAAUUAAAGGAAGAUACAUUUGUCCCACAUGAAAAAGGUAGUGAAGGCAUGAAAGGCUUGUAUAUAAUUAUUUAUAGUAUGAGUAAAAUAUAAACCAAAAUGCUCUCUCUUCCGUGCUCCUUCCUGAGUAUACGAAAGUUGGCCCAAAUCGAUCGUGGUAGGCCUGCCUUAGUCUUGCACAUUUGAAGUUCAUCGUGAAACGAUCCCAUAGUUGUCGUUCAAACCUCUGGGCACUUAAAAAAAGGUUUUCUUUUUAUUUUUUUUAUAUUUUUUAAAUUUAAUAAAUGCCAUAUUAUUUAAUAUUUAAUUUUAAGGCAUCUUUUUAAGUUGAGGGCAGGGAACCACUCCGAUACGUAACUUCGUGACCUGCUAAUCUAAUCACCUUGACUUUGAAGACUUCUUCCCCUAGUCAGCAAUGAUUUGGAACUUACGUCUUGACAUAUGCUGUGGAAAAAAAAGAGUGAAGCAGACUUAUUAAGUCGAGAUGUUUCUUCAGUCUAGAUAUUUUCGUUUAUACGUGUACACAUAUUCAAUGUCUAACCUUAUUUUGAAAAAAGACUAAUGUCCUAUUUGGGAUUACGGUUGAAAUACUAUAAAUAGUUUAUUUUAUAAGUUUUGAUAAAAAUAAUGUUUGGUAAAUUUGUUAAAAGUUAAUUUAUAUUUUCUCUAUUUUGACAAUAGCUUUUAAAACAAGUAUGAGAUUAUUUUUAGAAGCAACUUAUUAAAUAAAAUGCAUUUUUUUAAAUUUUCUAUUAUAACUAAGAAAAGAAUAAUUGUAUCUUACUUUUUUUAUAAAUCCUAAUAUAUAAAUAAAAGACAAUUUAAACUUAUAAUUAUUUUAGUGAUUAUAUAAUAAAAUAGUUCUUGCAUAAUUGAAUUUACCAAACACUGAGCGAGCUACUUUUAUAAUGAUUAGCUUAUUUUAUCCGCAUAACAGAAGUAGUUUAUUCAAUAGCCACCGGAAUCUCAAACUGAUUCUAAGUCAUGUUUGGAAUUGCAUGACAUUGUCAAAUAAUUAACAAAAGAAGCUAUUAUGUAGAAGCAUAGGAACAGGUUGAGAAUGAGAGAUACAUGUACAUGGAGAGCAAAUUCUUUUACUCUCACCGGCUUCAACGACCUAUACAAUAACUCCUAAAUCAAAGGGAGAAAAUGGUUAAUUCAAUGUGAUUGUACAUGAAUUGAUAUUCACCAUAUGAUUAUUACAUAAAGAUUGAGCCCUUUAUAUGUGCUUUACAUUAAGUAAUACUGCACACUUGUUCUACACAUUUAGACAACCCAGAUUAAGAAUAAUGAAAAUGAACUCUUAAACUAGCUAGGUGCUCUAUUAUUUAUCUUUGCUCCAUAAAUAUUAGAAAGAUAGAGGAGAGGAAGAAAAAGAAAAACAACAACAUACACUCUAAAUAAUCCUUCAAUUCUGAAACAUCCUUCAGAGGCUUGUAAUCAAAUAAACAACAACAACAUAGAAUUAAGUGCCACAAGGUUAGUAACAUUAUAAAAGAUCUUUCAACAUGCCGUCUAAAAAAUGUUGUUAUAUUUAGUUAGAUUACAAUAAACUUUAUAAGUAUGAAGCUAUUGAUAUUAUCAAAUGCAAACGUACAAAUUUGGCCUUAUUUGAUAAUUAGAGUUGUGCGUGGUUUUGUAGUUCAAAUUUAGAUUCUGUAAAAUACGAACCUCUGGAGGGCUGAAUCUAAGCACCAGUAUACUAUAUAUAUGGUAAUGCAAAGGCCGUGUAUAAGCCCAAAUCCAGAUUUUUACUUUGUAUAUUACACGUUAAUCGAAAUGUAUAUAUACUCUGAGGAUGACAGAUAAUUAAUUAGACAUAGUACAUUCGAUAAUGAUGCUACAAUAACAUUGCAUUAAUUGUAAUUAAGGGAAAAUCGGAUGGAUAUAUAUAAGCAAUUAUGUAAAGUAAUAUGAUUAAUUUCUUGCAGGUUUUGAACUUUUUAGAGAGAAAAGCAAGUCCAUUUUUUCUAGCAGCGGUUUUAUCCAUUUCAACCCAGGACUGUUUGAUGGUCAUGUAGCAGCCCUCGCUGGCUUCCUGCAUCAUUAAUUUUCAAAAUUCAAUGGUUAAAUUUUAACAAGAAAACAUAAUCAUACAUAUAUAGAAUUUUAAUUAAUUAAUUUUUUUUCUUACCCUACAGUCAUUGGUGACAAGAUCAUAAUAUGCGUUUGAUGGUGUGAUAUUAUCAAAGUAGAGAAUUGGGGCGGGCGAGGCAACUGCUCCCAAAGACUGUGAGGAUACUUCAAGCGAAACCAUGCUGCAAGCACUGGUGAUAACAAACCCACAAUUGAGUAACUCUCAAAACCAUAUCACAUCCCAGAUUUGAUAAAAUAGGACUAAUUGAGAUGGUUAUUUUUAAAAAAGUAAUUAUCUUAAAUAUAUUUAGUAUUUCUUAAUUUUACGAUCGCUGAAAGUAUUCAUUAAUUGGAAUGCAAAAUAAAUUUGUAUCAAAAUAAUAUUGGCGUAAUCAAUAUUUUGGUCAAACGAGAUCAAAAUGAAUAAAAUGGCGCAACAAAUGACACGACAUUAAUCAAAAGAUGUAAGUAAGUUAAUAAUAUUAAAAUUUACUUCCUCGAUAAGAUGCUCCAACGACGAUAAUGGGUGACAUUUCGGCCGAUAAAUUUUCCUUGAUGUGUAAGAGAAUCUUUGCAUAAUCUACCAAAGCUUGACCAGAGUUUAAAUAUCCACGAAGAGUUGCAUUGUUUAGGGCAUCUUUGCUUGAUACAAAAGGUACUGAUUUUCCAUAGAACCGAUACUGCAUGAAAAAUUGAAUUAAAAAAAAUCCAUCACAACUUUUCAGUUCAUAUUAUAGAAUAUUCUGAUUAAGAUUUGUCUUUAUUAUUAUUAUUUCGUAUGCGAACUCUAUUUUAAUUAUUAUCAAGCUAGCCUGAUAACAAAUUCUUUACUUACCUCUAUGUAAACUUAUAAGGCUUUAAAUCGAUGAGCAUUAUCAGCAAGCCAUCCAAUGCCACCAAGGUCAUCAUAUCAAGACUACUCUCUUCACCAAGAUAUGCCAAUAUCGGCGCCGCCAUGGCUCUGCCACCACCCCAAUGCUUGAAGUUCAACGCAUAUCUAUGAGGAAAAGUUAAAUAACUUUGUGGAUUAUAGUUAAAGUGAUCAAGUGUUUGAUCAUAAUAGUAAGUUUCGAGAUCAUAAUAGUAACUUUGUGGAUUUUUUUGCUAGGGUUUUGAAAAAUAGUCCUUCCACGAACAGCACCAAGCUUUGGGAUGUUCUUUAAUGGUGAAGUGGAAGCAAAAGCAAAAUUUGUGACGAGAAGAAGAAAAAGGCAUGGAGCGACCGACCUUUCAUGGCAAAGUUGUAAAUCCUUAAUUAGCAGGAUGAUUAUGUAAAUACAGAAGAAAUAGAGUUAAGAUUAGAUUAUAAAUUCAGCUUCAAAAUCGACGUGUUUGUUAAUAUAUCCUGGAUUUGUUGUUAUCGUAUAAUAUAAUUAAUGUUGCUUUUAGUUUUAUAUUAGUAUGGAUCUUCAGUUUUCAUAAAAUUAUAGUGUGUCUAAUGUUGUGCAAAUUUUAUUGAACUCACAAGUGUACGAAUCUAUUGUAGAAUAGAUUAAUGGUGACGAGUAUCGAUCCCACGAGGAGGUUGAUUCUAAUUGUGUGUAGAAUUAAUUUUUCUAAAUGGAUGUUUGGAUUUGUGGUGAAAGUGACUUAGAUUAUCUUAAAAUUGGAAUUGAAAUGGCGAGAAUAAAUUGAAGAGAAAUCUAUUGAAAUGAAACACUUGGGUAUCUGGAUCCGUAUCAACAUGCACCAUGGGCUAAAUAUUCCUUAUUAAUGUCAAUUAAAUCAUGAGGGGGGAAUCCACACCUCAUGAACCACACUAUAAUCAAUAUGGUGCUAAGGGCUUAUCGUGCCAAAUAAUAAUAACCUUGUACUAGUGAGUCGGUGAAACCAAGACGGUAUCUAGACAAGAUUAUUAUUAUUUGUCGACGAGAAAUCAAAACAUCUACAAAAACUAGAGGGGAAGAGAAAAUAAAUUUACCAAAUAGAGCCCAUGACACAUGUUGAGACUUCACCUUCAACCCAAGCUUGAAAGAAAAUUAGCUACUCACAAUUGAACUAGGGGUAAAAUGAGAAUUUAUUAAAAUACAUAGAAAAUACAAGAUGGAGAAUAAAUUACAGAAAAUGGAGCCCAAAAUUGGAUUCAGAGAUAUCAAAUUAGGGGGGGAGAGCUCCCUUUUUAUAGAUACAUUGAGUAAAUCAUGGCCAUCGAAUCAAAAACAUUUCGAACACUCAGGAUUGCGCCACGUCAUUAGUCAACAGUACGCGGUUUGAACAGUAACACGGUUUGGUUGAAAAUAAUCCUGUGUAAUGCAUAUACUGUACGCGAGAUUUUUGGUCCACUGAUAUGUUGCCACGUCAUCGAUCAACAAUACAUAAGAAUUUUAGUCCAAUAGGAUCGUGACACCUCAUCAGUCAAUGCCACAUCAUCGGUCAAUGCCACGUCAUCGGUCAAUGCCACGUCAUCGUUCCGUCUAUGUGAAUAGUGUCAUGAACAGUAACGUAGACAAUACCGUACAUGUGAGUAGGACCGUACAUGUGAACAAUGACAUUUUUCCUUUUAUGCUCCUCCUAAAGUUUUCGACUGUCCUAAGUUCAAAAGUGAUGUCCGUUUUGCCGUAUGAUUUCUCGUUCAUUGUGAAAUGACUAUGAUGCCCCUAAAAUACAUAAAAUACUUAAUUAAAAUAAAACACACGUAAUUAAAUCACAAGAAGUUUAAAUACAUAAAAGUAAGGGUGUUAGUAAGACUUGAAAUGUAAAAUGAUGAUUUUCUCCUACAUAAAUAUACAUUUUCUAACACUCAACAUCUAAUAUAUAGUUAACAGUUUCGUAAUUAAUAAAAUUUUUUAUUAUUUCUUUCCUAGUAAUUAAUUAUCUUGUGCUGGAAAGAAUAUCACUAACCACAACUUCUGCAGAAGCUUCCUCACCUUCGGAUGACAUCAGCGGUGGGUCCAGGAUGUUUGAUCGGAUCGGCGAAAUUAAAAAUUUAUUGUAUAUGUUUGCGUGAAUAUUUACAAAGGAGUGAAAAAACUAAUAUAUUAAAUAACGCGACAUCAACAACGUCGUUCUGAAUGAAAUUUUUAUAUAUAAUUUGUAAAAUAAACUAAUAAUUAGAAUGACAAUUUAGCCUUUUUAACUUGUAGAGACACAACCUUAAAUUCCUUAAUAUGCUGGUUAAUUCAGAUCAUUGAGAUGGAGACAAUUAGACAAACCUUAUUUUAUCAGAGUGAACUGCGAAAGUACAAGCUUUACAAAAGAGAUUAAUGUCGUAGUGUGAAUAGAAUUAAAAAAUACUAAGGCAGACAAUUCGUCGAACACAUAAUAUUUGCUACAUUGCUACUACCUAAUAAUUUCACAACCAAUUAACAGUCUCCUUUAUUGGAAAAAUCACAUUAAUCAACCAAAUACAUUUCUUGGUUUCUAAGCUCCAAAAUUGAAAUUUCAUGAAAAGGUUUCUGCAUUGGUGUCUUAUUGCGAGCGAUAAAUUCGUUGGACACGAGUUGCAUUGUAGGUCGAGACUUUGGUUGAGAACGCAAGCAUGAAAAUACUACUGUUGAAACAAGAAUGAUAUCCUGCCUAAUCAUUUGGUCCCCCGGAGGCGGGAGGCGUGGGUCCAACAAAUCAAUCAGCUUUAUAUUUUUAUCCAAUGAUGACGAUGACGAUGAGAGGAGCGCUUCUGGAUGCCUUCCCACUAGUACUUCUAGUGCCACCACUCCAAAGCUAUAAACAUCACAUUUCUCUGUCACAAUCAUGGUGUAGGCAAGUUCUAUAGGAAAACAAAGGCCUUCAUUAGUAACGUUUCCAUAAAUAAUAACAAGAACAAUUUGUUCAUGUUUUUUAGCUUCCGCAGCAAGUUAUGACAAAGAAACUUAUGUUUUAACUUAUGUUCAUUGUGUGUGUGUUUUAAAAGGAAAAGGGGUAGGCAAAGUUUAAAUUUAUUUUUAGCCCCUUAGCUUUUUCAAAAUUCGAACCAAGUAGCGACAUAAAUAAAGCUGCUUAAAAGCUACUUGGCAGAGUAUAUAUAAAAAUUAAUUAAGAGGAUAAUUAAAGAAGCAUAAGAGGAAUAGCUAGAGGAUGACCUGGAGCAAUAUAUCCAAAAGUGCCAGCUAAAAGAGUUCGGUUGGAUGAGUCAAAAUUUAACAAUCUAGCAAUGCCAAAGUCCGCAACAAAUGCUUCUAAUUCUGAGUUAAGUAGAAUGUUGUUGCUUGAUAUGUCCCGGUGAACAAUUGGUGGUGUGCAGUGAUGAUGUAAGUAUGACAAAGCGUGAGCCAUACCCUUCACAAUGUUCACCCUUUUAGUCCAAUCCAACCCAAUAGCUUCCUCAUCUGUGCGUAGAACACAGAACAAGCUUCCCAUUUCCAUGUACUCAUAGAUUAAGAACAUGCAUGUCUUGUGCAAACAAAAGCCGUAAAGCUUUACGAUAUUUCGAUGCCGUAUUUGGGACAGUAGACGAGCCUCAUUCCGAAAACUCUCGAGGGAAGCUAACUCCUCAGUUUCUGAACGGUGAAGCUUCUUCAAAGCAACCACUUUUCCACUGGGCAGCCGUGCUCUGUAAACGCUGCCGUAGCCUCCGGUUCCAAUGCAGUAUUUGAUAUCGAAAUCCUCAGUGGCUUCAAUCAUGUCUUGAAAUGUAAUUCUACCAUCGUAAUUCCAAAUUGCAAACUCAUCAGCGCACUUGGUAAUUUCUCCUGUCCCAGUUGGUUCAACUUCCUUAUCCCUUCGUCUACGGAUAAUCAAGAUUCCAAAUAUCAAGGCAAGGAAUGCGACCAUAGCAAGAAUAAUUGCAACCAAGAGAGUGGCAAUCAUUUUGUGAUGUGGCGGUGGCGCAUUUGCCAAAGUAGUUGGGAUUUCUCCUCCGAAUUUAUUACCUGACACAUCUAAGUGUGGCACUUUUCUGACAAAUACAGGGAUUCCACCGGAAAGGUUAUUCAUGGAAAGGUCCACGGUGUGUAUGCCCGGAAUUGCUCCAAGUUGGUAAGGUAUUUUACCAUUGAUGGAGUUACAGCUUAGAUCAAGAUAAUAUAGUUCUUGAAGUUUGCCAAUCUGUGACGGAAUGCUUCCGCUUAACAAGUUGUUUCCCAAUAUUAAUGUCGUCAGCUUUGAGCAAUUCAUGAGUUCUGGAGGAAUUGGGCCAUCAAGUUUGUUGUCAGACAAGUCUAAAAAUGUCAACCUGUUUAAAUGACCAAGUGUUAAAGGAAUAGAUCCAGUUAGAUUGUUAUAUUCCAGGGACAGAGAUUUCAAGUUGACUAAACUAGCUAUGGUCGAAGGAAUUGGACCUUCAAGUUUGUUGUUGGGCAGGUCAAGAACUUGAAGAAAGUUCAAAUGACCCACAGACGAAGGGAUUGGACCAACAAGUUUGUUUUCAGACAAGUCUAAAUAUGUCAACCUGUCUAAAUGACCAAGUGUUGAAGGAAUAGGUCCAGUUAGAUUGUUAUCCUGCAGGGACAGAUAUGUCAAGUUGACUAAACUAGCUAUGGUCGAAGGAAUCGGACCUUCAAGUUUGUUGUUGGACAGGUCAAGAACUUGAAGAAAGUUCAAAUGACCCACAGACGAAGGGAUUGGGCCAACAAGUUUGUUUUCGGACAAGUCUAAAUCUGUCAACCUGUUUAAAUGACCAAGUGUUAAAGGAAUAGGUCCAAUUAGAUUGUUAUAAUGCAGGGACAGAGAUGUCAAGCUGACUAAACUAGCUAUGGUCGAAGGAAUUGGACCUUCAAGUUUGUUGUCGGACAGGCCAAGAACUUGAAGAAAGUUCAAAUUCCCGAUUUCUAAUGGGAUGGAACCAUUGAUUCGGUUUGAGUGCAUAUUCAAAGUAGUUAGCUGAGUCAAAGGACCUACAGACGAAGGGAUUGGACCAACAAGUUUGUUUUGGGACAAGUCUAAAAUUCUCAACCUCUUUAAAUGGCCAAUUGUUGAAGGAAUUGAACCUCCAAUUUCAUUUCUGGACAGGUCAAGAACUUGAAGAACCUUCAAAUUCUCGAUUUCUAAUGGGAUGGAACCAUUAAUUUGGUUUGAGGCAAUAGCCAAAGUAGUUAGCUGGGUUAGAUGACCUAGAGUGGAGGGGACAUUACCAACAAGGGAGUUAGAAGACAAGUUCAAAAUUUUCAAUUUGCUUAGACGACCAAGAGUUGGAGGGAUAUGUCCCGUAAGGUGAUUAUUAGAUAGAUCCAGGUGGACGAGAUUCCUCAAUCUCCCCAUCUCUGAAGGGAUAAUUCCUGUUGUGCAUGUGAUUUAUGAAAAACGAGAUCAGUAUUCACUAUCCUCAUAGCAACAAAAAAAAAUGCAAAAUUUAUAUGGAGAGAGAGUCAUACUCAAGUGCGGACGGCACACACUUCUUCAGCGUUGUAAAAGCAAACGCCCGCACUAAGCAUGAGCACGAUUUUAUAAAAAAUAUAAUAUGUUACAGUGAAGUUUGGCAGCUUACCGGUAAGAUUGUUGGAGGUCAGUUCAAGAGUUCGGAUUGUUGAAAGAACAGUAAUUUCAGAUGGAAUGCUCCCAGAGAGAAGAUAAUUUGAACGAAUUUUGAAACUUCUGAGGUUGGGAAAGCAAGAGAAUUUGAAACGACCAAGCUCUCCUGUGAUGUUAUCAUUUUCAUACCAGAGUAAGCUGACCCCGAUUACGCUUACCGCUGAAUUGCAACUGAUGCCAGUCCACUUACAAUGAUCGGACGUGUAGUUGCCCGUCGUCGCCCAAUUGUUGACCCACCAGCCGGUAGCAAGUAAAGCUUCCCUUUCUAACAGUAUGGGUGACGACAACAAUCCUGCAGCUGAUGUCGUUACAGAUAUUGUCGUAUCACUUAUAGCACCAACAUUUAUUAAAAUUAUAAUGACCACCAGUCUCGAAACAGAGGACGCUGAUGCCAUGUUUAUGGUGGUUUUCUGUUGAUUGAGCUACAUUUGAUUCUCAGCAAAGCGUUUAUAUAAGAAUCAAUUGUUUUGCAAGCUCCCAGUGUUAACUUCCAAUACGCGUUUUCAAAUAGUGUGAGUCAAUGUCUUCUCUGGAUGGAUUCAAUCAUGGAGAUAUAACCUUAUCGGCUUGUAUUUGUGAGGUGUAGAUCUAUUUGAACAACUUUGCAGAAACAUGAGAUAAUAUGGACAAUAGUAGAAAUAAUUAAUAGCAUUAUUAGUAGUAUAAGAUAUUAAGUAUUACCCAAAAUAAGAAAAGGAAAAAAGUUCAAAGAAAAGAAUUGUUAUAAAUAAUGGCUCAAAUAGGAAAAUAAACAAGACUAAUCAUAUCUUUUGUAACAUACAUACCAUAGCUCAUGGGCUAACUAACAUUUUUUUUUUUUAACCCUAAACAUCAUAAAUGAAAGAAGAUGAAAUUUUAAUUACCGCUCAAUUUUUCUGCACGCAACCAAAUUUAAAAAAAAAGAAAAAAGAAAGUGUUAGAAAAAUAAUGCGCAAGUAGCUACUUGAGGCAUGAUUUUGAAUGAGACCUUUUUGGUAUAAGUGAAAAUUCAGAAAUUGUUUCGCAUAUUCCUCUAUGAGUACUUCGGAAUGUUAUCUAUACAAUCAAAAUGAUCCUCAAGUGAAUGAGAAAUUGUUACUCAAAGUGCACUCAUGAAUUUGAAAAAUUAAAGGAAAAUACAUUUGUCCCACAUUGGAAAGAUUUAUACAUAAUUACUAGAUGAACGGUAAGCUACUAUUAGCAAAGGGGCGUUCCUUGUGCACAGUCACGGGAGUGCAAAAUUUAACCACCCCAAUUAGCUUAACCAGUGUUCAUAUUGGGGGUGUUUACCCGACCCUUAGUUGGGGUUAGCUAAUGUGGCAACUUAGUUUGCCUUUUUUUUUUUUUUGCUCUUUGUAAUAAUAAUAAUAACAAAUUAAUAUAAUUUUUUAAUUUAAUAUUAUAUUACAUAAUAUUAAAUUAUGUUUUAAUUUUUAUUAUUUUAAAUAUAUAACUAAACAAUGUAUUAUUUAAUUGUAUUAUUUUAAUUAAUAUAUAAAAUUAUAUUAAUUAAUCUUUAAUAAGUUAAUAUAAUUAGUAAUAAAUACUUAAAUAAUAUAAUAUUACAUUAUUAAUUAUAGUACAAUAAUUAAUUUAGCUAUUUUUAAAUAAUUUAAUAUAACUAACAAUAAAUAUUUAAAUUUGAAUAAAUUUGAAUAAUAUUAAUUGAAAAUUAAUAAUAUAAAUAAUUACUGGAUUAUUUAGCUCAAUUUAUUUUCUUAGUGAAUAUGUCAUAACAAUUGUAUCACUUUAUUAUUCUAUAAUUAUCUUGUAAUAUGUAUAAAUUUUUAUUCUAUCAUCCUCAAAUGAUUUUUGAAUUAAUCUUGAAGAUUUUAACUAUUUAUUUAUGUUGUUAAAUUAUUUAGUGAUUAUUUGAUUAAAUUAUUUACUUCGAUCUUUAUUUCACAAGUUAUAUAUUUAGAAAAUACUGAAAAAUACACAUCCAAAAAUUUAAGACUAUAAGCCUCGGAAAAAUUAUGACAUUUCAAUAUAUAUUUUUAAUAAAAAUGUUAAAUUUCUAAAUUUCUAAAAUUUAAUAAUUUUAUAUUUAUUAUUUUUAAGUACUAAUAAAUAUUAUUUUCUAAAUAUAUAAUUUAAAUUAAUCACAAAAAAAUUAAUACAGUACAGUGUAACGCUAAACAUUAUACAACAUUAUUAUAAUACAAUGCUAAUGCAAUACAACAUAAUACAAUACACCUACAAUAAAAUAAUGCAAUACAACAUAAAAUAGAAUACAGUGUGUCAAAUGCACCAUUGUAUUAUUGUUUCGUUCUCAUGGUAUAAUUGCCGUCCAUACCUGUGCAAAACAUUAAGAGUUAAAAAUAUAUAUUUUUAUGAUUAAUUUUAGAUUUUUUUAAACUUUAAUAAUGCCAUAUUAUUUAAUAUUACAAUUGCCGUUCGAACAUGUGCAAAACAUGAAGACUAAUAUAUAUAUAUAUAUAUAUAUACACACCAUAUUAUUUAAUAUUUAAUUUUUAAGGCAACUUUUACUUUUAAAAAAAAAAUUUAAGGCAACUUUUUUAGUUGAGGGCAGGGAACCCCUACGAUACGUAAUUCCAUAACACGCUUAUCUAAUCACCUUGACUAUAAGACUUCUCCUAGUCAGCAAUUAUUUGGAAAAAAACGUCUUGACAUGUGCUGUGGAAAUUAAAGAAUGAGGUGGACUUACGAAGUCAAGGGGUUUUUCUAGUCUACAGAUUUUAAUUUAUAUGUGUAGAAAAUUAGAAAUAUUCAGUGUCUAAUCUGAUUCUACAUAAAGACUAAUGCCCCAAGAUUGUGAUUGAAAUACCACAAGCAGUUUAUUUCAUAAGUUUAGGUAAAAAUGAGGUUUGAUGGCUUUGUUAAAAGUUGCUUCUUUCGUAAUUUUCUCAUUUUGACUGCAACUUCAAAAAAUAGGCAGGAGAUUAUUUUGAUAAGCAACUUAUUAAAUAAGUUGCUAGAUCUUUUUAAAUGUUCCUAUAAUAAUCUUAAUAUUUUAAGAAAAGAAUAAUUAUAUCUUUCUUUUCUAUAAGCUCUAAUAUAUAAAUAAAACACAGUUUAAACUUAUGUCUAUUUUAGUGAUUAAAUAAUACAAUACAUUCAUAAUCAAAUUUACCAAACACAAGCAAGAUACUUUUUUAAUCAUCAACUUAUUUCAUCCUCACAACAAAAAUAACUUAUUUUAUCAGCCACCGCCAUCCUAAACUUGAUGCUAAGUCACAUUUGGGAUUGCAUUUGAUUGUCAAAUAAUUAAGAGAAAUAGCCAUUAUGGAGAAGAAUAGGGAGAGGUUCGCCUAAAGCAAUAUACCCGUAAGCUUGGCUACUAAUAAACGGAGCAUAUAAGCAUAAACACCUAACUUUUGAGGCAUAUAAGGGAUCUAAAAGUGCGGGAAACGUUCGGAAAAACUUUAAAACCACAGGGUUUUAAAGGCUUAAACUGCAUGGUUUAUGUGUUUUCCUAGAUAUUCCUACACUUUAAAAUUCAAGAUUAAAACAUUUCCAUAUGUGUGUGUGUGUGUGUGUGUGUGGAGGGCAAAUCUUUGACUCUCUCCAGCUUCAAGUACCUAUACGGUAACUCUUAAAUCAAAAGGGAGAAAAUGGUUAACCCAAUCUGAUUGUAUAUGAAUUGAUAUUCACCAUAUGAUUAUUGCAUAAAGAUUGAGCCUUAAGUGCUUUACAUUAAGUAAUACUGAACACCUGUUCUACACAUUUAGACAACUCAGAGUAAAAAUUAUGAAAAUGACAACCAAAUCCAAACUAGCUAGGUGCACUAUUAUUAUUUAUCUUUACUCCAUAAAUAUUAGAAAGAUAGAGGAGAGGAAGAAAAAGAAAAGACUAAUUUUGUAGUCACAAUUUAAUCUUAUGCUCUGAUUUUGAAGCAAAUCUGCAAAAUAUUUGAGGAUCCAAUCAUGAACCAUGUCCACUUCAAUCUUUCGCUGCACUACUAACCAUACUGGGUCAUCUUCUGUUGCUGGCUGUGUGUCUAAGCAAUGGGAACCUACUCCAAUUUACACACUAUUAAUUAUGUUAUCCAAUAAUUUAGUUAAUAAUUGAACACUAAUUUUUUAUUUUAUAGAAAAAUUUAAAUACUGUUUCUUGUUGUCACUGCUAUUAUACUGUCUGAUAUAUCUUCCAGAAUCCUAUAAUCCCCCCCCCCCCAAAAAAAUAGAAGAAACAGAAAAGAUAUAUAAUUAAACAGGUAACUUCGAUAGAAAAGAGUGUACACAAUUCUUAAGCUUAAUUACCCCUCGCUACUAUAGGGAUCACGAAGGCCAUUAGAGAAAAUAAUGUUGCUACCAAAUCUCUUUAAAACCACUCUUAUAUCCUGCAAAUUAAAAAGAAAUAGAAAUCAAACAAAAAUUGAGGUGAACUUUAUAAUUAAAACAGAAAAUGAGAAAUCUUAAAAUAUUAGAAGAAUUAAUUUGGGGAUUAAUCGACACUUACAUUACCACUUUAAUAAGUUGUAAUCCAAUGUGGUCUUGGAACCACUCCAUAAGACUUAUUGCAUGAAUCCAUAUAUUCUGUCAGAUUAAAUGGGUCUGCUUGAGACAUUGUGUCGUUUUUGCCAAUUCCAAUUGGUGAGACCAUUGCACUGCAUGUCUGCAUGAGAAACCCCCCAAUAAUAAAAAAUAAUAAUAAUAAAAUAACAUAAAGAAGAAAACUAUUUUUAAUCAUUCAUAAAUAUAAAGUCUCAUUGCCACAUGUUGUUUAUUUAACGGUCUCAAUAGAACUAUCCAAUGAAAUCAUGUCACUUGUAAUUGCAUACCUGUCAGCCCCAGCUGGAGUCCAAUGUUGCAUCGGAGAAGAAUUCAUCAACAUCAUGGCAAGAAUCCUCCCCUCUUAAAUCAACAAUUCCUGAGAUGAUCCAGUCUAGGGCAUCUGUGUCUUCUAAAGCUCCAUCAAUUGCAUUACAGGCUUUGUUCACUGGGCUUUCCUGAGGAUCAUCAUACUGAGCUGCACCCGUAUACAUAUACUCUAAAUAAUCUUUCAAUUCUUAAACAUCCUUCAGAGGCCUGUAAUCAAAUAAACAAUAACAUAGAAUUAAGUGCCACAAGGUCAUUAAUUUUAUAAAAGAUCUUUCAACAUAUUGUCUUCAAAAUGUUGUUAUAUUUAGUUAGAUUACAAUAAACUUUAUAAGUAUGAAGCUAUUGAUAUUCUCAAAUACAAACGUUCAAAUUUGGCCUCAUUUGAUUAUCAGAGUUGUGCGUGGUUUUGUAGUUUAAAUUUAGAUUCUGCAAAAUAUGGACGUCUGAACCUAAGCACCAGUAUACUAUAUAUGGUAACGCAAAGGCCGUGUAUAAGCCCAAAUCCAGAUUUUUACUUUGUAUAUUACACGUUAAUCGAAAUGUAUAUAUACGCUGAGGAUGACAGAUAAUUAAUUAGACAUAGUACAUUCGAUAACGAUGCUACAAUAACAUUGCAUUAAUUGUAAUUAAGGGAAAAUCGGAUGGAUAUACAAUACAAUACAAUAUACAAUAUGGAUAUACAAUAACAUACAAUAUGAUUCUGAUACAACCCCAAUAUUACAGUUAGACAAGCCCAACUCAGCUAGCUCUAUCAAUACUGAGGAAAAGGCCCAGGCAAACUCAAGUGAGGCUAUCCAAAAUCGACCCCAAGAUAACCUCAAGCCAAGUCGCGUAAGGAAGCCUCCCAAAUGGCUCAAGGAUUACACAUACUGAGCAUAUAUGAGCUGAGGACUCGGUUUCUAACGGCCUUAGCUAUUUAGAGAACAACUUUUUUGUUAUAGAGGGAGGUUGUUAUUUAGUUUUGACAGCUGUGAGCAUAUUCUUGCUGCUAUAAGUAUUUCCAUGGUUGUAUUUGAUGAUAUAUAAAAUUCUGGACCUAGUUUCUUCUUCUUCUCUGAAUUUUUCUCUCUAUUCUAUCUUGCCAUUCACUCAUUUCUUUAAAAUUCUGGGAGCUUGCACUUGCUUGAAAAGUGUGGAAACCUUGCUGUUCGGUGUGUUCACCAGCGGCAUAACAGAUUCAUUACUUGCAGGUUUUGAACUUUAUAGAGAGAAAAGCAAGUCCAUUUUUUCCAGCAGCGACUUUAUCGAUUUCAGCCUAGGACUGUCUGAUGGUCUUGUAGCAGGUCUCGCUGGCUUCCUGCAUCAUUAAUUUUCAAAAUUCAAUGGCUAAAUUUUAACAAGAGAACAUAAUCAUGCUUAUAUAAAAUUUUAAUUAACUAAUUUAUUUCUUACCCGAAAGUCCUUGGUGACAAGAUCAUAAUAUGCGUUUGACGGUGUGAUAUUAUCAAAGUAGAGAAUUGGGGCGGAUGAGGCAACUGCUCCCAAAGCAAUGUGACGAUACUUCAAGCGAAACCAUGCAGCAAGCAUUGUUGAUAACAAACCAACAAACGAGUAACUCUCGAAACCAUAUCACAUCCCAGAUCUGAUAAAAUAGGAUGAAUAGAGAAGAUUAUUUUUAAAUACAUAAUUAUCUUGAACAUAUUUAUUAUUUCUUGAUUUUACGAUCGCCAAGAGUAUUCGUUAGUUGCAAUAUUAAAUAAAUUUGUAUCAUAGUAAUAUUGCUGUAGUCAAUAUCUUGAUCGAUCAAUCGUGAUCUAAAUGAGUAAAAUGAUGUGACAGAUGACACGACAUUAAUCAAAAGAUGUAAGUAAGUUAAUAAUAUUAUAAUUUACUUCCUCCAUAAGAUGCUCCAACAACCAUAAUGGGAGACAUUUCGUCCGAUAAAUUUUUCUGGAUGUGUAAGAGAAUCUUGCAUAAUCAGCCAAAGCUUGAGCAGAGUUGAAAUAUCCACGAAGAGUUGCAUUCUUUAGGGCAUCUUUGCUUGAUACAAAAGGUACUGAUUUUCCAUAGAACCGAUACUGCAUAAAAAAUUGAAUUAAAAAAAAAUCCAUCACAACUUUUCAGUUCAUAUUGUAGAAUAUUCUGAUUAAGAUUUGUCUUUAUUAUUAUUAUUUCGUAUGUGAACUCUAUUUCAAUUAUUAUCAAGCUAGCCUGAUAACAUAUUCUUUACUUACCUCUAUGUAAACUUGUAAGGCUUUAAAUCGAUGAGCAUUAUUAGUAAGCCAUCCAAUGCCACCAAGGUCAUCAUAUCAAGACUACUCUCUUCACCAAGAUAUGCCAGUAUCGGGCGCCGCCAUGGCUCUGCCACCACCCCAAUGCUUGAAGUUCAACGCAUAUCUAUGAGGAAAAGUUAAAUAACUUUGUGGAUUAUAGUUAAAGUGAUCAAGUGUUUGAUAAUAAUAGUAAGUUUCGAGAUCAACAUAGUCACUUUGUGGAUUUUUUUGCUAGGGUUUUGAAAAAUAGUCCUUCCACGAACAGCACCAAGCUUUGGGAUGUUCUUUAAUGGUGAAGUGGUAGCAAAAGCAAAAUUUGUGACGAGAAGAAGAAAAAGGCAUGGAGCCGCCGACCUUUCAUGGCAAAGUUGUAAAUCCUUAAUUAGCAGGAUGAUUAUGUAAAUACAGAAGAAAUAGAGUUAAGAUUAGAUUAUAAAUUCAGCUUCAAAAUCGACGUGUUUGUUAAUAUAUCCUGGAUUUGUUGUUAUCGUAUAAUUUAAUUAAUGUUGGUUUUAGUUUUAUAUUAGUAUGGAUCUUCAUUUUUCAUAAAAUUAUAGUGUGUCGAAUAUAUAGUUAUCGGUUUCGUAAUUAAUAAAAAUUUUUAUUAUUUCUUUCCUAGUAAUUAAUUAUCUUGUGCUUACCAGAAUAUCACUAACCACAACUUCUGCAGAAGCUUCCUCACCUUCGGAUGACAUCAGCGGUGCGUCCAGGAUGUUUGAUCGGAUCAGCUAAAUUAAAAAUUUAUUGUAUAUGUUUGUGUGAAUAUUUACAAAGGAGUGAAAAAAAACUAAUAUAUUGAAUAACGCGACAUCAAGAACUUCGUUCUGAAUGAAAUUUUUAUAUAUAAUUUGCAAAAUAAGCUAAUAAAUAGAAUGACAAUUUACCCUUUUUAACUUGUAGAGACACAACCUUAAAUUCCUUAAUAUGCUGGUUAAUUCAGAUCAUUGAGAUGGAGACAAUUAGACAAACCUUAUUUUAUCAGAGUGAACUGCGAAAGUACUAGCUUUACAAAAGAGACUAAUGACGUAGUGUGAAUGGAAUUAAAAAAUACUAAGGCAGACAAUUCGUCGAACACAUAAUAUUUGCUACAUUGCUACUACCUAAUAAUUUCACAACCAAUUAACAGUCUCCUUUAUUGGAAAAAUCACAUUAAUCAACCAAAUACAUUUCUUGGUUUCUAAGCUCCAAAAUUGAAAUUUCAUGAAAAGGUUUCUGCAUUGGUGUCUUAUUGCGAGCGAUAAAUUCGUUGGACACGAGUUGCAUUGUAGGUCGAGACUUUGGUUGAGAACGCAAGCAUGAAAAUACUACUGUUGAAACAAGAAUGAUAUCCUGCCUAAUCAUUUGAUCCCCCGGAGGCGGGAGGCGUGGGUCCAACAAAUCAAUCAGCUUUAUAUUUUUAUCCAAUGACGAAGAUGACGAUGAGAGGAGCUCUCCUGGAUGCUUUCCCAUUAGUACUUCUAGUGCCACUACUCCGAAGCUAUAAACAUCAGAUUUCUCUGUCACAACCAUGGUGUAGGCACGUUGUAUAGGAAAACGGAAGUCUUUAUUAGUAAUGUUUCCAUAAACAAUAACAAGCACAAUUUGUUCAUGUUUUUUAGCUUCUUUAGCAAGGUAUGACAGAGAAGCAUAUGUUCUAACUGAUAUUCAGUGUAUGUGUGUUUUGAAAGGUAAAGGGAUAGGUAAAGUCUAAAUUCAGUUAUAGCUCCUUAGUUUUUUCAAAAUUCGAACCCAAGUAGCGAGCUAAAUAAAGCUGGUUAAAAACUACUUAGCAGAGUAUAUAUAAAAAUUAAAUAAGAGGAUAACUAAAGAAGCAUAAGAGGAAUAGCUAGAAGAUGACCUGGAGCAAUAUAUCCAUAAGUGCCAGCUAACAGAGUUCGAUUGGAUGAGUCAAAAUUUAACAAUCUAGCAAUACCAAAGUCAGCAACAAAAGCUUCGAAUUCUGAGUUGAGUAGAAUGUUGUUGCUUGAUAUGUCGCGGUGAACAAUUGGUGGUGUGCAGUGAUGAUGCAAGUAUGACAAAGCAUGAGCCAUACCCUUCACAAUGUUCACCCUUUUAGUCCAAUCCAACCCAACAGCUUCCUCAUCUGUGCGUAGAAUACAGAACAAGCUUCCCAUUUCCAUGUACUCAUAGAUCAAGAACAUGCAGUUCUCGUGCAAACAAAAGCCGUAAAGCUUUACAAUAUUUCGAUGCCGUAUUUGGGACAGUAGACGAGCCUCAUUCCGGAAACUCUCGAGGGAAGCUAACUCCUCAGUUUCUGAACGGUGAAGCUUCUUCAAAGCAACCACUUUUCCACUGGGCAGCCGUGCUCUGUAAACGCUGUCGUAGCCUCCGGUUCCAAUGCAGUAUUUGAUAUCGAAAUCCUCAGUGGCUUCAAUCAUGUCUUGAAAUGUAAUUCUACCAUCGUAAUUCCAAAUUGCAAACUCAUCAGCGCACUUGGUAAUUUCUCCUGUCCCAGUUGGUUCAACUUCCUUAUCCCUUCGUCUACGGAUAAUCAAGAUUCCAAAUAUCAAGGCAAGGAAUGCGACCAUAGCAAGAAUAAUUGCAACCAAGCGAGUGGCAAUUGUUUUGUGAUGUGGCGGUGGCGCAUUUGCCAAAGUAGUUGGGAUUUCUCCUCCCAAUUUAUUGCCUGACACAUCUAAGUGUGGCACUUUUCUGACAAAUACAGGGAUUCCACCGGAAAGGUUAUUCAUGGAAAGGUCCACAGUGUCUAUGCGUGGAAAUUCUCCAAGUUGGGAAGGUAUUUUACCAUUAAUGAAGUUACCGCUUAGAUCAAGAUAAUAUAGUUCUUGAAGUUUGCCGAUCUGUGACGGAAUGCUUCCGCUUAACAAGUUGUUUCCCAAUUUUAAUAUCCUCAGCUUUGAGCAAUUCAUGAGUUCUGGAGGAAUUGGGCCAUCAAGUUUAUUGUUGUACAUAUUCAAAGUAGUUAACUGAGUCAAAUGACCCAGAGACGAAGGGAUUGGGCCAACAAGUUUGUUUUGGGACAAGUCUACACUUCUCAACCACUUUAAAUGGCCAAGUGUUGUAGGAAUUGAACCUCCAAUUUCAUUUCUGGACAGGUCAAGAGCUUGAAGAACCUUCAAACUCCCGAUUCCUAAUGGGAUGGAACCAUUCAUUUGGUUUGAGGCAAUAGCCAAAGUAGUUAGCUGGGUUAGAUGACCUACAUUGGAUGGGAUAUUACCGACAAGGGAGUUAAAAGACAAGUUCAAAAUUUUCAAUUUGCUUAGACCACAAAGAGUUGGAGGGAUAUGUCCCAUGAGGUGAUUAUCAGAUAGAUCCAGGUGGACGAGAUUCCUUAAUCGCCUCAUCUCUAAAGGGAUAAUUCCUGUUGUGCAUGUGAUUUAUGAAAAACGAGAUCAGUAUUCACUAUCUUCAUUAAAAAAAAAUUACAUAGAGGGAGAGUCAAGCUCAAGUGCGGACGACUCACACUUCUUUAGUGUUGUAAAAACAGACGCCUGCUUUAAGCAGCAGCGCGAUUUUAUACAUACAUAUAUAUAUAUAUGGUGAAGUUUCACAGCUUACCGGUAAGGCCGUUGUAGGGCAGUUCAAGAGUUUGGAGCAUUGAAAGGGCAGUAAUUUCAGAUGGAAUGCGCCCAGAGAGAACAUAAUUUGUACGAAUUUUGAAAUUUCUGAGGUUCGGAAAGCAAGAGAAUUUGAAACGACCGAGCUCUCCUUUGAUGUUAUCAUUUUCAUACCAGAGUAAGCUGACCCCGAUUACGCUUCCCGCUGAAUUGCAACUGACGCCAGUCCACUUACAAUGAUCGGACGUGUAGUUGCCCGACGUCGCCCAAUUGUUGACCCACCAGCCGGUAGCAAGUAAAGCUUCCCUUUCUAACAGUAUGGGUGACGACAAUAAUCUUGCAGCUGAUGCCGUUACAGAUAUUGUCGUAUCACUUAUAGCACCAACAUUUAUUAAAAUUAAAAUGACCACCAAUCUCGAAACAGUGGAUGCUGCUGCCAUGUUUAUAAUGGUUUUCGGUUGAUUGAGCUGGCUAUUUGAUUCCUUGCAAAGCGUUUAUAUAAGAAUUAAUUGUUUUGCAAGCUCCCGGUGUUAACUUCCAAUACGCGUUUUCAAAUAGUGUGAGUCAAUGUCUUCUCUGGAUGGAUUCAAUCAUGGAGAUAUAACCUUAUCGGCUUGUAUUUGUGAGGUGUAGAUCUAUUUGAACAACUUUGCAGAAACAUGAGAUAAUAUGGACAAUAUUAGAAAUAAUUAAUAGCGCUAUUAAGAUAUUAAAUAUUACCCAAAAUAAUAAAGAAAAAAAAAAGCUCGAAGGAUUGUUGUUGUAAAAUAUGACUCAAAUAGAAAAAUAAACAAGACUAAUCAUAUCUUUGUAUAAAUUUAAGUAUAAAAAAAACUUGUAGGUGUAUUAUUAUAAUAAGCUGUAGAGAAAAGAAUUUGUAGACUUCUGUGAUUUGACAAAAUAAUAAAAUAAUCCCUUUAUUUUUUAAAAUAGUUACAAAACUCCUUUUGCAACAUGCAAACUAUAUGGAAAAUUGGAAAUUCAUGGGCUACCUAAUAUCCCUCUUAUUUUUUUAUUUUUUAUUUUACACCAAAACAUCAUAGACAAAAGAAGAUAAAAAUUUCAUUGCACUCAAUUUUUUUCAUGAAAUCAAACAAGGAAAAGAAGCAAAAAGUGUUGGAAAUAUAGCACAAGUUACUAUUUGAUGCGUGAUUUUGAGUGAGACUUAUCUGUUGUUUCAAAUAUUCCUCCGUAAAUACUUCAGAAUGAUUUUACCUAUAUAAUCAAAAUAACCCUUGGAUAAAUGAGAAAUUGUUACUCAAAGUAAAUUCAUGGAAUUGGAAAAGUAAAGGAAAUUAUAUUUGUCCCACAUGAAAAAGAUAGCAAAGGCAUGAAAGGUUUGUAUAUAAUUACUCAUGUGUGUAUAAGUAAAAUAUAAACCAAGACGCUCUCUCUUCCGUGCCCCAUCCUAAGUACACAAAUUCAAUGUGAUACGAUCCUAUAGUUUCCGUUCAAACCUAUGCACACUUUAAAAAAAGGUUUUUUUUAAUAUAUUUUUUAUGUAUUUUACAUUUUUUUUAAAAUUUAAUAAAUGCCAUAUUAUUUAAAUAUUUAAUUUUAAGGCAUCUUUUUUAAGUUGAGGGCAAGGAACCCCUCCGAUACGUAAUGCCGAAACAUGCUAAUCUAAUCACCUUGACUUUAAAGACUGCUUCCCCUAGUCAGCAAUUAUUUGGAACUUACGUCUUGACAUGUGCUGUGGAAAAUAAAGAAUGAAGUAGACUUAUUGAGUCAAGCUGUUUCUUCAAUCCAGAUAUUUAGUUUAUACGUGUGCAAAUAUUCAAUGCCUAACUUUAUUCUGCACAAAGCCUAAUGUCCUAUUUGGGAUAACGGUUGAAAUACUUAUAAGUUUUGAUAAAAAUGAUGUUUGAUAAAUUUGUUAAAAGUUUAAUUCAUAUUUUCUCCAUUUUGACAAUAACUCUUAAAAUAAGUAUGAGAUUGUCUUUUAUAAGCAACUUAUUAAAUAAAAUGCCAUUUUUUUUAAAGUUUCUAUUAUAACUUUAAUAUUUUAAGAAAAGAAUAAGUGUAUCUUAUUUUUUUAAAAAUCCUAAUAUAUAAGUAAAAGACAAUUUAAACUUAUGUUUAUUUUAAUGAUUAUAUAAUAAAAUAUUAUUUUCGUAAUCAAAUUUACCAAACACUGAGCGAGCUACUUUUAUAAUCAUUAGAUAAUUCCAUUCACAUCGCAGAAGCAGCUUAUUUCAACAGCCACCAAAAUCUUAAACUGAUCCUAAGUCAUGUUCGGAAUUGCAUGGGAUUGUCAAAUAAUUAACAAAAGAAGCUAUUAUGUAGGAGAAUAGGAACAGGUUCACCUGGAGCAAUAUACUCAUAAGCUUGGCUACUAAUAAACGGAGCGUGUAAGGAUAAACACCUAANNNNNNNNNNNNNNNNNNNNNNNNNNNNNNNNNNNNNNNNNNNNNNNNNNNNNNNNNNNNNNNNNNNNNNNNNNNNNNNNNNNNNNNNNNNNNNNNNNNNAUGGUUAAUCCAAUGUGGUUGUGUAUGAAUUGAUAUUCACCGUAUGAUUAUUACAUAAAGAUUGAACCUUUGUACGUGCUUUACAUUAAGUAAAACUGCACACUUGUUCUACACAUUUAGACAACCCAGAUUAAGAAUUAUGAAAAUGAAAUCUACAACUAGCUAGGUGCACUAUUAUUUAUCUUUGCUCCUUAAAUAUUAGAAAGAUAGAGGAGAGGGAGAAAAAGAAAAGACUAAUUUUGUAGUCCAAAUUUAAUCUUAUGCUCUAAUUUUGAAGCAAAUCAGCAGAGUAUUUGAGGAACCAAUCAUGAACCAUGUCCAUUUCAAUCUUUCGCUGCAUUACUAACCAUUCGGGGUCAUCUUCUGUUGCUGGCUGUAUGUCUAAGCAAUGGGAACCUGCUCCAAUUUACACACUAUUAAUUAUGUUAUCCAAUAAUUUAGUUAAUAAUUGAACACUAAUUUUUUAUUUUAUAGAAAACUUUACAUACUGUUUUUUGUUGUCACUGCUAUUAUAUUGUCUGAUAUAUUUUCCAGAACCCUAUAAUCCCAAACAAAGAAAGAAAAAGAAAAAGAAAAAGGUAUAUAAUAAAACGGGUAACUUCGAUAGAAAAGAAUAUCCAAAAUUCUUAAGCUAAAUUACCCAGCGCUGCUACAGGGAUCGCGAUGGCCAUUAGAGAAAAUAAUGUUGCUACCAAAUCUCUUUAAAACCACUCUUAUAUCCUGCAAAUUAAAAAGAAAUAAAAAUCAAACUCAAGAACGAGGUGAAGUUUUUAAUUUAAAAAAGGAAAAAAAAAGAGAAAAUUAAAAGAAUUAAUUUGGGGAUUAAUUGACACUUACAUGACCACCAUAAUAAGUUGUAAUCCAAUGUGGUCUUGGAACCACUCCAAAAGACUUAUUGCAUGAAUCCCUAUAUUCUGUCAGAUAAAAUGGGUCUGCUUGAAACAUUGUUUCGUUUUUGCCAAUUCCAAUUGGUGAGACCAUUUCACUGCAUGUCUACAUGAGAAACCCCCCUAUACUAAUAAUAAUAAUAAUAAUAAUAAGAUAAAAAAGAAAAAUAUUUUUAAUCAUUCAUAAAUAUAUAGUCAUAUAAAUAAAAUUAAGAGAUGUACAUAAAAUAGGUAUUGUUAGGCGAAAGACUAAUUCAUUGCGACAUAUUGUUUAUUUGACGGUCUCAAUAGAACUAUCCAAUGAAAUCAUGUCAUCUGUAAUCGCAUACUUGCCAACCCCAGCUGGAGUCCAAUGUUUCAUCGGAGAAGAAUUCAUCAACAUCAUGGCAAGAAUUCUCCCCUCUUAAAGCAACAAUUCCUGAGAAUAUCCGGCCUAGGGUAUAUGUGCCUUCUGAAUCUCCAUCAAUACCUUCACAAGCUUUGUUCACUGGAUAUUCCUGAGGAUCAUCAUACUGAGCUGCACCUGUAUACAUAAACUCCAAAUAAUCCUUCAAUUCUGAAACAUCCUUCAGAGGCCUGUUACAAAUAAACAAUAACAACAUAAAAUUAAGUGCCUCCAAGAUUAGUGACAUCAUAAAAGAUCCUUCAACAUACCUGUCUAAAAAACUUUGUUAUAUUUAGUCAAAUUACAAUAAACUUUGUAAGUGUGAAGCUAUUGAUAUUCUCAAAUACAAAAUCCAAAUUUGGCCUUAUUUAACAAUCAGAGUUGUACAUAUUGUUUUGCACGUCUGAACCUAAGUACCAAUGUACUAUAUAUGGUAAUGCAUAGGCCGUAUAUGAGGCCAAACCCCAGAUUUUACUAUGUACGUAUAUUACACAUUAACUGAAAUGUAAAUAUACCUUGAGGAUGACAGAUAAUUAAUUGGAUAUAUAUAGACAGUUUUGUAAUGAUACUACAUUAACAUUGCACUGUAAUUGAAGGAAAAUCAGAUGGAUAUAUAUCGGCAGUUAUAAAAGUAAUAUGAUUCAAUUACUUGCAGGUUUUGAACUUUUAAGAGAGAACAGUAAGUCCAUUUUUUUCCAGCAGCGGCUUUAUCGAUUUCAGCCCAGGACUGUUUGAUGGUCUUGUAGCAACUCUCACUAGCUUCCUGCAUCAUUAAUAUUCAAAAUUCAAUAGUUAGAUUUUAACAAGAAAAUAUAAUCAUACAUAUAUAGAAUUUAAUUAAUUAAUAUUAUUUUCUUACCCUAAAAUCCUUGCUGACAAGAUCAUAAUAUGCGUUCGAUGGUGUGAUAUUAUCAAAGUAGAGAAUUGGGGCUGAAGAGGCAACUUCUCCUAAAGCAAUAUGAGGAUACUUCAAGCGAAACCAUGCAGCGAGCACUGAUGAUAACAAUAACAAACCCACACGAGUAACUCUCAAAGAGCAUCUGUUAGUAGGAAUAUAAAAUAAAAUUGUAUCAUAAUAAUUGAGGCGUAAUCCAGAUUUUAGUCAAAUAUUUAAAAUAAGGUGACAGAUGACAUGAUGUCAAUCAAAAGAUGUAAGUAAGUUAAUAAUAUUGUAACUUACUUCCUCCAUAAGAUGCUCCGACAACGAUAAUGGGAGACAUUUCGGCCGAUAAAGUUUUCUUGAUGUGUAAGAGAAUCUCCGCAUAAUCAGCCAAAGGCUUGAGCAGAGUUGAAAUAUCCACGAAGAGUUGCAUUCUGUAGGGCAUCGUUACUUGAUACAAAAGGCACCGAUUUUCCACAGAACUGAUGCUGAACAAAAAAUCAAAUUAGAAAAAAAAUAUAUAUCACAACUUUUUAGUUGAUAUUAUAGAUUAAAUUUAUCUUUAUUAUUAUUGUUUGGCGUUCGAACUCUGUUUCAAUUAUUAUCAAAUUCUUUACUUACCUCUAUGUAAACUUGUAAGCCUUUAAAUCGAUGAGCAUUAUCAGUAACCUGGAUUUGUAUGUGAUUAGGAGGUCAUUGCUUAGAGAUUCCCAUGUCCACUCUUAGUGCCAAAAGACUUGGUCUUGAUGCACAGGUGACAAGUUUGUUGGGGAGUACAUUUGGACUCACUAUCUUCAUUUAAUUCCAAACAUCUUAGCAUUUGGUUAUUUAUGUUGGUCAAAGUUCGCAAGUUCAGUUUGCUUGGUCAACUCAAGUAGACGAGAGAGUUGCGGCUUUAAAAUUUGGCAGUGAGGACAUGUGAGCUUUUUUGAACGAAUGUGAGUCUGAAACCUUUUUUGAACGAAAACACGGAGCAAAUGUGAGCUUCUCGUAGGCUAAGGUUCCAAGAGAGGUUACAUAUGUUUACCAUGAAGUGUCAUAUGAACUUGUACAGAUUGAUUUCUGAUGUUUCUUUUUCCCGGUAAUUUCUUAUUUUAAAUCUUAUUGCUUGUCUUUGUGUAUGUGCGUUGGGCUGGAGGCUCCAUUGAAAUGGUGUUUCCUCAAAUUAUGAAUUAUAACGCUCGUAAGUGUUAAUAUCAUCUCUUCUUCUUGUCCAGCUUAUUAAGAAAGUCUUUCAGAAUCCUUUUCAAACAUAUUCCUUUUUUUUUCUGAUUUUUGGAAGGAAAGAUUUUCCUAGUUCAGUGCUGGAAAUGUUGUUAAUUAACAAGGAUUUUGGUUGUAUUAACUAUUUAAAUGUACUUCUACAUUCCUACCUUUUUUGAGAAUUCACAAUUUAAAAUAAAAUGUGUGCAUUAGUAUUUUGUAAACAAAUUCUUUCAUCUGUACUACAAUAGCAAAUGAUGGAGCUCACUGGGAAUUUUUUUCAUUUUUACCAUUGAUGUGAUAACUAAUAUAAGGCAUAAUGGUUUCUGUAUCAUUUCCAGCCUCAGCCUGAUUCCAAUACUUGUGGAUCAAAGCAGAAAGCUGCCACACCACCUGCAGGUUCUGGAGAGCUUCCUUCAACGAGUUCAAGCAAAACCAAGGAGUGGAGUUGUGCCCUCUGUCAGGUCAAUGCUACUACCGAGAGAGAUCUAGACGUGCAUCUCCAAGGUAAGAAGCACAAGGCCAAGGAAAAAGUACUUAGAGAUUUGAAGAUGUGCAUUAACUCCACUUCAAAAAAAUAUACGGAAAGCAGAGAUAGUGCUGACCAAGAAAUGAAGUCUAAUGUAGAAAAGGAAUCACUUAAAGGUAAUAAAACUGUUGUUGGUUUAGACCAGAAAGUGGAGGAAGGUCAAACCCUGCAGGUUAAGCCCAAUUCCAAUCUUUGUGGAUCAAAUCAGAAAGCUACCGCACCACCUGCAGGUUCUGGAGAGCUUCCUUCGGCGAAUUCUAACAAACCCAAGGAGUGGAGUUGUGCCCUCUGUCGGAUCAGUGCUACUACCAAGAGAGGUCUAGAUGAGCAUCUUCAAGGUAGGAAGCACAAGGCCAAGGUUUCAGGACUACUUAGAGAUAAGAAAAUGUGCAGUAACUCCACUUCAUCCACGUCAGAAAAAUCUACUGAAAGCAGAGAUGGUGUUGGCCAAGAAAUGAACACUAAAGUACAAGAGGAAUCAGUUAAAGCUAAAAAAACUGUUGUUGGCCUAGACCGGAAAGGGGAGGUUGGUGUAGAUGAGCAUCCUCAAGGUAAGAAGCAGAAGGCCAAGGAAGAACUACUUGGAGCUCAGAAGUGGAUAAAAAAAUCUACAGAAAGCAGAGAUAGUGUGAUACAACCUGGCCAAUUGUUGUGAAUCAGAUCGAGCACAAUGAGACAGCAAGGGAAGAGACCCAGCCUGCAGAAAUGGAAGAAGUCCAACCCGUGAAUGAGACACAAGCUAGAGAGCAGCUCAAGACAGGUUCAGCUCGCGCGAGAAAGAAACCAGGAUGGCUCAAAGACUUUGUCAUUUGAGGAAUGUUCGAGAAUGCUUGAGAGAUUAUAAUAACGAAUAUUGUUUUGUUUUCAAUUAUUAUUUUGUUGUUAUCAAUUUUAUUCUAUUUUAGUUAGUUAAGGGUGCGUGGCUGUUUUUGGGAGAGAGAAUAUAUUGUACUGUCAAAGGGACCCGUGAGGGAUAUCAAAAAGGAAUAUAUCAUUUUGUCUUUUUUCAGCUUCGUCUUCUUUCUCUUCUCUGCAAUUCCCCUGUCCCUUUUCUCUUUCUGCAAAUUCUUUUCCCCACAGAUUGGAGCCUGCACUCGCUCAAAGAGUGUCGUAUCAACUGGUGCUUUCAUUUCAUCUCUUCACACACAAAAAAAAAAAAACAAAUGUCUCUCACAGAACCAACGACUGAUUCAGCAGUUCUCUCCACCAUGAAAACGCUCAUUGAAAAUCAAACGCUUGCUGUUCAUCAGACCUUACAACAAUAUAUGUCCACGGUGGAUUCUCGAUUUGAGGAGCUACGUUCCCAAAUCAAUGGUUCUGUCGGAGCGUCAGUGGGUUCUUCCCGCCCAAUGGCACCGGAACCAGCGUCUUCGACUGUACUGUCAGGUGUUUCGGAUAUCUCUCCUCUGUUGCGUUCUAUGAAAAUGGAUGUCCCAAAAUUUGAUGGCACUGAUCCGAAUGGUUGGGAUUUUCGAAUCAAUGAGUUCUUUGAUUUUCACGGCACCCCUGACCAGUUACGCCUUCGUAUUGUAUCUUUUCACAUGGAGGGAAAAGCAGCAGCAUGGUAUCAAUGGAUGAAGGCCAACAACUUGCUGAGCACUUGGCAGAAUUUUUUACUCAAUCUUAAGCAAAGAUUUGGUACAUCCAUGUAUGAAGAUCAUCAAGGUAACCUCUCCAAGCUCUCCCAAACGUCGACUGUUGCUGAUUUUCAGUCUGCCUUUGAGGAUUUGAUGAACAAGGUCACGAGCAUCUCCGAGCCAUUGUUGGUUAGUUUCUUUAUCACGGGCUUAAAACCCGAUAUCAGACGAGAAUUAUUAUUUGCAAGACCCACAUCUCUCAUGGAGGCUUUUGCUUUAGCCAAAGCUUAUGAGGCACGGUCGGAAGAAAUCAAGACCUCUAGCCAUUCUUGGACAAAGUGGACACCCUCAUCUACUCACACCCACCAAUCCACCAUUACUGCCUCCCCACAACCUGCAUCAUAUAAAACCCCAACAACAACUCCUCUUCCUAGUUUUUCAGCCACUAAACAGCCACCUCAACCCCCAUUAUUGCCUACUCCCACCUUGCCCAUUCGUCGAUUAACUCCAGCCGAAUUAAGAGAGAAAAGAGAAAAAGGGCUCUGUUACAACUGCGACCAAAAAUAUAGCGCCACACAUCGCUGUUGUAGCAAGUUUUUGUUAUUAAUGGGUAUGGAUGAUGAAGAUGAUGAGCCAAGUAAGGACGCUUUUAGUCAUGCACAACCAGAUGAAGUAGUCACAGCGGACAUAUCUAGUUUGAAUGCCUUGGCUGGGCAAACUAAUCCACGAUCUUUAAGGGUGCUGGGCACCGUUGCCAGCUAUCAGUUUCAGGUGUUAAUUGACAGUGGCAGUACCCACAAUUUCCUUAAGCCACCAUUGGCUGAACGCCUUGGCCUUUCCGUUCAAGCUAUACCUCCUUUUCGAGUCUACAUUGGCAAUGGCGAUUUUCUUACUUGUCGAUUUCUCUGUCCUAAAGUGCCUAUUAAUAUGCAGGGGCAUGAAUUUCUUUUGGAUUUAUUCCUUUUGCCAAUCGAAGGCCCUGAUGCUGUCCUUGGGAUUCAAUGGUUACAAAGCUUGGGAAGAAUUUCUACGGAUUACUCCGAGAUGACGAUGGAGUUUCAAUGGGAGGGAAAAUCUAUCAUUUUACGGGGAGACCCAAUUCCAAACCCGAAUUUUAUCUCUUUUAACCAGUUUCAUGCCUUGUUAUCUAACUCCAAAAUCGACAGCUUAUUUGAACUUCAUUCUUUACCAACUGAGCCAUCAGCCACUCACACAUCUACCAACACAUUGCCGGAUAAUGACUUCGAAUUUCUGAGGUCGUUGCCUAAACCAAUUACUACUCUCUUAAAAAAAUUUAAGGCAUUAUUUGAUCCACCCACUGGUCUUCCCCCUCAACGGCUAUUUGAUCACAAAAUACACCUCAUUCCCAAUUCCAAACCAGUCAACGUUCGCCCCUAUCGGUAUCCUUAUUUUCAGAAAACCGAAAUGGAGAAAUUGGUGAGAGAAAUGUUAAAUCAAGGCAUCAUAAAACCCAGCCAAAGCCCGUUUUCUUCACCGGUAAUGCUAGUAAAGAAAAAGGAUGGCUCAUACAGAUUCUGUGUGGAUUACCGCGCUGUGAAUGCAGUGACGGUGAAGGACAAAUUUCCCAUCCCCACCAUUGAUGAACUAUUUGACGAACUUGGCGGUGCUAGGAUUUUCAGCAAACUUGAUCUAAGAGCCGGUUAUCACCAGAUAAGAGUUCACAAGAGGGAUACUUAUAAAACAGCGUUUCGCACGCAUGAUGGACACUAUGAGUUUCUUGUUAUGCCGUUCGGUUUGACCAACGCGCCGUCCACUUUUCAAGCAACAAUGAACCAACUAUUCGCUUCCUUUUUACGUAAAUUUGUUAUUGUCUUUUUUGAUGAUAUCUUGGUCUAUAGUGCAUCAUUGGCUGAACAUGUGCAUCAUUUGGAGCAGGUCAUGAGUUGUUUAUACACAUCUCAAUUUUAUGUCAAAUUCUCCAAUUGUUUAUUUUGUCAGGAAUCAAUUGAUUAUUUGGGCCAUAUUGUGUCGACUCGAGGAGUGCAUGCUGAUCCGCAAAAGAUCACAGCCAUGGUAGAUUGGCCCUUGCCUAAAUCGGUGAAGCAACUGAGAGGGUUCUUGGGGCUGACAGGGUACUACCGACGUUUUAUUCAAGGCUAUGCAACCAUCGCAGCUCCUCUCACUGAGUUGCUUUGUAAGGAGGUUUUUCAUUGGAACCUGGCAGCUACUCAAGCUUUUCAAGCAUUAAAGAAGGCUCUUGUGGAAGCCCCUGUACUACACUUGCCGAAUUUUGCCUUGGAGUUUGUCAUUGAGACCGAUGCUUCUAAUGUCGGGAUCGGUGCUAUGCUAAUGCAAGCCGGGCAUCCGCUAUCUUAUUUUAGCAAAAAGUUGGGUCCUCGAAUGCGUGCAUCCUCAACAUAUUUGAAGGAAUUAUAUGCUAUUGUAGCUGCAGUUCAAAAAUGGCGUCAAUACCUCCUUGGCAGAUUUUUCCUUAUACGAACUGACCAUAAAAGCAUAAAGGAAUUGUUUCAACAAGUUAUUCACACCCCAGAGCAGCAAUUUUACAUUCGUAAGUUGAUGGGAUAUCAAUUCAGAAUCGAUUAUAAAGCUGGUACCUUCAAUAAAGCUGCUGAUGCUUUAUCGCGAAUUCAUAGGGACAACGUGACUGAAGAACCCAAACCAACAACUCUUUGUUUGUCGUUUGUAAGCCAACCUUCUAGUGAACUAUUGACAAAUCUGCACAAGGAAAAUUGCUCUCUUCCUGAUAUGAAACAACUCCAUCAGAGGUAUGCAGCCGGUUCACUUUCUUCUGCCUUCUCAGUUCAAGAAGGGUUCCUGCUAUUUCAACAUCGAUAUUACCUCAGCCCCAACUCAUCAUUAAAAGCCGUGCUACUCAAAGAGUUUCACGAGACACCUAUGGCAGGCCAUGCUGGUAUUAAAUAGACAUUGGUACGUCUUUCAUCGACUUUCUUUUGGCCUAAGAUGAGGGAAGAUGUUGAGCAACAUGUAGCUGCUUGCCUUGUUUGCCAGCAAAUUAAAUACUCAACUCAAGCGCCGGCGGGUCUAUUACAACCCUUGCCUGUCCCUUCAUUAGUUUGGGAUGAGUUAACCAUGGAUUUCAUUACAGGGCUGCCACUUUCGAGAGGAUUUGAAGCAAUUCUAGUUGUUGUGGAUCGUUUAUCAAAGUCAGCUCACUUUGGAGCCUUGCCUUCUCAAUUUACUGCCAUCAAAACAGCAGCUUUAUUUGCUGACAUGGUUGUAAAAUUACAUGGAUUUCCUAGCUCUAUAAUUUCAGAUCGUGAUCCUAUAUUCAUGAGCAACUUUUGGCAGAAAUUGUUUGAUUUAAAUGGUACACAGUUACGGCACAGCACGGCUUACCACCCCCAAAGGGAUGGUCAAUCCGAAGUAGUUAAUCGAGGGCUUGAGCAAUAUUUACGAGCCUUCUCACAAGAUAAGCCACAGACAUGGUCUUCAUUUUUAGGCUGGGCUGAAUUUUGCUACAAUACCAGUUAUCACAGCAGCUUGCGAAUGACUCCCUUUCAAGCCCUUUAUGGUCGUUUUCCUCCCACAAUUCCAAGUUACUCAAGGGGCUCUACUUCAAUCCAAGCUUUAGAAGACAUGUUAAUUGAGAGGGAUGCCAUGCUUUGCUCAUUGAAAGAGAACUUACGACAAGCUCAGCAUCGAAUGGCUCAAAAGGCUAAUUUACAUCGCCGAGAAACUCAAUUGCAGGUAGGUGAUAAAGUGUUGGUGCACCUUCAGCCAUAUCGCCAGACAUCAGUUGCUAAGCGCUCAUCUCAUAAGCUGGCAAGGUGCUAUUAUGGACCAUUCACAGUGGUAGAGCGUAUUGGACCCGUUGCUUACAAGUUAGAGUUACCCACAAAUUGUAGAAUUCACCCGGUGUUCCAUAUUUCCUUACUAAAACCUUAUGUGGGAAACUCCCCCAUUGAUGUUUAUUCACUGCCUCCAGGAAGUGUGGAUAACAAGCCCUUGUCAUCACCAAUUGCAGUAUGUGCUGAGCGAAAGAUACUUCGACAAGGCAAAGAAAUUCCACAAAUUUUGGUGCAAUGGUCUGAUAGCUCACCAGAAAAUUCAACUUGGGAGGACUUUGAGGAAUUUCGUAAACUCUACCCUGCACUACACCGUGAGGACAAGGUAAGCUUUCAAGGAAUGGGGAAUGAUACAACCUGGCCAAUUGUUGUGAAUCAGAUCGAGCACAAUGAGACAGCAAGGGAAGAGACCCAGCCUGCAGAAAUGGAAGAAGUCCAACCCGUGAAUGAGACACAAGCUAGAGAGCAGCUCAAGACAGGUUCAGCUCGCGCGAGAAAGAAACCAGGAUGGCUCAAAGACUUUGUCAUUUGAGGAAUGUUCGAGAAUGCUUGAGAGAUUAUAAUAACGAAUAUUGUUUUGUUUUCAAUUAUUAUUUUGUUGUUAUCAAUUUUAUUCUAUUUUAGUUAGUUAAGGGUGCAUGGCUGUUUUUGGGAGAGAGAAUAUAUUGUACUGUCAAAGGGACCCAUGAGGGAUAUCAAAAAAGAAUAUAUCAUUUUGUCUUUUUUCAGCUUCGUCUUCUUUCUCUUCUCUGCAAUUCCCCUGUCCCUUUUCUCUUUCUGCAAAUUCUUUUCCCCACAGAUUGGAGCCUGCACUCGCUUAAAGAGUGUCGUAUCACAGUGCUGGCCAAGAAAUGAAGAAUAAAGCAACAUAGGAAUCAGUUAAAGCUAAUAGAACUGUUGUUGGUUUAGACCAGAAAGAGGAGGGUUGUCAAGCCCAGCAGGUUAAACCAUAUCCCAAUCUUUGUGGAUCAAAACAGGAAGCUUCCACACUACCAGCAGGUUCUGGAGAGCUCAUGUUGACGAGUUCAAAGAAACCCCAUGGAUUGGAGUUGUGCCCUCUGUCAGGUCAGUACUACUAGCAAGAGAGAUCUAGAUGAGCAUCUUCACGGCAAGAAGCACAAGGCCAGGAAGAAGGACUACUUGGAGAUGAGAAGAUGUGCAGUAACUCCACUUCAAAAAACUCUACUGAGCAGAGAUAGUGCUGGCCAGGAAAUUAAGGCUACUCUAGAAGAGGAAUCAGUUAAACCUAAUAAAAAUGUCGUUGAUUUAGACCAGAAAGUGGACUGUGGUCAAGAUGAGCAUCUUAAACGGAGCUAAUUGGAGCUCAGAAGAUGUGCACUACCUCAUCUUCAACAAUGUCAAGGCUGCUCAUUAUUCAAGCAGCUUGGUGAAGCCACGUCAGCAGAAGGUUGUUAGUGAAGAAUAACAGCUCAGCGUGAUUAGUCAAGUGUUAGCGAUCCAGCUCAUAAAAGUUAGUUAGUUAGUUAGUGAGUUACUAAGCAAUUCUCACGUGUAAGGAAUAAUAUAAAUACUUGUACUGAUUUGUAAAAGUUCUUAUGAAUCGAAUCUUAUCCAAUACCAGUAUUGAGAAUUUUCUCUGUGAUUUUCUAUUCAACCAAACAGCACAUCUCUGUUUUCUUUCAAACAACAUCAAAAGAAUCUGGAAAGACAAUUAAGCUUACCGAAAGUAGAGAUAGCUCCAGCCAAGAAAUCAAAGCCUAAACAGAAUCAGUUAAAGCUAUUAAAACUGUUGUGGGUUUUGACCAGAAUGUGGGGGGCGAAGAAGAUUCAGAGAACAAAAAUGAGGAGCUGCCAAAGAAGAAGGCGUUGAAUACAAUCACUCAGAAGACAACAAAUGGAAUACCAACUGGAGGGACGAUGAGGAGAAAACUUCCCCUUAGAGAGAACUUCGAAUUCUGGUGUGAAGUUUUUCAGGUUGGUACUCACUCCGCUGUUGUGAUGGAGGGUCAUAAAAGGGGGAAGAAACACAUGGCUCGGUCUAAUGGAUCCAGGAAAAAUAAUGAGGCUGUCCCCCUCACUACCCCCACUACAAUUGUGACACCAUCAGAGCCUACUGAGAAUGUUGAAGAUGAAGAUGCGGUGGCCCAAGAAUGAAAUGAAGAAACCGCAGAGAGUGUCAUUGAGAAGGCUGAAGAUGAAGAGGUGGUGGUCUAUAGAGGCAGAUAAAGUGAGCCUGAUGCAGCAGACUCCUUAUUAUGCUGAAGGUAAAGCUCUUAACUUUUAUUUUUCUCUUGCGCUCCAUUUUGAAUGUCUUAAAUUUCAAUGAACCAGCAGCGUGUUACUUUAUCAUUUUAAAACUCAGAAAUUACAAUAAUAAAUUUAAGUUCAUUCUUCCAUCUCGUCAUAUAUAGAUUUGAAGGUACUGAAUGAUGAAGCCUGUAAAUUCAAGCAACAAUACUGUAAUGGGGAUCAUGUGUUGUUCUCUACUCUCCAGUCGUUGGUAAAAAGCUCAAAAAAUGAAAACCAGACACUGUUAGAUCAACCAUUUGAAAGUGCUUCAUAUAUGCAUGAUUAUGACAUUGGACUCUUCGGCCCAAUGCAAAUUUUUCUUGAUCAUGACCUGACGUUAGUUUAUCUUGUGCUGGCAGGUAGUUGGUGGGAUAUCACUAACCACAACUUAUGCAGAAGCUUCCUAACAUCAGCCGUGGGUCCAGGAUGUUUGAUCGGAUCGGCUAAAUUAAAAUUUUUUUGUAUAUGUUUGUGUGAAUAUUUACAAAGGAGUGAAAAAACUAAUAUAUAUUAAAUAACGCGACAUUAAGAACCUCGUUCUGAAUAAAGUUUAUGUAUAUAAUUUGUAAAAUAAACUAAUAAUUAAAAUAACAAUUUACCCUUUUAACUCGUACAGAUACAACCGUAAAUUCCUUAUUUAAUUCAGCUCAUUCAGAGGGAGACAAUUAGACAAAACUUAUUUUAUCAGAGUGAACUGCGAAAGUACUAGCUUAACCAGAGAGAUUAAUGUCGUAGUUUGCACAUUUGUUUAAUUGCAAUUCAACAUAUAUAGGAAGUGAACGUGAAAAUAGAAUUAAUAAUACAUUGCAAGUACCUAAUAAUUUCAGAACCAAUUAACAGUCACCUUUAUUGGAAAAAUCCAUUAUGAUUAGAAGCAAUCCCAUCACAUGCAUGAACAGUUAAAUAUACGCAUCCAUAAUUAGAUAUCACAUUAAUCAACCAAAUACAUUUCUUGGUUUCUAAGCUCCAAAAUUGAAAUUUCAUGAAAAGGUUUCUGCAUCAGUGCCUUAUUGCGAGCGAUAAAUUCGUUGGACACGAGUUGCAUUGUAGGUCGAGACUUUGGUUGAGAACGCAAGCAUGAAAAUGCUACUGUUGAAACAAGAAUGACAUCCUGCCUAAUCUUUUGAUCCACCGGAGGUGAGAGGCGGGGGUCCAGCAAAUCAAUUAGCUUAAUAUUUUUAUCCAAUGACCAAGAGGACGAUGAGAGGAUCUCUUCUGGAUGCUUUCCCAUUAGUACUUCUAGUGCCACCACUCCAAAGCUAUAAACAUCAGAUUUCUCCGUCACAACCAUGGUGUAGGCAAGUUCUGUAUGAAAACAGAAGCCUUUAUUAGUGAUGUUUCCUAAAUAAUAACAAGAGCAAUUUGUUUAUAUCUUCGAGCAUCUGCAGCAAGGUAUGACAGAGAACCAUAUGUUUUUAACUGAUAUUUAAAGUGUAUUUUUUUUAAAAUUAAAAAAAAAAAGUGAAACUGGUAGGCAAAGUUUAAAUUCACUUUUCCAGCUCUUUACCUAUUCAAAAAUUUGAACCUAAGUAGCUAAUUAAAUAAAACUGCUUAAAAAUUACUUAACAGAGUGUAUAUAAAAAUUAAUUAAAAGAAUAAUUAAAGAAGCAGAAGAAGAAUAGCUAAAAGAUUACCUGGAGCAAUAUAUCCAUAAGUGCCAGCCAAUAGAGUUCGAUUGGAUGAGUCAAAAUUUAACAAUCUAGCACCGCCAAAGUCAGCAACAAAUGCUUCUAAUUCUGAGUUGAGUAGAACGUUGUUGCUUGAUAUGUCGCGGUGAACAAUUGGUGGUGUGCAGUAUGAUGCAAGUAUGACAAAGCAUGACACAUGCCCUUCACAACGUUCACCCUUUUAGCCCAAUCCAACCCCACAGCUUCCUCAUCUGUGCGCAGAACACAGAACAAGCUUCCCAUUUCCAUGUACUCAUAGAUUAAGAACAUGCAUUUCCUGUGCAAACAAAACCCGUAAAGCUUUACGAUAUUUCGAUGUCGUAUUUGGGACAGUAGACGAGCCUUAUUCCGAAAACUCUCGAGGGAAGUUAACUCCUCAGUUUCUGAACAGUGAAGCUUCUUCAAAGCAACUACUUUUCCACUGGGCAGUCGUGCUCGGUAAACGCUGCCAUAGCCCCCGGUUCCAAUGCAGUAUUUGAUAUGGAAAUCCUCAGUAGCUUCAAUUAUGUCUUGAAAUGUAAUUCUACCAUCGUAAUUCCAAAUUGCAAACUCAUCAGCGCACUUGGUAAUUUCUCCUGUCUCAGCUGGUUCAACUUUCUUAUCCCUUCGUGCACGGAUAAUCAAGAUUCCAAAUAUCAAGGCAAGUAAUGCGACCAUGGCAAGAAUAAUUGGAACCAAGCGAGUGGCAAUCUUUUUGUGAUGUGGUGGUGGCCCAUUUGCCGAAGUACUUGGGAUUUCUCCCUCCAAAUUGUUGCCUAACACAUCUAAGUGUGGCACUUUUCUGACUGAUUUAGGGAUACUACCGGAAAGGUUAUUCAUGGAAAGGUCCACGGUAUCUAUGCUUGGAAUUGCUCCAAGCUCAGAAAGUAUUUUACCAUUAAUGAAGUUAUGGCUCAGAUCAAGAUAAUAUAGUUCUUGAAGUUUUCCGAUCUCUGACGGGAUGCUUCCCCUUAACAAGUUGUUUCCCAAUUCUAAUUCCAUCAGCUUUGAGCAAUUCAUGAGUUCUGGAGGAAUUGGACCAUCAAGUUUGUUGUCGUACAGUUUGACAGCUUCAACACGUUUCAAGUUCCCAAUUUCUAAUGGGAUGGAACCAUUGAUUUGGUUUGAGUACAUAUUCAAAGUAUUUAGCUGAGUCAAAUGACCCACAGACGAAGGGAUUGGACCAACAAGUUUGUUUUCGGACAAGUCUAAAAUUCUUAUCCUGUUUAAAUGACCAAGUGUUGAAGGAAUAGGUCCAGUUAGAUUGUUGUAAUGCAGGGACAGAGACGUCAAGUUUACUAAACUAGCUAUGGUCGAAGGAAUUGGACCUUAAAGUUUGUUGAAGCAUAGGUCAAGAACUUGAAGAAAGUUCAAAUUCCCGAUUUCUAAUGGGAUGGAACCAUUGAUUAGGUUUGAGCGCAUAUUCAAAGUGGUUAGCUGAGUCAAAUGACCCAGAGAUGAAGGGAUUGGACCAACAAGUUUGUUUUGGGACAAGUCUAAGCUUUUCAACCUCUUUAAAUGGCCAAAUGUUGAAGGAAUUGAACCUCUAAUUUCAUUUCCAGACAAGUCAAGAACUUGAAGAAAGUUCAAAUUCCCGAUUUCUAAUGGGAUGGAAACAUUAAUAUGGUUUGAGGCAAUAGCCAAAGUAGUUAGCUGGGUUAGAUGACCUAGAGUGGAGGGGAUAUUACCAACAAGGGAGUUAGAAGACAAGUGCAAAUUUUCCAAUUUGCUUAGACGACCAAGAGUUGGAGGGAUAUAUCCCCAGAGGUAAUUAUCAGAUAGAUCCAGGUGGACAAGAUUCCUCAAUCUCCCCAUCUCUAAAAGGAUAAUUCCUAUUGUGCAUGUGAUUUAUGAAAAACGAGAUCAAUAUUCACUAUCUUCAUUAAAAAAAAUAUUACAUAGAGGGAAAGUCAAGCUCAAGUGCGGACGACUCACACUUCUGUUAGGAAAUUAGUGGGUGAAGCAGGACCGCAGCUAAGUUGAAAUUGUAAGAAAAUAAAGAACAAGCACAAUAGAGGGUACCAGAAAUUACGUGGUUCGGCUUUUAGCCUACGUCCACGGGCGAAAACAAAAGGAAAAUAUUUCACUAGUGAAAUAAGGAUUACAAGUAAUGUAAUAUUUUAACUCACUACCCAAAACCCCAAUACAUCCAAUCUCUCACUCACUAGAUACUCAAGAGUUUAUUAAACUCUUAAUACUCUCAACACUAAAAGAAAGCAAUAUUUCUCUCUCGAUGGAAUUGGUACAAGCUCUAAAUUGAGAGCUUGUAUUUAUAGGCAAAACUUUGCCUCAAAUGUCAAACAAGUGGCCAUAAACUUCAAGCCAUACAUCUUAAAAAUUUCAAACUUUGAAUUUUUAGCUUUGAAUUUUUCUUUUCUUUUACCAAACAUUACGGCAUCUAGAAUUUCAAAGCCAAGUGCCAACCAUUCUUGUUUAUUCAAAGCUUCUAGAUGCAGCCAAUUUUGACAUUCUCCCACUUGGAGAUUAAAUUGAAAAACAAUCAAUCUCCACACCAUCCUUUCUGUUUCGCCAUAAUCAUGUUGCCUACGUUUCUGCUAGGCCACAAGAGGAUCUACUCCAGAAAAACUUAUCAGUAUUUAUCGGCUUGGUCAAAACAUCUGCUAGGUUCUCCGUCGUAUGGAUUUUCUGUAAAUCCACACUUCCAUCUUCCACUACUUCUCGAACGAAGUGAUACUGAACUCCUAUGUGCUUUGUCCUGGAAUGAAAGGCUGGAUUCCUUGCAAUGUGCAAGGCACUCUGACUGUCACAAAACACAGGAAUUUUCUGUUGUUUGUGCCCGAGCUCCUCCAAUAAUCUUUGUAUCCAAAUAGCUUCAUUGCAAGCUUGUGUAGCUACCAUGUAUUUUGCUUCUGUUGUAGAUAAAGCCACAACGGUCUGCAGUUUAGAAACCCAGCUUACAGCUGCUCUCGCAAGUGUAAACACAUAACCAGUAGUGGAUUUCCUUUUAUCAAGGUCUCCUGCAAAAUCUGAAUCCACAUAGCCCCUGACAGUAAACUCUGAUCCUCUAUAACAUAAUGCAACAUCUGAGGUUCCUCUGAUGUAUCUUAGAAUCCUCUUCACAGUUAUCCAAUGCUCUCCACCAGGAUUCGCCAUGUAUCGACUAACUGCUCCCACUGCUUGUGCAAUGUCCGAUCUUGUACAUAUCAUAGCGAACAUUAAACUUCCCACUGCUGAUGCAUACGGUACUCGAGACAUCUCAUUCCUCUCCGCUUCGUUGCUAGGACACAUACUUGAGGAUAAUUUGAAAUUAACAGGAAGUGCUUUGAUACCAAAAUGUCAAAUAAAGUGGCCAUCUAGAUGGUAUAAAGCAGCCAUCUAGAUGGUCAGCAAUAAUUUUGUUCAAAGAAGAAGAAGAAUUUUGCAACAAGUUUGAAAGAAAAAGAAGCACACGGCUUUGACAAGAGAAAGAAGAAAAAGAAGAAAAUAAUAAUAUAUAAUUGAUGAAUAGUGCCAAAGCUUUUUCUAUAAAUAGAAACGAAGAGAAUGAGCAAAUUCAUUCCAUUAAGAGAGAGCAAUUUAGCAUUUUGAGAGAGAGUUUAGAGAGCUUGAAAUUAUAAGCUGUUGUUAUUAGUGUUCUGAGAGUUUGGGUGUAUUGGGGUCUUGGGAAGUGAGCUAAAAUACUACAAUACUUGUAACUCCUUUUUACUAGUAAAAUAUUUCCUUCUAUUUUCACCCUUGGAUGUAGGCUAAAAGUCGAACCACGUAAUUUUUUUGGUGUCCUCUUUUGUGCUUUUUCUUUAUUUUCUUCCAAUUUUACUUUAGCUGCGUGUCUGCUCCACCCACUAAUUUCCUAACAGUGGUAUCAGAGCUAUUGGUUGUAUUUUUAGAGUUGGGUACUGUUCACGUAAGGGGUACUAUUCACUUAUACGAUACUGUUCACGUAUACGGUACUAUUCACAAUAGAUGGUGGGAGCGAUCCAAGAAUUUUGCGGUGCAAAGCAAGGAAUAGUGGUGUGAGUAAAACAACUGUGUGGUUUUGUACAUGUCUAGGAAAGUUCUGUCACAAAGGCGAUAAGAGCUUAAGGAGUCUGGGUUUUAAGUGGGACCAUUGUGACCCCUCCAGUCUUUCCUGGGAACUUUCCUGGUAUGCAUUCUCACACAUAAUCACAACUAUUCAAGGUGGUACACUAGCUUGUGUGCGGUAUUUAUCAAUAAAAUGGCAGCAAAGUAUGAAAUUGAGAAGUUUAAUGGAAAUAAUUUUUCGUUGUGGAAAAUGAAGAUGAAAACUAUAUUGAGGAAAAAUAAUUGCUUGGCAGCAAUUGGAGAAAGGCCCAUGGAGAUAACUGAUGACAAGUGGAGCGAGAUAGAUGGUAACACCAUUUCUGAUCUACACUUGGCACUUGCAGAUGGAGUAUUAUCCAGCGUGGCAGAGAAAAAUACAGCGAAGGAAAUAUGGGAUACUCUUACAAAAUUGUACGAGGCCAAAUCACUACACAACAAAAUCUUCUUGAAAAGGAAACUUUAUACUCUUCGAAUGGCAGAAUCUACAAUGGCGACCGACCACAUCAAUACCUUGAAAACUCUAUUUUCACAACUCACAACGUUGGGUCAUAAUAUAGAGGAAAAUGAACGUGCAGAGCUUCUACUUCAAAGUCUACCAAAUUCGUAUGAUCAACUCAUCAUCAACCUAAUAAACAACAAUCUAGUGGACAGUCUAGUUUUCGACGAUGUUACAGCCUCUGUAUUAAAUGAGGAGAGCAGGCAGAAAAAUAAAGAAAACAGACAAGUAAGUUUGCAGCAAGCGGAGGCGCUAUCGGUGACGAGAGGGAGAUCAACAGAACGUGGCCCCAGUGGGAGUCAAAGUCAUGGUAGAUCAAAAUUCAGAAGUAAGAAGAAUAUUAAAUGCUACAACUGUGGCAAGAAAUGGCACGCCAAAAAGGAGUGUUGGAGUAACCAGAAGAGAAGAGAAGGUAAAGAACCUGAGUCAUCAAAUGCUCAGGGGUGUGUAGCAAGUACCUCAGAUGAUGGUAAAAUUCUCUACAACGAAGCAAUAACUGUUUCAGAAGGCAGAAAACGACUAUCUGAUGUCUGGCUUAUAGACUCAGGAGCUACCCGGCACAUGACCUCGCGGAGAGAAUGGUUCCACACAUAUGUACCUAUCUCAGGAGGAUCUGUAUAUAUGGGUAAUGAUCAUGCCUUGGAAAUCGCCGGUAUUGGUACUAUCAAAAUAAAAAUAUUUGAUGGUACAAUUCGCACAAUUGGAGAGGUACAACAUGUCAACGGCCUGAAGAAAAAUCUAUUGUCUUUGGGACAAAUGGAUAGUCAUUGGUACAAAACUCAUGUGGAGAAUGAAAUUAUGAAAAUCGUUAAAGGCGCGCUUGUAUUGAUGAAGGCAGAAAAGAUCGGUGCUAAUCUAUUCAUGCUUAAAGGAGAAACACUACAGGAGGCUGAUGCGUGUGUCGCAUCAAAUGGAGAAGAGUCAACGAUGAUGUGGCAUCUCAAACUUGGUCACAUGUCAGAACAAGGUUUGAAGAUUCUCUCUGAGCGAAAAUUGCUUCCAGGGCUCAAAUCGGUAAGUUUACCAUUUUGCGAGCAUUGUGUUAUAAGUAAGUAGCAUAGAUUAAAAUUCAGUAGAUCUAUUGCUAAAAGUAAAUGCAUUCUAGACUUUAUUCAUUCUGAUGUUUGGGAAUCACCGGAUAUAUCCAUGGGAGGUGCAAAGUACAUGGUGACUUUCAUUGAUGAUUAUUCCAGAAGAUGUUGGGUGUAUCCAAUUAAGAAAAAGUCAUAUGUAUUUCUAGUGUUUAAAGAAUACAAAGCGCGGGUGGAACUUGAAUCUGGUAAAAAGAUCAAGUGUUUGAGGACAGAUAAUGGUGGAGAGUAUACAGACGGUGAGUUUCUUGCUUUCUGUAAGCAAAAAGAUAUUCAGAGGCAGUUCACGGUGGCAUACACUCCUCAAUAAAACGGAGUGGCAGAGCGGAUGAAUAGAACUCUUACAGAAAGGAUAAGAGUUAUGUUGAGGACUGCUGGUCUACCCAAUUCAUUCUAGGCGGAAGCAGCCAAAACUGCAUGUUAUAUAGUAAAUCGAUCGCCAUCUACAACUAUUGGGCUGAAGACAGCAAUGUAGAUGUGGACUGGAAAGCCAGCUGAUUAUUCCUACCUACAUGCAUUUGGAUGUCUUGUGUAUGUGAUGUACAAUGCCCAAGAAAGAACAAAGUUAGAUCCAAAAUCUAGAAUAUGUAUCUUCUUGGGAUAUACUGAUGGAGUAAAGGGGCAUAGUCUGUGGGACCCCACUGCCCACAAGAUUGUCAUCAGCAGAGAUGUUAUCUUUAUAGAAAAUCAACUGCAAAGGAGAGAUGAGGAUGAUAGUAGUGUAAAAGAAAAGUCAGAGACUAUAUCGGUAUAUGUGGAAAAUAAUCCAGAAGAUUCAGAUUCUUCUGAAGCAGCACCAGAGCACGAAAAAUAAGAACUAGUCGAGUCCGAGGCUCCAGAAGUUCAUCGGUCAACUCGUGAGAAACGACCACCGGUGUGGCACUCGGAGUAUGUCACAGAGAUCAAUGUUGCAUACUGUCUUCUAACAGAGGAUGGAGAGCCAUCAACUUUCCAUGAAGCUUUAGAAAGCUCAGAUGUUGCCUUGUAGAUGACAGCAAUGCAAGAAGAAAUUGAAACUCUACACAAGAACAAGACAUGGGAACUUGUACCACUACCAUACGCAAGAAAAGCCAUUGGAAACAAAUGGGUUUACAAGAUCAAGUGUGAUGGCAAUGACCAAGUGGAAUGGUAUCGUGCAAGAUUGGUAGUGAAAGAAUAUGCUCAGAAAGAAGGUAUUGACUUCAACGAGAUAUUUUCUCCGGUGGUUCGACUCACAACAGUCAGAGUAGUCUUGGGGAUGUGUGCCACAUUUGACCUACAUCUAGAGCAGUUAGAUGUGAAAACUGCAUUUCUUCAUGGAGAACUUGAAGAAGAAAUAUAUAUGCUCCAACCAAAAGGUUUUGCAGAAAUAGGAAAAGAAAACUUGGUUUGCAGGUUGAACAAAUCUCUAUAUGGUUUCAAACAGGCGCCGAGGUAUUGGUAUAAGAGAUUUGAUUCCUUCAUUAUGAGUCUUGGAUACAACAGACUCAGUUCAGACCAUUGUGCAUAUUACAAGAGGUUUGAAGAUAAUGAUUUCAUCAUUUUGCUGUUGUAUGUGGAUGACAUGUUGGUAGCAGGUCCCAACAAAGAUCGAGUCCAAGAAUUGAAGGCACAGUUGGCUAGGGAGUUUGAAAUGAAGGACUUGGGACCAGCAAACAAGAUUCUAGGGAUGCAAAUUCACCGAGACAGAAAUAACAAGAAGAUUUGGCUUUUGUAGAAGAAUUAUUUGAAGAAAAUCUUGCGGCGCUUCAACAUGCAAGAUUGUAAGUCAAUUUCUACCCACUUCCUGUUAAUUUCAAAUUAUCCUCAAGUAUGUAUCUUAGCAAUGAAGCAGAGAGGAAGGAGAUAUCUCGAGUACCGUAUGCAUCAGCAGUGGGAAGUUUGAUGUUCGUUAUGAUAUGUACUAGACCGGACAUUGCACAAGCAGUGGGAGCAGUCAGUCGAUACAUGGCGAAUCCUAGUGGAGAGCAUUGGAUAGCUGUGCAGAGGAUUUUAAGAUACAUCAGAGGAACCUCAGAUGUUGCAUUAUGUUAUGGAGGAUCAGAAUUGACUGUCAGGGGCUAUGUGGAUUCAGAUUUUGCAGGAGACCUUGAUAAAAGGAAAUCCACUACUGGUUAUGUGUUUACACUUGCGAGAGCAGCUGUAAGCUGAGUUUCGAAACUGCAGACCGUUGUGGCUUUAUCUACAACAGAAGCAGAAUACAUGGCAGCUACACAAGCUUGCAAGGAAGCUAUUUGGAUACAAAGGUUAUUGGAGGAGCUCGGGCACAAACAAGAGAAAAUUUCUGUGUAUUGUGACAGUCAGAGUGCCUUGCACAUUGCAAAGAAUCCAGCCUUUCAUUCCAGGAUGAAGCACAUAGGGGUUCAGUAUCACUUCGUUCGAGAAGUAAUGGAAAACGGAAGUGUGGAGAUUGAUUCCAUACCAAGGAGAACCUAGCAGAUGUUUUGACUGAGCCAAUAAAUACUGACAAGUUUAUCUGGAGUAGAUCCUCUUGUGGCCUAGCAGAAACAUAGGCAACAUGACAAUGGCGAAGCAGAAAGGAUGGUGUGGAGAUUGAUUGUUUUUCAAUUUAAUCUCCAAGUGGGAGAACGUCAAAAUUGGCUGCAUCUAGAAGCUUUGAAUAAACAAGAAUGGUUGGCACUUGGCUUUGAAAUUAUAGAUGCCGUAAUGUUUGGUAAAAGAAAAGAAAAAUUCAAAGUUUGAAAUUUUUAAGAUGUAUGGCUUGAAGUUUAUGGCCACUUGUUUGACAUUUGAGGCAAAGUUUUGCCUAUAAAUACUUGUAACUCCUUUUCACUAGUAAAAUAUUUCGUUCUGUUUUCGCCCGUGGACGUAGGCUAAAAGCCGAACCACGUAAUUUUUUUGGUGUCCUCUUUUGUGCUUGUUCUUUAUUUUCUUCCAAUUUUACUUUAGCUGCGUGUCUGCUCCACCCACCAAUUUCCUAACAACUUCUUCAGUGUUGUAAAAACAGAUGCCUGCUUUAAGCACCAGCCCGAUUUUAUACAUACAUAGAUAUAUAUGUUGAAGUUUCGUAGCUUACCCGUAAGGCCGUUGGAGGGCAGUUCAAGAGUUUGGAGCAUUGAAAGGGCAGUAAUUUCGGAUGGAAUGCUUCCAGAGAUAGAAUAAUUUGAAUGAAUUUUGAAACUUCUGAGGUUCGGAAAGCAAAAGAAUUUGAAACGACCGAGCUCUCCCCUGAUGUUAUCAUUUUCAUACCAGAGUAAGCUGACCCCGAUUACGCUUCCCGCUGAAUUGCAACUGACGCCAGUCCACUUACAAUGAUUGGACGUGUAGUUGCCAGACGUCGCCCAAUUGUUGUACCACCAGCCUGUAAAAAGUAAAGCUUCCCUUUCUAACAGUAUGGGUGACGACAAUAAUCCAGCAGCAGCUGAUGCUAUUACAACUAUUGUCGUAUCACUCAUGGCACCAACAUUAAUUAAAAUUAUAAUGACCACCAAUCUAGAAACAGAGGAUGCUGAUGCCAUGUUUACAAUGGUUUUCGGUUGAUUGGGGUAUUUGAUUCUCAGCAAAGCGUUUAUAUAAGAAUUAAUUGUUUUGCAACCUCCCAGUGUUAAUUUCCAAUACGCGUUUUCAAAUAGUGUGAGUCAAGGUCUUCUCUAGAUGGAUUCAAUCAUGGAGAUAUAACCUUAUUGGCUUGCAUUUGUGUGGUGUAGAUCUAUUUGAACACCAAUUGCAGAAACAUGAGACAACGUGGAAAAUAUUAGAAAUAAUUAAUAGCAUUAUUAGUAGUAUAAGAUAUUAAGUAUUACCCAAAAAUAACACUACAAGAAAAAGUGCCUACCAUGACAGGCAAAAUCUGUCAUAGUAGGGGGUGGAUGACGGUUGUUCAUACCGUCAUUGUAGCCACCGUCAAGAAUUGAUGACAGAAUAAUACCAGUCAUAAUCUGUGAUAAAUAUUUUUAGUCACAUAACUGUCAUAACUUUAUUUAGAGAGGAAUAUAAUAAAUUUGAAUUUGGCCCCUUUUUUUUUAAAUUUGUGCGCCAUAUUUUGAAUUUUUGGCAGGAAAAUCAAAUUUGGCGCGAAAUGCAAAUUAUAAUUAAAUGAAUUUUUUCAAUUAAAUCAAAAAUUGAAAUUAUAAUUAAUAAAAAAGGGGUAUUUUUUUUGCACCAUGAAAUUAUUAUCAUUUUAAUAACAAUCCUGCAAUUGAUUUAGUAGAAAUUAAUAUUUCAUAAAUUAGCUAAUUAAUUAGAUUAUUAAAAUUAAUAUUGCAAUUAAAAAUUAACUGACAAAGAAAAUGAAAUGGAUAACAUUGACUAAGAUUUCAUAAUUGUGAGCAAACAUAAUUUAAUCAAAUUUGAGAGUGACAAAUCCAACAUAAAUAGAAGAAGAGUAUUGUAACAACCUAAGAACUAAAUUCCAGCAGCAUGUACAACACAAAUUAACAAUGAUCAGUUCAAUUCCAGUAGCAUAAGGAAGCCAAACAACAGAGUCAUUUCUACCAACAUGAACAAAGGCAACAACAUAGUUCAUUUCCAGCAACAUUUCCAGCAACACUUCCAGCAACAUAAGAGGAGCCAAAAAUACUGAUCAGACAAGGCCAGCAGUUCCCAAACGUGAAAAUCCAACCUAAGAACAACCGAAAUGUGUAAAAUUGCAUCAAUAUCCAGGAGCUAUUUUCCAAACAAAGAAAAAAACUAGCGAACUCCAGCAGUACCCACCAUCUUCAUCAUAAUCCAACAUAGAAGUAUAAUAAGCUAGAUAACUGCCCAAGUAAAAUAUAUUUCAUCAAUGAACUCACAAUAACAACAUAAUAAGUAAGGGUUACCUCACAUAACAGCAAGUACUCCAGAAAAAUGGUUUGCCCACUCAAUACGGACUUCGUCUAAUUCAGCAUCAGAAUAUGUUGUCUUUCCGUUGAACUAUUUAUGAAAAAUAAAUAUUUAGUGAAACUUUGAAACGGGACAUGUUCUUUUUUAUGAAGCAAAUUAUGAUCAAGGAACUCGCAUUGUUCAUUAGUAAAGAGAAGUCAUUAAUUAAGUCUUUCAUGAAUCUCAUGACGUAAAAUCCACACACGACUGAACUUGCUGGUUGCUGUGGGACCUGUUCACAAUCAGCAAUUGUACAGUUCAUUUUAAUAACAAUUAAGCAUGGUAAUAUAUAAUUAUAGUUAAGGUAAUAGUUCAAACCUUUACGGAUCUGACCAUCUUAUUAUAAUUCCAUUUCUCCUUACCCUCUUGUGCUAUAAACAUUGUCAUAGAGCUGUAUACAAAAAAAAAAUUGUAACAAAGUAUCUGUAAAUUAUGUAAAAGUAAUUUUAUAUUGACAAUGGUAAUAAAAAAAAUUGAACAUACACUUUAAUGAGCUCUUUUAAAUCAUCAUCAGGAUCUCCCCCAUAAGAAUCGAGAUAAUAAACUUCUUUUUUCAACACAUCAAAGACGACCAGCACCCAAUGAUAACUAUAAUAAAAGAAAGAACAGUAAGGUAGCAAUUUCAGUAAAUUAAGGCAAGAAAAGAAAUUAAUAUGAGUUGAAAAGUAUUAAAGGAGCAUACUAGGGAUUAUAAGGCAUAAAGUAGAGAUGGCAAAAGUGCGGGUCGGGUCCGGGUUUGGGGCUGCCCGGGACCGACCCGCAUGUCACACAUAGCUACCCGGAUCCGGACCGUGCCCGGAUUUUUUCUAUGCGGGCCGGGCAUAUGCCCGGCACUAUCCGGGCACGGGUUUUUUCCGGGUUUUCUCUACCCGCAUUUCCAAAGCUGCUUGUUAAUUGCCCAGUUCUCAACCAUUGUUUUCAAUUACAAGAACUCGUUGAUUAAAAAGAACUGCGAGAAAGAUUUAAUUUCCAUUUAUGCAAUGAUUAGAAGAUGCAACAUCCACAAAUCUAGUGAACAACGUAGAUCAAGAGAGGCCUGAUGUGGACUUAAUUUUUUUUUUCUUUUAAACUGCAAAAGAAUGAAUAAAACCCAAAUUCAACUUUUAACCCCCACCACUUCAGAAUUCAAAAGGUUACCUUAAAAUUGAUAUAAAAUUAUAACCAACAAAGCGACAAUUUACAAGAAGCCGACGCGAAAAAUGCAAAAUUCUAAUAAAAUUAUAUUUAACUUAAACCGAAGAAUAAAUAGUCAAAACAAAACCAAUUUAAGUUUUUUUUUCAAAAAAAAAAUUAUGAUACAAUAUUCUUUGCAUCUCUGCAACAACACUGCUGUAGUUCUGCACACUAAACAUAAUGGAUGCAACAACACUGUUGUAGUUCUGCACUGGAAGUCUGGAAAUAAAAAUGCAGCCAUGCUUCAAAACUGCAACGUUGCUUUGCAAUAAAUGAAAAGAGUUGACCGAGGAAGGUAAGAGGUUCGUGGAGGGAGAGGGGCGGUCAACACUGCAUCGGUGCCGGUGGGUGGUGGCUGCUGGUGGAGAGACGAAAAGAGGUGUUGCGUUUGCGAGAUUUCAGUGUGUGUUGCAUUUGCGAUUUAGGGUUCGGUUUGGGAGCAAUUGGGCAAAGCAAAAUGUAUUUUUGCUUUUAUAUUUUCCUCUCUUUUUUUUACUUAAUAAAAAACCGGGCACGGGUCCGGGUUCCGGGUUCUUAAUGCUGUGACCGGACCCGUGCCCGGAAGUAGCCGGGCAUUGAAAAUCAAUGCCCGGAUCCGCUUUUUCCAUGCAUCCGGUCUGGGUAAAACCCGGACCGCAUACGCCGGGUCCGGGCCGGAUCCGGUCCGGGCGGGUUUUUCUGCCAUCUCUAGCAUAAAGAUGAAUUGUCCCUUCUUUGCUUUUUUCAAUCGAUCAUAAACUCCACGUGCCCUAAGGUCAAAUGAUGCAGUAGGAUUACGUUCUUCGCCUAGUGAAACCAGACCUGGACGAAUGAAUCCAAAUGGUUUCACUCCUCUUUUCCCAGGGAGAAUGGAAGCAUACAACAUCCUGAUAAACAAUAGACAAACAAUGUUAAAGUCCAUUAAUUGGGACUCCCAUAUAAAGUACACAUAAAACUAGAAUGAUUAUGAAUCACUUACGCAAUAUAGACUUCGAUUACGUUUACUCCUAUAGCAUCCAUUGACAGAACUGCACUACAGUCACGCCUUCCAAUAUGAGCUCUAAUCCCUUCCAAAUGGAAAACACCAUCAUCCAGUAGUUAUGGAAUCCAUUCUUGGUCUGACAUCUUAGCUUCACACAUUGUGCCAAACAACUGCAGCAACGGAAUCUUGUUUCGUUGUACUCCUCCUGCAUGCCUUGUGUUCCUCCUUGUUGGCAAAGGCUUCACUGUAACUUUUUUGCCCUCGUCCUUGGUCUGUUUUACAGCAUCUGUAUGUCCUAUCUCUAUUAUAUCAUUAUGCUGUUCUGCUGAUUCAAAGUUCAAAUGUUUUUUUGUGCCUUGAUGUUUAGGAUUGCUAUUUUUUUUCCCUGUAACAAAUCAUCAGGCAUCUCCACUGGGAUUUCAGUUGGGUUCAAUCUUGGACUCUUUCUUGCAAUGACAGAGAAUUUUUUGGCAGGUGUAUUCUUGUUUUUGUUUGCUAUGUCUGUCUCUUUCUUAGGUGUCCCUUGCUUCUUUUUUUUCAAAUGAUCAGGCUGUUACAAACAUAAUUGUUCAGUAUGAUUGGCAUAAAUAGUUUCUAAAUACUCUAAAUUUCUCUUACAAAGUAGUUAACAGUAUCAAAUGACACCCCAGAAAGAACAUAUGUAUAAAUAGUAAACAUACAGCAAACUAAAUCCACAAAUAACAUGUAAGAACAGUAACUACAACAACUCUUAUCCAGCAAAAGACUAAAUCUAGAAAUAAUAAGAAAAAUAGUAAACAAACUGACCUUUGUUGUUUCAGCAACUGCUUCAGCUUGAACAGACUCUAUGCCAUCAUCUCCAACAACAUUAUUGUUUUCACCAGGCACGCGAGGGUAGCUGGAACUUGCUAUAUCUGAAUGACGAGGUGUUUUUCUUAGUUCAUUUCUCAUUUCUUCCAACUGCCGAUUAAUUGAUUCCCUCCAUAGACGGUUCUCUCUUUGCCUGUCUCUAUCAGCAGGCCUCUGGUAAGUUUGAAAAUACAGAGACGGGGUCACAAACUUGCCCACUCCUUGCAUAUGACCACAUUUUGGAGCUUUUCCUAAAGAUUGUGCGAGAAUAUCAUUUUUUCCGGAUGACCGCAUCUUUCCUUUCUUAGCUUCCAUCUCCAAUUUAUCCUACCACACAAAUGAAUUAAGUAAGCCAAUGUUAUCAAAGUAUAAGUAAUCACAAAUAGAAUUACAGUAGUAAGCAAAAACUUUCUUACGAUUUUUUUAAUAACUGGUUCAACAUCGGGGUGGUAUCCUCCGUUUUUCAUUUGCCGAGCUCUCUUCCAAAGAACACUCCUGUCCACUUCUUCUUCAGUAAGGCCUGUUUCUGAGCACUGUAAAAAAGUUAAUAAAAAGUUAAAAUGUUAGUAACAAUCAUUAUUUGCAUUAACCAAACAACAGUAAAAUGUUAGCAACUAACUCACAGUACAUACCACUUCCUGCAUUAACCCAACGUAACCUUUUCUACUUAGGCGAUGAUUAAACUUGUUUUGUGCCCGCCUAAGUUUAUUCACACCACUAACUUUCUGCUUAAAACAACCAAACAAACAAUGGAUAAACCCAUAAGGAAAAAUGUCAUAAGCAUUGAUAUAUUAUUAACACUUGAAUUAGACACUCACUUGAAAUUUUUCAGAUAGUCUUUCCUUUACAAACUUAAUCCAACUUUCCUUAGCAAUCGUGCUGUACCGUGCUGGUGGCUUGAAAAGCCUUUUACGGUCAUUAACAAAUGGUAAAACAUAGUUCCUCAUUAGAGUGUACUUAAAGUUCCGAAAUGCAGCUCCGAUGGCUUGUAGUACUUGCUUCCUACUUCGAGGAUGAACCACGAAGUACACCUUCAAGUUUCAUUAUGAAAAUGUGAGAUUUUUCCAGCCACAAUAAAACUAGAGUAAUCGUCUAAAGGAAAUUAUUUUAUACCUUAACAGACUCCCAUAGACGCUCCUUCGUAUCAUCUGGAACUCUACGCCAAUCGUUGUAGAGGAUUGGAAUUGAUGUACGAGCCAAAACACCAAUAUACGUAGCCAGCUCAAUGGCUUCUUCACCAACUGGAACACCAAGGCUGUUGUAUUUAACCACAAACCUUCCACUUCUUUUCCUCUUUUUAUUUUGUUCUGACCCAACAGUGCCACCUCUGCUUCGCUUACUGCUGCUCUCAGGUUCAUCCUCGUUCCCAUCUCCAAACUCAUCAAGAUCAGGGACAUGAUCGGCCAGGGGCGUUUCAGGAUCAUAUCCUUCACGGAUAAGUGCCUCAUGGUACUCUGAUUCCUCACCAACAAAUCCAUCAUUUUGUUCAUCUAAAAACUCAUCGAAAUGGGCAUCAGAUUGCUCAGGUGAAGAACUCUCAGGGACAUUUUUUCCCUUAUCCAUGAUGAAUAUCACAACUGCAGAACAAAAUCAAAUGAUGAGAAUACACUACCAUAUAAAAACUGCCAAAAAAUAUAAAAUAAAAUAAUAAUAGAUACCAUAAAUACUUCUUGUAUUAACCUUAACAUAUAUCAUUUUGAGAAGGACUCAACAAACAGCUCAUGCAAACAAACACAGAAACGAUAUUCAAGGUCCAAUCCAAAUUCCCUCUUUGUUGUCUCGUGCGUACAUUUCAGAAUCAUCGUCAAUAGAGUUUAUGUUAUCAGCACUUGGAAAUUCAGUAGUCAACGAAGGGUAUUCCACUGCAUCUUCGCUUCUUUGUGUGGGUUUACCUCUUCUAGGCAUUUGGCAUACAACUGACCACUUCUUAUCAAACUGAUCAGGUACAUAAAAAACUUGGUUGGCUUGAGAAACUAAAAUAAAUGGAUCAUAUUUAUGACCCAUUCGUUGCAAGUCUACCAAAGUAAAUCCGAGUCUAUCCUUCAUAACACCACCUCUGGUAUGUACCCAGUCACACUUCAUUAUUGGAAUUCUAAAGAUAACAUAAUCUAGAUCCCAAAUCUCUCUAAUCACUCCAUAGUAUGUGAUGUUAGAAGUGACAGGAUUUUUAUCUUUUGAACUUGCGACUGAAAUUGUUUGUGCAACCAAUGACACUCCACUAUUUUGAGUAACUCUAUUUAAGUCUCGAUCUCUUGUAACAAAGUGAAAACCAUUUAUGUCAUAUCCAGGAUGUUGGAAAACAUAAGGACGAGGCCCUUGGGAUAACCAACGGAUUGUUUGAGUAACAACGUCACUGUUCUCUAUCAACAUAUUUACCUAUUAUUAAUCAAUAGGAAUAUAAUGUUAAACAAGCACAAACCGAAACAGAAAGGAAAAAAGGAAUUAAUUAAACUAAUGUUAUCAAAACCUUAUCUGUUAGCUAAUCUGCAAAUGUUCGGUUGUGUUCAUCUUGCAACCACUUCUCAUUUUUUCGUGGAUGGCAAAGUUGUAACCAAUCCUCAUGCUCUCUAAAAAUCAGUUAAAAGGACAAAAUUUUCAGGUUCCUAAACUACCAAAACCUGACAAAUAUAAAGCUAAAAUAACACAAGUUAGAUAACAUCACGUUAUAUAAGGCUGAACUUCCUCAAUGUUAUGCAAAACAUACAAGUGUGCUUGAUCUAAUGAAGUUCGAUCAACUUCCACCAUUUGUCCACCACUCAUGGGCUUGUCAAUUUCUAAAUUCUGCACAUGUCCAGGUGGAACCCCAAUUGUGGGCAUGUUUUCCAAGUAUUCUGCACAAAAUUCUAAUGCUUCCUCGGCAAUAUAACUCUCCGCUAUGCAACCCUCAGGACAGUUACGGUUUCGAACAUAGCCUUUUAGAGUUUUCAUGUAUCGCUCAAAAGGAUACAUCCACCGAAAAUAUACGGGACCACAUUGUCUAACUUCACUCACUAAGUGAAUAGUAAGAUGAACCAUUAUGUCAAAAAAAGAAGGGGGAAAACAUUUUUCAAGCAAGCACAAAGUCUCUACGAUGUUUUUCUCCAAUUCAUCUAGCAUUGUCACGUCAAUCACAGUCCCACACAACGAAUUAAAGAAGAAACAAAACCUAAUGAUAGCUUCUUUGACAUGUUUGGGCAGCACACACCUUACGGCAAUUGACAAAAGUUGUUGCAUAAGAACAUGACAGUCAUGAGACUUAAGACCCUGGAGUUUAAAGUCCUUUUUUGAAACAAGAUUCCUAAUAUUUGAAGAGUAUCCAGUAGGAACCUUGAUACUUUUCAAAGCUGCACAGAAUCUUGCUUUUUCCUCCUUAGUUAAGGUGUGGCAAGCAGGAGGAAGCCAUGUACGAUUGUUGUUUCCUUUAACUUGUGGUGCUAAGGUGGGCCUAAUUUUCAUUUCCAAGAGAUCCAUCCUCGACUUCAGUCCAUCUUUGGACUUUCCAGGAAUAUGUAGCAGUGUACCGUAGAUGUUCUCACACACAUUCUUUUCAAUGUGCAUAACAUCUAAUUGAUGCCGCACAAGCAAGUGCUUCCAAUACUCUAAAUUAUAAAAUAUAGAUUUCUUCUUCCACCACGCGAGAUCAUUAUUGUUCGCACUUUUACGCUUUUUAUGUUGCUUUUCCCCCAUCUAUUAUCAAUAGAGUCGACCAACUGGAAAAUUUCCUCCCCGUUUAACAAUUUUGGAGGGGUUUCAUCACACACACUAUUGUCAAAGGCUUUUGCUUGGAACCGAAAUUUAUGACCAUGAGGAAGCCAAAGCCGAUGCCCAAUGUAUACAUUUUUUCCACUGUGUUUAAGUCUACAUUUUGGUGUUUCUACACCACAAUAUGGGCAGGCAUAAUAUCCUUUAACAGUACAUCCUGCUAAAUUUCCGUAUGCCGGGAAGUCAUUUAUUGUCCAUAGUAAUACAGCCCGCAAAUUAAAGUACUCAUUUUUGUAGGCAUCAUAUGCCUCCACCCCAACAUCCCAUAAAGUUUGCAAAUCCUCAAUAAGAGGUUGCAAAUACACAUCAAUAUCUAAACCCGGUUGUUGAGGACCAUAAAUCAAGAGGGACAACAUCAUGAAUUUUCGUUUCAUGCACAACCAUGGUGGAAGAUUAUAAGUAAUAAGAAUUAUUGGCCAGCAGCUAUAUGUACUACUAAGAGAGCUAUGUGGAUUGAUUCCAUCAGCUGAUAGAGCUAGGCGAAGGUUUCUAGGAUCGGAUGCAAAGAUUGGCCAUUUCUCAUCUACUAACUUCCAAGAUGGUGAGUCAGCCGGAUGUCGGAGUUUACCAUCAACCAUCCUCUCAUUUGCAUGCCAAGUCAAGUCCCUAGCAGUUUCGGAUGACUGAAACACGCGCUUAAACCUAGGUAUAGGAGGAAAAUACCAUAAAGUUUUUGCAGGAACCCCUUUCCUAUAUUGGUCUACAGUACCAUCCUUUUUCUUCCAUCUACAUAACCCACAAGUAGGACAUUCCAAAAGACCUUCAUACUCUUUUCUGUAGAGUAUGCAAUCGUUUGGGCAAGCAUGAAUUUUAACAUAUUCUAAGCCCAAAGCUGACAUUGUCUUUUUGGCCUCAUACAUAGAGGUUGGAAUUUCAUUAUUUUUAGGGAAAGCAUCUGCUAAAACACUCAACAAUGCAGAAACGCCACUGUCAGACCACCCAAAUCUACCCUUCACAUUGAACAAUUUCACUAAAAAGGAUAACUUAGUAAAUUUUGUGCAUCCUAGGUACAAGGGUUUCUCAGCCUGUUCUAGCAACUCUUUGAAUGCCUUAGGGUCCCCACAACAACCCUUAUAAGCAUCAUUAACCAUUUCUAACUCAUUACCAUUGUCAAACUCUAUAUUUUGUUGCUGAAAAUGGUUUUCUCUUUGAGGAGAAGAACUCUUACGAAUCUCUUCCCCGUGCCAAAACCAAUUGUCGUAUUUCACAUCAAAACCAUGCAUAUAUAAAUGAUCUUUUACAGUUGUAGGUGUUUCAAAUGAUAAAUUCCCACAAUCAACGCAUGGACACCUAAUGACGCUACUCCCUGCAGCAUUUUUUAUAGCAAAAUUUAUAAAUUUCUGGACACCCUCUUCAUAUUCUGUCGACAGUCGAUUACAUUGAAUCCAAGAUUUAUCCAUUUCGGGCUUAAUAAUUAAUGUUCCUGACAUAUACAUAAAACAAAGAAAGAAUGUACAUACUUAGAAUAUUUGUCUAAUGUUAUAACACCAUGUGAACUAAACAAAUUUUAAAAUUACAAAUAUAGCAAACAAGAAAGCUGAUAAACUGAAUUUCAUACUUUUCAAAAGUUCACUCUCCUACUAUACUAUAAAUAUAAUAAAUAAGACAGACCCCACAACAACACAUUACAUAGUAUCAUAAUUAUAAAUUUAAAGAUAUGUAAAUUUUAAGCAAGUGUAUAACAACUUCAAUCUACGUCAAAUAAUAGAGGAUAAGAAAUGGAACUUACCAAAUUAAACACAAACAAUCUGCUGUUAUAUCCAAUUCCAGGUACAAAUCCAGCAACAAUAUUGAUUACUGAAAUAUAUUUUGAAUGAUCAGUUGAUAAAAUUCCAAAACUUGGAUUCAAGAGGGCUAAAAAGUUACCAAUAAAUUACAUUAAUCAUAUGAGUAAGCCUAAGAAGAAAUAAUAAACUACAACUUCAAAUAAUAUACAUCAGUAGAACAAAAAUGAAAGCAAACACAAAGAAAAGCUUCAAGUACCUUAAUACAAUGCCUUCAACAAAUCAAGAACAUCGAACUGUCACGUUUAUGCAGCAAUCACAACUAUUUAUAUUUGACACGCAAAUGUUACGACUCAAGACAACAACAGUAACAAUAAUACCACCAGAUGCAAAAUAGCUACAACACCACAUGCAUAGGUAGAUGACAAUGAGAUGUGAGAAUCCCUCAAUUUUACAUAACAGAAUCAGUUACUAAAAGUCCCUCCUCAGGCUUUGUUAUAGACAUUUCAGGCCAAUAUCACCAUCUUCAUACACAAACACUCAUUUAACUUAACGAAGCUUCAAUAUCAGAAAUAGCUAGAAAAAAAAUUCACACACAAACACAUGAAUAUAAUUCAGAAUUACCUAGAAUAAAAAAAAAUUAACAGCAUUAUGCAAUGCACGAUUACAACUCAAAACAGAACUCAAAAUUAACAACAUUAUAUCUUCCUGGGAAAUUAUUUAGUAAAUUGAUUACCGAAAUAUAUGCAAUAUAUGCAAUACAUGCAAAUACAUUUCAAUUUUUUACAAAUUAUUUACUACUUUACAUAAAAGUUCAAUAAAUAGUCAAAAUUAAAUACAUGCAAAUGCAGCAAUGACUCACCAGUGGGCGUGAAGCUUCAAUUCACCGUCAAGCCUAGGGUUUCAACUUCGGCAACAACGAUUUGGGUCUUCUUUCACGGUAAGCAAUUGGGUUUCUUUCAGUCAAUAAAAGUACCCUGGAUGUUGUUCUCAUUCCAAUUUGGGUUUCGAUUAGCACUGACUUCGUCCCAGCAAAGAGAGAUGAUUUAGUGAAACAACCAGAAUGAUUUUGAAACUAUGGGUGUUUGGGUGUCGUUAGUUUGCUAUGGCUGGCUUUUGAGGGUUUGCUCCAAGUGUGCUAAUCGAUUUUGAGAUUCCACAAUAACGCUUGCAAAUUUUCUGAACACUUAGAAAAAAAUUUCCCUCUUUUCUCACAAAAAUGUUUCCCCCCUUAACAAAACGCAACGUUUUAUUAAUUGUUUUUUGUUAUUUACGUCUGUUAUCCUCAAACUUGCGAAACAUACAACUGAGACGACAUCGUUUCACUUCUAUUUUAGUAAUAUAAUAUUUUUAAAAAUUAAGUCAAACCCGCGCAAUUAAAGUCAACAUAAAAAAUCAGUCUUUCAUUCUUGAUUGUCAAAUAAUUUAUCACUAGUCUAUCAUAAUUUCUUGAUAUAUGAUAUUUAUAUCACCAAUAUAUCAUAAUUUCUUGAUAAACGAUAUUUCUAUCACAAAUAUGUCAUAAGUGUAUGACAGAAAAUAAAUCUAUCACGAUUCUAUUGUUGUAGGCCUCCAGACCAAAAACUGUCACACAGAGGACUGUCAUAGUAGAUACUUUUUCUUGUAGUGUAAGUAAAGGAAAAAAGUUCAAAGAAAAGAAUUGUUGUGAAUUAUGGCUCAAAUAGGAAAAUAAACAAGACUAACUAACAUUUUUUUUUUUUAACCCUAAACAUCAUAAAUGAAAGAAGAUGAAAUUUUCAUUACCGCUCAAUUUUUCUGCACGCAACCAAAUAAGAAAAACAAAAAAGUGUUAUAAAAAUAAUGCGCUAGUAGCUAUUUGAGGCAUUAUUUUGAAUGAGACCUAUUUGGCAUAAGCGAAAAGUCAGAAAAUGUUUCGCAUAUUCCUCUAUGAGUACUUCGGAAUGGUUAUCUAUAUGAGUCAUUGCUUCGUUCGCGUCGCAUAAUUGCCAUCCAAAGAAAAAAUAUUUUUGUCAUUAAUUUUAGGUUUUUUUUAAACUUUAAUUUAACUUUAAUAAUGCCAUAUUAUUUAAUAUUAUAAUUGCCGUUCGAACCUUGCAAAACAUGAAGACUAAUAUAUAUAUUAAUAUAUGCCAUAUUAUUUAAUAUUUAAUUUUUAAGGCAACUUUUUUAGUUGAGGGCAGGGAACCCCUACGUUACGUAAUUCCGUAACAAGCUCAUCUAAUCACCUUGACUAUAAGACUUCUCCUAGUCAGCAAUUAUUUGGAAAUAACGUCUUGACAUAUGCUGUGGAAAUUAAAGAAUGAAGUAGACUUACCAAGUCAAGGUGUUUUUCUAGUCUACAUAUUUUAAUUUAUACGUUUAGAAAAUUAGAAAUAUUCAAUGUCUAAUCUGAUUUUACACAAAGACUAAUGGCCCAAGAUUGUGAUUGAAAUGCUAUAAGCAGUUUAUUCAUAAGUUUAGAUAAAAAUGAGGUUUGAUGGAGAAGAAUAGGAAGAGGUUCGCCUGAAGCAAUAUACUCGUAAGCUUGUCUACUAAUAAACGGAGCAUAUAAGCAUAAACACCUAACUUUUGAGGUAUGUGUGUGUGUAUAUAUAUAUGGAUCUUAAAGAUUGGGAAACGUUCAGAAAAACUUUAAAACCACGAGGUGUUAAAGAUUUAAAAGUUAAAGCGCUUAAACUGCACGGUUUAUGCGUUUUCCUAGAUGUCCUGUAUUUUAAAAUUUCGAAUUAGAACAUUUCUAUAUGUGUGUGUGUGUGUGUGUGGAGGGCAAAUCUUUGACUCUCUCCGGCUUCAAGGACCUAUACGGUAACUCUUAAAUCAAAGGGAGAAAAUGGUUAAUCCAAUCUGAUUGUAUAUGAAUUGAUAUUGACCAUACGAUUAUUCCAUAUGAUUAAGUAAUAAUGCACACAUGUUCUACACAUUCAGACAAGUCAGAGUAAGAAUUAUGAAAAUGACAACCAAAUCCAAACUAGCUAGGUGAACUAUUGUUAUUUAUCUUUGGUCCAUCAUUAUUAGAAAGAUGAGGAGAAGAAGAAAAAGAAAAAACUAAUUUUGUAGUCACAAAUUAAUCUUAUGCUCUGAUUUUGAAGCAAAUCUGCAAAAUAUUUGAGGAUCCAAUCAUGAACCACGUCCACUUCAAUCUUUCGCUGCACUACUACCCAUUUUGGGUCGUCUUCUGUUUCUGGCUGUAUGUCUAAGCAAUAGGAACCUGCUCCAAUUUACAGACUAUUAAUUAUGUUAUCGAAUAAUUUAGUUAAUAAUUGAACACUAAUUUUUUAUUUUAUUGAAAAAUUUACAUACCGUUUCUUGUUGUCACUACUAUUUAUACUAUUUGAUAUAUUUUUUCCAAACCCCUAAAAUCCCCCCCCCCCCCCCAAAAAAAAAAGAAGAAAAAAAAAGAUAUAUAAUUAAACAGGUAACUUUGAUAGAAAAGAAUGUACAAAAUUUUUAAGCUUAAUUACCCCUCGCUGCCAUAGGGAUAACGAAGGCCAUUUGAGAAAAUAAUGUUGCUACCAAAUCUCUUUAAAACCACUCUUAUAUCCUGCAAAUUAAAAAGAAAUAGAAAUCAAACAAAAUUGAGGUAAGCUUUAUAAUUAAAAAAAAAAGAGAAAAAUUAAAUUAUUAAAAGAAUUUGUUUAGGGAUUCAUCAAUACUUACAUGACUGUCGUAAUAAGUUGUAAUCUAAUAUUGUCUCGGAACCACUCCAUAAGACUUAAUGCAUUAAUCCAUAUAUUCUGUCAGAUUAAAUGGGUUGCUUGAAACAUUGUGUCUUUUUUUGCCAAUUCCAAUUGAUGAGACCAUUUCACUGCAUGUCUGGAUGAGAACUCCACCCCCUCUAAAAAAUAAUAAUAAUAAUUAAAUAAAUAAAUAAGAUAAAGAAGAAAACUAUUUUUAAUCAUUCAUAAAUAUGUAGUCUCAUAAAUAAAAUUUAGAGAUGUACAUAAAAUAGGUAUUGUUAGACGAAAGACUCAUUUGUUGCGACAUGUUGUUUAUUUGACAAUCUCAAUAGAACUAUCCAAUUGGCUUAUUGGCUUAUAUUUGUGUGGUGUAGAUCUAUUUUAUCAACAUUGCAGAAACAUGAGAUAAUAUGGAAAAUAUUAGAAAAAAUUAGUAGCAUUAUUAAGAUAUUAAAUAUCACCCAAAAUAAUAAAAUGAAAAAAAAAAGCUCAAAGAAUUGUUGUUGUAAAUUAUGACUCCAAUAGGAAAAUAAACAAGACUAAUCAUAUCUUUGUGUAAAUUUAAUUUUUAUAAAAAAACGUGUAGGUGUAAUAUUAUGAAUAAACUGAUAGAGAAAAGAAUGUGCAGACUCCUGUGAUUUGACAAAAUAAUCAAAAUAUUCUCUUUAUUUUUUAAAAUAGUUACAAAGCUCCUUUUGUAACAUACAAAUUACGGAAAUUCAUGGGCUACCUAACAUCCAUUUUAUUUUAUUUUAUUUUAACACCUAAACAUCAUAGACGAAAGAAGAUAAAAAAUUUCAUUGCACUCAAUUUUUUUGCAUGCAAUCAAUAGGGAAAAGAAGCAGAAAGUGUUGGAAAUAUAGCACAAGUGGCUCUUUGAGGCGUGAUUUUGAGUGAGACCUAUCUAAUGUAAGUGAAAGGUUAAAAUUGUUUCAAUUAUUCCUCAGUGAAAAUUGGGAUUACGGUUGAAAUACUAUAAGUAGCUUAUUUUAUAAGUUUUGAUAAAAAUAAUUUGGUAAAUUUGUUAAAAGUUAAUUUAUAUUUUUUCUAUUUCGACAAUAGCUUUUAAAACAAGUAUGGGAUUUUUUUCUAUAAGCAACUUAUUAAAUAAAUGCUAUAUUUUUUAAAGUUUCUAUUAUAACUUUAAUAUUUUAAGAAAAGAAUAAUUAUAUCUAUUUUUUUAAAUCUUAAUAUAUAAAUAAAGACAAUUUAAACUUAUAUCUAUUUUAGUGAUUAGAUAAUAAAAUAAUUCUUUCAUACUCAAAUUUACCAAACACCGAGCAAGCUACUUUUAUAAUCAUCAAUUUAUUUUAUUCGCACACAUAAGUAGUUUAUUUCAUCAGCCAUUAGAAUUUCAAACCGAUCCCAAGUCAUGUUUGGAAUUGCAUUGGAUUGUCAACUAAUUAAACAGAAGUAGCUAUUAUAUGGGAGAAUAAGAACAGGUUCACCUGGAGCAAUACACCCAUAAGCUUGGCUACUAAUAAACGGAGCAUAUAAGGAUAAACACCUAAGUUUUGAGAGAUACAUGUAUAUGGAGGGCAAAUUCUUCGUCUCUCCCCGGCUUCAAGGAAAUGGUUAAAUCAAUAUGAUUGUAUAUGAAUUGAUAUUCACCAUAUGAUUAUUACAUAAAGAUUGAACCCUUUUUAUGUGUUUUACAAUAAGUAAGCACACUUGUUCUACACAUUCAGACAACCCAGAUUAAGAAUUAUGAAAAUGACCAAAUCUAAAACAAGCUAGGCGCACUAUUAUUUAUCUUUGCUCCAUAAAUAUUAGAAAGAUAGAGGAGAGGAAAAAAAAGAAAAGACUAAUUUUGUAGUCACAAUAUAAUCUUGUGUUCUGAUUUUGAAGCAAAUCAGCAGAGUAUUUGAGGAUCCAAUCAUGAACCGUGUCCGCUUCAAUAUUUCGCUACAUUACUAACCACUCGGGAUCAUCUUCUGUUGCUGGCUGUAUGUCUAAGCAAUAGGAACCUGCUCCAAUUUACACACUAUUAAUUAUGUUAUCCAAUAAUUUAGUUAAUAAUUGAACAUUAAUUUUUUAUUUUAUAGAAAAAUUUACAUAACGUUUCUUGUUGUCACUGCUAUUAUAUUGUCUGAUAUAUCUUUUAGAACCCUAUAAUCUCAAAAAAGAAAAGAAAAAGAUAUAUAAUUAAAUUGGUAACUUCGAUAGAAAAGAAUGUACAAAAUUCUUAAACUUAAUUACCCAGCGCUACUAUAGGGAUUACGAAGGCCAUUAGAGAAAAUAAUGUUGCUACCAAAUCUAUUUAAAACCAUUCUUAUGUCCUGCAAAUAUAAAAUAAAUAGAAAUAAAAAAAAUUGAGGUAAACUUUAUAAUUAAAAAAGAAAAUGAGAAAAAUUAAAUUAUUAAAAGAAUCAAUUUGGGGAUUAAUCGACACUUACAUGACCACUACAAUAAGUUGUAAUCCAAUGUGGUCUUGGAACCACUCCAUAAGACUUGUUGCAUGAAUCCAUAGAUUCUGUUGGAUUAAAUGGGUUUGCUUGAAACGUUGUGUCAUUUUUGCCAAUUUUAAUUGGUGAGACCAUUUCACUACAUGUCUACAUGAGAAACCCCCAAUAAUGAUGGCGAUGAUGAUGAUAAAAAAAAACAAAAGAGAUAAAGAAGAAAACUAUUUUUAAUCAUUCAUAAAUAUGUAGUCUCAUAAAUAAAAUUAAGAGAUGUACAUAAAAUAGGUAUUUUUAGGCGAGAGACUCAUUCGUUGCGGCAUGUUUUUUAUUUGACGGUCUCAAUAGUACUACCCAAUGAAAUCAUGUCACCUGUAAUUGCAUACCUGCCAGCCCCAGCUGGAGUCCAAUGUUUCAUCGGAGAAGAAUUCAUCAAUACAUCAUAGCAAGAACUUUCCCCUCUUAAAGCAACAAUUCCUGAGAAUAUCCGGCCUAGGGUAUCUGUGCCUUCCGAAGCUCCAUCAAUACCAUUACAGGCUUUGUUCACUGGAUAUUCCUGAGGAUCAUCAUACUGAGCUGCACUCGUAUACAUAGACUCUAAAUAAUCCUUUAAUUCUGAAACGUCCUUCAGAGGCCUGUUACCAAAUAAUUAAAGACUCAAGAUGAAAUUUAGCGCCUCCAAGGUUAGUAACAUCAUAAAAGAUCUUUCAUCAUACCUGUCUAAUAAAUUUUGUUAUAUUUAGUUAAAUUACAAUAAACUUUAUGAGUAUGAAGCUAUUGGUAUCUCAAAUGCAAACAUCCAAAUUUGGCCUUACUUGGUAAUCAGAGUUGUACAUUGUUUUGUACUUCUGAACCUAAGCACCAAUAUACUUUAAUAUCUGGUAAUGCAUAGGUCGUAUAUGAGGCCAAAUCCAGAUUUUACUAUGUACGUAUAUUACACAUUAACUGAAAUGUAUAUAUACCUCGAGGAUGACAGAUAAUUUAUUGGAUAUAUAUAGGUAGUUAUGUAAUGAUACUACAAUAACAUUGCAUUGUAAUUAAAGGAAAAUCAGAUGGAUAUAUAUCGGCAGUUAUAAAAGUAACAUGAUUCAAUUACUUGCAGGUUUUGAAUUUUUUAGAGAGAAAAGUAAGUCCAUUUUUUUUCAGCAGCGGCUUUAUCGAUUUCAACCAGGACUGUUUGAUGGUCUUGUAGCAACUCUCACUAGCUUCCUGCAUCACUAAUAUUCAAAAUUCAAUAGUUAAAUUUUUAACAAGAAAAUAUAAUCAUACAUAUAUCGAAUUUUAAUUAAUUAAUAUUAUUUUCUAACCCUAAAAUCCUUGCUGACAAGAUCAUAAAAUGCGUUCGAUGGUGUGAUAUUAUCAAAGUAGAGAAUUGGGGCUGAAGAGGCCACUGCUCCCAAAGCAAUGUCAGGAUACUUUAAGCGAAACCAUGCAACAAGCACUGACGAUAACAAUAACAGAUCCACACAUGAGAAACUCUCAAACGAGUCUUUGUCAGUAGGAAUACAAAAUAAAAUUGUAUCAUAAUAAUUGUGGCGUUAUCCAGAUUUUAGUCAAAUAUUGACAAUGAGAUGACAGAUGACAUGAUAUCAAUCAAAAGAUGCAAGUAAGUUAAUAAUAUUAUAACUUACUUCCUCCGUAAGAUGCUCCAACAACGAUAGUGGGAGACAUUUCGGCCGAUAAAUUUUUCUUGAUGUGUAAGAGAAUCUCUGCAUAAUCAGCCAAUGCUUGAGCAGAGUUGAAAUAUCCACGAAGAGUUGCAUUCUUUAGGGCAUCUUUACUUGGUACAAAAGGUACUGAUUUUCCAUAGAAUCGAUGCUGCACAAAAUAUCGAAUUAAAAAAAAAUCCAUCACAAUUUUUCAGUUCAUAUUGUAGAAUAGUCUUAUUGAUAUUUGUCUUCAGUAUUAUUAUUUCAUAUACAAACUCUAUUUCAAUUAUUAUCAAGCUAGGCUGAUAACAAAUUCUGUCCUUACCUCUAUGUAAACUUCUAAAGCUUUAAAUCGAUGAGCAUUAUCAGUAAGCCAUCCAAUGCCACCAUGGUCAUCAUCAAGACUACUCUCUUCACCAAGAUAUGCCAAUAUCGGCGCUGCCAUGGCUCCGCCACCGCCCCAAUGCUUGAAGUUCAACACAUAUCUAUGAGGAAAAGUUAAAUAACUUUGUGGAUUAUAGUUAGAGUGAUCAAGUAUUUGAUCAUAAUAAUAAGUUUCGAGAUCACCCUCUGGUUCUGAAGUUAAUAUUUUUUUACUAGGGUUUAGAAAAAUAGUCCAUCCACGCACAGCACCAAGCUUUGGGAUGUUCUUUAAUGGUGAAGUGGAAGCAAAAGCAAAAUUUGUGAGGAGAAGAAGAAAAAAGGCAUGGAAGCCACCGACCUUCCAUGGUGUUGAAUUAGCUGAUGAAACUGAAUCAAAUGCAACACACGUUGGAGUGCUAGCUGGAAUCAAGCGAGCUGUAAAUCUAGUAGCUAGUCUAGGAAUGAAAGUGAAAGGUACACGUGAGAAGUUGGGAAGUUCCAGAUGGCAAAACUGUUAUGAAGAGAUUCCCAUGCAGUUGGAUUAUGCAGAAAUUAGUUAACAAAUCAGUACUUAUUAAUUGUAUUGAAUUUAGUUAGAUUAGAGUUAGUUACUCUUUAGUUACAUUGCUUAGCUGUAAUUAGAGUACUCAGCAAGUAUUAGAUUCCACUAUAAAUACUAAGCUGAGCUCAUUUCUGUAAUUUGAUUUGCAUUAAUAACUGAAAGACAAUUUCUCUUUUUCUUCUUCAUUCGAUCUUCAAAUUCCAACUGCAAAGUUGUAAAUCCUUAAUUAGCAGGAUGAUUAUGUAAAUACAGAAGAAAUAGAAUUAAGAUUCGGUUAUAAAUUCAGCUUCAGAAUCGACGUGUUUGUUAAUCUAUUCUGGAUUUGUUGUUAUCCUAUCAUAUAAUUAUUGGUGGUUUUAGUUUUAUAUUAGUAAUGAUCUUUAGUUUUCAUAAAAUUAUAGUUUUUCUAAUAUAUAUUGUUAUCAGUUUCGUAACUAAAUACGUUGCGAUGAAAAUUUGUUAUUCCUAAUUGUUAUUAAUUCUUUCCUUAGUAAUUAACUAACUUGAUUUACGUAGUUCUAAUGGUUGGACACAUAUUUCUAAUUUAAUUAACUUGCAAUUAAUUAUUUACUAGUGAUUAACUUGAUUUAGUAUGUGGUAAAUAUAUAAUUUUUAAAUAAUAAUUUUGAUAAAAUCAGUAAAGAAAUAAUAAAUUUUCUAUCAUGUAAGUGUAAAAUUAAAGAUAAAAUAUUUUUUUUUCUAGUUACAAUAGCUAAUAUUUAUUUGAUACUUUAACUUUUAAACUAAGCUACCCAAACAUGGUUGUAAUUUUCUAUAAUGAUGCUACCAAAGAUGUCAGGAUUCCAAUCAUUGUUUACGAUGCUACAAUAUAUGUUAAUCAUGCUAAUGGUAUAAGCCUUUGGAUUGGAAGCAAUGUAAAUCCAACCGCUGGGUAACGUAGCUAGCCUAGUUAUACUUUAUUAAGGGAACAAUAAAAUUAACAAUAGUCUCACACUAAAGGGUGGCAAUUUAUUUCCCGAAUUUGUGAAUUAGACACUAACACAUCAUAACGAGAUGAUUAAUUAUCGUUUCAAAUUACUGUGUCCUCUUCACUAAUCAAUUCGUGUUUGCAUUUUGACUUCCCCACAGGGGAUUCUUUAUUUAUUUUUUUUUAAAAAAUAAGUGCAAAAUUUAUCCCACCGAGUAUAAUCAAGGGGUGCACGUCAAGACUUGGAUGGUGCAAAUAAUUCCACCAACGGACUUGAAGAUCCCAAGUUGGUCAAUGGUUAGAAUGCUGAAAACAAGCAACAGCUGCGACAUAGUUUCAGGGUCAUAUCAUCUAUAAGCCAAACGUGUGUCCGCUCAAUUAGACACCAUAACCUCUAAAGACAAAACAAAUGCAUGCAACCUACCAUAAAAAGAUGAAUGAACACUAAAGACUGAGAGCAACACAACCCAGAAUGCAAUCAUUAACCUCACGAAAACUGGACCCUGAGAUUCACUGUAACAACGUCAUUAGUAUUUUUCUUUAUCCAAGGCUCCCAGUAGCCCUCCUCCCCCCCCCCCCCCCCCCCCCCCCCACCCCCGCCCCCCCCUCGACCCCCCCUACCCCCCCCCCCCCCCUUCAAGAAAAAGAAAAAAAAAAGAAAAAAACUAUAUGGAUCUUACAAGAACGACGAAGUCAUUAUGCAAACUAUAAGAAAAUGUAAACUGAUAGGCAAUAAUUGAAGAACACGACCUAGGCAAUAAUUGAAAUAAGAUGCGAAAUUAUUUAUAACACAAUUAACUAUUCAACAAUCAUAUGUGUUGAUUUCUUUUCAAUCUGACUUGGACACUGUGUUAUAUUUUAUUAUCUUUUAAUAAAUAUCUAUAUAUAUAUAUAUAAUCAAAAAAUUAUAUAAAAUUCACCAUGAAAAUAAGGAAAACGAAAAAAAAAAAAAUCAAACGGGCCCCCUGAUGGAUCACCAACGAACGAAAAAGAGCAACUGAACCAACGAAAUGCAAUGGCAUUUUGGGGAAUCUGUCAAAAGCUGAUAACCUUUUUGUCGAUUCCCAGCCAACCUCUAUAAAUUGCCCGCAAUUGGAAAUGCAACACUUAUUACACACGCACACACUUGUCUGCUUGACGAUUUGCUCUGAUAUUUUCCUUUCUUCUUCAAUCAAUGAACUGUCUACAGAAUCUUCCAAGGUCCUCUUUUUCUUCUUCUUUUUUUAAUUUUUAUUUUAAAUCUCCUUUAAUUCGUUUUCAUUUUUUAAUUUUUUUGGUUAAUAUUUCAGAUCCUCCGCUUUGCCUUUGCAAAGCUUCAGAUUCAAUCAACGGAAGCCUACUGCUUCUUCUUCUUUCAAUUCUCUGGUAAAACGCAAUAUUUUUUUGUCGUUUUUUCGUCGUUUUUUCUUCCUGUUAAUACUUAAUGCUUGGGCGUUUUGUGUGUAAUGGAAAUGGAGUCUCGUGUCUGAUUUAUUAUCGCAGGGAACGAUGAAUUAUGCUGAUCUAAAUCGACGUAUCACCGUUAAGGUAACUAUAUAAUUUUUUAAUAUCAAAUUCAUUUCUUUCUUUUUUUUUGUUUUUUAAAAGAGUAAUAUUAGCUUCAACUGUGAUGCUGUUCAGUAGCAGUGCUGACCUUUUUAUUCAUAAAUAUCUUCGGAUAUUUCAUAAUAUGGAAUAUUCUUCUUUAUUCUGUUCUAUUUAUUUACUGGUUUUAAUGUACAUAUUGUCGAGGAGCUAAAUACGCGAGUAUAAAAAUUAACCUCAACUGAUAAUUUGUAGUCUGAUUAUGCCAUUAGUUUUAUGGAGUCCAUGUUGAUUCAGUUUGUUGUUUGAUUUUUAUGUGGAACUGUUACUUGAUUAUACAUGAACAUUCACUUGUGCAAAUUUGCUGAUGAAAUUUAUUUACAGGCAAUUACUGGUUCCACCUCUAGUAAGGAGACAUCUGAUAGCUCUGAAGUUAAGGAGGAAAAAUCCGAGAUCUAUAGUACUAAUAUGACAGAGGCUAUGGGUGCUGGUAAUUUAACUCACACUAUGCUCUAAUUUUGAUAGUAAGGCAGUUGUGGAGACCCUUAAGUGGUAAGGGAUGCUUUCCAUGUUAAAGGCAUGCCUAUUAUUGUGGAUUUGCAAAAUUUAUCUGAAACUUGAUUAAAUGAUGUUUGUAUAUUGUAUUAUAUGAUUGAAGCAUGAACUAAACGUUUUAAUGUUUCAUUCUAGAACUUCCCUGUGGACCUUUGCUCGUUUUUGUUUUGAUACUUAUGAAACUUGGUAAGUCUUGUUUUGAUUUGUUAGAGAUUUUCUGUUGAUGGAAAAUUUCAGAAGAAAGCAGUGACAAUGCAGUGCUUACUAAUUGAGGGUAGCUCAAAAUGAUAAUUUUAGAUUUUGGAUCUAUGAUAAUUGAAAAAUAAAUAGAGAUAAGUGAGUUUGUUUCAUGUUAGUUUCUUUAUCCGCUCCAAUUGAAAUACUCUGUGAUAAGAUUGUUUCUCUUAAACCCUUAUUCAUCAAAGUUUCCCUUUACAUGUCCAUUUGAAUGGCUUUAUCCCACACCAACCUUGAUUUUUAUGUUUAGGAGGUUGUUGCUUAGAGAUUCACAUGUCCAUUCUUAGUGCUAUAAGACUUUGUCUUGAUGCACAGGUGACAAGUUUGUCGGGGAGUACAUUUGGACUAACAAUCUUGAUUUAAUUCCAAACAUGUUAGCAUUGGGUUAUUUAUGUCAGUCAAAGUUCACAAAUUCAGUUUGCUUAGUCAACUCAAGUAGACAACAGAGUUGUGUAACUCAUUGACCAUGCGUGCAAAUGCCAAUGUAUGUGGCUUUAAAAAUUUGAGCAAUGAGGACAUGUGGUCCUCCACAGCCUGGAAUUAAUGUGUGUCUGAAACCUUUUUUGAACGAAAACACAGAGAAAAUGUGAGCUUGUCACAAGCUAAGUUUCCAAGAGAGGUUACAUAUGUUUACCAUGAAGUGUCACAUGAACUUGUACAGAUUGAUUUGUGAUGUUUCUUUUCCCGGUAAUCUCUUAUGUUAAAUCUUAUUGAUUGUGUUUGUGUAUGUGCGUUGGGCUGGAAGCUCCAUUAAAAUGGUUUUUCCUCAAAUUAUGAAUUAUAAUGCUCAUAAGAUAUCAUCUCUCCUUGUCCAACUUAUUAAGAAAGUAUUUCAUAAUCCUAUUCAAACAUAUUCCUUUUUUUUUUCUUUUUUGGGAUGGAGAUAUUUUCCUAGUUCAAUGCUGGAAAUGUUGUUAAUAAACAAGGAUUCUGGUUGUAUUAACUAUUUGACUAUACUUCUACAUUCCUACCUUUUUUGAGAAUUCACAAUUUAAAAUAAAAUUUGCACGUUAUCAUUUUGUAAACAAAUUCUUUCAUCUGUACUACAACAGCAGAUGAUGGAGCUCACUGGAAAUACUUUUCAUUUUUACCAUUGAUGUGAUAACUAAUAUAAGGCAUUGUUGUUUCUGUGUUUGGGUAUCAUUUCCAGCCUAAGCCUGAUACUAGUGUUUGUGGAUCAAAGCAGAAAGCUGCCACACCACCUGCAGGUUCUGGAGAGCUUCCUUCAACGAGUUCAAGCAAACCCAAGGAGUGGAGUUGUGCCCUUUGUCAGGUCACUGCUACUACCGAGAGAGGUCUAGACGUGCAUCUCCAAGGCAAGAAGCACAAGGCCAAGGAAAAACUACUUAGAGAUUUGAAGAUGUGCAUUAACUCCACUUCAAAAAAAUCUAUGGAAAGCAGAAAUAGUGCUGACCAAGAAAUGAAGCCUAAUGGAAGAGGAAUCAGUUGGUGCCAAAAAAACUGUUGUUGGUUUAGACCAGAAAGUGGAGGGUGGUCAAACCCUGCAGGUUAAGCCCAAUUCCAAUCUUUGUGGAACAAAUCAGAAUGCUGCUGCACCACCUGCAGGUUCUGGAGAGCUCCCUUCGACAAAUUCAACCAAAACCGAGCAGUGGAGUUGUGCCCUCUGUCAGGUCAGUGCUACGACCCAGAGAGGUCUGGAUGAGCAUCUUCAAUGUACGAAGCACAAGGCCAAGGUAGCAGGACUACUUAGAGAUAAGAAAAUGUGCAAUAACUCCACUUCAUCCACGUCAAAAAUAUCUACAGAAAGCAGAGAUGGUGUUGGCCAAGAAAUGAAGACUAAAGUAGAAGAGGAAUCAGGUAAAGCUAAUAAAACUGUUGUUGGUUUGAACCAGAAAUUGGAGGGUGGUCUAGAUGAGAAUCCUCAAGGUAAGAAGCAGAAAGCCAAGGAAGAAGAACUACUUGGAGCUCAGAAGUGGAUAAAAAAAUCUACAGAAAGCAGAGAUAGUGCUGGCCAAGAAAUGAAGACUAAAGUAGAAGAGGAAUCAGUUAAAGCUAAUAAAACUGUUGUUGGUUUGAACCAGAAAGUGGAGGGUGGUCUAGAUGAGGAUCCUCAUGGUAAGAAGCAGAAAGCCAAGGAAGAAGAACUACUUGGAGCUCAGAAGUGGAUAAAAAAAUCUACAGAAAGCAGAGAUAGUGCUGGCCAAGAAAUGAAGACUAAAGUAGAAGAGGAAUCAGUUAAAGCUAAUAGAAUUGUUGUUGGUUUGGACCAGAAAGAGGAGUGUUGUCAAGCCCUGCAGGUUAAGCCCUAUCCCAAUCUUUGUGGACCAAAGCAGGAAGCUGCCACACUACCUGCAGGUUCUGGUGAGCUCCCUUUGACGAGUUCAAGGAAACCCAUGGAUUGGAGUUGUGCCCUCUGUCAGGUCAGUACUACUCGCAUGAGAGAGCUAUAUGAGCAUCUUCAAGGCAAGAAGCAUAAGGCCAAGGAAGAAGAAUUACUUGGAGAUCAGAAGAUGUGCAGUAACUCCUCUUCAAAAGACUCUACUGAAAGCGGAGAUAAUGCUGGCCAAGAAAUUAAGGCUACUGUAGAAAAUGAAUCAGUAUAUCUAAUAAAACUGCUGUUGGUUUAGACCAGAAAGUGGAGGGUGGUCAAGAUAACGCGACAUCAAGAACCUAAUUAAAAAUUUAUUGUAUAUGUUUGUGUGAAUAUUUACAAAGGAG
rnacentral:lncRNA from 1 species